rnacentral:lncRNA from 1 species
ACAACACAUAUGAAAUUACCAUCAUAUCGAGAAAAAAUGCUCGACAUUUCUGUUCACAGAACAGCAAUAUGUGAGAUUACACACGUCCUAUCCACUUCAUUAUGAAGUUCCCACAGAACACAUAAAGUUUUCAUCACAUCCAAAAGCCGAUGCAUGGAAAUUUCUUUGCUCAGAUAAUUAAGCCAAAAUAGAAAAAAGAAAUAUAUUAACAUCAUUGCAAAGUAACAAAAAAAAGAAAAAAUUCCUUGGCUCGGAGAUUCAGUUGGACACUGGAAAUGCAAAGUUAUAGAAAAGGAAAUGCAUUCCCAUGAAAACUUGAGAUAAGAAUAAUGGGUUCAAAUAGUGUGCAUAGGAUAAGAUUCUCACGAUAUUAUGAUAGUUUAACCUUCGUUCAAAAAUAGAAUAUUCACUAACCUGGGCCUGGGAAUUCUUUAGCUCAUCUUUAUACUUUAGUAUCAUCUGGUAAUAUUUCAUCCUCAGAUCUUUACCCUUCUGUUUUACCCUAUUCGUCACAAAGGCAUUGUAUUCCAUUUUAUCAAAUGCAGAUUCCUCAUUUUUCUUAAACCAUUCGCAGAUCGCUUCUGUAAUAGCCAUCACAUAUACACCACAGUUAUAUGAGUCCUCCUGCUGUGGCACAGGGGCAUCACAGCAGGGUUCAAUUCUUUUAUUCUUCCAGAAAUAAAUUUCGCCACUUCCUGGUUAGCUGGCCUUGGAGUGUCAUAAUGAUGGAGCAUGUGCCUUGUGUUGUCCAAAACUAACAAGCUAUAAUGGACCCUAGCAUCAGAAUCAUAGGCAUUCAACUGGUGACUAUUCAGAGGAAUAAAUACUAAUUUAUAUUGAAGCAUUCUUGUGAUACCAUUCUUGUCGUGCAUUAACAUUGUUGAUUCAGCUUGACUUAACAGUAGGAUCUUCUCAUUUCUGUAGGUGGUAGAGAGGAAGGCAAAUAUUCUCUGAAUUACACCAUCAGUUAUCCACCGUGUACCAGUAAGACUUUCUAGGUCUAUUUGCAGUGCUUUAAGCUGCGCAUCACUUAGUCCAUCUGUACGCUGAGAUGGUACAUUAAGAUUUUUUAGGUUUGUAAGCAAUGCUUGACGCCGUUCACUUAGUCCAUCCGUACGCUCAGAUGGUACAUUUUCCUGCAAGACAAAGAAAACCAUAGCACAUUUAAAGUUAUAAGGCGCACUACAUGGCCUUGCUGGGAAACAAAACUAAAUCUGCAGCUUGAUCUUAUGGAUCAAGAAUCUACUUUCCAAAAGUGAGUGAGAUUAAGUAAUAUUUCUAAAAGUCUAAGAAGCAAAACAGAAGUGGUAUUGCAUGCACUGAGUUCUUCAGAAGUGGCAUUGCUUACACUGAGUUAGCGUGAAUAUCCCUCAAACAAAGCUUUUCUGCAGAAGUAUUCUCUAGUUCAGUGGUAUUCAUGAUAGCUGGGUCACGGACAGCUUCAUGGUUUAGUAUCAUCUGGUGAUAUUUCGUCCUCAUAUUGUGAACUUCACCCAACUCUGUUACCCUGUCUCUCAAUUCAUGUGUUAAUUCCUCAUUUUUCAUAAACCAUUCACUGAUCACUUCUAUAAUGGCCAGCACAUAUACACCACAAUUAUAUGGGUCCUGCUGCUGUGGCAUAGGGGGCUCAUAUAUAACCACUUUGGCAAAAGCAGGGAUCACUUUUCUUAUACUUUCAGCAAGAGAUUCUGCAACUGCCCGGUUAGCUGACCCUAUAAUGUCAUAAUGAAGGAACUUGUGUGUGCCUUUCUUUUUGUUGUGCAAAACUAACAAGCUUAAAUGGACCCCAGCAUCAGAAUAGGGAUGCAUCUCUGCAAUUUUCAGAGGAAUAAAUACUAAUGAAAAAUCAAGCAGUGGUAAUCUUGCAGUAGCAUCCAUAUUGGACAUUGACGUCACUGACUCGCGUAACAAUAGGAUCUCCUCAUUUCUGAAGGUGGUAGUAGAGAAGAUGGCAAAUAUUCUCUGAAUUACACCAUCAGUUAUCUGCUUUGUACCAUUAAGACUUUCUAGGUCUGCAAGCAGUGUUGUAUGUUGUGCAUCACUUAGUCCAUCAUCUUUAUGCUCAGAUGGUACAUUUUCCUGCAAGAAAAGCGCAAUAAUGGCCUUGCUAGGAAACAAAACUAAAUCUGCAGCUUGAUCUUAUGGAUCAAGAAUCUACUUUCCAAAAGUGAAUGAGAUUAAGUAAUAUUUCUGAAACUUUAAGAGGCAAAACAAAAGUGGUAUUGCAUGCACUGAGUUCUUCAGAAGUGACAUUGCUUACACUGAGUUCUUCAGAAGUGGCAUUGCUUACACUGAGUUCUUCAGAAGCCUGAAUAUCCCUCAAACAAAGCUUUUCUGUAGAAGGAUUCUCUAGUUCAGUGGUAUUCAUGAAAGCUGGGUCACGGACAGCUUCACGCACAGCAUCACUCAGUCCAUCAUCUUUAUGCUCAGAUGGUACAUUUGCCUGCAAGAAAAAGAAAACCAUAGCACAUUUAAUGCGUUAUGCGCAAUCUUCUGGAUCGAAUCUACAUUCCAAAACUGAGGAGUGAGAUUAAGUAAUAUUUCUAAAAACCUUAAGCAAAACACAAGUGGCAUUGCUUACAUCCAGUUCUUCUUCAAAAGCAUUCAGAUCCUUCAACCAAAGCUCUUUUGGUUUAGUCUUCUUUAGUUCAGAGAUAUUCUUCUUUUGGUGUUCACAUUCAGCUUCCAGCUCCUCUACCAUCACAGUAAAGUUAACAGUUGGCUUGAACAAGAGGUAGUCAUAUCCCCUUAUGAUUCCUUGUGCUUUGGCACCAUCCUGAUUCUCCCAAGAGGGCUUGGCUUGUUCAAAUUCCUCAAACUGCAUUUCUCUGAGCUUCGUAUGUAGGCCUUCUUUAUCCAUGACAAAUAAUUUGAUUUCUCCAGUUCGAAUAGCUUUAAUAAAUCUAACUUUGUUCUGUGCCAUUUUCAAGUCGCGGCCAGCCAUUUCCACUAGCUUUUGCUGCAUAUUGACAAUUACUAAAUGUGAUAUCAAAUAGUCCAAAGAAUAUGUGCCAUACAAUUAUUAAAUGGAAACGUACCUUUCUUUUCUCAUAAAAAGCAAGCCUCAAGGCAUAGAAUUCCUUAAGUACUGAAAUAAAUGACACAAUUUAGUUACAAUACGACAAAAGAAAUAAAAAAUGGAGGUCUUGUAGCAAAAAGGUAGUACAUACUUUGCUCUGGACUGUCAUACUUUUAAUUAUGCCAUUUGAAUCCAACAAAUGUAUAUUUGAUGUUCCCAUUGAUGUUCUCAGUUCAAACUUCCUCUGAAGAUCUACUUCAUUGGCUCGUGCCAAAUUCUCAGAAUUCUCAUGCAAGUGUAUCAUAAUUUUAACAUCAUUGCCGCCUCUCUUUUUUUCAUAACUCUGUAAAAUUAUUAUGAUUAAAAACUAGUGGACAACAAUCAUUUCAUGAUUAAAACAUACUAUGUAAUCAAUUACCUUGAUGAAUUUGUCUUCUCCGUCCAUAAAAGUUUUAAGCUUCUUUUCAUAAUUCUCCAUCGAGAUCUUCACUGGGAGCUCACUUAUUUUUAGUGUAGUUUUGUCAACAACCUUUAUGAUACCACUAGCGGUAUAGGUAACACAUGAUUUCUUGGUCUUGGUAGUUUCGUUUUUGACACUCACUUCUCCCUGUUGGUUCAUGUUUACAAAAUAAAACACCAACAUUAGAUCUUUUUAAGACAAAAAUAAAAACAGAAUUGUAAAAAAACAUGUAUUACUAACGUGGAAAUGUCUGGACCACGGUUUUAUUUCUUCCAACGUUUCUGAUCCCUGUAUCAUUAGUUUCAAAUUGUGUACAAUAUCUUUGGGAUUGUAACAAGGAAUCUUUGUGCUCCAUCCAGUACCAAUUCCUUCAGCUCCAUUGACUAAAAUCAUUGGAAGGAUUGGCAAAUACCUAAAAAGUGACAACUAGGCCUUAGCUACUUAUUAUAAAGGUCGAAUUGCUGAGGAUGGAUGGAGCAAGUGGUGCCUAGUUAUUACCACGAAGGUUCAAUUGAUUGCCCAUCUUCACGCAAAUAAUCGAGCAGAAUAUCAUCAUUUUCAUUAAAUAUCCUGCAAGUGAUACUUGAUAACUCUGUGAAGAUAUAUCUAGCACUAUUAGCAUCUUUGCCUCCCUAAAAUGAAAAACAAGCAUGAAUAAAAUGUUUAACAACUAGUUUUCUCAUAGUGGCUGGUUAACUCGCCUCUAAUCUUGUAUCAAAUUGCCCAUUGGGACGCUAAAGAUUGAUAUUGUUGCUUCCAACAAAAUCUUGAGCCAUUCUUACUAUUUUGUUUGAUAGAUUUUCUUCACCGUGAUGAUAAGCAGAACAUUCUGCCACAGACGCGGUGAACUGUGCCACCUGUGAUCAAGUAUUAAAUUAGCAAUAUUAUAAGGCUAAUUUAGAGAGAACAUGACACAUAAAUCAUAAUAUGGCAGCCCGACCAGAGGCUCAACCCUUUUCUACUUAUAAGCUAGGACUGAAGCUUUGGAGUGGAUAUGAUUCUCAUCAUCAUAGACUAUAUGGAACAAGCUUGAGAUUGACAACCCACAAGACAAGAGUUUCAAGCAAGCUAGUCUACCAUUAUAUAUUCAGGUGCCAGUAUACAUAAGGAAACUAAAACUAAAUAUAUAAUGGCGAUACAAUCUAAAGAAACUAUGGAAUACAAAAGAUCGAAGCCUACCAUAUUCUCGGCCAUAGCGCCGACUAAUAUCAAAAUAUGUGGAAAAGAUUCAUAUUAGAAAAAAAACAAAUGAUAGUUGGGAUGCCAUACCUUUGUUUUCUUGUUCAAUUUUUUCUUAAAUGCGCUGAACAUUAUCUUUCUCUGCCCUUUUUUAAAUCCAUCUACCAUUGAUGGUAUAGACCGGUGCAUGUCUAAUACCAUGUAUAAUGUGAGCCCAUUCUUAAUGAAGUCAAGGAUUCUUAUCGUUUUCCCAGUUUGAGGAAGUACACUUUCUUCAGUAUGAAAUUUUUUUUAUCACAUUAAUGUUGGUCCUUAAAUUAACCUGAAUGAAUCUUUAAAAAUAAUACCAAGACCGACCUUGCAGUUAUGAAGAAAGUUAUAAAUCCAUUUCUUCCUUUCCUCCACUUUAUGUUUACUGAAUGCUGUCUUGAUAGCCUUAUCAUCUUCUUCAUUCACCCACACAAAAUAUUUCUGAUGGAUGUCAAUAUCUUUGAAAUAUUGCAUCCCUUCCUUAGGUGUGCUCGUGCCUAACCCCUGUAUAUAUGAAAAAUGUCCAAUUUGAAGACCACAUAGAAAAAUUGAAAUGAUUAAAAUUUGAGCAAAAAAACACACCUUAUUGUACUUUAUAGACCAUUUACUUAAUUCUGUCCCAUCUUUACUUUUCUCCCAUGCCGUAUACUCGUUUAGUGUAUAGAAAACCUCACUUGGACAAAUCCCUGUAUAAUCCGUAACCUAAACAAGUUUUAAUCCAUGACAUGGUAAGUUUUAUGAGUCUUAAUAACUGAAACCUUAACAAAAAAUGUUAAAGCAAGUAACAAGUGGCAUACCUUUACAAUUGGGGUAACUAAUUCACACAAAAAGGAUUUGGAUUUAAUCUUCAGAAGGGAAGGCCAAAAAACAUGAAAUAAGUUAAUGAUCAAUCCUUUAAUAUGAAAUCCAUCUGGAUCCUGGUCGGUCAUGACCAUAACUUUACCAUAUCUCAAAUCCUUCAAAUCCUUUUCAUCAUUAUAGUGUUUUUGUAGUCUAAACCAAUAAUCUUUCUCAUAUUGUUAAUUUCCUCAUUGUACAAGAUGACACAUCUCUCACAUUCAGUAGCUUACCUUUCAAUGCAAGAACUCCAAAGUAGUCCCUAUGAACAGAACCUAGCUGCAGAGGAGAACAAAACUUACUCAAUACUCUUGUCAAUAUAAAAGGAACAUAUGUGCAAUGAAAUGUGCAAUCAACAGUUACUAAUUGCAGGGGAACUUCAAUAUAAGAAUAAGAACUACGUGGAAAAUAAUUUUUCUAACAUCUUCAUCUAAUCAUUAACACAUGUGUGCACAUAUGAAACUUGGGAUUCCCAAAUACAAGUCCGAUUGUAACAUUUUAUCCUAAAGACUCAAGUCCGAUCAUAACCUUUAAUCCUAAAGACUCAGCUAACUAAAAAAAAUCUGAAUCAAAACCUUUUUGCCUUGAUUAAACUCUUGGCUGAAAUUUGAGUUUUUCAUAAAAAUCAAGGAAAUUUGGGACAAACCACACUAAAUCACUAAAUCUGCCAUUGAUACUUGGUGUAUCAAAAUGGACUUAAUUAAUAAAGGGUUGGGGUCAAAGUCUAAAAGGUCAUACUAGAAAAUACAAGAAUUUGCUAAAAACGAGUUGGAGGAGUUCGAAAAACAUGAGGAGCUUGAUGUGCUCAAGCUGGAUAUAAAGUCUUCCAUUCAAUCUAAGUUUCAUGGAAGAGAAGGAUAUGGCAUAAGGGAUCUAAUUCUAUGUGGUUGUUGAAAGAUCAUAACAACUCUGAGUACUUUCAUAGAAUAGCUCAUGGUAGAAAGAGAAAGAACACCAUUUCUUUGCCUAAACCAUAAUGAGAUCAUUAUUGAGGGGGAUGCUGCCAUCGUGGAGCAUGCUUCUUAAUAUUAUAAUUUCUGCUAGAAUGUCUUGGGCACAAGGGGUUUGACAAGAGAUAGUGUGAACGGACUACUUCUAGCACUAAUAAGAUUGAUGUGGCUAAAAAGAGAUUCUUUUGGCAAGGUCAUUUGAAGAGGAAAUACCACUUGAUCAAAUGGAAUGAGAUCACUAAAUCCAAAAACAAAGGAGGGUUGGGGGGUCACAGACCUAAGGAAAAUGAACAUCAGUCUCCUAUGUAAAUGGUGGUGGAUGGUGGUGGCUGAGAAUGGAUGUGGAAUUUGAAAAGAUAAUAUUAGGAAGAAAUAAGAAUACUAGUUUCUGACAUGAUACGUGGUGUGAUUAAGUCUCCUUAAAAGACUAGUUCCUCAAUUACAUGAUAUCAAUGUUGAACAAAGCAUUCUGUUUCUUUUAUGAAACAAAGAAGUCAACGUCAAGCAGCACGUGCCGAUCGUCCUUAGCCUGGAGUGCCCCAACUUCAACGAGUGGAAGGCGUUCUUCACCGUCCUCUGCGCUAAGUACGGGCUCCUUGGCCACAUCGACGGCACGCUGCCCGCACGUCCGGCUGAUCCUACAUGGUCUCAGCCCGAUGCCUGCAUUCGUGGCUAGAUGUAUGGCUCAGUCGAUGAUCCUGUCCUUGACCUUGCCAUGGACGACGCCGACCACGACGCCCGCGCCCUCUACGUCUCCAUCGAGGCUUUGUUCCAAGCUAACAAGGAACCGCGCACCGUCGUCCUCGGCCAAGAAUUCCACAGCAUGUUCCAGGGCGACCUCUUUGUCGACGCCUAUGCCCAGAAGAUGAAGCACACUGCGGAUGCCCUAUGGGAGGUCGGGCAUCCUGCCUCCAACCCGCAGCUUGUGCUCAACCUCCUGCGUGGUCUCAACCUCCGCUUCACCAACAUCGCCGACAUCAUCACCAACACGUCGCCGCUCCCCGACUUCCGGUCCGUCACCAACAUGCUUCGUGUCAAGGAGCUACGCCUUGGCAAUGAGGGCAAGGAGGCUUCCACCUCAGCCAUUGCAGCCAGCAGCAUCUGCUCUUGCAUGUCGCCCUCCUGCCUAUCCACCUCCUCUGCCUCCAAUCGUGGCGGCGGUGGCAAGGGCAAGGGCAGUAAAGGCAAAGGAGGGCGCAGCGGUAACAGCAGCGGCGGGCGACGCAACCAGUAGGGAGGAGGCGGCCAACAUCACCAACAGCAGCAGCAGGUCCAGCCGGCCGGUUCCUGGGUUUGGUAACCCUUGGGCCGGCGCCUGGGCUCCCCUCCCCCCACCGCGCAGAAGCAGUGGGCUGCGCCCCUUGCCCAGCAGUGGCGCGUGCCGCCUGCACCUCCUCCACAGGCGCACACGACCUUUGCGCCACCCUAGUACUCCUCUGAGCCUCCGGCGUACGCGCCUCCUAGCACCUAGGAUCCAACCGCCCUCAUCAUAGCCCUCAAUCAGAUGGUAGUUCAGGGGUUUGAUUCCUGGGUUAUAGACAGUGGAGCGACAUCCGACAUGUCCUCCAACGACGGUAUACUUCUCUCCCUUCUCCCGUCACCACCGUCUUCUAUCACGGUCAGUAACGGACAAUCCAUUCCAGUUUAUAGUCAUGGCACAUCUCUUUUACAAUUAGCUGAUCGUUCUUUUCAUCUUGAUAAUGUUCCUGUCGCUCCACAACUCACUUGUAAUCUGUUAUCUAUUCAACAACUUACUCGCGACAAUAAUGUUUCUAUUGAGUUUGACGCCUCAGGUUUUUCUAUUAAGGAUCUCCAGAACAAAAUGGUCCUUCUUCGGUGCAAUAGCCACAAGGAUCUCUACACCAUUCCACACAUGCCUCCUCGCUGCCAUGUUGCUGUUGUCUCCCCGCAGCUGUGGCAUUCUCGUCUUGGUCAUCCUGCACCUCCCACCAUCAACACUUUGCAUAAACUUUCAGCUAUUCAAUGUAAUAAAGCCGCCCACCGCCUUUGCCAUGCCUGCCAGCUCGGCAAACAUGCUAGGUUGCCUUUUGCUAGUUCACUUUCUAGUACAUCAGCACCUUUUGAACUCAUUCAUUGUGAUGUUUGGACCUCUCCAAUUUUGAGUAUUUCUGGCUAUAAAUUUUAUCUUGUGAUAGUUGAUGAUUUUACACAUUAUUGUUGGAUAUUUCCUCUCUGUCAUAAAUCUGAAGUUCAUGCUCAUAUUGUUCAAUUUGUCGCUUACGCUCACACACAAUUCAGUCUUCCUGUACGCUGUUUUCAGGCAGAUAAUGGGACUGAAUUAAUCAACAAUGCCACUGCUGCCUUCUUGGCCAGUCGUGGCAUUCUUCUCCGUACCUCGUGCCCCUACACAUCUUCUCAGAACGGCAAAGCUGAGCGCAUGCUGCGCACCUUGAACAACACCGUUCGCACACUUCUGAUUCAUGCAGCCAUGCCCCCAUCUUAUUGGGUGGAGGCUCUCUCCGCCGCUGUGUUUCUGCUCAACCGGCGGCCAUCCUCGUCCAUCAACAACGGUAUACCCUAUCAUCUUCUCCAUCACAAGAUGCCCGACUACUUCAUCCUUUGAGUUUUUGGUUGCUUGUGCUAUCCAAACCUUAGUGCCACGACUCCUCAUAAAUUAUCUCAUCGCUCUUUGGUGUGUGUCUUUCUCGGUUACUCUCCUUCCCAGAAGGUCUAUCGGUGUCUUGACAUUUCCACUCGCAAGAUCAUAAUCUCGCGACACGUCAUUUUUUAUGAGACUCAUUUUCUGUUUGCGGCUUCCAAGCCCCACUCGGACUCUUUUGACUUUUUGUUACAGGACAUACUGCCCGCGCCUGCUCUGUCCACCUCAGACACUGAGGCCAUGACGCCGCUGGAGGAUGCCACUGAUGCCGGUGUGUUGGACUGGACCUGGCCAUUCUGUGGCAUGGCGCUGCCCGCUGGGUGCCCUUGGGUGCCUCGGCCCCACCGCUAGCCCCCUCCGCAGGCAGCAUGGCUGCUCCUGCAGCCGCUGCAUCACGGACAGCAGCACCGCCCCCUCUCCGUGUCUACACUCGGCGUCCUCGUCCGACUCCACCAGCGGCCACCGGUCCCACAGCUGCUGCAGCAGCACCGGUGGCGGCAUCGCCGGUCCCAGCUCCUCCCUCCCGGGAGACGCGAUCCCAUACGGGAUCAUUACCACCGCCCAUCCAGUGGUACGGUUUCACUCUAGGUUCCAGGACGCUGGCUUCCCCGCUGCGCGCCAACUCACGUGCUGCUAUGGUGGAUCCUAAUUGGCGGGCGGCCAUGACCGACGAGUACAAGGCGCUCAUCGACAAUGGCACCUGACAUCUUGUACCUCGACCACCACGUGCUAAUGUGAUCACUGGCAAGUGGGUCUUCAAGCACAAGUACCAUGUUGAUGGCUCUCUCGCAUGUCACAAAGCACGGUGGGUCGUUUGUGGAUUUUCACAGCAGUACGGCAUCAAUUACGAUGCGACGUUCAGGUCGGUUGUCAAACCGGCCACCAUCCAUGUCGUCCUCAGCAUCGCUGCUUCUUCAUCUUGACCGAUUCAUCAGCUGGAUGUGAAGAACACGUUUCUCCAUGGUCAUCUGGAUGAGACUGUCUACUGCCAAUAGCCACCUGGCUUCGCCGACCCGGCCACCCCCGACCACGUCAGCCUCCUGCAAAAGUCCCUGUAUGGACUUAACCAGGCGCCCAGGGCUUGGUACCAGCGGUUUGCCGCCUUCGUUCAGCGCUCCGGCUUCACUGCUUCGGUCUCCGACACGUCCCUCUUUGUUUACAAGGAGGGCCCCGACGUUGCCUACCUGCUGCUCUACGUCGACGACAUCAUUUUGACUGCUUCGUCGCCUGUUCUACUUCGGCGCACCAUCCGGCUUCUUCACUCUGAGUUCGCCAUGACAGAUCUCAGGGAGCUCCAUCACUUCCUCGGGAUCUCUAUCACGCGGACCUCCGACGGCCUCUUCCUCUCCCAGCGACAGUAUGCUACAAACCUGCUCCAGCAUGCCGGCAUGGCCGAGUGUCACACUACAGCAACUCCUGUGGACACUCAGGCCAAGCUCUCAGCUACGGAUGGUGCUCCGGUGGCGGAUGCUACCAGUACUGCAGUCUGGCUGGCGCUCUGCAGUACCACACGCUGACUCGUCCGAACCUCGCCUAUGCCCUCCAGCAGGUGUGCCUCUUCAUGCAUGACCCGCGUGAGCCUCAUCUGGCGUUGCUCAAGCGUGUCCUCCGGUAUGUGAAGGGCACUCUAUCCACCGGGCUUCACCUUGGUUUUGGCGGCGUCGACAGUUUGACCGCUUACUCCGAUGCUGAUUGGGCUGGAUGUCCGGACUCUCGGCGCUCCACUUCAGGCUAGUCUGUCUUUCUCGAUGACAACUUAGUCUCUUGGUCCUCUAAACGACAAACUAUGGUUUCUCAUUCGAGUGCGAAGGUUGAGUAUCGUGCCGUUGCUCACGUUGUGGCUGAGACUUGUUGGCUCCGAUAGUUGCUUCAGGAGCUCCAUGCGCCCAUUGCUUCAGCAACGAUCGUCUACUGUAACAACGUCAGCGCCAUCUAUAUGACUACCAACCCAGUACAUCAUCGUCGCACGAAGCACGUUGAGAUAGACAUCCACUUUGUUUGUGACAAAGUGGCCUUGGGACAGGUUCAGGUGCUCCAUGUCCCAUCGUCUCAUCAGUUCGCAGACUUCAUGACUAAAGGGUUACCUGUACAGUUGUUUACUGAUUUUAGGUCUAGUCUUUGUGUUCGUGACACUCCCGCUUAGACUGCGGGAGGGUGUUCGAAUAUAAUUAUAACAGCCCGUGUUGGGCUUACGGUCCAUUGGACUUGUACUCCUAGACUGACUUGUAUUAGUACCACAUUGUAACUUGUAGAUGUACUGCAAGCCUUCUAGGCUAUAUAAUGAAGGUCACCCCCCAUGGUUAGGGUGUGCGGUGUUUCUACAGCUACAUGAUAUCUUGUACCACAAUACUAAUGAUGAUAGUGAUAGAGCAAGAUGCAAGUUCCCUCAAUUAUAUGAUAUCAAUGUGGAACAAAACUGUUCUAUUUCUUUUAUGUAACAAAGAAGUGAGCAUCUCUCUUUUAGAAGAUGGCUCAAUUGAGAAGGUUACAUGUUAUCUUAUACCACAAUACUAAUGAUGACUGUGAUAGAGCAAGAUGGGAGUGGGAAAAAUCUGGGAACUUCUCUAUCAAAUCUACUUAUAUGAAGCUAUGUAGGCAUGACUGUGGGCCUAACUUCAAACAAGUUUAGAAGGCUAGGAUACCUCUGAAAUAUAAACUUUAAAACAAAAAUGGAAAGGUGAUGAAUCAGGCACGGAGAAGGAAACUGUAAGUUUGGUGCUAAUUGUAGACCCAGCAGUUUGGAGCAAUUCUGGAAUUAGUUUCAUUGGAUUAAGUUUGGUGCUAAUUGUAGACCCAGCAGUUUUGUCCAAUUCUGGACUUGAAUUCAUUGGAUUAUACCAAAGGGUAAAUCUGUCUACAUUUUGAGCUUAGGCAACUGUUUGCUGGGUGCUGUGGUUAACUCCAAAUGCCACAUGUUUUGAUAACAAGAGGAUUAGACCUCCUAGUCAGAUCAUGUCUUAUGUGUUUUGACAACCAGACGUUGGAUAGUUUGGCACGCUUGGACAGGUGUUUUUGCUAGUUCUGCUGGUUGGUGAUCCCUUAGUGAUUAGCCUAGUGGCCAGGAUUACCUUUUUUUAUGUUUCUUAGAGCACUAAUAAAAUUUGGUUUUUAAACUUAUGUUACUCACAUGUUGUCAAUAAAAAAAGAACAUAAGUGCAAUCAAAUGUGCAACCAACAAUACUCUUGUUAAUAAAAAAGGAAUUUAUGUGACAAACUUAUAAUUGUAAUACUCACAGCUAGAGCUUUUGCUGAGUCUCCUUCGGUAAUAAUCAAAGUGCAUUUGUGGGAGUCCACUCCACCAACACGAGUUGCAUCCUCAAACUUCAUUGGAUUUGCUUCAAUGCUUUCAUCCUCUUCUUUAAGUGCCCAUGCAAGUGUCUCCUUUAAAGCACAUCUAAAUAUUUCUUUAAAGAUAAAAGAAUGUGCCACUGAAAUUUUUUUACUUCAUAUUAGCAAUACACAGGCAUCAAAGCAACAUACAACCUACAUUAUUAAGAAAACAAAACCACAUACCUUGAGUGAGAAACUCCUCGAACUUAGCAUUUCUGAGAGCAGGAUCAAUGUAAACUUUUGCAUUAUCUGUUUACUUUAUAUUAGCAAUAUGGAGGCUUAUAAGAAACACAACUUACAUUUUAAAAACACACACACACACAAUCACAUACCUUGCAACUGUGGUUCACCAUAAAAAAAGGGAUAGUCCGCAUUUAUGAAGACCCAUAAGUGGCUCUUCACAUCACCUGUCUGUAUCUCAAUGUUCUGAACAUUCUUCAUUUUCCUUUUGAUUGAACUUUUCAGAUGUUCUUCAACAUGUCUUGUGAUAGUAUCAAAUUGAACUCCUCCCUCUAUUACAACACCAUUAACAAAGUUGAACUGAAACAAAUACAAAGAUAGUGAGUUGCAAAACAAAUGCAGCCGAUAGAGAAUAUAGCCUACAUAACUUUGGCUGGGAACACAAACCUGUUGGUAUUGGCCAUUUAUGCUUAAACUAAUACACACCUCCCCAACAAAGGCUAACUUUUGUUAUACACAGAAAUAAAAUACAAUAGUAAAUAAUUAAAAAACAAACAUAUGGUUUUGUUUAUCCUAAAUAAAACUUAUAUUUUUAUGAAAAUUUUAAACCUUUUUGAUGUCUGCUUGGAAGGAGAUGGCAGGUACAAAUCCACAUAACUUGAAAAUUUUUUAGUGAGCAAAUGGCCAUCUAGAUGAACCUUUAGUUUCUGGUUGUUUCUUCUUUUGUAAAGUGCAGCCAGAUCUACCACCCUUUUUCUCAUAAGGGCUGUCAUAUCAUCUUGAAGGUCAUUACAGUGAAAACUCAAUGUGGUCCAAAGACACCCAUUAGAGCAUUCUGUGAUUUUAGCAUUUCUUUUCUUCCCAGGUUUGCCAUAAAAAACCUAAAUUUGUGUUGAAUAAGAUAUGAAAUUAGUGUUUAGUUAAGUCAUUUUUUUGAAAAAAAAUAAACUUUCACCUUUUAUGCUACUACUAAUUUCUAAACUAAGUAGAGGUUAAAAUAAACAAUACACAUUAGGUGAGAACAAAAGUAGUAAACACAGGCUAUCAAACAUUAUGACACAAAUAGAAAUUUAUACUUGUAUUAAAGUACUCCCUCCAUAUCGGAUUUAGAAGUCGUUUUGGACAAGGUUUGAGUCAAAUAUCGGGAAUAUAAAUCAUCAAUAACUUUUAAAUUGUUGAGUUUGCACAUGUGAAAAUUAUAUGAAUAGAUUUGUCUUGAAAAAUACUAUCAUAAAAGUAUAUCUAUAUCAUUUGUCCUAAAUAUUUUAUAAAAAAUAAGAGGCCAAAGUUGUGUUUUGGAGACCAUGUCACUAUUCUAAACGACUGCUAAAUUCGGUACGGAAAGAGUAUAGAUUUAUCUACCUUUUAUCUAAAAAAACACUCUAGAAUAGACCCUAACAACAAAAUCAUACUCAAUCCAUCCAUCCCAAAAUAUAGCAACCUAGGAGGGGAUUGGACACAACCUAGUAUUUUGGGAGUAAUUAACAUGGUCAUUUAAUGCAAAAUAAAAUUUGAAUAAGCCUUUAGUAUGAAGCACUGUACCUUCUUGCAUUUCCGGUCACUUGCAUUAAAUGUUGUGAUCACAAAUCUUAAAAAGAUGGAUGAGCCUUGAGGAUCCAUAUACUUUCUAAUGGAGGAGUUUCUGAGCAAGAGAGUAUCCCAGGGGUUGAAGUUAUGAUUUUCAAUCGGAAAGAAAACUCCAAAGCAAUGUUUGGAGAUAUAGCGCUUGUCCACUUUAAUGUUAACAUCCAGGUCAAUCUUGCCGUUUGUAAGGAUCUCUGUAUGCAGUUCUUGUUCAAGUUCAAAAGACAUUAAUAUCUCAUCAAAUAUAGUUUGUAGAAUUGGGAUGUAGUUGACAUUUCGAUGCACCAUGGCAUGGCCAUUGUAAACCCAUUGCAUUUUUGUUUGCAUCUUUAAUAAAUUGUGCUUGUCAAGCACCUGCCAAUGAGAAAUUUUACUACAUUUGUGAGGGCUACGGAAAAGAAAAAAUGAUAUGUGCCAAUGAGAAAUAUUACUACAUUUGUGAGGGCUAUAGAAAAGAAAAAAUGAUAUGUGCCAAUGAGAAAUAUUACUACAUUUAUCUGGAGGGGGGAGCUGCCGGCUCAUUGAUUGCUUGGAGAGGGGGUGCCAGCUCGUUGAUGGCUUCCCGCUGGCUCUGGGUUGCAUCGCCGCUCGCUAGGGGACGCUUGCGAGGGUGCAAGCCACUAGCGGUUGCGUCGCCGCUCGCCAUGGGAAGCUUCAUCUUGUCAGCUUGGACAAAUGCACCGAGAGGGAAAAUUUUCCAAAACAGUAAGUGAGCAUUGUGUGGUCUAAUAGAACUUAAGCAAUCUGCAAAAAAACAACAAAACCACUUGAAAAGGGUUAAGUAUGGCCACGUGCUCGUAACAACGUUGAAAAUAUCUCAUGGUAGACAAUGUUCGUUUCAUGUGUCCACUCACCAUUCAUAUGCUCUAUCAAUAUCUAUAGAUCUCUUUGAGGUGACAUUUGAAAUAGCAACAUACAAGCAUCGGUAAAUACAGGCUUUUUUGGGUAGUUAUCAGCAUUGGACAAUGCCUGCCCUUGGCUCCUAUUGAUAGUCAUUGCAUAUCAUACCUUAACUUUAAAUUGGCGCCUCUCUAGAACAAAGGGCAGAUUUGUAUUUGUAAUUGUUAAACAAAUCCUUGGAAUCAGAACAACAUGCCCCAUGUGUGUGACGGUCAUUAUCUAUAUAUGCUUCUAUUAAAAUAUUGAAGGGCUAUGAAUGCAGGUGCAAAGAAGAAAUGUGCUGUAACUGUCCACAUCUGGUUCGUAUGUCACGCUCCACUAUCCAAAGAGAAAUGGAAAAAGUCUACAAACCCCUCUCAACUAUCGAGUGUACUCUACUACACCCCCCGAACUAUAAAACCGGAUAUUAUAUCCUAUGAACUUUUCAAAACUGGUCAAAUAACACCCUUGGGCAGUUUUGAAGGGUGGUUUUGUCUUUUUCUUUUUAAUUUAUUUCCACCAAAUAUUUGAAAAUCAUAAUAAAUCACAAAAAAAUUAUAAAAUGAAAAGUCUAAUUUUGUUGAACUUUUGAUGAGUAGAUCUACACAGUGCAUAUAUAAUAUGGUAUACUUUAGUACAAAGUUUUUACUGUAGCACACAGUGAAUAUAUGCAGUUUCUAUGGUCUAGUUAUGGUAAACUUUUUAUGGUGGGCUCAUUAUUAUAUGCUUGAACUAUGGUAAAAAUUUUAUACUCAAUGAAUCACGUAUAACUUAGUUAUGGAUAAGCAUAGAUUUAACAAAAAUAAAGCUAAAUAAAUCUAUAACUAAGUUAUACGUAAUCUAAUGUGUGCCAAAUAAUUACUAUACUUCAACCAGACAAUAAUUAGCUCAUCAAACAAAUUCACCAUAAUUGGACGAUAAAAACUGCAUAUAUAAAUUAUUCUAAUUAAUUAUAGAGAAACAUAGAUCUAAAGCUAUAGCAAAAACUUUAUACUAAGCAUACCAUAUUAUAUAUUCACUGUGUAGAUCUACUUAUGUGGAGUCCAACAAGAUUAGAUUUUAUAUUUUAUGAUUUUUAUUUAAUUUAUUAUGAUUUUUCAAAGAUUCAACAAAAAUAAAUAAAAAAGAAAAAGGCAAAAGCACCCUACUUGAGGGGGUUAUUUGACCGGUUUUAAAAAGUUCAAAGUGUAGAAUAUUCGAUUUUAUAGUUUAGGAGGUAAAGUAGUCCACUCUAGAUAAUUUGUGAUUAUGUAAACUUUUUCUAAAGAGAAAUCACGGCCAGCAGAAGAAAACAGUGCCCUUAGAAGGCACAGUCGCAGCAAAGGGCACAACAAUCUCAAGCAAACAAGCAUCUAAGGCAAGCCACACCUAGUUGCCGCCGGCCCCCCCCCUCUCUCUCUAGGGCAAUCAUAAAAGCAACUAGUACAAACUGCACGCCCUUGCGCGCGAGGAAAAGUGAGCAUCCAGUGAUGUAUAAUAAUUAGUGUACAUUGAUCAAUACACACUUGCGGGAUGUAUAUAUUACAUAUGGCUGCAUAGAGUACAUUGAUAUAUAAGUAUCUAAGUACAUAUUACAUAGGGUAAGUUCGUGUUACAUAUUACACAUAUUAGCAUGCAUCAGCUGAUAAAAGGGUAGAUAUAUAAGUAUUUUGAGAUGUAUAUUUCACAUAUUGGAUAGAGUGAUCUUAAGUAGAACUGGUGCCGAACAUUCUAAGAUUGGUCUGGAUGUUACAUUUCCGUGUCAUGCUCCUAGAUGAACAUUGUAUAAAUCUCCUUGCCCUCUUGAUGAAACACUCCUCCUGAAUCUAUCUCAUGACACAAUCCAGCUAGUAACUGUAGAUGAGCAGAUCUGGAUGACAAAGAUGGAACAAUAUCCAAAACAGCUGAAUUCAUGAACAAUUUGAGAGCUACUAAGUAACAGAAAAUCAAACGUAGUCAGGUACUAUCAAUCUGUACACGCAUGUUCUAUUUAGACUGAGGUAAUGUAAGCCAUAGCAAGAAUAAGAUAAAGCAGAUAAAUAAUAGCAUCAUGUGUAUUUUGCGGGGCACAAGGAUAUGAAUUUGUGUGCAGUCAUACCUUGACGGCUACAUCACCACACAACAAUGUGGCAGGUUGAACAUAGCGUCGAUUUUCGGGAGUAACAACGUGUCCAUGAACAACCAAGUAGUUAUGAUAAAUUCAUCAAUUAUGGGAAAACAAAGGAUUGGAAAGAAGUUGCUUCUGCCCUAUAAUCAACAGUUGUAUAUUAUGCUCUAUUGAACCUGAAGACACAGGAAUGACCUGGGCUACCAAAUCCUUGUACAUUUACCUCCAAUAAAUGGAAGAGGAUUAUAGCUUCUAUCCAAGCCUGAGGAAACAAAUCAAGUGGUUCUCAUUGGAUGUAUAAAGGCAUGUCUUAGGUUGCACAAAUGAAGGACAUCAAGAAAAUUUCUAAAAAUUUAUAUACCAACCCUAUCUUAUGUCGUAAUGCAACACAUUUUCUUCUUCUGAAAGGAAACAGCAAAGCAAAGUGGCAAGUAACAAUACUCAGGACAUAAGGCAUACCAAUAUACUGAGGUUGUGAUAUCCAACUUCACCAUCCUGAAAAAGAGCACACAUGAAGGGAGCAAAGGGAACCAGGUUGAGGUGGACCAAUGGGGGAUUUUGGGGACGAUGUGGCCCGGUUGGCUGGAUGGGGUGAACCUUUGGUUUGUAGGGGUAAAUUUGAAAUACAUAUAAGAGAAGUGUAAAGGGCCAAAGCACAAAACAGCGUCCUGUUUAUUUUAAGUGUCUUUAAUUCUAUGAUUUUGCCUACAUGAAUGCAACAGAUGAGGCAUGAGAGCAACCUCAAAAGCAUUGGAAAGUCAAUAUAUAUGCUCAAGGCGGAAAAUAAUUUAAUUUUUUAGGAAAAAAGAACAUAAAUGGAGAAGUCGGUGUUAUUUUUGUCAGCAAAAUGAAUAGGUAAGAAGUAAUUAAUCCUCAGAUUUGUUUAUGCAAAUGGUACUUUAUGAGCAUCACAUGUAGCAAACUGCAGCAAUCAGAACCAAUAUUGGGACACAUCAGGUGAGCUCACUGAGACAACAACAAGCAACUUUAUUCAGAAUAGAUGGAAAACUGCAUUUUUUGAUAUAGUGUGAUGUGAUAGUGUGAUCAAAACUACGCUUUUCAAAAUUAAAGAAGCAUUAUGCAGCACUCACAUGGAUCACCAAACAAGAACUCAACAACUCGGUGUUAUAAGAGAACAUUCUACACUUAACCAUGCGCCUAAUCCUGAAAGGCCAGAUUACAAAUACUGUUGCAUGGAGUUUUAAAAUACCAACUACUAUUACUUUAAAGUGGCACUACAGUAAUUGUAUUUGCAACUUGAGAUGCAAGUACUAACACCUGUAGCAGAAAACUAAAGUGAAACUUAUUAGAAAUUACCACCUAUAAUUCAGUGGACAAGGGUACCUGACCUAUUGAAACUUUGGGGGUUCAGUUGAGCUUCUCAGGUAAUCUUGUCAGUGUCAUUUUAAGUUCUGCUGGACCUGCACCAAGCAGCAAAAGUGCUUCGAGUAGAAAAAAGGCAAAAACUUUAGUAAGUUGACCGGCCACCUCCAUGUUUGUUUCAGUGCAGCUCUUUCUUUUUCCAUGCACCAAAGGACUAAAUGCUCUAAAUAUAUGUUUCAUGGAAACAUUGCAAGGGCAGCAUAUAGAUGUGUAGCUAUCACUAUUCAUCAGUUAUCCAUGAAGGCUAGAAUACAUCUGACUAUAUGACAUAAGUAUUUGAGGGGCAGGGGUAUUCACUAAGAUAAUUCUGUAGUACUGAUAUGAAGUAAUUAAGUAUGGAAAAAAAUUAAGUGUAAUACCCGAUUUUAAGGACAAAACCAGAUAUGCACCAUAUGUGAGUCUUAAAAGUCAAUUCUCACAUAUAGCUACAAAUAAGAGGUAAUAUCGAUAGACAAUGCAUAAAUAUAUAACGUACUUAGUAUAAAAGAGUUUACCUUUGAUAACAAACAGCGGAUAGACAACUCCAAACUUUGGGUAUUAACUUCUCUCUACAGGAUCCAACUAACUGGUUGAUCACAAGCCUAACACUCCUCCUGAUGUAUGGGGGAAAUAGCAAGAGUGAGUCCAUGUCAAACUCCACAAGUAUAGCAACUAGAUUGUUUAGCUCCCACAAUCUCAUGAUCAAUGUGACAUAAAUAAUGUAAAGCAUUAAACAAUAAAUAAUGAACAUAUUAACACACAAGAAUCAUCACCCUUAAUGUAGAUGUCCUCAAGGCCACUCCUGACCGUGAGCUCGGCUAGUAUACUAGUUUUUAACACUCUGCAGAGGUUGUACAUCUUUACCCAUGAGUAAUGAUUUACCCUUUCGCCCGAGGUGAUCAGCCUCUUAACCCACUACCAAGGAAGGUCGGCAGGGAUCACUAUGAAGCCUUUCAAAAGUUCGUCUAACAUGUUAGGGCCGCAAGGUUUCUCGGGAGCGCAGAUAUAGAUGCCCCCCUUGCAAAUGGCACAAUGACGCACAACCUAUACACAUAAGGACAGGGGCUCGCACUAUACCCAAAACGGUUAGGCCCCUCUAGCGCCCUUUCGGGUAACCGCUAACAAGCUAGAAAAGGUCUUCAUACUGAGCUAAAGCCAGAGUCAUUAUAGCCCUCAUGGUUGCACUGUUGUCCCGGGUUAUCACAUACAGAUAAAUCAUCAAGUUGCUAAAAAGUCAUUUUUAUCAUUUAUUACUUAACAUUAAUCUAGUCACAGGAUCAUGGUCACAAAAAUAAAAUCCAAAUGCUAUACUUGCCUUAAACUUAGAUCCUUCUUCUAGUCCAAACCUUCAACGGAUUACUUCUUCUUGAUUGCCAACUCCUUAUGAUCACCAACGUACUUUCUUAUUGACUGGACAAGAUCAUAGAGCACCACACAAACAUCCAAGCAAUCAUACAUGAGCAAACAAUAGAAAUAAAUUAGAACAGUGCACCAAUCAAUGAAAAAGUUUGAAAACUAAUCUACGUAUUACUACGAACACACAGGUGAGAAAAGCAUGCUAAUUAGAGCGGGAUGAAAAAGAAACGACUACUGAGACUUUUAUAUUGUAUAAAAGAAUAUGUUUGUUGUUUUAUUUUGGUGAAACCUUACAAAUAAAUUAUUAAGACCAUAUUAAUUAAAACAUAAUUUAAUUCAAAAGCUGGGCUGAAGCUACUCAUGUUUAGUUUAUAAACAUUAUCAUAUAAUUUAAUCAUGUUUAGUACAUCCUAGGAGAUAAAUUAAAUUAUAAAUAUGGGAUCUAGCAAGAUUGCCACACCUUUAGUCCGCAGGUGCCUACAGCUUCUGUGGACACCGGACGUCAUGGCACCUGGGCCCUGUGUGUUUGCAUCUGUUCCGCUCGUAUACCCGUCAUGCACGCAGUUGGCGAGUACGGAUGCGUGAGUGCUUUCAUUGAUCGCGCUUAGACAUACGUGCGUGACUCAUUCAUGUCGUGAUGCUUCUCAGGAGCUGACAACAUCUCCAUUAUCUAGCUGUUGUUCCCAACACUUCAGAAUUAUGACACCGGCCAACGUGCAUACUAUCGUGCAAGACCGAAGGAGAUAAUGAUCAGAUUAGUUUUCUCACCAAUCAUAGAGAGUGACGUGAAGCCAUCAGCCAUUCUUGAUUCCUUACUCCUAGUCCAGGUCGUCCUUGAUCCUAGCCCCUCGUCCCAAUGUAGAUGAGCUAUGAUCGAGGCCGCCGCUCAUCUCGAUGGAACAAUGCCGAUGGUGCCUUCUGUUUCGGUGGUGAAGACUGAAGACGAAGCCAGCGCGGUCGGUGCGGGAUCAGGGAAGUUGACCAAGUGAACUUGAUUUGUAGGCCCAUGGCGAUAGCCAAUUGCUGUCAUACUUGAUCGAUCCUUCAUGGCUGGCUUUGCAUAGAUGCAGGGCAGGGUUAGACCUAGAGGAGGUGCGGCCAGUGCAGCUUGGAGGAUGAAGCUGGGCUAGGGCUGUGCUACGUGAGGUGUUUAGCCAAAAAAAAUCGUGUCGACGACGGUCAAGCUCGUGAAUCGUGAUGAUGGCGCCCUAGGAAUAAAAUAUAAUUCUAUUAUCUUAGGAUAAUUUCUAAACUAAAGAUUUCUCUUAGGGUAGUUCGUGAUGAUGGCGCCCUAAGAGAUUCGUAUGUAUAUAGGAAGAAAAACUCUCCACAUCAACCUCAAAUAGCAAUAUGCUACUAAUUAAUGUUGCAUCCCCCUCUUUACUUGUAGGCCUAAAUAAAUAUUGAAGCUCAUUAGUAAAUAAAGGCAUGGGCUUGAGAGAGUCGUUGGAAAAUUAUGCUUAGAUUCUUUUUCUUCUAUUUUCGAAAUCAUUUAAUUUCAUAGAUAAAAUAAUUCUAAAAAAGUGUAGAAUUAUUAUUUAAGCAAUGAAAAAUAUUCCGAAAGCUCCAAAAAUUCAGUGAAAAUUCUCCGAGACAAUAUGGAACAUGAGGAAUCCAAAUAAAGUAUUUGGAGCACAUGAUAAGAUAAUAUGGAGCAUCUAAAAAUUAGAUUAUGCUCAUGGAAAAUACCGGAAAAUUUUUCGAGAAGUCUGUAGAGAUUGCUUGAUGGACAAGAAACUGAAAAGGAGUGACUUAGGUUUGAAAGAAAAGAUUCUGACAGACUCUAAACAAAAUCUUGAGUUGAGAGACAAGGAAUUUGAUUGUAGAAAAAGAUAAAUAUGUGCAGAAUAAGGAAGAUCGAUCUACUAAACGAAUUUUAAAUAUAUUUCUUACUAUCAACAUACAAAGAGCAACAAGCAAAUAUCACAACAAAUCUUAUGCAUCUGCAUGUAUACACAAUAAUGUUGCUAAACCCUAUGAUGAAUUUUAAUUUAAGGAAAAUUUUCAUUUUACUAUAUUUUCAUGAACUCAAAAAUACCUAAUUAAAUCAUUUUAGACCUAUUUCAAAGGAUGCAAAUUUUAGGAUGUUACAUUAAGAACUAAGAAUGGACCUUUGGUUUUAAUAAACCUGAAUGCUUAUACCAAAAUAUGGGUUGAAUAUAAUAGUCAAGUGGUCUUAAACCAAGCAAAGAAUAUUUAACUUAGAAGCCUAUAUCCAUUGCACUGUUGUCACCACAUCCAGAUGGAUUAUUUUCUUAGCACUAUAAGUUGCUAGAACCUUGGGCACAAAAAGAUUUUUCACUCACCUAUGCAGGGAAGGCUUGAUUUCAUUGUUCUCUAGGAUGAUGUGCUCGAGUAUAUUGCUAUGAAUGUCCAUGACGUGUGGAACUUAGCAGAGGAGGAACCAUUCCAAUUGUCAUGUUGCCAAUGUUGUAGAGUCUUCUCAAAUCAAGAGCACCAGUCAUACUGAACAACGCCAACCAACAGGCCAGCUAUAUUCACCUAAAAAUUUAUUAUGAAUUGCAUACGGGGCAAAGAAAACUAACCAAACAUUCAUAACAGAGUACCAAACGAGGAAAGGAUCCUUACUCAGAAUUCAGAAAAACAAGAAAAUGGGACAAUCUGUGGUUGUUGAAUGGCCAGAUAGACCUGUUUUUAAUUCGAGUGUUCCAUCCUGGCUCUCAUUGCCAUAACCAUAUAUAUAGUAUCUAUUGUGGCACCUAGGUCUGUCCCUGUUAUCUAAAAAUCAAAACCGUUACUCUGGAAGGGAAGAUCAAUUUUUAUCGAAUUCCUAUACUGAGUAUAUGGUUAGUAGGCCAGAUUAGAUCCUACUGGGAUAAGUACGAGCUGCUGACAUAUUUGUAGGUCCUCUGUUGUGCAUAUACCCUGCUUCAAGGCAACAAAGGGGAAAAACAUGAGUGAGCCUAGCAGCAGACAUAAUACAUAAUCAGAAUCAGAAAGCACUUCAUAUGUGAAAAAAGGAAAGAUAGAAAAAGGGUCAUGUGGAUGCCUAUGGAUAAUAUGUAUUGAUUACUUAUCAUUGAUGGACCAAACAGAUUUCCAAUCAAUUGAAAUUUAUUUUGCACAAGAGGCUAAUGCUAUCCUGAUCCACACCAUUCUGUGCAUCUAGAAAAGAUAUGAAGGAAAGACACAACAGCCAAAAUGAAAGAAACUCACCAACACACCUUCCAAUCUUAUUAGUCUACGCAGAUCCUCUUGGUUGAGGUUUGUAGCACCCGGUUUUAAGAACAAAAUCAGAUACACACCAUAUGUGAGCCUAGGAAGUAAAAUCUCACAUAUAGCCACAAAUAGGGGUAAUAUCAAUAGACAAUGCUUAUAUAUAACGAACUUAGUAUAAAAGAUAUAACCUUAGAUAGCAAACAGCGGAAAGACACUCCGUUCUUCAGACGAAAGCUUCAAAUCCACAGGGACAACUGACUGGUUGAGCACAAGCCUAAACUCUUCUCCAAACUAGCAAUCUGGUACCCAUCCGGUAUUUUUAUCCAAAUAAAAUGUAAAGGCAAGCGUAAGUACAUCUCGUACUCACCAAGAAUAACAUAGGGUUCAUGAGGCUCAAAGGCUAGACACUGGUUGAACUGCAUGUAGCUUUUAGUUGUCACAAUUUUAGCAUAUGAGUAGCAUCAAGUUGUCAAGUCCCAUAGUAAACUCAUGAUCAGGUAAAAUGAAUAAAGAAUAGCAUAAACAACAUAUUAACAACAAUAACUUUAAUAAUUUGCCAUUAGUGAUCACUUAUUCUGUAUUGGUCCAAGGCCGCUCGUGACCAUGAGCACGGCUGAUAUAUCAGUUUUACACUCUGCAGUGGUUGUACACUUUCACUGUGAGUUGUGAUUUACCCUUUCGACCGAGGCCCGUCGACCUCUUAGCCCACUACCAAGGAAGACUGGCAAGGUUUACUAUGAAGCCUUUCAAAGGUUCGUCUAACAAGUUAGGGCCGCUUAGUUUCAUUAGUUAGUCCAUGUGAUUCACCCGCAGGAAUCCGCGGUCUGCUAUUCCCCAUUUGCGCCACAAGGGUAACCACUAACAAGCUAGAAAAAGUCCUCAUACUGAGCUAAAGCCAGAGCCAUGUAGCCCUCAUAGUUGUAUUGUAUGUCCCGGAUGGUCAGAAACAGAUAAGUCCUUAUGGAGAGAAACUAGAGCACCAUAGGAUAGCCCAAUGCUCUAGCCCUCUUUACCAAAGUUGCUAAAAAGUCAUCUUUUAAUGUUUAUUGCAUAUUCCAUUAAUCAAAUUACAAGAUCAUGGUUUAGUGGAGCACUAGCAUAAGCUAACCAAUGCAAAACCAUAGGUGACAAGGUAUAAGAUCAAUACUAGGAAAUCCUUAUCAAGGAGACACAUGCAAUUGUGUGAUUAAAGUUAUUAGGAAACAAGGAUGAUCCCAUGCUAUACUUGCCUUGAAACUCAAAUCCUUCUUUUAGUUCCAAACCUUAAAGAAUCUGCUUCUUGAACACCACGUAAAAGCUCACCGACUAAACUCAGUCAUCACAUCAUCAGCAAUCAUCCAGAGGCAAUCAUACAAAGCAAACAAACCUAUAAUUAGAACAAUACACCAAUAGUAGAAAAUAAAGAUAAAAAGUUUAUAAAACAAAUCUACAUCGCACUACGAUCACACAGACGUAAAGAUCACAAAAAUCGUAGCUAUAACGAAGAAGUUAUGAUUUUCCUAAGAUUUCCUUUAAUAAAAUUUUUAAAUAAAUAGGAUCACGAAAAUAAAAAGUUGUAAACUUGUAAAACAGUGAGACUAACCUGUAGAUCUCAUGAUUACGAAUCUAACGCAAUUUGAAUGGAUCAAAUCAGAGUUAAAACGAAGCUUUUAUGAGCAAAACAAGAGCAAUGGCAUAACUGUAAUUUUGAGAAAAUGUAUUUUGAAUCUGAGCGGACGGAAAUACGCUUUCGGAGUUAGGAAACGUAUUCUGGAAAUUUGCAAAGGACUGCGGGUUUGAUCUUUAAAAAGCAGGGGGGUUCUAUUGCAAAAGGCGCGGCUGAAAGGGUACGCUUCAUCUGGGGCCGUCAGAUCGCGGAUGGGUGGCUGAGAUUAGAUCGGGGGUCGCUGACUUGGCGAUGUAUGGCACUAGAGAGUGAACCGAUUUCACUGGGGCGUAGAGAAGCUCGAAGCGAACUUACCUAGGACCAAAACGAAGUCGAGGAGCGGCUCGAACGUGCUCGCGACGGAGGAAGGCAGACGGCGAGCCCGUGCAAGGUUCGACGAGGGUGAGCCGUGCACAAAAAACACGAAAUCGCGAACAAAGAGUCUCGGCGACUUCGCAAGAGAGAAACAAAGCUCGGCGAGUCGCUUACGGUGACCAAAACGCGUCGCAAAGGCGGAUUGCUUUCGAGGUAGAUCUCGGCGAUGUUUUCUCGGCAAGAACUAUGCGACGGCCGGCUCUAGGAUUUGGUAGGGGGCUUGGCGAGGAUCUGGGCGAGUAUUUAAAGGGGGCAAACGUGCGGAGCAAGGAUUGCUCGCGCGAAUCGCGCGCGGUGGGUGUGACUCGAGCUCGUGUCCUACCUGGACAUGAGGUAGGGGACGGUCCUGACCUCUGGGUCCCACCUGGCAGCGAAACGGGGCGCGAGACCCGCUCGUCAGUGGCUGCAGCGAGCUGGAGAGCGCGGCUCACGGGCCGAUCCAGCGUGGGCCGAGAAUCUGGGCCGCGCGGGAAAGAAAGAAGAGAGGGGGAGGAAGGAAGCAGGCCGUGGGGGGGGGGGAAAGACUGGGCCGCGGUCCACUGCGCUGGCUGGGCCGAAAUCCAGGGAGAGGGAGGAGGAGAAAAUAAAUACUUUUCCAAUUCUAUUUUCAAACCUUUGCUUAAUUAGUUUUCAAGAAAAUUUGAAAACCUUUUUGAAAUUCAAAACAACCACUCAGACAAAAUAAAAUGCAGCAAUAUGGAUGCUCAGUCAUGUUGCUAAAGCCUAUAAUAAAUUUUAAUUUAAUGAAAAAAUAUUAUUUUCCCUAUGUUUUAUGAGAACAAAAAUGUAUAAUUAAAAACAUUUCUCCUAUUUUGGAAACUUGCAAAUUUUGGGGUGUUACAAUUCUACCCCCCUUAAGAUGAAUCUCGUCCUCGAGAUUCAGUUGGUGCUUACUCCAACAACUGCGGGUAUGUUUUUUUUCUUAGAUCCUCUUCUCUAUUACAAACAGCCUCCUCUUCAGUGCACUGAUUCCACUGGACUUUGUACAUCCUGAAAAUCCAACUCCUGGUCACCCUUUUCUGUUGUUUCCAAAAUUACUUACUAGGUACUCUUGUAUGUGAAAUCCGAUUUAACAGUCAAUUCUUCUAACGAUAUAUGCUCUUAUGACACACACAAGUACUUCUUAAGUUGAGGCAUAUGGAAGACAUCAUACACUCCUUCUGAACUUUCAGGUAGCUCUAUUUGGUAAGCCACUUCGUUCCAUAUUUCCUACAUCUUGAAAGGCCCGACAUAUCUUGGUGCUAACUUUCCUUUCUUAUUGAACCUCCACACACUUCUCUUAGGUGACACCUCCGAAUACACGUAGUUUCCCACUUCAGAUCUAAUCCUUUUCUCAGAUGUCAACAUAACUCUUAUGUCGAGUCUGUGCCACCCUUAAGUUAUCUUUGAUCACUCUCACUUGCUGUUCUGUAUCACUUAGAACUUCUUGCCCAACACUUGUGUUCUCCCGUUUGAUUUCAAAUCAACAGGGUUCUACACUUACAUCCAUACAAGCUUUCAAAAGGCUCCCACUGAAGGCUCCUCUACUAACUAUUGUUCUAAGAAAACUUCGCAUACGGUAAACUCUUUGCACCAUACCGUAAUACACAAGCUCACAACUUAUCUUCUAAGUAAUCUUUGUAGUUCCUCUUGUUCCCGAGUGAGUAAUUAGUAGAGCUCAUUUGACAGUACUAGUGACAUCACUCUAGUUCAACACUCAACUCCUCAAACCUUGGUGUUAUUUGAACUCCUCUAGCACACUUUUUAUGCUUUGAGCAUUCUCAAAGGCUUUUUCUCAUUCAAGUGAUAUCACUUUUCCCAGUCAUAACUCUUGUCUCACUCAAAUCCAUCAAUGAUGUGACCAGCUCAAAUCCAACUUCCUAAAGAUGCCCUUUAGAUUCUUACAUUCUACAUAGAUAUCACUCUUAUAUCCAAGAAGAUACUAUCUCCAUGCUCCACUAUGGAUACCUCCACAUCAUGUGCCAGGUGGUCUAACUCACUUAGUUGACUUAUGCAUAAGCCCUAACAUUUAUUGUUUAGAGCACAUUUAAAGUCUUGAGGGGAUAGAACAACUCUAUUUGUCAAUCUUUAUAACACCUCCAGUGAACCUCUGAUAGAAUUUUAUCAUUCCAAGUCAAUCUCUUAUUCACUCUUAUGUCAAGAUCACAUUGGCCCCAGCAAACCUAUGAUAGCUUCUUGCCAUAUCUAUAAAACUCUAAGUCUCAUUCACUUUCCUUUGGUGGUUUCCAACUCUUGCAUCCUUAAACAUUCUUAAGUCCAUAAUUAAAGAUGGCAUCUCCUAGAUGAGAACUUCCAUUAACUAGAACAUACUAGUCAUGCUCCCUUUAGCAAUAUAGCCUUUUGAGUCUCAGUAGAAUCAAUAGUAGAUGUAGCUUAUCCACUUCCUAAGUUGUCAAGUGACCAAUUUCACUAACUUGAGCUAGGAUAGAUGAUUAUGAUCAUGUGAUAUCUCCAGAGACACUUCUUACUUCAUGGUGAAUUGAAAGGGCAUUAAUCUAUCAUAUCAAGGUACUACCCCCCUUAAGAUGAGAUAGGUCGGGGGACAGUAUGGACUAGCUCUCAUAUUCACAUCAUAUAGUCUUUUAUAAUCACUGUACCAAGUCUCAUGAUCUGGAGUUGGUUUCAUCACUAAGUUCCAACUAUUGGUACCUCUAUCAGAGUUGAAUUGCUUCGCUCUCACAUCCCAUGUAUAACUUUGUAGCCUUUGGUGUCACCUGAUUCUCAUAAGCACCACUUCCAAGCUAUGAGUACUGGCAAUGACCUAUAUCUCCAUCAAUGUUAGUACACUUCAAUGGAACUAUUUCUUGCAUCGAAAACUAAAUUUACCAAACACUUGAGGUCCUUAUCCAUGAUCCAAUGUUAACCAUUACUUCUCCCUGUAACUCCUUUGAUAAGACUACCCCCCUUAGAAAAGGUAAACUAGGGGCUUAAAUGGGUACUUUAGUCCAUCUUUCAAGUGGGUUUCUUGUCAUCAAAUCUUCUAACACCGAAGAGAAACUCAUGUGUACUGAUAUGUACAAGUAAUCUGAAAUUCCUCACGAUAUGAAAUCACCAGCACAGUAAAAUAGGCAUAACUCCUUUUCUGUUAAUACAAUAAGGUCUUAGCUGAUACCGUUAGAAACCUUAUCAAAAUCCCUACAACUUUCAUAUAGAAGGCUUCCUUAGUUUCUGUCUUUAAACCUAGGUAAAAUAGCCAUACAUGAUAUCCAUCCCGACAAUGUCUCAGCAUCGGUACAGCAACUUGCAGAAGUCAUAUCUCGAGUUACUUAGAUCAUAUGGGGACGAGUCUUACAUGGUUGAAAAGCUUAUGAAGUCCUCCACAACUUCUGUAUAUCCCACUUUCCAAAUUCUGAUGUUAAGUUGGCUGAAAAUAGGAACUAACUAGAACUGUCCAGAUUUUGAACUGUGCAGCAAUAGCAAAUUGUAGAGGUCAUAACUAAAGUUCUAUUUAUCCGAUAAAGUUGCAGCUUGCAUCGUUGGAAAGCUUAUCAAAUGACCUAAAACUUUAUUAUAGAACCUUUUCCCAAAUUCCGGAGUUACGUUUGUCCAAAUAAGUAGGCAACUAAAUUGGUCCAGAUUCCUGACAGCUCAAUGGUGCCAAAUUAUGAUUUUCGUAAUACCCAAACCACAAUAGCUAUGAGGGUCGUUCUUGUGGUCAGGGAAGGAUCUUGAAGUCUACUAUCACCUAGAAUUUUCACAUGAUUUUAUGGUCCUCCAAGGAUAUGGAUUUGAACUGAAGAAGAUAAGUUGCUCCCAAAAGACAGGGACAGAGAAACAAGAGAAACUAAAACCCAACUAUUUAUUCACUAGUCCUUAUAUCUUAGACCUAUAAACUAAAUGAAAUUGUGGAGAAACCCACAAGAUCAUUGCACUCAUUACAAAGAUCCGACUCAAACAUAAGCACUAAGACAAACCAACCAAUCAUUAAAGGUUCACAAAGCACACAUAUUUGACUAGACUCAACUUUUGCUACUAACGUUUACUACAAAGGGGGACUUCCUAAUUCUUAAACAUGGUGUGUCUGCAGCGGCAUCCAGGGUAGCAUCUCUUGCAUGGAGUUAGGCGAGGUAUGUCCUCCACCUCAUUGAUCUUAGGUAAUCCACCACGACUUCUCCACUCAUCAAUCUCAUCAAGGGCGUCCUCAUAGUGUUGCGUUACUUCUGCCAAUUCCAGUUGACUAUCUUCUAGCUUUUGAUGCAUGACAUGGAUAGUCAAAGCCAUCACCCUUAGUUGUUCAUUCUGCUCCAAGUAGAGGUCAGCCAUCACACAUUUCGAAGUGCCUGGUGGACGACGAGGAAGAUACUUUUGUUUGCCAUUCUUCCUCUCUUCGUAGUGCUUUCCAUGAUAUGCCAGAAGAGCUUGAUGGGCAGCAUCAGAUAUGCUAGCAUGCUUACUGAAACGGUCACUGAGAGAUGAAUGAAUGGAUUCCACCACGCGUGAACCAGUAAACUCAUUUCACCUUGUGAUGUGUGCUUCUGUGCUCCAGUGGCUCUCAUACUUAGGAUGAGUCCACUUAGUGCACUUAUAUUCCUCCUUGGCUUGCUGUUCAGGAUAGUGGUCUUGUAGUAUACGCACAAGCCGAGGGUGAAAGAAAUCUUCCCCACUAAAGGAUGUGGUAAAGUACUCCUUUCGCCAACAAAUAUGUCUUGAUGGGACAGGAUGAGCUUCUUCAUACUCUGGUUCCGUUAACCCAUAGAUACCCCGAGUUAAGCAUGGUCUUCCAGAGUUGCUGCGAGCAAUCUUCUCGUUACGAACCAUCUACAGAAUUAGAAUGAGAGGAAUUUAGAAUAGAAGCAAUAAUUUUACAACAAAAUUAGAUGGUAGAAGCAUAAGAAUUUUAGCAAAUAGCAAGGGUGAGAUAGUAAGCAUGAAUGUAGUGAAGCAAAGAUGACUAAAACGACCAUUACUAUCUAGCUUGCGUCCUACAGUCAGUAUUGCUCUGAUACCACUUUGAAGCACUCGGUUUUAAGAACAAAACUAGAUACACACCAUAUGUGAGCCCAGGAAGUCAAAUCUCACAUAUAGCCACAAAUAGAGGUAAUAUCAAUAGACAAUGCUUAUAUAUAACGAACUUAGUAUAAAAGAUAUAACCUUAGAUAGCAAACAGCGGAAAGACACUCCGUUCUUCCGGCGAAAGCUCCAAAUCCACAGGGACAACUGACUGGUUGAGCACAAGCCUAAACUCUUCUCCAAACUAGCAAUCUGGUACCCAUCCGGGAUUUUUAUCCAAAUAAAAUGUAAAGGCAAGCGUAAGUACAUCUCGUACUCAACAAGAAUAACAUAGGGUUCAUGAGGCUCAAAGGCUAGACACUUGUUGAACUGCAUGUAGCUUUUACUUGUCACAAUUUUAGCAUAUGAGUAGCAUCAAGUUGUCAAGUCCCAUAGUAAACUCAUGAUCAGGUAAAACGAAUAAAGAAUAGCAUAAACAACAUAUUAACAACAAUAACUUUAAUAAUUUGCCAUUAGUGAUCAUUUAUUCUGUAUUGGUCCAAGGCCGCUCGUGACCAUGAGCACGGCUGAUAUAUCAGUUUUACACUCUAGAGAGGUUGUACACUUUCACUAUGAGUCAUGAUUUACCCUUUCGCCCGAGACCCGACGACCUCUUAGCCCACUACCAAGGAAGACCGGCAGGGUUCACUAUGAAGCCUUUCAAAGGUUCAUCUAACAAGUUAGGGCCGCCUGGUUUCAUUAGUUAGUCCAUGUGAUUCACCCGCAAGAAUCCACGGUCUGCUAUUCUCCAUUUGCGCCACAAGGGUAACCACUAACAAGCUAGAAAAGGUCCUCAUACUGAGCUAAAGCCAGAGCCAUGUAGCCCUCACAGUUGUACUGUAUGUCCCGGAUGGUUAGAUACAGUUAAGUCCUUAUGGAGAGAAACUAGAGCACCAUAGGAUAGCCCAAUGCUCCAGCCCUCUUUACCAAAGUUGCUAAAAAGUAAUCUUUUAAUGUUUAUUGCAUAUUCCAUUAAUCAAAUUACAAGAUCAUGGUUUAGUGGAGCACUAGCAUAAGCUACCCAAUGCAAAACCAUAGGUGACAAGGUAUAAGAUCAAUACUAGGAAAUCUUUAUCAAGGAGACACAUGCAAUAUGAAUUGUGUGAUUAAAGUUAUUAGGAAACAAGGAUGAUCCCAUGCUAUACUUGCCUUGAAACUUAGAUCCUUCUUUUAGUUCCAAACCUUCCACAAUCUGCUUCUUGAACACCACGUAAAAGCUCACCGACUAAACUCAGUAAUCACAUCAUCAACAAUCAUCUAGAGGCAAUCAUACAAAGCAAACAAACCUAUAAUUAGAACAAUACACCAAUAGUAGAAAAUAAAGAUAAAAAGUUUAUAAAACAAAUCUACAUCGCACUACGAUCACACAGACGUAAAGAUCACGAAAAUUGGAGCUAUAACGAAGAAGUUAUGAUUUUCCUAAAAUUUUCUUUAGAAAAGUAAUUAAUUAAAUAUGAUCACAAAAAUAAAAAGUUACAAACUUGUAAAACAAUGAGACUAACCUGUAGAUCUCGUGAUUACGAAUCUAACGCAAUUUGAAUGGAUCAAAUCAGAGUUAAAACAUAGCUUUUAUGAGCAAAACAAGAGCAAUGGCAUAACUGUAAUUUUGAGAAAACGUAUUUUGAAUCUGAGCGGACGGGAAUACGCUUUCGGAGUUAGGAAACGUAUUCUGGAAAUCCGCAAAGGACUGCGGGUUUGAUCUUUAAAAAUCAGGGGAGUUCUUUUGCAAAAGGCGCGGCCGAAAGGGUACGCUUCAUCUGGGACCGUCAGAUCGCGGAUGGGUGGCUGAGAUUAGAUCGGGGGUGGGGGGAGUGGACAGCCGGCCGGAGUUGGAGGGGAUCACGGUGGUGCCAUGGCCGGACUUGGCCGGUGCUCACUGACUUGGCGAUGUAGGGCACUAGAAAGCGAACCGAUUUCACUGGGACGUAGAGAAGCUCGAAGCGAACUUACCUAUGACCAAAAUGAAGUCGAGGAGCGGCUCGGACGUGCUCGCGACGGAGGAAGGCGGACGGCGAGCCCCUGCAAGGUUCGGCGAGGGUGAGACGUGUACAGAAAACACGAAAUCGCGAACAAAGAGUCUCGGCGACUUCGCAAGAGAGAAACGAAGCUCGGCGAGUCGCUUACGGUGACCAAAACGUGUCGCAAAGGCGGAUUGCUUUCGAGGUGGAUCUCGGCGACGUUUUCUCGGUGAGAACUAUGCGACGGCCGGCUCUGGGAUUUGGUAGGGGGCUUUGCGAGGAUCGGGGCGAGUAUUUAAAGGGGGCAAACGUGCGGAGCAAGGAUUGCUCGCGCGAAUCGCGCGCCGUGGGUGCGACUCGAGCUCGUUUCCUACCCGGACAUGAGGUAGGGGACGGUCCUGACCUCUGCGUCCCACGUGGCAGUGAAACGGGGCGCGGGACCCGCUUGUCAGCAGCGGCAGCGAGGUGGAGAGCGCAGCUCACGGGCCGAUCCAGCGUGGGCCGAGAAUCUGGGUGGCGCGGGAAAGAAAGAAGAGAAGGGGAGGAAGGAAGCAGGCCGUGGGGGGGGGGGGAAAGACUGGGCCGCGAUCCACUGCGCUGGCUGGGCCGAAAUCCAGGGAGAGGGAGGAGGAGAAAAUAAAUACUUUUCCAAUUCUAUUUUCAAACCUUUGCUUAAUUAGUUUUCAAGAAAAUUUGAAAACCUUUUUGAAAUUCAAAACAACCACUCAGACAAAAUAAAAUGCAGCAGCAUGGAUGCUCAGUCAUGUUGCUAAACCCUAUAAUAAAUUUUAAUUUAAUGAAAAAAAUUAUUUUCCCUAUGUUUUAUGAGCACAAAAAUGUAUAAUUAAAAACAUUUCUCCUAUUUUAGAAACUUGCAAAUUUUGGAGUGUUACAAGGUCCUACAUCACAUAGCAUAGAGGAAAGGAGCAUCAGCAAGCAUGAAGCAGAAGGAAGAUGUGCUCCAAAUUCCCAAGAACACAAUAUUGAAGAAUAGACAGAAAAAAGUGUGUGGGUAAGAUCAUGUAACCCUGUUGUUUCCAUGAGGUAGAAAUAGUGUACAUAGUAUUUUAAAGUUGGAAAUGCAGAUGAUUAGUUAUUGUACUUUGAAAUAUGUAAAUUUAAGAGUAAGGAAAAGCUGAAGUUUAUUACCUGACCGAACAUGUGUAAGCAUGUCUAGAUACAUGUGCUGGUUGUCUAACACUGAAAAAUAGAAAUAAUGUAGGAAAUAAAAUACGACAAUGCUUUUAGAUUUGCAGCUGUUUAAUGAAGAUAUGUAAGCAUGUGUACAUACAUGUGUUGGUUGGCUGACACUGACAAAUAGAAAUAAUCUAAGAAAUAAAAUACGAUAAUGCUUUUAGAUUUGCAACUAUUUAAUCAGCAUUAGACUGCAAAUAUUACCCAGGUGAGAAAUUCUGCAGGAGUCAUGUUUAGACAAUUUGAGCAGAACCUCUAAAGAACCCUACAUCCUCAAGCACAAGCAUCAUUUAUCAGUGAAAGGAAUUUCCAAAACAUUACGAAGGUACAAAUGAAGCCAAAAAUGUUAAAGGCCAGCAUCACCUAGAGAGCACGGACAUAGCAGAGGGGCAUAGAAGGCAAGCAAACCACAGUGCACUGUGUUACAUCGGGUUGGACUAUGGCCAACCACCCAUGCUGGCGUGUCGGCCGAUUUGGAGCCGAGGUCUGAACUAUGCCGGUAUGUUACCCACACCAGGGUCGCUGCCACCUACGGCGGUGCAAAACCCUAGGUCACCUCAUCGCCACCGCCACCGCCGCCACGUUGGGGGCCCGCUGUCGCUCCGUACGUCACGCGUGGGGGUGUGGAGGAGAACAAGGGCCGCGGUCAUCGUGCCGAGUGGCCGCCAUUGUGGAGGUCCACUUGUGCCACCGCCCUGUCUGCAUCGGAAGGGAUGGGGAGAGAGAGAGAGAACGGAAGGGACGAGACUGCCGAGACUUAUACGCUCAGUGGACGGAGAAGGAGGGGGCUAGCGCUGCGCUGGGUUGGGGCGUCGUCGUGCCGUCGCCCCUGCCUCGGCCGCGCCGCCCGUGGGGCACUGUCGUCUCGUCGCCUCCACCUCGGGCUCGAGAGAGAGGAUGGGGAGGUCGUGCUAUUUUUUUAUGAGGAGUGGGGAGAGCGCUAGAUGUUUUUGUGGAGGCCGACGUGGGCUGCUCUUAGCCACACAAAGGGUAUCAGCCAAUCAGGCUAAGAUGGACCAAUGGGAGGGGGAGGAGGUGAGGUGGCUCUGAGGUGCACCAAUGGCAGAUUUGAGGAGACGUGGCUGGGGUGGCGACACGGGGAGCAACUUAGAACUGUUAAGGUAAAUUAGUCCAAAGAUUUUAGAAAUAAAAAUAAGAAAUUCGCAAGAUAAUAGAAGUGUAGUAGUUUCGAAAUUUAUACUAUACAAUCUGCAGUAAUUGAAAACUAUCUUGAAUUAUUUACAAGCUAGUAGCAUGGAAAAACUAACCCUUUCAUGAAGUCCACAAUAUUAGCAAGGCAAAAUUGUAUCCAAAUCAAGUUGGAUGGUCAAAGUUGCAGAACAAGAUUCAGGGCCAAAUGAACACCCUCCUUAGAAUUUGCAACAUCUAAGUUGUCUGCUAUUUGGCUAAAUCAAAUUGAACAAACAUUGACGAUGUUGCUUAUCUCCUUGCAGUGACAAGAAAGAGGGGACAAAGGGGAAGCAAAAACAAACCUUAGAGGAACUCAUAGCGGUGCUUAUCUCGUCCUAGGGUUUAUUCUUUUGAGUUUUAAGGUGUCUGCAACAUAAUUUAAGGAAAGGUCCAAUAUCAUUAGUUUGUUUCCAAUCAGAGAAUUGGGAACAUAAAUUGAAGAUGAUGAAAUCAAGUUCGACAGAUCUUCAAGAAUAUCUUGUAUUGUGUGCUGCCUUAAAUUUUGUUUUAUAGGAAAAAGAAAGUUGUUCAUGUACCUCAAGAGCACUAAAGUUUGCAUAUAUAGGUAUUGAAGGGAAUAAAGAAUUAAAGAAAACCCAGAUUACCUUGGUCCAGUAGUGGUUACACAAGAGGAAUCUGCAAAUCACCAAACCACAUCUAGAAAAAUAUAAGGAUACACUGACAUAGUUCAAUUUGAAGCAUAGAUCAUUGCAAAGAUCUAACAAAUAAAAUUAAGAUCUUUUGUAGACAAUAGAAGCAUAAUAGCUGCAAAGUUAGACUGUAAACCUACAGUAAAUGAAAAAUAAAUAUAAUCUCCAAUUAAAACUAUUGGCAAGCCGGUAGCAUGGAAAAGUUAACCCUCAAGACCCCAAAACAUUAGCAAGGCAAAUUGAUAUUCAGAGCAAGUUGAAUGGUUGAAGCUACAACAAUUAGGUAUAAGUAUAAAUUGCUUUGUGCCUCUAUUUACCAUACAUAGGGAGAACGUAUAGUAUGCACAAAAGAAAUUGUUGGCAUCUCUUGGAUGAAGAUAGAAACUGAAGGUUUUGCAUGGUACUGAAAUUAUGAACAUAUCCAUUUUAUUGUGAUUGCUGCACAAACCAAUGUACCACAGACCAGCGACUUUCAGCUGUCUCCAUAACACCCAAAAUUAAUCUCAUGCAUACCGAAGGAAAAUAUGGCAAUAGGCUCGUCCAAAUUACAUACCAAAUAAAUAUACAACCUACUGGUCUGAAGAGAACACUGUGAUUAUUGAUGCAACCACAAGACUGGAUAGAAAAGGAUGAACAAUGUUUCUUCUUAUGAAGCAACAGGCAAGCAUCAUCGAUGGUGCUAAAAAUGUGAACGGAAACAUUAAUUGUGCCAAAUUAAAAGCAAGUACAGCACAAGAAAGCACAAAAUUGAUGCCCAAAAACUCAAAGAAAUAGGAGAGGCAAAAGUGACCGUACACAACCAAAGUGUAUGGCAAUGUAAUCCUCGGAAAUAGGGCAUGUGCUCAGAAAUGAUAGUAUAUAAUUUGGCGUCACAUGUAAUGAUCAUAGAUAAUGAACACGCAAAGGGCAAAUCAUUAUAGGUAAUUGCAUGAAAACCACGGAUCUCAUAAGUAAGAGUGAAUCCAGCCGCAUAGUAUGUGACUAAAUACACAAUAAGCUGUAGCUCUCAUUGGUGCAUUAAAACUGCACAAAAUAGAACAGCCAGGAAUGAAUACAAGGAAACAGAAUCAUCCAAUUGACCAUUGCCUAAUGUAUUAUGGGACAAGCACAAGAAACAAAAACAUAAUUUCAGGUCCAAUCAUCAUAGCAGUAGCCCAUUCCCUUAAUUUUGAACGCAACAACAAUACGAAACUGUACUCAUCACUACACAUGACUGGAAUGCAAACAAUAAACAUAAGAACACCAGCGCUACAGUGGUGUCACACAAAUGUCACUGAUACGCUCAUGUGCUCAGAUCUUGGUCGUAAUACCUCUCUGCUCUCAUAUCCAACGAAAUUGAGCAGCUCACGACCUACAGAACAAGAAUCUGCAAUAACCAUGUAGAUCGACAAGAGAAAAGGAGAACACCAUAUCUACGACAAAAUGGAGCCCUCGUUCAUGCAUAUGGCACAUCUGGAGAGAGGGGAGGGAAAGAGAGGGGAGGGAAGGAGAGGGGAGGGGAGUAAACCAGUGAGCGGACAGAUCGAGGGAGAGCAAAGCCGCGCCGACUGUCUCCAAAGAGCUCACAUAGAGGGGGUAGGCGGCCAUGGCGCCGGCCAUGGCUGCCCGUGCCACGCCGCCGCGCAGGGCCGUGCGUGUCGGUCGCGCCACACCGUGCCGCGGGGCUCGCCCGCGCAGUGGUGGGGGAAAGGGAGGGACGCUGUCGCCUCGUGCACGUCGCCGCGACUGCCUGCAAGGAGCUCGCACAGAGGGGGAGGGCAGCCGUGCCCGCCAGCAAUGGCCGCCCAUGAAAGGUCCUUGUUUGGUUUUGGUAAUUGAGUGACAACUUAGGUGGACUAAUAGUGUUUAUGUGAGAUACACAGGAGAUUAGUCCACAGGUGAAGAUGUGAUGAUGGAGGAGCUCAUUGCAUAUGAGACAUGACAUGGAGUCAUGUGACCAAGGUGGAGAAGAUCAAGAUGAGGCUUGGCUCGAUGGACCGGUUGCAAGAGUGAAGGGCCAGUCAGAGGCUUUGAAGCGAGGGACCGCGUGUGACGGUGAAGCUUGAGCAAGACUUGACGCCGAUGGACCGAGGCAAUGGUGAAGAGCAAGUGAGGUCAAGAUCGAUGAAACAAUACGGUCACGUGAUGAUAUGAAGUGGAUCAUAUCUUUUGGUGAUUGGUUGGUGCAUGUGUUGCAUCAACAUUGGAGGAGAUGGAAUGGAAAGCGCAAGGCAAAGGUAUAACCUAGGGCAUUUCCAUUUCACCGGUCAUAGGUGUGUAGAGAAGUUUACGACCGGAUUUAGGAUAGAUGGCCGUACUAUCAAGAGGGGCAAACUUGUUUGCAUAUGGGUCAUCUAGUGCCACUUGAGCGAUCUAACUUUGCAUACGUGUUAGGAUCGAGUGGCGUGGUAAGUUUGAGAGGCUAACUCAUUUGGGAAAAUAUUUGUGAAAAUGCUAACACACAUGCACAUGGUGGUGUACACUUGGUGGUAUUUGGCGCUUUUGAGAAAAUUAAGUGCAUAUUUUCUAUUGCGCCGGUGGGAAUUUUGGAGAAGUCGCGGGAGUGUUUCUCAGUAGGAAACACUCACGGACGCUCUGCGCGGAGGCACCGGACGCUGGCCUUUAGCGUCCGGUGUGCAGUCGGGUGCAGCAAAGUGCACCGGACGCACCGGAGAGAGUCCGGUGCUCAGCGUCCGGUGUGUGAGCUGUUUGGCGACCCUAUCUGCGCAUGAGUCCGGUGAGCUUGCGAGUUUGCGAAGCUCUCUGCGCACGGGUCCGGUGUGCAUCGGACGCGUCCGGUGUGGACUAGUUGAGUGUCCGGUGGUGCUGUGUCAGGCGCGGGCGCGUGGAAGCCGUUGGCGGUAACGGUCGAGUUCAAACGGCUAGUGACACGUGGCCGACGCCUGAGCACCGGACGCUGGGGUCGAGCGUCCGGUGGCUCCCUGUGAGCGUCCGGUGCCCACGUGUUUUGCCCAGUGAAGGGGCAACGGCUAGUUUAGCCCUUGGGGCUAUAAAUAGAAGUGGUGGCCAGCCUUGGCUGGUGCUGAGCACCCUUGGGACUUAGUGUCCACGCUUGGGGAGUGCUAGGAAAGCCUCUAACACACUUGUUCUUGCAAGAGUGCGAAUCAAUAGCGAGUGAGUGAUUCCAGUGCGUUGCAUUGAGAGAUUGCAUCGAGUGGCACUAGGUGUUCGUGUUGCAAGCCAGGGGUGCUUGUUACUCUUGGAGGUUGCCACCUCCUAGAUGGCUUGGUGGCUUGUGACUCCGUCGAAGCACGCAAGGAGAUUGUGUGGUGCUCCGGAGAAGAGAUUGUGAGGGGUACGGUGCUCACCCCGUGGGGAUCGUGAAGAGCAACUCUAGUUGAGCGAGACGUGAAGAGCAACAAGUGGUCCGGCCGGGUCAAGUGCUAGAGCUUGUGGUAAGCACUCCACAUGGGAGAGUGUGACUUGCGGGUCACCACUAGCAAGAGGACCGGCGACAACCUUGGAGCUUGUCUCAACGGGGACGUAGCUUGGUGGCAACCAAGUGAACCUUGGGAGAAAAUCAUCGUGUCAACAUUGUUCUUCCCGUUGGUUUGCAAGUCCCUAACACAAGCUUGUUCUUACUUUCAUAUAUUUGUGCUUGUGUAGUUGCUCUUGUAAUUAGUUAGCUUGUGUAGCUUGCUAGUUACCUUCUUGCUUGUGUAGCUAGAAGUAGUUCCCUUGCGUGACUAAUUUGGUUUGUGUAAUCUUGUUAGUCACAUUGCUUAGUUUUUGUAGCUAAGUAAGUUGUGCUCUCUAAUUUGGCAUUAGUUGCCUUGUUAUUGAGCUUGCUAGUGAGAUUAGGCUUUGUGCGCUUUGCCUCACUAGUUUGAGUAGGAGCUCCCCCGGUUUGCAAAGUACUAGUUGCAUAGGUUUGUGUGACCUUGCUCCUAGAAUUGGUUAGGUGAGCUCUUGCUAAGGUAGCACCUUGCUUGCUUGUUUAGGAUCUUUUCAAGGUGCUAGAGAACAUAGAUAGAGGGGUGUAGUCUUGGCUAGACCGAUAGUUUUAAUUCCACAUUUGUUUCGGUUAGCCGGCGUAAUAAUUUUUAGAAAGGACUAUUCACCCCCCCUCUAGUCCGCCAUCUCGACCCUUCAAGUGGUAUCGGAGCUAGGUCUCUCAUUUGUGGUCUUCACCGACCCGAGAGGAUGGCGGCUUAUGGGCUAGAUGAUUGUGAGACACACAUUUUUGAUGGUACAAACUUUGCACUUUGGAAAAAUCACAUGCUUGAUCAUUUUCGUGCAAAGGGACCUAAAUUUUGGUGGAUUGUCACUAAUGGUCUCACACACAACUUGGACCAUAAGAAUUUCACCAAAGCUCAAAAGGUUCUCUUUGAACUUGAUUGUGAAGCUUAUUGUUAUCUAAUGAAAUCUUUGAGCUUUGAGUUGUUUGAUAGGAUAAACUCGAAAGGAACCGCAUAUGAAAUGUGGGAGUCUAUCAAACACACCUUCGGUGAUUCCUCCACAUGGGAUGAUGACAAGUUCAAAAAGGAGGUGUUGGUGCAAAAGCUGGUCUGCAAACACAAAGGGCUAAUACCCGAUUUCAAACGUUAAGGCGUGCCAGCCGAUUUGACCUUACUAUCGGCAAAGGUGAUAACUCGAAUACUUUAGUCCUGACAACAGCGAUGCGCCCGGAUGUCACGGCUAAGAGGUACUCACGCGGAACUUGAGAACACACCGAGCUUGAGUCGACGAAUUCCUAAGAACUCGUAAUGAAAAGGGAAAAAAGUAUGACGAAGUCGUCGAAAAAGUAGAUGCUGGAAUAUGAGUAAAAACGUGUGUUUGAUUGAUUGAUAGAUAGAUCAUUAUAAGGUCCUAGGGUCUAUAUUUAUACCCUGCUCAAAGAGCUACAACCAUUCACGAUUAGAAUUCGAAUUUCAAAUUACACGGAAUCCGUAUACAAAAUGAUGUAAAUAAUUAAGGAAAUAACAAAACUAUCUCCCGUGACAAACUGAACUCCUCAACAAACCGAUCGGCAGCUUAGUCACUGUCUGUAGACUUAGUCACGUUCAAUUUCUCCCCCAUCGGCAACCAUCCUCAUCGGAACUCAUCUUGUAAACAAAACACUGCCAUUUCAUCCUGCCAUCCUGGACACGUGCCCAAAAACGAUGUCAACACAUGCCCCCCAAUUUUGGAGUAUGAAAUCAUUAAUGCUCCGAAAUUCUCUGCAGUAAUGAUGCCUUUUCCCGCAAUUAAUGCUCCCAAUCUGGUAACCGACAACCUCAAUCUGAACAACUCUGAUCCUAUUCUUCUGCGGAUUCCUCGAAACCCUCAACUUCCUAAACGGGCAUUUCCUUCUCAACCGUACAUCGGCAAUAUUACCGUUACGAAGAUCUGCCGAUGUACUGAUCAGGACGUUUGUACAAACGGCUACCUUCACUUCAUUCGCCCACCGGCAAUAUGACCGUUACAGAGCAUUGCCGAUGGACCGACCAGGAAAUCUCGCACAGUAAAAUAUCUUCAGAUAAUGACCGCUUCCCGUCAAAUCACCUGCACAAUCCCUUGAUUACCGUGCAAACAGUUACCAUAUCUACCUGAGCACCCUCGGAUUUCUCGGAUGCGGCAAAGUGAUAAGUCAGAUUUGCCCUUGCCCAUUUUGUCUGAUAAAUAGUUCCUUCUCGGGUACUCCUUCCCCAUCACAUCAUUCCACCAUCCCAACUUUACUUUUCCAGCGGCGGCGCCAUUCAACGUCUCCAAGACCUCCGGCAAAAACUCUUCCUCACCAACCCGAAGCCCCCAGGCAUCCUCCUCGUCGCAAGAUGGCUAUUAGCUUCAUCGUCCCUGAGGUCAAUUCUUCAUUCCAUCCCCUGUUCUUUUCUUCGCAUCCCUGUUCAUCCGCAAUCCAUUUUACUGAACAUUUUCUUUUCUUUUCUUUGUGUUCUUUUUCUUUAUUUCAAAAACCACCAGGAAUUGUCUAACAAAAUCGUCAUCCCCACCGAUCAACCACACCUCCAAUGCCUCGGCCCUCUAGGGGAUCCAGAUCCAACCGAUCUCAUUAACGCAGAAACCAAUAGGAUCCCUUUCAGAGCCGAAAAUUUUUCUUUAGAUCUGUGAAAAGACACCUUCCACUCUUGGCCCAGUCCUACCGUAGGGUGGAAAGACUGGUUCUUGAGAGUCAGCAACUCCAAUGAAGUCCAGUGGGGUGAGAGAAAACUAGAUCAAUGCAUUAGGUUGUCCAUUGCCGAUAUGCACAGGAAUGAGUCACUGUUGAUAGCUGCAUCUUACUUUUGGUCAGACACCCUCAAUGCUUUUGUCUUUGGCCACGGCCCUGCUUCUCCUACUCUUGCCGAUGUAGCCAUGCUCACCGGUCUAGAUGUAUCUUCUGCCGAUAGCACCCACCUUUUUGACACAGCUCCUAGUGCCAAAGUAGAGACUCGCGCUAUCGGCGGCUGGUCAGGGUACAUUCAGAAGUAUCAUGGGAAGGGACCUGUCAGCAUAAAGGAACAAACCACCUUUCUGAAUAUGUGGCUCGACAAGUUUGUGUUCUGUUGUCGAUCGGCAGGACCGACUUCCGUCUAUCUAUCGGCAGCAGAGAGACUGGCUAACGGUGGUCGAUUCCCUCCCGGCCGAUACUUGCUUGGUGCCGUUUACCAUCUUCUCCAUCAGGUGGCCAAGAAACUCCUGCUCGGCCAGUCUACUGGCAACUUAGGUGGCCCUUGGUGGUUCAUUAACAUGUGGCUUAAUCUGCAUCUGCACAAGCGCCUCAACUUCAACCUGUUCACACAGCGUUUCCCAAGAGAUAUAACUGAAAAUCAUGUGCUGGGUGAAGAGGAAUCGGCAACACGCGCUCCCUUGAACUUUGACGAAGCUGUCAUAGUUCUACCUGGUUCAGGGGGUAAUCCAGAUCAGAUCGGCCGAUUCUUCCAGACUCUGUAUGAGGGCUUGGCCAGAGAUGAACGACCGUGGUUGGCCUAUGAUGACCCAGACAGUAUGCUCCCCCUGGUUUUCAAUCCAUUUGAUGACGCUCUUGACAGGGAUAAUGAGGUGAUGAUGGCAAUUGUGACUCCUAGAGCCAUACCAGUGAAUUUCUUUGGUAGCACAAAAACCUCUCCCCAGACUUAUGAAUUUUACAACCCAUCGGCAUUAGCUCGUCAAUUAGCUUUCGGCCAGUUGCCGAUUGCGCUCUGUUAUGCCGAUGUGAUAAAACCCAGAGAGCCCGUCAGCAACUUUCUUAAGUGGAUUCGAGUAGCCCAACUACCACCGAAUGCCGAUACAGAUGCAGAUUUGUCAGAGUGGGUUCCAGCCGCUUUCAUCACUCAGGCGUACAAACUAUGGUGGGCAGAAUGGAAGGAGCAUCUAUUCUGCAAAUCAGCCCUUUCGUAUCGCGGCAUGAUUGAUCCCGAGUACAAAGUCCCUGACGACGCUGUAAGUAUUCCAAACCGAUGUUCCAAUUCCUUUGUAUACCUUUUGCAGGUUGACAACAUCCCCCCAUCGGAUAGCAGAAGUGGUAAGCCGAUUGACCUGUUUCCAUCAGGCCCGAUCUCCUCAUUCGGCCACAAUGCUCCCACUCUGGCUACCAUCGUGCAUCGGGGUGUGCGCCUUAAGAAAGUCACCACCAGGAGAACUCAGACAUUACCAACGGUAGCUGCUUCCACUCUGGCGCAGGCUUUCAAGGCAAUUUCCCAAACCUUUUUUAUUCACACUGAUCACCUUUAUAUCGGCUACAUUUGUACUCAUAAACUCCUUUUUGUUGUUGUAGCAAACCGGUGCAUCGGCAAAAGCCAAACGCCAAGGUGCCGAUGCCCCCCAGUCUAGUCAGCCAAAGAGGAAGGGCGCCAAGGGUACCAAGGCUGGAACAAAGCGCCAGAAAGUGGCAACUCCCCCUCCUCCUCCGGUAUCUCCAAUUCCGGUGGAGUCUUCCCCUUCUUCUCAAGAAGCCUAGACGCAGCAAGCACCAUCUCCCCAACCAAUGCAGGAAGCACCACAGAUGGAAGAACUCCAGCAAGAAGAACCUCAGUUAGAAGCACCCCAACCAGAAGACACGCCGGCCGAUGUAGGCGAUCAAACUACCGAUCCAGCAGGUUCAAUCAUACUAUCGGUAGUUUCUUCAGUUCAGACAAGUAUCAUCCCUCCUCAGGGUAACGUACUCCCUACAAUAUUACUGCCGACGAGCUUCUCCUUUUCGAUCUUAUAACCCCUCCUGUUAACUUUUAGUUGACGUAGUUCCAUCGGCAACUCUGGCCGACCAACCUGUGGUCCCAUCGGCAUCUUUCAGCCAAAGGCGAGAGAUUGCCUUGAAGCAAGUAAGUCAUCCAAUCUUCCACUUGUAUCAUUUGCCGAUGCUUUGACCAUAAAAAUGACUCAUUUUAUCUUCUCUCUCAGGAACAAGACUCUCCCGACAGCUUAUUCUCCUUCGCCAUUGAUAUCUCCGAAGAGGAAGGUGAGGAAGCAAGUUCCUCCCGGGCAGCUGGGAUUGUAUCGGCAGAGACCAGGGCUAAGCUGGAAGAACUAUCGGCUAUCCUUCAUCAAGACACAGCUCAACUGGUUAAUGAUUCCGACCCGGCCAAGGUUCUGUUCAAGACCCUCAGAGGCCAGAUCCCUAUCGAUGCUGAAGAAACCCUCUUCCAAGCCACACAUCUAGAAAGUCGCCAGCUGCAAUACCAGAGAGCCACUCGGCGCCUUGCCGAUAGAGCUGCUCAGACCCAGCUCUCUGAGGAGAUGAUGAAAGAGAAACUCUUAGCCGAUGAGAAGCACAAGAACAUUGACACCUUGAAGUCCUCAGGCGAUGCAUUGAAGCAGAAGAUAUCUGACCUAUCGGCAAAAAGGGAAUCCCUGUUGGCAGAACUCAAGCAAGUGGAGGAUGCCUUAUCCCGAGCCCAGCAAGAAGAAAGUCAACUACCGGAGACCAUCAAGCACCUCGAGCAAGAGCGAAAUGCCCACGGUCGCAAAGCGCUGCAGUUGAAGAUGAUGAUGCCAAAGAGAUAGAACAAGCCAACCAAAUCCGGCUGCGCGCCAUAUCGGCGAUCCAGGCGCUGCUGAACAUCUGAAGCUUUCAUCGGCAACACGUCUUCGCUCUUCUGCAUUUCAGCUUUCUUAAUGUCUUAGUCUAGCCGAUAGGACUGUUAUCGGCAUCUUUUGAAAUGUUAAGUCUGGCCCCAGAUACAUUUUAAUCCAGCCGAUAGGAGUGUUAUCAGCGCUUAAACUUCUAUGCAUCGAUCCAUAUGCUGGGGUAGUACUUCUUUAAAUAUUUGCCAUUUAAUGCUCUGGGAAAUUCAACUCCUUCGAGAGUUUCUAAAAUAUAGGCAUUUCCAGGAGCCGAUCGACUUAUCCGAUAAGGACCUUCCCAAUUAGGAGACCACUUUCCAAACUUCGAACUUUUGGUCCCGAUCGGUAAAAUUAAUUUCCAUACCAAGUCUCCAUCGGCAAACUCCUUAGCCUUUACUUUCUUGUCAUACCAUCUAGCAACUCUCUUCUUAUUUUCUUCUAUACUCAUUAAAACCUUUAACCGAUGUCCUGCUAGAUCGUCUAACUCAUCGGUCAUCAAAGUGGCAUAAUUAUCGGCAGCCAAUUGAUCUUGAAAAGAUAAUCGCCUAGAUCCAGCCUUAAUUUCCCAAGGCAACACUACAUGAUGUCCAUACACCAAUUGAUAGGGUGACACCUUGGUUGAUCCAUGACAAGUCAUCCGAUAGGACCACAAUGCUUCAUUUAAUAAUGUAUGCCACCGCUUAGGAUUUUCUUCAAUCUUUCGUUUGAUAAGCUUGAUAAUUCCUUUGUUAGACGCCUCGGCCUGCCCAUUGGCUUGAGCAUAAUAAGGAGAAGAAUUCAACACUUUAAUCCCCAUACCGACUACAAAUUCAUCAAACUCCCCCGAUGUAAACAUAGUGCCCUGAUCGGUAGUAAUUGUUUGAGGAAUCCCAAAUCGGUAAAUGAUAUGCUCCUUCACAAAAUCAAUCAUGUUGGCUGAUGUGACUCUCUUCAAAGGAAUAGCUUCGACCCACUUAGUGAAAUAAUCAGUGGCAACCAGAAUAAACUUAUGCCCUUUGCUAGAUGGUGGAUAAAUCUGGCCGAUCAGAUCAAUAGCCCAUCCUCGGAACGGCCAAGGCUUUAUGAUAGGAUUCAUAGCCGAUGCAGGUGCCCUUUGAAUAUUACCAAACUUUUGACACCCUUGACACCCUUUGAAAUACUUAAAGCAAUCCUCAAGUAUAGUCGGCCAAUAAUAUCCAUUCCUUAUAAUCAUCCACUUCACCUUAAAAGCCGACUGAUGUGCUCCACACACUCCUUCAUGAAUUUCUCCCAUCAAACUCCUAGCUUCAUCAUCACCUAAGCAUCGGAGAAGAAUUCCAUCAAGAGUUCGAUAGUACAAUUCAUCUUCGAGGAGCACAUACUUGGUUGCUUGAAAUCGAACUCGUCUUUCAACUUUCUUGGAUGGAUCUUUCAAAUAAUCAAUAAUUUCUUUCCUCCAAUCAUCGGCACCGAUUGCCGAUAUUGCAUUAAUCAUAGGCUGAUAUCCCGAGGCAUGCUGAGCUAACCGAUUGGCCUCUUCAUUAUGCAAUCGAGGAACAUGCUCUAAUCGGAAAUCUUUGAAUUCCUUUAACAGUUGCAUGCUCUUCUCGAAAUAAGUUAUGAGAACUUCACUUCGGCAUUCAUAGCUCCCGGCCAAUUGAUUUAUAACCAACAUAGAAUCCCCGAAGACUUCAACAGCGUCAGCACGAACUUCCCUUAACAACUCUAUUCCUUUUAUCAAAGCCUGAUAUUCAGCCUGAUUAUUUGUUGACGUAGCAACAAUUGGCAAGGAAAAUUCAUACUUCCUUCCCAUAGGAGAAACUAACACUAUGCCGAUUCCUGCCCCCCGGUCACAUGUAGAUCCAUCAAAGAAGAGUGUCCAAGGCACAAUUUCCACAGCCUCCAACGUGCCACAAUGUUGGGUCACAAAAUCGGCCAUAACCUGCCCUUUAACUGCCUUAGUCGAUUCAUAACGCAGAUCGAACUCCGACAACGCCAAAAUCCAUUUACCGAUCCUGCCACUCAUAAUCGGCAUAGAUAGCAUGUACCGGACCACAUCAUCUUUGCAAACAACAGUGCAUUCGGCCGAUAACAAGUAGUGCCUUAACUUGAUACACGAAAAAUAUAAGCAUAGGCAAAGUUUCUCAAUGGCCGAAUACCUGGUCUCAGCAUCAAUCAACCUCCUGCUUAAGUAAUAAAUUAUGCGCUCUUUCCCUUCAAAUUCUUGAAUCAAAGCUGAACCGAUAACCACCCCAUCGGUAGACAAAUACAAUCUGAAGGGCUUUCCUUGCUGAGGUGGAACUAGAACUGGAGGAUUCACUAGAUACUUCUUAAUUUCAUCCGGAGCCAACUGUUGCUCUUUCCCCCAAAUAAAUUCUUGAUCGGCUUUUAGCUUAAGAAGAGGACUGAAAGCACGAAUUUUACCAGACAAAUUAGAUAUAAAUCUCCUGAUAAAAUUUACCUUGCCGAUCAAGGACUGGAGCUCAGUUUUGUUGGUAGGGGCCACUAUCUUAUUGAUGGCGUCAAUAGAUCUUCGACUGAUUUCAAUCCCCCUUCGAUGUACCAUGAAACCAAGAAACUGCCCUGCCGAUACACCAAAUGCGCACUUAUUGGGAUUCAUUUUCAAUCCAUGCUUCCUUGUGCACUCUAACACCUUUCGUAGAUCGCCAAGAUGCUUUGUGAAAUCCCCACACUUAACCACCACAUCAUCAAUAUAAAUCUCCACCAGCUUGCCGAUGAACUCAUGAAAUAUAAAAUUCAUAGCCCUUUGAUAAGUAGCACCAGCAUUCUUGAGGACAAAAGUCAUGACUAUCCAUUCAAAUAACCCAACAUGACAAGGACACCUAAAUGCGGUUUUUGGAAUAUCUUCCUCUGCCAUGAAUAUUUGAUUGUAUCCCGCAUUGCCAUCCAUAAAGCUAAUGAUCCGAUGACCAGCCGCGGCGUCAACCAGCAGAUCGGCAACAAGCAUCGGGUAUCCAUCCAUCGGCGUAGCUUUAUUGAGAUUCCUGAAAUCAAUGCACACCCGAAGCUUCCCGUUUUUCUUGUAAACCGGAACGACAUUGGAAAUCCAUUCGGCAUACCGACACUGCCGAAUAAACUUAGCUUCAAUAAGUUUAGUGAUUUCGGCCUUAAUAUCAGGUAGAAUAUUAUGAUUACAUCGGCGAGCUGGCUGCUGAUGUGGCCGAAAUCCAAACUUGAUGGGUAACCGAUGUUCAACAAUUGAUCGGUCUAAACCAGGCAUCUCGGUAUAAUCCCAGGCAAAGCAAUCUUUAUAUUCCUUUAACAAAUCGGUUAAUUGUUGCUUACACUCAGGAUUUAACUUAGCACUAAUAAAAGUAGGUCUAGGCUUAUCACCACUACCUAUAUCUACUUCUACCAAAUCAUCGGCCGAUGUGAAUCCCUGGCCUAAUUUUCCAUCAUCAGCGAACCUAUCCAUCAAAAACAGUCGUCAGAACCGACUGCUUGGAUCGGUGGAAUCUCGUAAUCGGCAACCUUGAGAAAAUCUUUCUCCCAAACUUCUCCUGAAAUGCACCUGGUCCUCUCAUAGGUAUCCGCCUCUGCCGACGCAAUGACAUAAGAAGAAUCUCCUGGGACAAUCUCAAUUUUGUCACCUACCCACUGAACCAAGCAUUGGUGCAUUGUAGACGGGAUGCAACAAUUGGCAUGAAUCCAAUCACUUCCCAAUAACAAGUUGUACGCACCCUUUCCACUGAUCACGAAGAAAGUUGUUGGCAAAGUUUUGCUGCCGAUGGUCAACUCCACACAUAUUGCCCCCUUGACUGGAGACACGUUCCCUUCAAAGUCUUUAAGCAUCAUAUCGGUCUUGGUCAAAUCCUGAUCCCCUUUCCCAAGCUUCCGAUAUACUGUAUACGGCAUAAUAUUAAUAGCAGCUCCACCAUCAACUAGGAUCUUGGUCAUUGGCUGCCCAUCAACCCUUCCUUUGACGAACAGAGCUUUGAGAUGCUGUCUUUCGUCAUCGGCAGGUUUCUCAAAGAUAGCUGUCAUCGGAUCUAGAGCCAGCUGAGCUAUUUGAUCGGAAAACUCCACCUCGUCAUCACUGGAUGCUACUUGGCUAAAUCAAAUUGAACAAACAUUGACGAUGUUGCUUAUCUCCUUGCAGUGACAAGAAAGAGGGGACAAAGGGGAAGCAAAAACAAACCUUAGAGGAACUCAUAGCGGUGCUUAUCUCGUCCUAGGGUUUAUUCUUUUGAGUUUUAAGGUGUCUGCAACAUAAUUUAAGGAAAGGUCCAAUAUCAUUAGUUUGUUUCCAAUCAGAGAAUUGGGAACAUAAAUUGAAGAUGAUGAAAUCAAGUUUGACAGAUCUUCAAGAAUAUCUUGUAUUGUGUGCUGCCUUAAAUUUUGUUUUAUAGGAAAAAGAAAGUUGUUCAUGUACCUCAAGAGCACUAAAGUUUGCAUACAUAGGUACUGAAAGGGAAUAAAGAAUUAAAGAAAACCCAGAUUACCUUGGUCCAGUAGUGGUUACACAAGAGGAAUCUGCAAAUCACCAAACCACAUCUAGAAAAAUAUAAGGAUACACUGACAUAGUUCAAUUUGAAGCAUAGAUCAUUGCAAAGAUCUAACAAAUAAAAUGAAGAUCUUUUGUAGACAAUAGAAGCAUAAUAGCUGCAAAGUUAGACUGUAAACCUACAGUAAAUGAAAAAUAAAUAUAAUCUCCAAUUAAAACUAUUGGCAAGCCGGUAGCAUGGAAAAGUUAACCCUCAAGACCCCACAACAUUAGCAAGGCAAAUUGAUAUUCAGAGCAAGUUGAAUGGUUGAAGCUACAACAAUUAGGUAUAAGUAUAAAUUGCUUUGUGCCUCUAUUUACCAUACAUAGGGAGAACGUAUAGUAUACACAAAAGAAAUUGUUGGCAUCUCUUGGAUGAAGAUAGAAACUGAAGGUUUUGCAUGGUACUGAAAUUAUGAACAUAUCCAUUUUAUUGUGAUUGCUGCACAAACCAAUGUACCACAGACCAGCGACUUUCAGCUGUCUCCAUAACACCCAAAAUUAAUCUCAUGCAUACCGAAGGAAAAUAUGGCAAUAGGCUCGUCCAAAUUACAUACCAAAUAAAUAUACAGCCUACUGGUCUGAAGAGAACACUGUGAUUAUUGAUGCAACCACAAGACUGGAUAGAAAAGGAUGAACAUUGUUUCUUCUUAUGAAGCAACAGGCAAGCAUCAUCGAUGGUGCUAAAAAUGUGAACGGAAACAUUAAUUGUGCCAAAUUAAAAGCAAGUACAGCACAAGAAAGCACAAAAUUGAUGCCCAAAAACUCAAAGAAAUAGGAGAGGCAAAAGUGACCGUACACCACCAAAGUGUAUGGCAAUGUAAUCCUUGGAAAUAGGGCAUGUGCUCAGAAAUGAUAGUAUAUAAUUUGGCGUCACAUGUAAUGAUCAUAGAUAAUGAACACGCAAAGGGCAAAUCAUUAUAGGUAAUUGCAUGAAAACCACGGAUCUCAUAAGUAAGAGUGAAUCCAGCCGCAUAGUAUGUGACUAAAUACACAAUAAGCUGUAGCUCUCAUUGGUGCAUUAAAACUGCACAAAAUAGAACAGCCAGGAAUGAAUACAAGGAAACAGAAUCAUCCAAUUGACCAUUGCCUAAUGUAUUAUGGGACAAGCACAAGAAACAAAAACAUAAUUUCAGGUCCAAUCAUCAUAGCAGUAGCCCAUUCCCUUAAUUUUGAACGCAACAACAAUACGAAACUGUACUCAUCACUACACAUGACUGGAAUGCAAACAAUAAACAUAAGAACACCAGCGCUACAGUGGUGUCACACAAAUGUCACUGAUACGCUCAUGUGCUCAGAUCUUGGUCGUAAUACCUCUCUGCUCUCAUAUCCAACGAAAUUGAGCAGCUCACGACCUACAGAACAAGAAUCUGCAAUAACCAUGUAGAUCGACAAGAGAAAAGGAGAACACCAUAUCUACGACAAAAUGGAGCCCUCGUUCAUGCAUAUGGCACAUCUGGAGAGAGGGGAGGGAAAGAGAGGGGAGGGAAGGAGAGGGGAGGGGAGUAAACCAGUGAGCGGACAGAUCGAGGGAGAGCAGAGCCACGUCGACUGUCUCCAAAGAGCUCACAUAGAGGGGGUAGGCGGCCAUGGCGCCGGCCAUGGCUGCCCGUGCCACGCCGCCGCGCAGGGCCGUGCGUGUCGGUCGCGCCACACCGUGCCGCGGGGCUCGCCCGCGCAGUGGUGGGGGGAAGGGAGGGACGCUGUCGCCUCGUUCACGUCGCCGCGACUGCCUGCAAGGAGCUCGCACAGAGGGGGAGGGCAGCCGCGCCCGCCAGCAAUGGCCGCCCAUGAAAGGUCCUUGUUUGGUUUUGGUAAUUGAGUGACAACUUAGGUGGACUAAUAGUGUUUAUGUGAGAUACACAGGAGAUUAGUCCACAGGUGAAGAUGUGAUGAUGGAGGAGCUCAUUGCAUAUGAGACAUGACAUGGAGUCAUGUGACCAAGGUGGAGAAGAUCAAGAUGAGGCUUGGCUCGAUGGACCGGUUGCAAGAGUGAAGGGCAAGUCAGAGGCUUUGAAGCGAGGGACCGCGUGUGACGGUGAAGCUUGAGCAAGACUUGACGCCGAUGGACCGAGGCAAUGGUGAAGAGCAAGUGAGGUCAAGAUCGAUGAAACAAUACGGUCACGUGAUGAUAUGAAGUGGAUCAUAUCUUUUGGUGAUUGGUUGGUGCAUGUGUUGCAUCAACAUUGGAGGAGAUGGAAUGGAAAGCGCAAGGCAAAGGUAUAACCUAGGGCAUUUCCAUUUCACCGGUCAUAGGUGUGUAGAGAAGUUUAUGACCGGAUUUAGGAUAGAUGGCCGUACUAUCAAGAGGGGCAAACUUGUUUGCAUAUGGGUCAUCUAGUGCCACUUGAGCGAUCUAACUUUGCAUACGUGUUAGGAUCGAGUGGCGUGGUAAGUUUGAGAGGCUAACUCAUUUGGGAAAAUGUUUGUGAAAAUGCUAACACACAUGCACAUGGUGGUGUACACUUGGUGGUAUUUGGCGCUUUUGAGAAAAUUAAGUGCAUAUUUUCUAUUGCGCCGGUGGGAAUUUUGGAGAAGUCGCGGGAGUGUUUCUCAGUAGGAAACACUCACGGACGCUCUGCGCGGAGGCACCGGACGCUGGCCUUUAGCGUCCGGUGUGCUGUCGGGUGCAGCAAAGUGCACCGGACGCACCGGAGAGAGUCCGGUGCUCAGCGUCCGGUGUGUGAGCUGUUUGGCGACCCUAUCUGCGCAUGAGUCCGGUGAGCAUCGGACGCUCAGGGUGCGUCCGGUGACCUUGCGAGUUUGCGAAGCUCUCUGCGCACGGGUCCGGUGUGCAUCGGACGCGUCCGGUGUGGACUAGUUGAGCGUCCGGUGGUGCUGUGUCAGGCGCGGGCGCGUGGAAGCCGUUGGCGGUAACGGUCGAGUUCAAACGGCUAGUGACACGUGGCCGACGCCUGAGCACCGGACGCUGGGGUCGAGCGUCCGGUGACUCCCUGUGAGCGUCCGGUGCCCACGUGUUUUGCACAGUGAAGGGGCAACGGCUAGUUUAGCCCUUGGGGCUAUAAAUAGAAGUGGUGGCCAGCCUUGGCUGGUGCUGAGCACCCUUGGGACUUAGUGUCCACGCUUGGGGAGUGCUAGGAAAGCCUCUAACUCACUUGUUCUUGCAAGAGUGCGAAUCAAUAGCGAGUGAGUGAUUCUAGUGCGUUGCAUUGAGAGAUUGCAUCGAGUGGCACUAGGUGUUCGUGUUGCAAGCCAGGGGUGCUUGUUACUCUUGGAGGUUGCCACCUCCUAGACGGCUUGGUGGCUUGUGACUCCGUCGAAGCACGCAAGGAGAUUGUGUGGUGCUCCGGAGAAGAGAUUGUGAGGGGUACGGUGCUCACCCCGCGGGGAUCGUGAAGAGCAACUCUAGUUGAGCGAGACGUGAAGAGCAACAAGUGGUCCGGCCGGGUCAAGUGCUAGAGCUUGUGGUAAGCACUCCACAUGGGAGAGUGUGACUUGCGGGUCACCACUAGCAAGAGGACCGGCGACAACCUUGGAGCUUGUCUCAACGGGGACGUAGCUUGGUGGCAACCAAGUGAACCUUGGGAGAAAAUCAUCGUGUCAACAUUGUUCUUCCCGUUGGUUUGCAAGUCCCUAACACAAGCUUGUUCUUACUUUCAUAUAUUUGUGCUUGUGUAGUUGCUCUUGUAAUUAGUUAGCUUGUGUAGCUUGCUAGUUACCUUCUUGCUUGUGUAGCUAGAAGUAGUUCCCUUGCGUGACUAAUUUGGUUUGUGUAACCUUGUUAGUCACAUUGCUUAGUUUGUGUAGCUAAGUUAGUUGUGCUCUCUAAUUUGGCAUUAGUUGCCUUGUUAUUGAGCUUGCUAGUGAGAUUAGGCUUUGUGCGCUUUGCCUCACUAGUUUGAGUAGGAGCUCCCCCGGUUUGCAAAGUACUAGUUGCAUAGGUUUGUGUGACCUUGCUCCUAGAAUUGGUUAGGUGAGCUCUUGCUAAGGUAGCACCUUGCUUGCUUGUUUAGGAUCUUUUCAAGGUGCUAGAGAACAUAGAUAGAGGGGUGUAGUCUUGGCUAGACCGAUAGUUUUAAUUCCACAUUUGUUUCGGUUAGCCGGCGUAAUAAUUUUUAGAAAGGACUAUUCACCCCCCCUCUAGUCCGCCAUCUCGACCCUUCAAGUGGUAUCGGAGCUAGGUCUCUCAUUUGUGGUCUUCACCAACCCGAGAGGAUGGCGGCUUAUGGGCUAGAUGAUUGUGAGACACACAUUUUUGAUGGUACAAACUUUGCAGUUUGGAAAAAUCACAUGCUUGAUCAUUUUCGUGCAAAGGGACCUAAAUUUUGGUGGAUUGUCACUAAUGGUCUCACACACAACUUGGACCAUAAGAAUCUCACCAAAGCUCAAAAGGUUCUCUUUGAACUUGAUUGUGAAGCUUAUUGUUAUCUAAUGAAAUCUUUGAGCUUUGAGUUGUUUGAUAGGAUAAACUCGAAAGGAACCGCAUAUGAAAUGUGGGAGUCUAUCAAACACACCUUCGGUGAUUCCUCCACAUGGGAUGAUGACAAGUUCAAAAAGGAGGUGUUGGUGCAAAAGCUGGUCUGCAAACACAAAGGGCUAAUACCCGAUUUCAAACGUUAAGGCGUGCCAGCCGAUUUGACCUUACUAUCGGCAAAGGUGAUAACUCGAAUACUUUAGUCCUGACAACAGCGAUGCGCCCGGAUGUCACGGCUAAGAGGUACUCACGCGGAACUUGAGAACACACCGAGCUUGAGUCGACGAAUUCCUAAGAACUCGUAAUGAAAAGGGAAAAAAGUAUGACGAAGUCGUCGAAAAAGUAGAUGCUGGAAUAUGAGUAAAAACGUGUGUUUGAUUGAUUGAUAGAUAGAUCAUUACAAGGUCCUAGGGUCUAUAUUUAUACCCUGCUCAAAGAGCUACAACCAGACACGAUUAGAAUUCGAAUUUCAAAUUACACGGAAUCCGUAUACAAAACGAUGUAAAUAAUUAAGGAAAUAACAAAACUAUCUCCCGUGACAAACUGAAACUCCUCAACAAACCGAUCGGCAGCUUAGUCACUGUCUGUAGACUUAGUCACGUUCAAUUUCUCCCCCAUCGGCAACCAUCCUCAUCGGCAACUCAUCUUGUAAACAAAACACUGCCAUUUCAUCCUGCCAUCCUGGACACGUGCCCAAAAACGAUGUCAACACAUGCCCCCCAAUUUUGGAGUAUGAAAUCAUUAAUGCUCCGAAAUUCUCUGCAGUAAUGAUGCCUUUUCCCGCAAUUAAUGCUCCCAAUCUGGUAACCGACAACCUCAAUCUGAACAACUCUGAUCCUAUUCUUCUGCGGAUUCCUCGAAACCCUCAACUUCCUAAACAGGCAUUUCCUUCUCAACCGUACAUCGGCAAUAUUACCGUUACGAAGAUCUGCCGAUGUACUGAUCAGGACGUUUGUACAAACGGCUACCUUCACUUCAUUCGCCCACCGGCAAUAUGACCGUUACAGAGCAUUGCCGAUGGACCGACCAGGAAAUCUCGCACAGUAAAAUAUCUUCAGAUAAUGACCGCUUCCCGUCAAAUCACCUGCACAAUCCCUUGAUUACCGUGCAAACAGUUACCAUAUCUACCUGAGCACCCUCGGAUUUCUCGGAUGCGGCAAAGUGAUAAGUCAGAUUUGCCCUUGCCCAUUUUGUCUGAUAAAUAGUUCCUUCUCGGGUACUCCUUCCCCAUCACAUCAUUCCACCAUCCCAACUUUACUUUUCCAGCGGCGGCGCCAUUCAACGUCUCCAAGACCUCCGGCAAAAACUCUUCCUCACCAACCCGAAGCCCCCAGGCAUCCUCCUCGUCGCAAGAUGGCUAUUAGCUUCAUCGUCCCUGAGGUCAAUUCUUCAUUCCAUCCCCUGUUCUUUUCUUCGCAUCCCUGUUCAUCCGCAAUCCAUUUUACUGAACAUUUUCUUUUCUUUUCUUUGUGUUCUUUUUCUUUAUUUCAAAAACCACCAGGAAUUGUCUAACAAAAUCGUCAUCCCCACCGAUCAACCACACCUCCAAUGCCUCGGCCCUCUAGGGGAUCCAGAUCCAACCGAUCUCAUUAACACAGAAACCAAUAGGAUCCCUUUCAGAGCCGAAAAUUUUUCUUUAGAUCUGUGAAAAGACACCUUCCGCUCUUGGCCCAGUCCUACCGUAGGGUGGAAAGACUGGUUCUUGAGAGUCAGCAACUCCAAUGAAGUCCAGUGGGGUGAGAGAAAACUAGAUCAAUGCAUUAGGUUGUCCAUUGCCGAUAUGCACAGGAAUGAGUCACUGUUGAUAGCUGCAUCUUACUUUUGGUCAGACACCCUCAAUGCUUUUGUCUUUGGCCACGGCCCUGCUUCUCCUACUCUUGCCGAUGUAGCCAUGCUCACCGGUCUAGAUGUAUCUUCUGCCGAUAGCACCCACCUUUUUGACACAGCUCCUAGUGCCAAAGUAGAGACUCGCGCUAUCGGCGGCUGGUCAGGGUACAUUCAGAAGUAUCAUGGGAAGGGACCUGUCAGCAUAAAGGAACAAACCACCUUUCUGAAUAUGUGGCUCGACAAGUUUGUGUUCUGUGGUCGAUCGGCAGGACCGACUUCCAUCUAUCUAUCGGCAGCAGAGAGACUGGCUAACGGUGGCCGAUUCCCUCCCGGCCAAUACUUGCUUGGUGCCGUUUACCAUCUUCUCCAUCAGGUGGCCAAGAAACUCCUGCUCGGCCAGUCUACUGGCAACUUAGGUGGCCCAUGGUGGUUCAUUAACAUGUGGCUUAAUAUGCAUCUGCACAAGCGCCUCAACUUCAACCUGUUCACACAGCGUUUCCCAAGAGAUAUAACUGAAAAUCAUGUGCUGGGUGAAGAGGAAUCGGCAACACGCGCUCCCUUGAACUUUGACGAAGUUGUCAUAGUUCUACCUGGUUCAGGGGGUAAUCCAGAUCAGAUCGGCCGAUUCUUCCAGACUCUGUAUGAGGGCUUGGCCAGAGAUGAACGACCGUGGUUGGCCUAUGAUGACCCAGACAGUAUGCUCCCCCUGGUUUUCAAUCCAUUUGAUGACGCUCUUGACAGGGAUAAUGAGGUGAUGAUGGCAAUUGUGACUCCUAGAGCCAUACCAGUGAAUUUCUUUGGUAGCACAAAAACCUCUCCCCAGACUUAUGAAUUUUACAACCCAUCGGCAUUAGCUCGUCAAUUAGCUUUCGGCCAGUUGCCGAUUGCGCUCUGUUAUGCCGAUGUGAUAAAACUCAGAGAGCCCAUCAGCAACUUUCUUAAGUGGAUUCGAGUAGCCCAACUACCACCGAAUGCCGAUACAGAUGCAGAUUUGUCAUAGUGGGUUCCAGCCGCUUUCAUCACUCAGGCGUACAAACUAUGGUGGGCAGAAUGGAAGGAGCAUCUAUUCUGCAAAUCAGCCCUUUCGUAUCGCGGCAUGAUUGAUCCCGAGUACAAAGUCCCUGACGACGCUGUAAGUAUUCCAAAACGAUGUUCCAAUUCCUUUGUAUACCUUUUGCAGGUUGACAACAUCCCCCCAUCGGUUAGCAGAAGUGGUAAGCCGAUUGACCUGUUUCCAUCAGGCCCGAUCUCCUCAAUCGGCCACAAUGCUCCCACUCUGGCUACCAUCGUGCAUCGGGGUGUGCGCCUUAAAAAAGUCACCACCAGGAGAACUCAGACAUUACCAACGGUAGCUGCUUCCACUCUGGCGCAGGCUUUCAAGGCAAUUUGCCAAACCUUUUUUAUUCACACUGAUCACCUUUAUAUCGGCUACAUUUGUACUCAUAAACUCCUUUUUGUUGUUGCAGCAAACCGGUGCAUCGGCAAAAGCCAAAUGCCAAGGUGCCGAUGCCCCCCAGUCUAGUCAGCCAAAGAGGAAGGGCGCCAAGGGUACCAAGGCUGGAACAAAGCGCCAGAAAGUGGCAACUCCCCCUCCUCCUCCGGUAUCUCCAAUUCCGGUGGAGUCUUCCCCUUCUUCUCAAGAAGCCUAGACGCAGCAAGCACCAUCUCCCGGGCAGCUGGGAUUGUAUCGGCAGAGACCAGGGCUAAGCUGGAAGAACUAUUGGCUAUCCUUCAUCAAGACACAGCUCAACUGGUUAAUGAUUCCGACCCGGCCAAGGUUCUGUUCAAGACCCUCAGAGGCCAGAUCCCUAUCGAUGCUGAAGAAACCCUCUUCCAAGCCGCACAUCUAGAAAGUCGCCAGCUGCAAUACCAGAGAGCCACUCGGCGCCUUGCCGAUAUAGCUGCUCAGACCCAGCUCUCUGAGGAGAUGAUGAAAGAGAAACUCUUAGCCGAUGAGAAGCACAAGAACAUUGGCACCUUGAAGUCCUCAGGCGAUGCAUUGAAGCAGAAAAUCAAUGAUUUAUCGGCAAAAAGAGAAGCCCUGCUGGCAGAACUCAAGCAAGUGGAGGAUGCCUUAUCUCGAGCCCAGCAAGAAGAAAGUCAACUACCGGAGACCAUCAAGCACCUCGAGCAAGAGCGAAAUGCCCACGGUCGCAAAGCGCUGCAGUUGAAGAAGAAGCUGAAGCCGAUAGAAGGUUCUGUCGAUGAUGAUGCCAAAGAGAUAGAACAAGCCAACCAAAUCCGGCUGCGCGCCAUAUCGGCGAUCCAGGCGCUGCUGAACAUCUGAAGCUUUCAUCGGCAACACGUCUUCGCUCCUCUGCAUUUCAGCUUUCUUAAUGUCUUUGUCUAGCCGAUAGGACUGUUAUCGGCAUCUUUUGAAAUGUUAAGUCUGGCCCCAGAUACAUUUUAAUCCAGCCGAUAGGAGUGUUAUCGGCGCUUAAACUUCUAUGCAUCGAUCCAUAUGCUGGGUAGUACUUCUUUAAAUAUUUGCCAUUUAAUGCUGUGAGAAAUUCAACUCCUUCGAGAGUUUCUAAAAUAUAGGCAUUUCCAGGAGCCGAUCGACUUAUCCGAUAAGGACCUUCCCAAUUAGGAGACCACUUUCCAAACUUCGAACUUUUGGUCCCGAUCGGUAAAAUUAAUUUCCAUACCAAGUCUCCAUCGGCAAACUCCUUAGCCUUUACUUUCUUGUCAUACCAUCUAGCAACUCUCUUCUUAUUUUCUUCUAUACUCAUUAAAGCCUUUAACCGAUGUCCUGCUAGAUCGUCUAACUCAUCGGUCAUCAAAGUGGCAUAAUUAUCGGCAGCCAAUUGAUCUUGAAAAGAUAAUCGCCUAGAUCCAGCCUUAAUUUCCCAAGGCAAGACUGCAUGAUGUCCAUACACCAAUUGAUAGGGUGACACCUUGGUUGAUCCAUGACAAGUCAUCCGAUAGGACCACAAUGCUUCAUUUAAUAAUGUAUGCCACCGCUUAGGAUUUUCUUCAAUCUUUCGUUUGAUAAGCUUGAUAAUUCCUUUGUUAGACGCCUCGGCCUGCCCAUUGGCUUGAGCAUAAUAAGGAGAAGAAUUCAACACUUUAAUCCCCAUACCGACUGCAAAUUCAUCAAACUCCCCCGAUGUAAACAUAGUGCCCUGAUCGGUAGUAAUUGUUUGAGGAAUCCCAAAUCGGUAAAUGAUAUGCUCCUUCACAAAAUCAAUCAUGUUGGCUGAUGUGACUUUCUUCAAAGGAAUAGCUUCGACCCACUUAGUGAAAUAAUCAGUGGCAACCAGAAUAAACUUAUGCCCUUUGCUAGAUGGUGGAUAAAUCUGGCCGAUCAGAUCAAUAGCCCAUCCUCGGAACGGCCAAGGCUUUAUGAUAGGAUUCAUAGCCGAUGCAGGUGCCCUUUGAAUAUUACCAAACUUUUGACACCCUUGACACCCUUUGAAAUACUUAAAGCAAUCCUCAAGUAUAGUCGGCCAAUAAUAUCUAUUCCUUAUAAUCAUUCACUUCACCUUAAAAGCCGACUGAUGUGCUCCACACACUCCUUCAUGAAUUUCUCCCAUCAAACUCCUAGCUUCAUCAUCACCUAAGCAUCGGAGAAGAAUUCCAUCAAUAGUUCGAUAGUACAAUUCAUCUUCGAGGAGCACAUACUUGGUUGCUUGAAAUCGAACUCGUCUUUCAACUUUCUUGGAUGGAUCUUUCAAAUAAUCAAUAAUUUCUUUCCUCCAAUCAUCGGCAUUGCAUUAAUCAUAGGCUGAUAUCCCGAGGCAUGCUGAGCUAACCGAUUGGCCUCUUCAUUAUGCAAUCGAGGAACAUGCUCUAAUCGGAAAUCUUUGAAUUCCUUUAACAGUUGCAUGCUCUUCUCGAAAUAAGUUAUGAGAACUUCACUUCGGCAUUCAUAGCUCCCGGCCAAUUGAUUUAUAACCAACAUAGAAUCACCGAAGACUUCAACAGCGUCAGCACGAACUUCUCUUAACAACUCUAAUCCUUUUAUCAAAGCCUGAUAUUCAGCCUGAUUAUUUGUUGACGUAGCAACAAUUGGCAAGGAAAAUUCAUACUUCCUUCCCAUAGGAGAAACUAACACUAUGCCGAUUCCUGCCCCCCGGUCACAUGUAGAUCCAUCAAAGAAGAGUGUCCAAAGCACAAUUUCCACAGCCUCCACCGUGCCACAAUGUUGGGUCACAAAAUCGGCCAUAACCUGCCCUUUAACUGCCUUAGUCGAUUCAUAACGCAGAUCGAACUCCGACAGCGCCAAAAUCCAUUUACCGAUCCUGCCACUCAUAAUCGGCAUACAUAGCAUGUACCGGACCACAUCAUCUUUGCAAACAACAGUGCAUUCGGCCGAUAACAAGUAGUGCCUUAACUUGAUACACGAAAAAUAUAAGCAUAGGCAAAGUUUCUCAAUGGCCGAAUACCUGGUCUCAGCAUCAAUCAACCUCCUGCUUAAGUAAUAAAUUACGCGCUCUUUCCCUUCAAAUUCUUGAAUCAAAGCUAAACCGAUAACCACCCCAUCGGUAGACAAAUACAAUCUGAAGGGCUUUCCUUGCUGAGGUGGAACUAGAACUGGAGGAUUCACUAGAUACUUCUUAAUUUCAUCCGGAGCCAACUGUUGCUCUUUCCCCCAAAUAAAUUCUUGAUCGGCUUUUAGCUUAAGAAGAGGACUGAAAGCACGAAUUUUACCAGACAAAUUAGAUAUAAAUCUCCUGAUAAAAUUUACCUUGCCGAUCAAGGACUGGAGCUCAGUUUUGUUGGUAGGGGCCACUAUCUUAUUGAUGGCGUCAAUAGAUCUUCGACUGAUUUCAAUCCCCCUUCGAUGUACCAUGAAACCAAGAAACUGCCCUGCCGAUACACCAAAUGCGCACUUAUUGGGAUUCAUUUUCAAUCCAUGCUUCCUUGUGCACUCUAACACCUUUCGUAGAUCGCCAAGAUGCUUUGUGAAAUCCCCACACUUAACCACCACAUCAUCAAUAUAAAUCUCCACCAGCUUGCCGAUGAACUCAUGAAAUAUAAAAUUCAUAGCCCUUUGAUAAGUAGCACCAGCAUUCUUGAGGACAAAAGUCAUGACUAUCCAUUCAAAUAACCCAACAUGACAAGGACACCUAAAUGCGGUUUUUGGAAUAUCUUCCUCUGCCAUGAAUAUUUGAUUGUAUCCCGCAUUGCCAUCCAUAAAGCUAAUGAUCCGAUGACCAGCCGCGGCGUCAACCAGCAGAUCGGCAACAGGCAUCGGGUAUCCAUCCAUCGGCGUAGCUUUAUUGAGAUUCCUGAAAUCAAUGCACACCCGAAGCUUCCCGUUUUUCUUGUAAACCGGAACGACAUUGGAAAUCCAUUCGGCAUACCGACACUGCCGAAUAAACUUAGCUUCAAUAAGUUUAGUGAUUUCGGCCUUAAUAUCAGGUAGAAUAUUAAGAUUACAUCGGCAAGCUGGCUGCUGAUGUGGCCGAAAUCCAGACUUGAUGGGUAACCGAUGUUCAACAAUUGAUCGGUCUAAACCAGGCAUCUCGGUAUAAUCCCAAGCAAAGCAAUCUUUAUAUUCCUUUAACAAAUCGGUUAAUUGUUGCUACACUAAGGAUUUAACUUAGCACUAAUAAAAGUAGGUCUAGGCUUAUCACCACUACCUAUAUCUACUUCUACCAAAUCAUCGGCCGAUGUGAAUCCCUGGCCUAAUUUUCCAUCAUCAGCGAACCUAUCCAUCAAAAACAGUCGUCAGAACCGACUGCUUGGAUCGGUGGAAUCUCGUAAUCGGCAACCUUGAGAAAAUCUUUCUCCCAAACUUCUCCUGAAAUGCACCUGGUCCUCUCAUAGGUAUCCGCCUCUGCCGACGCAAUGACAUAAGAAGAAUCUCCUGGGACAAUCUCAAUUUUGUCACCUACCCACUGAACCAAGCAUUGGUGCAUUGUAGACGGGAUGCAACAAUUGGCAUGAAUCCAAUCUCUUCCCAGUAACAAGUUGUACGCACCCUUUCCACUGAUCACGAAGAAAGUUGUUGGCAAAGUUUUGCUGCCGAUGGUCAACUCCACACAUAUUGCCCCCUUGACUGGAGACACGUUCCCUUCAAAGUCUUUAAGCAUCAUAUCGGUCUUGGUCAAAUCCUGAUCCCCUUUCCCAAGCUUCCGAUAUACUGUAUACGGCAUAAUAUUAAUAGCAGCUCCACCAUCAACUAGGAUCUUGGUCAUUGGCUGCCCAUCAACCCUUCCUUUGACGAACAGAGCUUUGAGAUGCUGUCUUUCGUCAUCGGCAGGUUUCUCAAAGAUAGCUGUCAUCGGAUCUAGAGCCAGCUGAGCUAUUUGAUCGGAAAACUCCACCUCGUCAUCACUGGAUGGCGCAAGGAAUUCCAUCGGCAACAUAAAGACCAUGUUGACACCUGCCGAUGGACCUUCCCCCUUAGGACCUGGUUGUUGUCGAUCCUCAGGUUUUCCAGAGCUUUCGCCCUUGCUUAGAUCCUCUUGCCUUUCACGUUGCAAUCUCCUUUUCUGUGUCUUGGUCAACCCUUCCGGACACCAUGGAGGAAGUGGCUUCUGCCUUGCUACUGGGCGUCGAUUCUCUCUUGACUCCAUCCGAUGCGUGUUAGCAUCCCUGCAAAAUAUGAACUCAUCGGGAACUCGUGCAUUAGCCAUCUCUUCGAGCUCUUCCUGGUUCCUGGGAAAAUAUUGGACACGAUCACCAAGCCUAUCGUGCACGCUGAGCUUGCCCCCCAGCCGAUCAUGAACUGAUGCUCUUCCUCUGAUCGGACCAUCAAAUCGUCGAUUGUCAUCAUGAUAACGCCAAUCGGUCCUAUCAUACCGAUCAUAACCAUUGCACUCAGGGAAGUCUCUGACAGUGGGAAGUUUAAUAUUCUCCUCCCAACAAUGGAUGAAGAACGGACAGUUCCAAUGAUCUCUAUGCCGAUUCCACUCCUGUCGGCGUCUCUCUUCUUCCCGACGAUAAUCUUCUUGCUGGCGCCGAUACCGAUCUUCCCGUUGCUGCCAGUUCUCUCGAGGCCUUCUAUGAGUUAUAACGAUGCCAGACCGAGGAGGCCUACCUGAGCUGGUUCCUUCCUGAACCAAGCCCCUACCUCUUGCAUCGGUAGUAGUAACUUGAUGCUGAGGAUCUACCGAUGCACUUCUCUCGGCUGCUUCUGAUGUUAAGACUUUAGCCUUUCUCUUAGCAUCCAACAUGUUUGUUGGGAAAGGAUGUUGGUCUAUCUUCAUCGGCUUCUAAGUCUUGGAACUGUCAAACUUGAUUCUCCCAGACUCUAUAGCCGAUUGCAGCUGCUGCCUGAAAACCUUGCACUCAUUGGUGUCAUGAGAAGUUGCAUUAUGCCACUUGCAAUAUUUCAUCCUCUUUAACUCCUCAGCCGAUGGGAUCACGUGAUUAGGAGACAGUUUGAUCUGACCUUCCUGAAGUAGAAAAUCAAAUAUCCUAUCGGCCUUAGCGGUGUCAAAAGCGAACUUUUCUGGUUCCUUCUGCCCAAAAGGGCAAGAUAUCGGCUUUUUGUUCUUUACCCACUCUGCCAAGCCGAUGACUCGUUCCUCAUCAGAAUCCGAGCUUGUUGCUUCAUCAACAAAUGAUACCUUCUUGUUCCAUGCUCUUUUGGGCUCGAAAGGCUUGAUGUCUUGAUCAGAAAUCCUCUGCACCAAAUGACUUAAGCUUUCAAACUCCUGAGAGGCAUACUUAUCCCUGAUAUGUGGCAACAAACCCUGGAAAGCCAAAUCGGCUAGCUGCCGAUCAUCCAGAACCAGGCUAUAGCAUUUAUUCUUGACCUCCCGUAUCCUCUGCACAAAACCCUCAACCGACUCAUCAUUACGUUGCCUCAACUUGACCAAGUCGGUGAUCUUCUUCUCAUGAACCCCGGAAAAGAAGUAUUUGUGGAAUUGUUUCUCCAGAUCGGCCCAAGUAAUCACUGAGUUGGGUGGUAGUGAUAUGAAGCAGGUAAAGGCCGAUCCAGACAAUGAUGAUGAAAAUAAACGAACCCUUAAUUCGUCCCUGUUACCAGCUCGCAUUGAAUAAUGAACCUAUUGACAUGCUCCAUGGUUGACGUGUCAUCCUGUCUAGAAAACUUAGUAAAGUCUGGUACCUUGUACCGAUGCGGAAGCGGGAUCAAAUCAUAUGCGGGAGGAUACGGUGUCCGAUAAGAGUAAGUGUUGACUUUGGGUUUUAUCCCAAAUUGAUCCCUCAUUACUUCAGCGAUCUUAUCGGCCCAAUAUGCAUCGGCAUCCUGCCGAUGAGGCGGCUGCGGGUCCGGCACCUGGUGGCGAGCCUCCACGUGUCUGUUUGGGGCAUGAUCUGCACGGAACGUUGGGUUGAUCAUCUGGCCCCCAAUUUGCGGACCACCAAACAGCUAUCCACCGAUUUGCUGCCCCCCGAGCUGCCGUCCGAGAUUCAUUGGCUGGUUGGGAACCCCCUGACUUUGGAAUCUGGGAUAGAUCUGUCCUUGCUGGAAUCCUGUAGCCUGGUAACUCUGUUGGGGUGUUUGGGGAAAGACUUGCUGUCCAAGCCACCCAUUAUUAGCGUUCAUCGGCAUAGGCGCUGCCGAUGUUUGGUAAUUGGGCAUCAUCAUUGAAUUGACAUACCCCGACUGGGUCAUAGACCUCUGUUGCAUCAGCAUUGAAUCUGCCGAUGCAUUAGGCAUCUGGAACAUUGAAUCUUGAGGAUUCCUAGUGUGAGGCCUCGCAGUAGUAGUUGUAGUAUACUGAGGACUCUAGUUCAAUGGCGCAUUGGGAAGCGCCGAUGUCAUAGGAGUCUUGCCCCUCAUGUCGGUUAUCUGUGAUGUACCCGGCGUCAACUCUGGAGGCAUACCAUAACCCCACCAGUUGGGAGGAAGAGUCAGCCCUGACAUUGCCGAUGCCAACAUAUCUGUAGUCAGUUUAUUCUGCCCACCUGAAGUCUGCGGGUUAGUUGUCAUCGGCACAGAUUGGGCAUUAGUAGUUCCCAACGUACUUGGAGGGACGGCAGACUGUGCACUCGCAGUGGCCGUAGCAGCCGAUGGAGCCGUGACCUCUUGUGACGUUGGCUGAUGAUGAGAGGGGCCCACAUAAUCUGGUGGGAUUUGUCCUUCCUUGAAAGUUCUUGCCACGGCAUUGAAAAAUGUAUUAGACAGUACGCCAGCUUGGUUGAUCAAAGCUCGGUUGAUAGCACUGUCAACCAUAUCUUGAAGCUUGCCAGGAUUGGCUUCGAAAGUAACCUGCCGUGGUGCCGGCAGUGCAUCUUUCUGGAUUACUUCGCCGCUCCUGUUCAUGCUGAAGGACUUUAGGCAUUGCAACUUGUAUUCCUCCAUGGCUUGAGCAAUAGCUUGCUUCUGCUCAUCCUUGAGAUUGGCUUCCGUCACGGGGAUGACGUUCUCUUGAUCAAAGUCAGAGAUCGACAUGUUGAACAUGAUCUUGAAUCUGUCCCACUGGGCGUGCCAAAAGAUGUGUUGGUGCAAAAGCUGGUCUGCAAACACAAAGGGCUAAUACCCGAUUUCAAACGUUAAGGCGUGCCAGCCGAUUUGACCUUACUAUCGGCAAAGGUGAUAACUCGAAUACUUUAGUCCUGACAACAGCGAUGCGCCCGGAUGUCACGGCUAAGAGGUACUCACGCGGAACUUAAGAACACGCCGAGCUUGAGUCGACGAAUUUCUAAGAACUCGUAAUGAAAAGGGAAAAAAGUAUGACGAAGUCGUCGAAAAAGUAGAUGCUGGAAUAUGAGUAAAAACGUGUGUUUGAUUGAUUGAUAGAUAGAUCAUUACAAGGUCCUAGGGUCUAUAUUUAUACCCUGCUCAAAGAGCUACAACCAGACACGAUUAGAAUUCGAAUUCCAAAUUACACGGAAUCCGUAUACAAAACGAUGUAAAUAAUUAAGGAAAUAACAAAACUAUCUCCCGUGACAAACUGAAACUCCUCAACAAACCGAUCGGCAGCUUCCGGACUCUCCCUUCGUAUUAUCAACAGAUUCCCUUGACAUAGUCAUCGGCAGAUUUCCUCAUCAUAGCCAUCGGCACAGACACAUCACCGUUUGUAGACUUAGUCACGUUCAAUUUCUCCCCCAUCGGCAACCAUCCUCAUCGGCAACUCAUCCUGUAAACAAAACACUGCCAUUUCAUCCUGCCAUCCUGGACACCUGCCCAAAAACGGUGUCAACAGGAGGAACCAAAGGUGGAGAUACAUGAGGAUGUUGAGCAUGACCACAACAAGGUGGUUGUGGAGGAUUGCUCCACCUCAUGGUCAAGUGAAGAUGAAGAUGAUGGCUAUCAGAGUGAUGCUUCUACAAGCUCAUCCACUUCAUCACAUUCCUCCAUGUCUCACGGCGACGGCAAGGUAUCUAUUGGAGGUGUGAUUGUUGAUUGUGAUGAUCCAAAUUUUGAGCUUGUAUGUAGACUCACCAAAGCUUUAAGAAAUGAGAUGGCUAAAACAAGUAAAUUGAAAAAUGAAAACUCAUUUCUAAAGACCACAUGUGAACAACAAAAGCAUAUACUUUAUGUUACUACUUGUUCACAUGAGGAGCUAAAAUUGGUUCAUGAGGAACUUUGUGUUACUCAUGAUAACUUGGUAAAAGAUCAUGCUUUUCUCACUAAGAAGAUUUCUAAUGAAGAAAUUAAAACUAGUGAGAGCUCAUCACUUGGGUCAAAUAAUCAAUCACAUAUCGCUACUAACCCUUGUGAUGUAGGCAAGAAGCAUGUAUCCACCUCUUGUGAUGUUUUAUUAUCUAUGCCAUGUUAUUGACAAAUAGAUGCUUGUUCUACUUCUAUGUCUUGUGAGACUAACCUUUUGAAGGAGAACAAUAAGCUCAAUGAACAAGUGAAGAAUUUGAGCAACAAGCUAGAGAGGUGCUAUAAUUCAAAAGUCACCUUUGAGCAUAUAUUGAGGACUCAAAGAAUCUAUGGUGACAAGUGUGGCCUUGGCUUCAAGGAGAAGAUGACAAAGGGCAAAAGAAAGCAAGAAAAGAGAAAGCUUUCUCAUUUCAUGUGCUAUCGGUGCCAUGAAAUGGGACAUCUUGCAAAUGGUUGCCCAAACAUUGAGAAGCUCAAGAAGAUAAAGGAAGAAGAGAGGCUAAAGCAUGUCAAGUGCUUCAAGUGCCGCACUUGGUGUCAUCUCACCUCAAUGUGCCCAACCAAGCAAUUGGUGAAGCAUCAAGCAAAGCCUCAACAAAAGCCACAAGUUGAGCAAGAAAAGAAGCCCCAAGCUCAAGUCAAGAUCUACCAUGAAGAUGGUAGUGACAUGGGGAUGAUGAAGAAGAAGACAAGAAGGGGAGGUAGACAAUCAAGAUCAUCAAAAGACCUCUCCCACAUCAAGUGCUUUGAGUGCAAGGAUGAUGGACACUUUGCCUCGAGGUGUCCUACCAAGCUUGAGAAGAAGGCUCGAGCAACUCUCAAGAGGCAAGGCAAUGAGAAGCAACACAUGAACAAGGAAGAAAAGGCUCAAUCUAAAAGAAGUUGCUACUUAUGCCGGGAAAGGGGACACAUGGCUCAUUCAUGUCCCCUAGGUACUAAUUCUAAGCCCAUUUCAAUUGAUGAUAAUACUAUGCUUAGAAAGGAUGGUAAUGGUACCUCUAUGGUUGCUUUUGCAAAACAUCCCGCUACUCAUACUAAGGCUAUGCCUAAGUAUGUUGCACCUAACUUGAGAGGACCCAAACUAGUUUGGGUACCAUCAAAAAGUGGAUGAUUGUGUGUAGGUACCAUCGGCAUUGGAGGCUUGAUUCAAUUGAUCUUAUAUUAUUCAUCAUAUGAUUGAGUCAAGUAUUGAAGUUUAGUGCACAUCCAAACCCAAUGCCAUGACAAGAUAGUGAAGUCCAAGUGCGACAACAUACAAGUGCAAAUAUUCAAGUUGUGGUGAUUUAUUGUAUCAUUUGAUGGCUUGCAAAUACAUGCGUUGAAGCUUGCAAAUUAGAUGAUCAUGAGCUAACCAAGGUAUAUCUUUAUUGAUCACAUUCAUUUGGGUGCAUAUAAGUUGAUUGAAUUGGAUAUAUAUGCAAUAUUGCUUGCUAUAAGAUGUUUGAAUGGAUAAAAUGAUUAGUAAUCAAGUUUGGAUUGAUUUGAGUUGAAUAAGUUCAUGAGAUGACUUUUAGUAAGUGGAUUGAAUUGAUAUAUGUCUUGUGAAUGCAUUCAAUCAAGUUGAUUUCAAGUUUGAUUCAAUUUGAACAAGUAUAGCUCAAUUGCUUGAAAUCUGUCCUAUAUUGAAAACCAGAGCAAGCUGAGAUCAAGUCUGAGUUUGAGUGAUCAAAUCUAUUUGGAGUGGCUUCAAAUUUGGUAUGCAUGCUGUACAAUUAUCAGAGAAGAUGCUGUAGAAAUUUCCUGAGAAUUGGAUAAGGGAUACUUCGGUUUUGGAGUAGAUCUUAUCAGCUAUAGUGCAGCAGUUUUCAGCAUGUAGCAGUGGUGGAAGAAUUGAAAUCUGGUAGCAAUCCAGAAGUCAAAUGAAGCUCAAAUUUUUACAGAUGCUAUAUGACUUAGUGAAUUACAUCUCCACCAAAUUUCGUGGCAUUUCGAUCUGUACAUUGUGAGAUAUGGAUAUUUCCUUAAAGGGUUCAGAAUCUGCUAGAAAAGUGACAAAUAUCGGAUUGAUCUAGAGUCACUUAAAUUGAAAGGUCCUCAAGUUGGAAUUAUGAUUAUAAGUGUUUGAGGCACAUAAGUUUGGUUUUGAAUUAAUCUAGAAGCAUGACAAGUAAUGUGUACAAGGUCAUUUGAUUGUGGAAUGUACUUGGUGUACACAUUUAGUACUCAAAUUGAAGAUCAAGAUCAAACUCAAGAAGAAGAUGAAGUUUAAGUUCUAGUGACUAUUGGAGAUCAUUUAGUAGAAAGAAAAGGACUUAAACAAGUAGAAAGAAAAGGACAUAAAGAAUGAUUCAUGGAUAUUCAUCAUAUUAAGUCCAUCACUUGAAUCAAUCAAUCAAAGCAAUUCAAGUGAGUAUCAAGAAUGGUUCUUUGGAGAGAGGUCACUUCUCCCUAUGUGAGGGGCUUGCCGCCCGAGGAGUGGGUAAACCAAGUGUGGUGCUUGGAGGGCUAACAUGGAAGUGGUGAUCUAAAGGACAUUUGAGAUGCUUAGUUGAAGCAAUCAAAAGGAUUGAUCAAGGGAGCAAGCAACACCCAAAGAGAGCUAGUCAUGAUGUUCAAGUAUUCUUAUUAGUUCUCUCAUGCAAGUAAUGGUAAAAAGAAGAAGCAAGCCAACCACAACAAGAUAGUGCACUUGAUCAUAAAGUGGUUCUAAAUUCAUAUGGGUGAAGAUUUGAUCUAUCAAUUGGCAUUCAUGAUUGGUCUUCACCAAGCUUAUAGUUGGACUUCACAUUGCUAUUUGGAGCUAAAUUGGAAUCUUAUUGACUAUCCUCUACUCCAAGAUAGCAAAGGUAUCAUUGUAAUGUGCAUGAUCAUUUCAUCCUUUACUAGUAUGCGGUUAGUGCAUAUAGUACAUGCUUCAUAGGAUCAUGCAUGGCAAAUGAAAAGUUUUAAAUUCAUAACCUACCACUAUUGCUUGAUUGAUUAGUUGAUCUAGUGGUUGUAUAUGAGUUUGUUCAUGAGCUAGUGAACCCAAGUACUUGAUCUAUUUUGGAUUGUUAACAAGUGACAAGUACAACAUUGGCAAGAUAACCCUUAAUGUGAGGUGUGAAAAAGCUUGUCAUUGGUUCAAACCGGACUUGGAAGCUUUAGCAAAUCAACUUAGUUUAAGUCAACAAUUAGAAGCUCAUAGUGAUUAGAGUACAAGAACAAGACAACAAUGCAAGUGUAUAUCUAGACUUAAAAGUUUCUUCAAUUGGUAUCCUACAAUUGGUACUCAUGAUAGCAAAUGUUCAAGAAAGCAAACAAGUGGUUCCAUACUAGAAGACCUUCAAUUGGAAGAAGAUUUCCAUAUGGUAUCAGACAAGAUCUUUCAAAUGAUAUGACAUUUAUACAUAUGAUAUCUAUCAUACAAGAAGGUGGUUCCACAAGUGAUCCUCAACUUUAAGUGAUCAUCAAGCAAAGAAAGUUCCCUCACCAACAAGAUUGACAAGUGAAUGACCCAUGCUAUGACAUAGGGGGAGUGCCCCACCAAAUGGUAUCAAGGUCAAAGAUCCUAUGUGGUAUCUCCAGAGUAAUUCAAGUAAUGUCAUUCCAACACAUGGUGAAGUCCAUCAAAAAUGCAGGAUUCAAGCUUCAACCAUCUAUCCCAAUGCAAUCCUUUGUCACAAUGAGAUUCACAUUUUUACAAUUGGUAUCAAGUGAUUUAAUUGGUAUCACAUACCUUUUAUGGAAAUUGAUGACAAAGGGGGAGAAGUUGGAACAAAGAUAUGAUCAUGGGAUAAGUUGGACAACAAAAGAUAUAUUUCAAGGGGGAGAGAUGAAAGAUGGACAUGGACAAGGGAGCAACAUUAAAAGAUAUAAGAUGAUGGAUCAAAAUUCUUGGACAAAAGAGAAGCACACAAGUAGGUGGAGCAAGCUCAUGAACAUUGAUUGUUUGCAUUUGAUAUGUGCAUACUCAUGUGCUUGCUUGCAUUGCAUAAGUUUUUAAAUUCAAUAUGCAUGCUUGUGUGGUGUAUGCUAGUUAUAGAACUUGAUUGAUGAUAUGAUAACUAGCAUGCAUAGGUUGGUAGCUAGACUUGUGUUCUUCAAGUAAAGACUAGACCCUUGCUUAUAAUGUUGAUCUCAUGGGGUUUCUAGUGUUUUUGUUGUCUAGCUACUCAUGGUGCUAAGGAUGGUGUACAAUUGAAUGCCUCAAAUGCUAUUGAAUUUGGUAUCAAGCUACAAAGGUUUACUCUAUACACCUUAGCACUUAGUAGGGUUUUUUGGUGCUUAUCCAAAUCCUGACAUAGAGCUUAAAUGUUGGAUAAGUAGCAUAAAAUCCAAAUCAAGUUAGCAAUUUACACUUGUGUGAAGUGAUAGCUUGAAAAAGCUUAAUUUCCAUAUCUUUAUAUAGUUGUCAUCAAUUACCAAAAAGGGGGAGAUUGAUAGGUCCUUGUUUGGUUUUGGUAAUUGAGUGACAACUUAGGUGGACUAAUAGUGUUUAUGUGAGAUACACAGGAGAAUAGUCCACAGGUGAAGAUGUGAUGAUGGAGGAGCUCAUUGCAUAUGAGACAUGACAUGGAGUCAUGUGACCAAGGUGGAGAAGAUCAAGAUGAGGCUUGGCUCAAUGGACCGGUUGCAAGAGUGAAGGGCAAGUCAGAGGCUUUGAAGCAAGGGACCGCGUGUGACGGUGAAGCUUGAGCAAGACUUGACGCCGAUGGACUGAGGCAAUGGUGAAGAGCAAGUGAGGUCAAGAUCGAUGAACCAAUACGGUCAUGUUAUGAUAUGAAGUGGAUCAUAUCUUUUGGUGAUUGGUUGGUGCAUGUGUUGCAUCAACAUUGGAGGAGAUGGAAUGGAAAGCGCAAGGCAAAGGUAUAACCUAGGGCAUUUCCAUUUCACCGGUCAUAGGUGUGUAGAGAAGUUUAUGAUCGGAUUUAGGAUAGAUGGUCGUACUAUCAAGAGGGGCAAACUUGUUUGCAUAUCGGUCAUUUAGUGCCAGUUGAGCGAUCUAACUUUGCAUACAUCUUAGGAUCGAGUGGCGUGGCAAGUUUGAGAGGCUAACUCCUUUGGGAAAAUGUUUGUGAAAAUGCUAACACACAUGCACAUGGUGGUGUACACUUGGUGGUAUUCGGCGCUUUUGAGAAAAUUAAGUGCAUAUUUUCCAUUGCGCCGGAGGGAAUUUUGGAGAAGUCGCGGCAGUGUUUCUCAGUAGGAAACACUCACCGGACGCUCUGCGCGGAGGCACCGGACGCACCGGAGAGAGUCCGGUGCUCAGCGUCCGGUGUGUGAGCUGUUUGGCGACCCUCUCUGCGCAUGAGUCCGGUGAGCACCGGAAGCUCAGGGUGCGUCCGGUGACCUUGCGAGUUUGCAAAGCUCUCUGCGCACGGGUCCGGUGUGCAUCGGACACGUCCGGUGUGGACUAGUUGAGCGUCCGGUGGUGCUGUGUCUGGCGCGGGCGCGUGGUAGCCAUUGGCGGUAACGGUCGAGUUCAAACGGCUAGUGACACGUGGCCGACGCCUGAGCACCGGACGCUGGGGUUGAGCGUCCGGUGGCUCCCUGUGAGCGUCCGGUGCCCACGUGUUUUGCCCAGUGAAGGGGCAACGGCUAGUUUAGCCCUUGGGGCUAUAAAUAGAAGUGGUGGCCAGCCUUGGCUGGUGCUGAGCACCCUUGGGACUUAGUGUCCAUGCUUGGGGAGUGCUAGAAAAGCCUCUAACUCACUUGUUCUUGCAAGAGUGUGAAUCAAUAGCGAGUGAGUGAUUCUAGUGCGUUGCAUUGAGAGAUUGCAUCGAGUGGCACUAGGUGUUCGUGUUGCAAGCGGGUGGUGCUUGUUACUCUUGGAGGUUGCCACCUCCUAGACGGCUUGGUGGCUUGUGACUCCGUCGAAGCACACAAGGAGAUUGUGCGGUGCUCCGGAGAAGAGAUUGUGAGGGGUACGGUGCUCACCCCGUGGGGAUCGCGAAGAGCAACUCUAGUCGAGCGAGACGUGAAGAGCAACAAGUGGUCCGGCCGGGUCAAGUGCUAGAGCUUGUGGUAAGCACUCCACGUGGGAGAGUGUGACUUGCGGGUCACCACUAGCAAGAGGACCGGCGGCAACCUUGGAGCUUGUCUCAACGGGGACGUAGCUUGGUGGCAACCAAGUGAACCUCGGGAGAAAAUCAUCGUGUCAACAUUGUUCUUCCCGUUGGUUUGCAAGUCCCUAACACAAGCUUGUUCUUACUUUCAUAUAUUUGUGCUUGUGUAGUUGCUCUUGUAAUUAGUUAGCUUGUGUAGCUUGCUAGUUACCUUCUUGCUUGUGUAGCUAGAAGUAGUUCCCUUGCGUGACUAAUUUGGUUUGUGUAACCAUGUUAGUCACAUUGCUUAGUUUGUGUAGCUAAGUAAGUUGUGCUCUCUAAUUUGGCAUUAGUUGCCUUGUUAUUGAGCUUGCUAGUGAGCUUAGGCUUUGUGCGCUUUGCCUCACUAGUUUGAGUAGGAGCUCCCCCGGUUUGCAAAGUACUAGUUGCAUAGGUUUGUGUGACGUUGCUCCUAGAAUUGGUUAGGUGAGCUCUUGCUAAGGUAGCACCUUGCUUGCGUGUUUAGGAUCUUUUCAAGGUGCUAGAGAACUUAGAUAGAGGGGUGUAGUCUUGGCUAGACUGAUAGUUUUAAUUCCGCAUUUGUUUCGGUUAGCCGGCGUAAUAAUUUUUAGAAAGGACUAUUCACCCCCCUCUAGUCCGCCAUCUCGACCCUUCAGUCCGCGCCACGCCGCCGCAUAGGGCCACGUGCGUUGGCCACGACAAGCCGUGCCACGGGGCCCGUCCGUGCGUGAGUAGGGGAAGGGAGGGACACCGCCGGCCUCCUCCUACGCCGUCACAUCGCGCACGUCGCAGCGGCAGCCUAUAAGGAGCUCGCAUGGAGGGGUAGGGCGGCCGCGGCCACCGGCGACGGCCGCUCGCGCCACGGCACCGCGCAGGGCCACAUGCGUCGGCCGCGCGACGCCAUGCCGCGGGGCCCACCCGUGCGGGAGUGGAGGCAGGGGAGGGAGGCCGCCGAGCUUCGCCUACGUCACCGCCUCGCGCACGUCGCCGCCUCGGGAGGGAACGAGAGAUGGAGAGGGAGAGAGAGAGGAAGGAGAAAGAGGAUAAGAUGGGAGGGCAGGGGAGGAGAUAUUUCUCUAUUGAAUCAUGGAUGCGGCGUGGACUGCUACAGUGAACUACUUUUUUCCUCAUGUGAAGCCGUACAGGGCACGAGGCUAGGCCGAUUUCCUGCCUAGCUUAGCCGGCUUAAUAAGAGUAAAUACGAAGGAUAAGCAUCGAAGUGAAAUGGACCACGCCAAGCCGACAGCGCUUCUCCUGCAGAACCGGUGUCCCUCUCCCAGGCGCACUCCAGUAGACCCCUCCACUAAGCAAAACCAUAAGGAAAAUGUGAGUACGAAGAACAGAAAAGGAGCAAGCAAGAACAAAAUUAGUAAGUAAAAAUAAAUUCUCCAACAGGUAACAAAUCCCAGCCGCUCCGACGUCACCCACUGUUGCGAUAGAUGAACACCCGAGAAAAGCCCCAAUGUGGCAACCAAAUCCCAAUGCACCCUGUGGCCGAGGCAGUCGGCCGUCCACGGCGCCCCAGCGCCGCGUCCGCUUGCUGGCCCAGCCCCAAAGCACGCGCGCCCAUCCAAUAAAGCGCAUGGAGAAGAAGACAGCCCGUGCCCACCCAAACAAGCGCAGGGGAGAAGAACAUAGAGCCCUUGCACCCGGUACGUACGCGACACGGAAUGAAAAAGCUACCGGGCUGGGCCGGGGCAUGGAAGCUGGAAGCGGUACCUGAGCUCGAUGUGGCGCGGAGAUGGAGCUGGCGGAGGGAUGAGGCCGGCCGCCGGCGAGACGAUGGAGGCACCCGCAACGGUGGAAGGCGGGCAGCAGCUGCGGCGAGGCAGCGCGCGGCCGACCGAUUGAUUGGGGUAAUCGGGGUUUUGCCGCAGUGACGACAGGAGGCAGUGAGCAGCGAGGUAGGCAGUAGGCACGCGUGUCGCGUAAGCAGUGGGCUAAUGGGUGUACAGUAAAUGUCAUUUUUGCCCUUUGUGUUGGUUGCUCUUUGGUACGUUACCGCACCCGCAACGGGGGAAGGCGGACAGCAGCUGCGGCGAGGCAGCGCGCGGCCGAUCGAUCGAUUGGGGUAAUCGGGGUUUUGCUACAGUGACGACAGGAGGCAGUGAGUAGCGAGGUAGGCAGUAGGCACACGUGUCGCGUAAGCAGUGGGCUAAUAGGUGUACAGUAAAUGUCAUUUUUGCCCUUUGUUGGUUGCUUUUUGGUUCGGUACCGUGAUCAUCAACGGUGGGAUACAUAUUUUUUAUAGCAUCGUGUCCGUACGUUGUUAUAGUUUUAUUUAGAUAUAGGGCCUGUUUUUGGUUCCCUUGCUAAAGUAACUAAAAUUAUUUUAGCUAUUCUUGGGUGACUAAUGAAACUAAAUUAUGUUAACUCUUUUUAGUCAAUGUGUUUGGAACUUUAGCUACUAAAAUGACUAAAGUUUAGCUAGCUAUAACUUAGCAAGAGAAACCAAACAGGGCCAUACUUAGGCCUUGUUUACUUCUAAAAAUUUUGCAAAAUAUGAAUAGUAGCGUUUUCGUUUGUAUUUGAUAAAUAUUGUCCAAUUAUGGACUAAUUAGACUCAAAAGAUCAUCUCGCAAAUUAUAGAUAAACUGUGUAAUUAGUUAUUUCUUUUAUCUAUAUUUAGUGCUCCAUGCAUGUGCCGUAAAAUUCGAUGUAAUAGAGAAUUUGAAAAAUUUUGCAAAAUAUUUUUGGAACUAAACAAGGCCUUAAUAAAAACAACUAUUUUAAACAAAAUAACAAUAUAUUUUUUCUUAGUUUAUAGUCUCAGAUAAUUACAUAUGAUAAUUAAUAUAAUCAUGAUGAUGAAAAAGAACAAUAAAGACAUGUCUCAUAUAUUUAUACUAUAAAUAAUUUCUUAAUUGCUUAGUAGAUCUCAAAGCACUUCAGGGAUAAUGUUUGCACGUUCAUUUUGAUUACUUUGUAGAAUGUCCACCAAGCAUUCCGUCCUCAACGAACGUCCACUCUGUGAAUGCCAGAUAGUAAGUUAACUUAUUAAUUUGCUAUACACUAUACAAAAUUUACAUAGAGGAUAUAUACUUUAUAUGCUUACAGGGUGGAUAGACAAUCUUUUUCCAUCCUACUAUUUUAAAUAACUAUAUACAAAGAAGCGUGACAUUUCCCUGGAGAAGAGCAAGUGUUUAUUUGUGUUAGCUAAAUGACAUAGAAUAAUAUUACUAUAUAAUUUAAUUAAUAAUUGAGAACAUAAAUUAAGAAGAUAUUACUACUACAUAUUAUUUGGCCAAGUAAAAUAUUUGUAUCAUGGUGUCUAAUUUAACCCAUUCCGAUGGACAAACAAAGAAGAUAUUGCUUCAUUAUUACCUUAAUCAAGUGUCUUUGAUAUUGCUCUAGCUUUUUUCAUUGCACAAUAUUCACGUUGCUUCCUAUUUCUUUCAUUUCUUUGUUCAGUGGUUUCCUCGGCCCUUUUACGAGCGCGGUAUUCCCUCUUUAUUCUCUCUUCAUCUGCCAGUGAAAUAUAGUCUGUGUUAUUAGUUUCAGAUUUUGUUUGGGAAACUAACCAGUAUAGAUGGUCGCGAACAUACCAUGUCCGAUAGUGUUUGAUAUAUCGUAAAGUGUAGGGUGGGUUUGUCGCCGAUCCCCCAUUAUAGACCUGUAGCAAGCCCAUCGAUGAUGGCGUUCAUGUUAAUCUACAAUAGAAAACACAAAGCAAGUAUACUUACUGCUUUCAUCAUGGCGUUCGUCGUCUGGCCUAGUGCGUCAGUGUUUCCCCCUACGUGGCGCCCCUGUCUGCGUUUGACGUCGCGCCCUGGCCACGCUCCGGUGUCGCGUCCUGGCCGCGCGCCCGUUUGCGAGCCCCUGGCCGCGCGUGGAGUCAGGUGGCCAAGGCGCGGAGUCUUGGCGGUGCCCCAGCGACCCUCUGGCCGAAAGCCCCUGGUCGCGCGCCCCGUCUGCCCCGGCAAGCCCUAGCCGCGAGCCCUCGUCGUGGACAGGAGAAUGCGAACAGAGGGAAGAUACACGGUCGUGCGUGAGAGGGAGGUGGGGGCGGACUGAGGGAUGAAUGAGGUGAGUGAUGAGUUUGAUCCAAGCGUUUAUGACCGUUGGAUGUGAUUGAGUUAGGAGAAUGAGAGAUUAGAGUUAAUAUUGUCCCUUAAUUUUAGGAGAUAGAUCUUCCUUUGUGGAAUUUUUCGUGUGUACUUGGUGUAGCUUAUAACUGUAGUAGUAGUUUAUAGGGUGCAUAACUGAUGGAUUUAUGGUAAAUCUCAGUAACUACACCUGUGCUUUUUUACCUUAUACAAAUUAGAACUGAGGCUUGAUCCCUAUGAUUUCGUGCUAAAUUAUGUUUUUAUGAUUUUUUGUAUACAUAUAUGAUGGCAAUCCAACUUGAGUACCUAUCAUCCAAUUUGGUAUAUGUUGUUGACAACAACGAUCCCAUGUGGUCAGGAUGUUCGAAAACAAGAAAUCAUGUUCUUAGUUUUCUAGAAAGAGAACAACUGAACUUGGACAAUGGAUUGGAAUUGGGCGGAAAUGGUGAUAUUUAAUAGUAAAAAAACCCUCUCCAAUCAUAAAUACAUACAUCUCACUUUGGGCCUUGUUUAGUUCCGAAAACUUUAACACUUUCGUUUUAAUUUGACAAAUAUUGUUCAAUUAUGGACUAACUAGAUUCAACAGAUUCAUCUCACGAUUUACAGAUAAACUGUGCAAUUAAUUUUUGUUUCAUUUAUAUUUAGUGCUUCAUACACAUGCUGUAAGAUUUGGUGUGACAGGAAAUCUUAAAAAGUUUUUGGUUUUUAGAAUGAACUAAACAAGGCCUUGGUCAGUGGGGCGAAAUGCCUACUUGUAGUGACGCAAUUAUAGAAUGACUAGUAGGAAGCGCGCCGCCUGGGCGCGAGUUGUCGUGUAUUUCUAAGAUUAUACAGGAAAGCUACACAUGUUGCAUACAAUGGCCAUGUAUAUGAUUCAGGUCUAUUGAUGCAUAAAAAGUUAUUAGAGGAUUAAUACAGUGGCCAUCGAGGGCAGAAAUAAUAGACAAAUUCUGGGGCAAAAGAUGCAUAUUUAGUUUUAGCACGGUAAUAGGAAUAUAGGAUCAGAGAACGGAAACGAACACGGUCAUAUUGCCUAUGGUGUUAUAUGUACCAUACAGAGCCAUUACACAAGCUUAUCGGUAUUUUAUACAUUACUUCGUCAGUGGCAAUUUACAAAAGUUUAAGGGCAUUGAAGGUCCACUUUCUAAUGACAUGGACAUAUAUAGCUGGCUUUCUUGUUGGCUGCGCUGCCAAUUGUGACAAGAAAUUGCUGCAUCUACAUCCUGAGUACCUGCACAGGGAGCAAAUAGACUGUUUAGUCUCAUAAAGAAACAGUUAUUGUCUGGAAUACCUGUAAGUAGGGGAGUAUAUUUUUUUGGUCUACUAUGUAUACACAAUACGCACAACAGUGAUGCCUCACCAGACACAAUAGAAGCAAAUACUUCUUUAUAGACGACCCUUUUUUCAUUUAUACAACGGCCAUCCUCGGCUUCUAUGAAAUGGCUGUCACUACGUGAAACAUCCAAGUAUCAAUGAGAAAGAUGUAGUUGGUAGACUCGGUAAUCACCGGCCUAACUUGCCAGCCAAUGAAUGUAGAGACAAGAACAUCUUGAUGCAAAAAAAAUUAUAAUUUAACAAUGAAUGGACAUACGUAUCAGAAAUAUCUCUGUAAAUUCUUUUUUUUCACACAUGCAUACAAGAUUGAACAUAGAUAUAUAACAUAGACUGUAUUGGAAAGAUUAACUAGAUAUAUCUAAAAUAUAUUCAAUUUUGCUCAUGCUCUAUGCACCAGACAUCUUGGUAUGGACAAAUGGAUCUGCUGCGUGAGCAGGACUCUGAAAUCCAAAGGAAGGUAUGCAAGGCUGAAAACUAACAAAGGAAGCUGAACUAAACACAACAGGAGAAGGUAAUCUUUAUGUGGCAACUACUGAGCAUCCGGACCAUCAAGUUCUAUUUUUCAAAGCAUCAAGUCCUAUAUUUAAGGGAAAGUUGUCAAACAAAAAUGUGCCCUGCACGAAUAUUAUCACCUGCAAGGGAGGCAUGAAGCCUAUCCCAUCUCAUAAUUGAAGUGCAUGAGUCCACCCAAUUUCCCCAGUGAUCGUGGAUACGAAGAAUAAGUUGUGAUGCUAAACCAAAACAUAGAUGACUUUCCAAGUGUGCAGCCUGUAUAGUAAAAUAAGAAAGAAAAAUCAUAUUUUUGACAUGAAUGCAAGUAGUACCAAGUUGCUGGAUUGUUGACCAGUUGUCCAUUUUAUUUUGUAUUUUGAAACAUCUUUUCUUUUGAAUAACUUACUGAUAUAUCACGGUAAAUUAGAGAUAUCAUUCCGUAAAAAUCAAUUAAAAGAACUGUAAGCUGAGGAGAAAAGAACUGCACUUCCAGUGUCAUAGCUCGUGCUGCUUGUCCACUGCAUUCACAUCCCUUACCUGAUGAGUAUGGACGCACGAACGAAUUCGAACGAACCAACCUGCGGGGUAAACAAGGUAAUUAAACAAAAAGAAACACAGGAAUAUAAAUACAGAAGCAAAUGGGAAGGAGAGCUCUUUGAAUUUUAUAAUAUAUUCUACAAUAGGAAGGAACCAUCUACGAAAGAAAUUCAGAACAAGUCAUUCUCAUGCAUGAAGACUUUAUAUUUUAAUUAAAUGAAGUAAAUUUGCACUAUUCAUUUCAGACUUAGUCGACAAUUCAGGCUCCUGCUCAGUAGUUACACACCUGAGAACAAUCCACCAGCCGAACAAGCUGAAACCAUAGCAACUCAGCCAAGAAUAUUUUAGAUGAAAUUAAAUAUUUUUAGUCAAUAAGAAUACAUAUAUCAGACACAAGAGGUAGUCAUAUCCCCUUAUGAUUCCUUGUGCUUUGGCACCAUCCUGAUUCUCCCAAGAGGACUUGGCUUGUUCAAAUUUAGUCAUAUCCCCUUAUGAUUCCUUGUGCUUUGGCACCAUCCUGAUUCUCCCAAGAGGACUUGGCUUGUUCAAAUUCCUCAAACUGCAUUUCUCUGAGCUUCGUAUGUAGGCCUUCUUUAUCCAUGUCAAAUAAUUUGAUUUCUCCAGUUCGAACAGCUUUAAUAAAUCUAACUUUGUUCUGUGCCAUUUUCAAGUCGCAGCCAGCCAUUUCCACUAGCUUUUGCUGCAUAUUGACAAUUACUAAAUGUGAUAUCAAAUAGUCCAAAAAAUAUGUGCCAUUCAAUUAUUAAAUGGAAACGUACCUUUCUUUUCUCAUAAAAAGCAAGCCUGAAGUCAUAGAAUUCCUUAAGUACUGAAAUAAAUGACACAAUUUAGUUACAAUACGACAAAAGAAAUAAAAAAUGGAGGUCUUGUAGCAUAGAGGUAGUACAUACUUUGCUCUGGACUGUCAUACUUUUUAAUUAUGCCAUCUGAAUCCAACAAAUGCAUAUUUUAUGUUCCUAUUGAUGUUCUCAGUUCAAACUUUCACUGAAAAUCUACUUCAUUGGCUUGCGCCAAAUUCUCAGAAUUCUCGUGCAAGUGUAUCAUAAUUUCAACAUCAUUGCCGCCUCUCUUUUUUUCAUAACUCUAUAAAAUUAUUAUGAUUAAAAUCUAGUGGACAACAAUCAUUUCAUGAUUAAAACAUACUAUGUAAUCAAUUACCUUGAUGAAUUUGUCUUCUCCGACCAUAAAAGUUUUAAGCUACUUUUCAUAAUUCUCCAUCGAGAUCUUCACUGGGAGCUCACAUAUUUUUAGUGUAGUUUUCUCAACAACCUUUAUGAUACCACUAGCGGUAUAGGUAACACCUGAUUUCUUGGUCUUGGUAGUUUCGUUUUUGACACUCACUUCUCCCUGUUGGUUCAUGUACAGAAAAUAAAACACCAACAUUAGAUUUUUUAAGACAAAAAUAAAAACAGAAUUGUAAAAAAAAGCAUGUAUUACCAACGUGGAAAUGUGUGAACCACGGUUUCAUUUCUUCCAACGUCUCUGAUCCCUGUAUCAUUAGUUUCAAAUUGUGUACACUAGUACAGGGAAGGGCUUUAGCCCCGGGCCGUAAGCGCCUUUAGUCCCGGCUACGGAACCGGGGCUAAGGUUUCGGGACUAAAUGUCCCACCUUUAGUCCCGGUUCUGUGGACCGGGACUAAAGGUCCACCUUUAGUCCCGGUUGGUAACAGCAACCGGGACUAAAAGGUGCGCCAGGGUGUGCCACCUGGCCUCCACUUUUAGUCCCGGUUGUUGCUACCAACCGGGACUAAAGACUUUUUUCUUUUUUCUUUUUUCUUUUUUCUUUUUCUUUUCAUUUGGUUUUCCAUUUAGGGUUUACAAUUAUGUUAUGGUUUUCCAUGACUGUACGUACAAUAUCUUUGGGAUUGUAACAAGGAAUCUUUGUUCUCCAUCCGGUACCAAUUCCUUCAGCUCCAUUGACUAAAUCAUUGGAAGGAUUGGCAAAUACCUAAAAAGUGACAACCAGGCCUUAGCUACUUAUUAUAAAGGUCAAAUUGCCGAGGAUGGAUGGAGCAAGUGGUGCCUAGUUAUUACCAUGAAGGUUCAAUUGAUUGCCCAUCUUCAUGCAAAUAAUCGAGUAGAAUAUCAUCAUUUUCAUUAAAUAUCCUGCGAGUGAUACUUGAUAACUCUGUGAAGAUAUAUCUAGCACUAGCAGCAUCUUUGCCUCCCUAAAAUGAAAAACAAGCAUGAAUAAAAUGUUUAACAACUAGUUUUCUCAUAGUGGCUUGUUAACUCACCUCUAAUUUUGUACCAAAUUGCCCAUUGGGACGCAAAAGAUUGAUAUUGUUGCUUCCAACAAAAUCUUGAGCCAUUCUUACUAUUGUGUUUGAUAGAUUUUCUUCACCGUGAUGAUAAGCAGAACAUUCUGCCACAGACGCGGUGAACUUUGCCACCUGUGAUCAAGUAGUAAAUUAGCAAUAUUAUAAGGCUAAUUUAGAGAGAACAUGACACAUAAAUCAUAAUAUGGCAGCCCAACCAGAGGCUCAACCCAUUUCUACUUAUAAGCUAGGACUAAAGCUUUGGAGUGGAUAUGAUUCUCAUCAUCAUAGACUAUAUGGAACAAGCUUGAGAUUGACAACCCACAAGACAAGAGUUUCAAGCAAGCUAGUCUACCUUUAUAUAUUCAGGUGCCAGUAUACAUAAGGAAACUAAAACUAAAUAUAUAAUGGCGAUCCAAUCUAAAGAAACUAUGGAAUACAAAAGAUCGAAGCCUACCAUAUUCUCGGCCAUAGCGCCGUCUGAUAUCAAAAUAUGUGGAAAAGAUUCAUAUUAGAAAAAACAAAUGAUAGUUGGGAUGCCAUACCUUUGUUUCCUUGUUCAAUUUUUUCUUAAAUGUGCUGAACAUUAUCUUUCUCUGCCCUUUUUUUAAAUCCAUCUACCAUUGAUGGUAUAGACCGAUGCAUGUCUAAUACCAUGUAUAAUGUGAGCCCUUUCUUAAUGAAGUCAAGGAUUCUUAUCGUUUUCCCAGUUUGAAGAAGUACACUUUCUUCAGGAUGAAAUUUUUGUUAUCACAUUAAUGUUGGUCCUUAAAUUAACCUAAAUGAAUCUUUAAAAAUAAUAUCAAGACCGACCUUGCAGUUAUGAAGAAAGUUAUAAAUCCAUUUCUUCCUUUCCUCCACUUUAUGUUUACUGAAUGCUGUCUUGAUAGCCUUAUCAUCUUGUUCAUUCAGCCACACAAAAUAUUUCUGAUGGAUGUCAAUAUCUUUGAAAUAUUGCGUCCCUUCCUUAAGUGUGCUCGUGCCUAACCCCUGUAUAUAUGAAAAAUGUCCAAGUUGAAGACCACAUAGAAAAAUUUAAAUGAUUAAAAUUUGAGCAAAAAACACACCUUAUAGUACUUUAUAGACCAUUUACUUAAUUCUGUCCCAUGUUUACUUUUCUCCCAUGCCGUAUACUCGUUUAGUGUAUAGAAAACCUGACUUGGACAUUCCCCUGUAUAAUCUGUAACCCAAACAAGUUUUAAUCCGUGACAUGGUAAGUUUUAUGAGUCUUAAUAACUAAAACCUUAAAAAAAAUGUUAAAGCAAGCAACAAGUGGCAUACCUUUACAAGUGGGGUAACUAAUUCACACAAAAAGGAUUUGGACUUAAUCUUCAGAAGGGAAGGCCAGAAACAUGAAAUAAGUUAAUGAUCAAUCCUUUAAUAUGAAAUCCACCUAGAUCCUGGUCGGUCAUGACCAUAACUUUACCAUAUCUCAAAUCCUUAAAAUCCUUUUCAUCAUUAUAGUGGUUUUUGUAGUCUAAACCAAUAAUCUUUCUCAUAUUGUUAAUUUCCUCAUUGUCCAAGAUCUUUUUCAAAGACGCAUCUCUCACAUUCAGUAGCUUACCCUUCAAUGCAAGAACUCCAAAGUAGUCCCUAUGAACAGAACCUAGCUGCAGAGGAGAACAAAACUUACUCAAUACUCUUGUAAAUAUAAAAGGAACAUUUGUGCAAUGAAAUGUGCAAUCAACAGUUACUAAUUGUAGGGGAACUUCAAUAUAAGAAUAAGAACUACGUGGAAAAUAAUUUUUCUAACAUCUUCAUCUAAUCAUUAACACAUAUGUGCACAUAUGAAACUUGGGAUUCCCAAAUACAAGUCCGAUUAUAACCUUUUAUCCUAAAGACUCAAGUCCGAUCAUAACGUUUAAUCCUAAAGACUCAGCUGACUAAAAAAAUCUGAAUCAAAACCUUUUUGCCUCGAUUAAACUCUUGGCUGAAAUUUGAGUUUUUCAUAAAAAUCAAGGAAACUUGGGACAGACCACACUAAAUCACUAAAUCUGCCAUUGAUACUUGGUGUAUCAAAAUGGACUUAAUUAAUAAAGGGUUGGAGUCAAAGUCUAAAAGAUCAUACUAGAAAAUACAAUAAUUUGCUAAAAACGAGUUGGAGGAGUUAGAAAAAUAGGAGGAGCUUGAUGUGCUCAAGCUAGAUAUAAAGUCUUCCAUUUAAUCUAAGUUUCAUGGAAGAGAAGGAUAUGGCAUAAGGGAUCUAAUUCUACGUGGUUGUUGAAAGAUCAUAACAACUCUGAGUACUUUCAUAGAAUAGCUCAUGGUAGAAAGACAAAGAACACCAUUUCUUUGCCUAAACCAUAUUCAGAUAAUUAUUGAGGGGGAUGCUGCCAUCGUGGAGCAUGCUUCUUAAUAUUAUAAUUUCUGCUAGAAUGUCUUGGGCACAAGGGGUUUGACAAGAGAUAGUGUGAACGGACUACUUCUGGCACUAAUAAGAUUGAUGUGGCUAAAAAGAGAUUCUUUUGCCAAGGUCAUUUGAAGCGGAAAUACCACUUGAUCAAAUGGAAUGAGAUCACUAAGCCCAAAAACAAAGGAGGGUUGGGGGGUCACAGACCUAAGGAAAAUGAACAUCAGUCUCCUAUGUAAAUGGUGGUGGAUGGUGGUGGCUGAGAAUGGAUGUGGAAUAUGAAAAGAUAAUAUUAGGAAGAAAUAAUAAUACCAGUUUCGGACAUGAUAAGUGGUGUGACCAAGUCUCCUUAAAAGACAAGUUCCAGAAUUAUAUGAUAUCAAUGUUGAGCAAAACGUUCUGUUUCUUUUAUGAAACAAAGAAGUUAGCAUCUCUCUUAUAGAAGAUGGCUCAAUUGAGAAGGUUACUGUUAGAAUAUAAUUGUAACAGCCCAUAUUGGGCUUACAGCUCAUUGGCCUUGUACUCCUAGCCUGACUUGUAUUAAUACUACAUUGUAACUUGUAGAUGUACUGCAAGCCUUCUAGGCUUUAUAGUGAAGGUCACCCCCUGGUUAGGGUGUGCGGUGUUUCUACAUGGUAUCAGCCUAAUUAUGAUUUUUUCCUUCGGCUCGCACCCCCCCACCCCCUACCCAUGCGACCUCUCUGAGGCCGUGCGCCACCGCACCAGGCCGCGCCGGCCCCAGGCCACGCUCAGGUCGCACCGCCGCCAGGCCGCGCUGCCCAGCCACGUCGCCUCCCUCAGGCUGCGCCACUGCCAGGCCACGCCGCCUUUUGUGGCCGCGUCGCCGAUCCAGAUCGUGCUACCGUCGAUCCAGAUCGCGCUAACGCCGAUCCAGCCACGCGAUCAUCUUCUUCACGCUGCAUCGUCAUGACGACUCCGGCCAUCGACUCUAGCACGUCCAGCUCGACCUCCUCGGCGACCUCUGGUGACGCCAUGGCAGACGCCCUCGCUCCUCCGUUCUUCGCCGCGUACGCCGUCAACGUCAAGCAGCACGUGCCGAUCGUCCUCAGCCUCGAGCGCCCCAACUUCAACAAGUGGAGGGCGUUCUUCACCGCCCUCUGUGCCAAGUACGGGCUCCUUGGCCACACCGACGGCACGCUGCCCGCACGUCCGGCAAAUCCUACAUGGUCUCAGCCCAAUGCCUGCAUUUGUGGCUGGAUGUAUGGCUCUGUCGAUGAUCCAAUCCUUGACUUUGCCAUUGACGACGCCGACCACGACGCCCACGCCCUCUACGUCUCCAUCGAGGCCUUGUUCCAAGCUAACAAGGAACCCCACACCGUCGUCCUCAGCCAGGAAUUCCACACCAUGUUCCAGGGCGACCUCUCUGUCGACACCUACACCCAGAAGCUGAGCGCAUGCUGCGCACCUUGAACAACACCGUUCGCACACUUCUGGUUCAUGCAGCCUUGCCCCCAUCUUAUUGGGUGGAGGCUCUCUCCGCCGCUGUGUUCCUGCUCAACCGGCGGCCAUCCUCGUCCAUCAACAACGGUAUACCAUAUCAUCUUCUCCAUCACAAGAUGCCCGACUACUCCAUCCUUCGAGUUUUUGGUUGCUUGUGCUAUCCAAACCUUAGUGCCAUGACUCCCCAAUAAUUAUCUCCUCGCUCUAUGGCGUGUGUCUUUCUCGGUUACACUCCUUCCCAUAAGGUCUAUCGGUGUCUUGACCUUUCCACUCGCAAGAUCAUAAUCUCGCGACACGUCAUUUUUUAUGAGACUCACUUUCCGUUUGCGGCUUCCAAGGCCCACUCGGACUCUUUUGACUUUUUGUUACAAGACAUACUGCCCGUGCCUCCUCCGUCCACCUCGGACAAUGAGGCCAUGAUGCCCCAGGAGGAUGCCACUAAUGCCGGUGACCCCGUUGGACUGGACCUGGCCAUUCUGUGGCAUGGCUCUGCCCUUGGGUGCCCUUGGGUGCCUCGCCCCCACCGCCAGCCCCCUCCGCAGGCAGCGUGGCUGCUCCUGUAGCCGCUGCAUCACGGACAGCAGCACCGCCUCCUCUCCGCGUCUACACUCGGCGUCCUCGUCCGACUCCACCAGCGGCCACCGCUCCUACAGCUGCAGCGGCAGCACCGGUGGCGGCACCGCCAGUCCCAGCUCCUCCCUCCCGGGAGACGCGAUCCCAGACGGGAUCGUUACCACCACCCAUCCAGCAAUACAGUUUCACUACAGGUUCCAUGACGCUGGCUUCCCCGCUGCCCACCAACUCACGUGCUGCUAUGGCGGAUCCUAAUUGGCGGGUGGCCAUGACCGACGAGUACAAGGCGCUCAUCGACAAUGGCACCUGGCAUCUUGUACCUCGACCACCACGUGCUAAUGUGAUCACUAGCAAGUGGGUCUUCAAGCACAAGUACCAUGUUGAUGGCUCUCUCACCCAUCACAAAGCACGGUGGGUCGUUCGUGGUUUUUUGCAAUAGUACGACAUCGAUUAUGACGAGACGUUCAGCCCGGUUGUCAAACCGGCCACCAUCCGCGUCGUCCUCAGCAUCACUGCUUCUUCAUCCAGGCCGAUUCAUCAGCUGGAUGUGAAGAACGCAUUUCUCCACGAUCAUCUGGAUGAGACUACCUACUGCCAACAGCCACCUGGCUUCGCCGACCCGGCCACCCCCGACCGCGUCUGCCUCCUGCAAAAGUCCCUGUACGGACUUAAGCAGGUGCCCAGGGCUUGGUACCUGUGGUUUGCCGACUUCGUUCAGCGCUCCGGCUUCACUGCUUCGGUCUCCGACACGUCCCUCUUUGUUUACAAGGACGGCGCCGACGUCGCCUACGUGCUGCUCUAUGUCGACGACAUCAUUUUGACUGCUUCGUCGCCUGUUCUACUUCAGCACAUCAUCUGACUUCUUCACUCUGAGUUUGCCAUGACAGAUCUCGGAGAGCUCCAUCACUUCCUCGGGAUCUCUAUCACGCGGACCUCCGACGGCCUCUUCCUCUUCCAGCGACAGUAUGCCAUGGACCUGCUCUAGCAUGCCGGCAUGGCCGAGUGUCACUCUACAGCAACUCCUGUGGACACUAAGGCCAAUCUCUCAGCUACGGAUGGUGCUCCGGUGGCGGAUGCUACCCAGUACCGCAGUCUGGCUGGCGCUCUAUAGUACCUCACGCUAACUCGUCCAGACCUUGCCUAUGCCAUCCAGCAGGUGUGCCUCUUCAUGCAUGACCCGCGUGAGCCUCAUCUGGCGUUGCUCAAGCGUGUCCUCCGGUAUGUGAAGGGCACUCUGUCCACCGGGCUUCACCUUGGUGUUGGUGGCAUCGACAGUUUGAUCGCUUACUCCGAUGCUGAUUGGGCUUAAUGUCUAGACUCUCGGUGCUCCACUUCAGGCUACUGUGUCUUCCUCGGUGACAACUUAGUCCCUUGGUUCUCUAAACGACAAACUAUGGUUUCUCAUUCGAGUGCGGAGGCUGAGUAUCGUGUCUUUGCUCACGCUGUGGCUGAGACUUGUUGGCUCCGACAGCUGCUUCAGGAGCUCCAUGCGCUCAUUGCUUCAGCAACGAUCGUCUACUGUGACAACGUCAGUGCCGUCUAUAUGACUGCCAACCCAGUACAUCAUCGUCGCACGAAGCACAUUGAGAUAGACAUCCACUUUGUUUGUGACAAAGUGACCUUGGGACAGGUUCGGGUGCUCCAUGUAACAUCGUCUCAUCAGUUCGCAGACAUCAUGACUAAAGGGUUACCUGUACAGUUGUUUCCUGAUUUUAGGUCUAGCCUUUGUGUUCGUGACACUCCCGCUUAGACUGAGGGAGGGUGUAAGAAUAUAAUUAUAACAGCCCGUAUUGGGCUUACGGCCCAUUGGCCUUGUACUCCUUGCCUGAAUUGUAUUAGUACCACAUUGUAACUUAUAGACGUACUGCAAGCCUUCUAGGCUAUAUAAUGAAGAUCACCCCCGUGGUUAGGGUGUGCGGUGUUUCUAUAGUUACAUGAUAUCUUAUACCACAAUACUAAUGAUGAUUGUGAUAGAGCAAGAUGCAAGUUCCCUCAAUUAUAUGAUAUCAAUGUGGAACAAAACUGUUCUAUUUCUUUUAUGAAACAAAGAAGUGAGCAUCUCUCUUUUAGAACAUGGCUCAAUUGAGAAGGUUACAUGUUAUCUUAUACCACAAUACUAAUGAUGAUUGUGAUAGAGCAAGAUGGGAGUGGGAAAAAUCUGGGAACUUCUCUAUCAAAUCUACUUAUAAGAAGCUAUGUAGGCAUGACUGUGGGCCUAACUUCAAACAAGUUUAGAAGGCUAAGAUACCUCUGAAAUAUAAACUUUAAAACAAAAAUGGAAAGGUGAUGAAUCAGGAACGGAGAAGGAAACUGCAAGUUUGGUGCUAAUUGUAGACCCAGCAGUUUGGAGCAAUUCUGGAAUUAGUUUCAUUGGAUUAAGUUUGGUGCUAAUUGUAGACCUAGCAGUUUCGACCAAUUAUGGACUUGAAUUCAUUUGAUUAUACCAAAGGGUAAAUCUGUCUACAUUUUGGGCUUAGGCAACUGUUUGCUGGGUGCUGUGGUUAACUCCAAAUGCCACAUGUUUUGAUAACAAGAGGACUAGACCUCCUAGUCAGAUCAUGUCUUAUGUGUUUUGUCAACCAGAUGUUGGAUUGCUUGGCACGCUUGGACAGGUGUUUUUGCUAGUUCUACUGGUUGGUGAUCCCUUAGUGAUUAGCCUAGUGGCCAGGAUUAACUUUUUUUAUGUUUCAUAUCGCACUAAUAAAAUUUGGUUUUUAAACUUAUGUUACUCACAUGUUGUCAAUAAAAAAAAGAACAUAUGUGCAAUCAAAUGUGCAACCAACAAUACUCUUGUUAAUAAAAAAGGAAUAUAUGUGCAAUAAAAUAUGCAAUUGACAAACUUAUAAUUGUAAUACUCACAGCUAGAGCUUUUGCUGAGUCUCCUUCGGUAAUAAUCAAAGUGCAUUUGUGAGAGUCCACUCCACCAGCACGAGUUGCAUCCUCAAACUUCGUUGGAUUUGCUUCAGUGUUUUCAUCCUCUUCUUUAAGUGCCCAUGCAAGUGUCUCCUUUAAAGCACAUCUAAAUAUUUCUUUAAAGAUAAAAGAAUGUGCCACUGAAAUUUUUUUACUUCAUAUUAGCAAUACACGGGCAUCAAAGUAACAUACAACCUACAUUAUUAAGAAAACAAAACCACAUACCUUGAGUGAGAAACUCCUCGAACUUAGCAUUUCUAAGAGCAGAUCAAUGUAAAUUUCUGCAUUAUCUGUUUACUUUAUAUUAGCAAUAUGGAGGCUUAUAAGCAACACAACUUACAUUUUAAAAAAAAACACACACACAAUCACAUACCAUAAAAAAAGGGAUAGUCCGCAUUUAUGAAGACCCAUAAGUGGCACUUCACGUCACCUGUCUGUAUCUCAAUGUUCUGAACAUUCUUCAUUUUCCUUUUUAUUGAACUUUUCAGAUGUUCUUCAACAUGUCUUGUGAUAGUAUCAAAUUGAACUCCUCCCUCUAUUACAACACCAUUAACAAAGUUGAACUGAAAAAAUACAAAGAUAGUGAGUUGCAAAACAAACGCAGCCGAUAGAGAAUAUAGCCUACAUAACUUUGGCUGGGAACACAAACCUGUUGGUAUUGGCCAUUUCUGCUUAAAGUAAUACACACCUCCCCAGCAAAGGCUAACUUUUGUUAUACACUGAAAUAAAAUACAAGAGUAAAUAAUUAAAAAACAAACAUAUGGUUUCGUUUAUCCUAAAUAAAACUUAUGUUUUUAUGAAAAUUUUAAACCUUUUUGAUGUCUUCUUGGAAGGAGUUCGCAGGUACAAAUCCACAUAACUUGAAAAAAUAUUAGUGAGCAAAUGGCCAUCUAGAUGAACCUUUAGUUUCUAGUUGUUUCUUCUUUUGUAAAGUGCAGCCAGAUCUACCACCCUUUUUCUCAUAAGGGCUGCCAUAUCAUCUUGAAGCUCAUUACAGUAAAAACUGAAUGUGGUCCAAUGACACCCAUUAGAGCAUUUUGUGAUUUGAGAAUUUCUUUUCUUCCCAGGUUUGCCAUAAAAAACCUAAAUUUGUGUUGAAUAAGAUAUGAAAUUAGUGUUUAGUUAAGUUACACCUUUUAUGCUACUACUAAUUUCUAAACUAAGUAGAGGUUAAAAUAAACAAUACACAUUAGGUGACAACAAAAGUAGUAAACACAGGACAUCAUAAAUCAAACAUUAUGACACAAAUAAAAAUUUAUACUUGUAUUUAAGUACUCCCUCCGUAUCGGAUUUAGAAGUCGCUUUCGACAAGGUUCGAGUCAAAUAUUGGGAUUAUAAAUCAUCAAUAACUUUUAAAUUGUUGAGUUUGCAAAUGUGAAAAUUAUAUGAAUAGAUUUGUAUUGAAAAAUACUUUCAUAAAAGUAUAUCUAUAUCAUUUUUCCUAAAUAUUUAUAAAAAUAAGAGGUCAAAGUUGUGUUUUGGAGACCAUGUCACUAUUCUAAACAACUUCUAAAUUCGAUACGAAAAGAGUAAAGAUUUAUCUACCUUUUAUCUAAAAAACACUCUAGAAUAGACCCUAACAACAAAAUCAUACUCAAUCCAUCCAUCCCAAAAUAUAGCAACCUAGGAGGGGAUUGGACACAACCUAGUAUUUUGGGAGUAAUUAACAUGGUCAUUUAAUGCAAAAUAUAAUUUGAAUAAGCCUUUAGUACGAAGCACUAUACCUUCUUGCAUUUCUGGUCACUUGCAUUAAAUGUUGUGAUCACAAAUCGUGAAAAGAUGGAUGAGCCUUGAGGAUCCAUAUACUUUCUAAUGGAGGAGUUUCUGAGCAAGAGAUUAUCCCAGGGGUCGAAGUUAUCAUUUUCAAUCGGAAAGAAAACUCCAAAGCAAUGUAUGGAGAUAUAGCUUGUCCACUUUAAUGUUAACAUCCAGGUCAAUCUUGUCGUUUGUAAGGAUCUCUGUAUGGAGUUCUUGUUCAAGUUCAAAAGACAUUAAUAUCUCAUCAAAUAUAGUUUGUAGAAUUGGGAUGUAGUUGACAUUUCGAUGCACCAUGGCAUGGCCAUUGUAAACCCAUUGCAUUUUUGUUUGCAUCUUUAAUAAAUAGUGCUUGUCAAGCACCUGGCAAUGAGAAAUUUUACUACAUUUGUGAGGGCUACGGAAAAGAAAAAACGAUAUGUGCCAAUGAGUAAUAUUACUACAUUUGUGAGGGCUACAGAAAAGAAAAAAAAUGAUAUGUGCCAAUGAGAAAUAUUACUACAUUUAUCUAGAGGGGGGAGCUAACGGCUCGUUGAUUGCUUGGAGAGGGGGUGCCAGCUCAUUGAUGGCUUUCCGCUGGCUCUGGGUUGCAUCGCCGCUCGCUAGGGGACGCUUGCGAGGGUGCAAGCCACUAGCGGCUGCGUCGCCGCUCGCCAUGGUACGCUUCAUCUUGUCAGCUUGGACAAAUGCACCGAGAGGGAAAAUUUUCCAAAAUAGUAAGUGAGCAUUGUGUGGUCUAAUAUAACUUAAGGAAUCUACAAAAAAACAACAAAACCACUUGAAAACGGGUAAGUAUGGCCACGUGCUUGUAACAACGUUGAAAAUAUCUCAUGGUAGACAAUGUUCGUUUCAUGUGUGCAGUCAACAUUCAUAUGCUCUAUCAAUAUCUCUAGAUCUCUUUGAGGUGACAUGUAAAACAGCAACAUACAAGCAUCGGUAAAUACAGGCUUUUUUGGGUAGUUACCAGCAUUGGACAAUGUCUACCCUUGGCUCCUAUUGAUAGUCAUUGCAUAGCAUACCUUAACUUUAAAUUGGUGCCUCUCUAGAACAAAGGGCAGCUUUGUAUUUGUAAGUGUUAGACAAAUCCUUGGAAUCAGAACAACAUGCCCCAUGUGUGUGACGGUCAUUGUCUAUAUAUGCUUCUAUUAAAAUAUUGAAGGGCUAUGAAUGCAGGUGCAAAGAAGAAAUAUGCUGUAACUGUCCACAUUGGUUCGUAUGUCACGCUCUCUCAACUAUCCCGCUCUACUUCACCCCCCCCGAACUAUAAAACAGGAUAUUCUAUCCUAUGAAUUUUUCAAAACCGGUCAAAUAACACCCUUGAGCAGUUUUGAAGGGUGUUUUUGUCUUUUUAUUUUUAAUUUAUUUCCGCCGAAUCUUUGAAAAUCAUAAUAAAUAAAAAAAUUAUAAAAUAAAAAGUCUAAUUUUGUUGAACUUUUGAUGAGUAGAUCUACACAGUGCAUAUAUAAUAUGGUAUACUUUAGUACAAAGUGUUUGCUGUGGUACACAGUGAAUAUAUGCAGUUUCUAUGGUCUAGUUAUGGUAAACUUUUUAUGGUGGGCUCAUUAUUAUAUGCUUGAACUAUGGUAAAAAUUUUAUACUCAUUCAAUCACGUAUAACUUAGUUAUAGAUAAAGCAUAGAUAACAAAAAUAAGGCUAAAUAAAUCUAUAACUAAGUUAUACAUAAUCUAAUGUGUACGAAAUAAUUACUAUACAUCAACCAGGCAAUAAUUAGCUCAUCAAACAAAUUCACCAUAAUUUGAUGAUAAAAACUGCAUAUAUAAAUUAUAUAUUCUAAUUAAUUAUAGAAAAACAUAGAUCUAAUUGUAUAGCAAAAACUUUAUACUAAGCAUACCAUAUUAUAUAUUCACUGUAUAGAUCUACUUAUGUGGAGUCCAACAAGAUUAGAUUUUAUAUUUUAUGAUUUUUCUUUAAUUUAUUAUGAUUUUUCAAAGAUUCAACAAAAAUAAAUUAAAAAGAAAAAGACAAAAGCACCCUACUUGAGGGGGUUAUUUGACCGGUUUUAAAAAGUUCAAAGCGUAGAAUAUUUUUAUGAAUAAUUUAUGAAUAUGACCGGUUUUAUAGUUUAGGAGGUAAAGUAGUCCACUCUAGAUAAUUUAUGAAUAUGUAAACUUUUUCUAAAGAGAAAUCACGGCCAGCAGAAGAAAAUAGUUCCCUUAGAAGGCACAGUCGCAGCAAAGGGCACAACAAUCUCAAGCAAACAAGCAUCUAAGGCAAGCCACACCUAGUUGCCGCCCCCCCUCUCUCUAGGGCAAUCAUAAAAGCAACUAGUACAAACUACGCGCCCUUGCGCGCGAGGAAAAGUGAGCAUCCAGUGAUGUAUAGUAAUUAGAGUACAUUGAUCAAUACACACUUGCUGUAUGUAUAUAUUACAUAUGGCUGCAUAGAGUACAUUGUUAUAUAAGUAUCUAAGUACAUAUUACAUAUUACACAUAUUAGCAUGCAUCAGCUGAUAAAAGGGUAGAUAUAUAAGUAUUUUUGAGAUGUAUAUUUCACAUAUUGGAUAGAGUAAUCUUAAGUAGAGCUAGUGCCGAACAUUCUAUGAUUGGUCUGGAUGUUACAUUUCCGUGUCAUGCUCCCAGAUUAACAUUCUAUAAAUCUCCUUGCCCUCUUGAUGAAACACUGCUCCUAAAUCUAUCUGAUGACACACUCCAGCCAUUAACUGCUGUAACAUCCCUGAUGUUACGGUUACAAAAAAACGGAUCAUGUCAUCAUAAGCAUUGCAAAGCAUAAUUGUUAAAGCACAUUAGUAUGCAUCAACCUAAAAUAAGUUUACUUUGGUUGCUUGAGCUUAGGGAAGUAGAGUGGGCUUCUGUGAUGUGUUUUUGCUUGUGUGGUUGCUAAAACCCUAGGGUGGAAGUUUUCCGAAAAGCUAAGGGGGGAAAACCCUGAUUUCUGGAUCCUAGAAUUGCCCCUUUUUGUUUAAUUCAAAAACUAAGCAAAAUUUGAGGUUGAGUUCAAAAGCAAAGUUGUAGAUCUUGGCAAGAUGUACAACUUUGGUGUUUUGAGUUUUUGAAGUUUCAAUGCAAGAUUCAAAGUAAUUUUGAAAAUACAGAUUUCUAGAAAGUGUCCCCUUUUCCAACUUAAAUUCCCAAUUUAAAAUCCAUUUGGAAUUUUGAAAAGUGGUCAACAUUAAAGUUGUAGAGCAUAAAAAGUUGAGCAACUUUCAUGUUGGGAGUUUUUCAAGUUGUUAUACAAAAUCAAAAGUAAUUUUGGAAAUUCUGUUUUGCCCCAAUUCAAAAAUUUGGAAUUUCUUUGAUUUGAGUUUGAUUUUCAAACUGUUUGGCCAAAUACACCCUGUUACACUCAAAAUCAGCUCUGGUCACCAAAACAUAUUUUGUAGCUUAUAAAAUUUGGAACAACUUUUGUUUUGACACAAAUUUGACUCCAGUUCAAAUUUCGGCUGAAUUUCACAAAAUCCAGAAGAGAGGGGAUAAGGGUUGCUACAGUGACCCGAUAGGGAUCACCGGCUCCCUGUCCAGCGCGGCCGCCGUGCGCGCAGCGCCGCGUGCGCGCGCGCAGGCACGCAGCUGCUUGCUGCCAGGGUCGCCAGGCGACGUGGACGCCUCGGGCUCGCCUUCCCCUCCACUUGAGCACCGACGUGGACGACGCCGUCCGUUUCCACUGUCCACGGCCGGAGAAAACUCGACGUCCCUCUCCCUGAAAUUCACCGUACCCAGUUCCCCUCGCGCCAAAUUGAGUAACCCAGCGUCUUCGUCACCUUCGUGCGGACCCAGUGCACCCCCAAGCUCCCUCUCUAACCCACCCAGUCGCCAGAACCUCUCUGCUCUUCUCCAACUCCGGCCGAGACCGCCGCCGCGGAGCUCUUCCCGUGGCCACGGUGUUCCAGUGAGUAUCACACCCCGCUGGCGACUGUUUCAAGUCCCUUCCGUGCCCCGGUUGCUCAUGCUCUCGCUCCUUCUCCUUGAAUGUGAGCAGGAUCGCCGGAACAAGCUUGCCGGAGCCAGAGCUCCCGCCCGACGACACUGCUUCCGUCGCCAGCGGCUUCAGCUGCUUCUCCGAGCCUUGCAGCGUGAGCACCACCCUCCCCAACCCCUAUGGAAGCUCGCUCGGCCGUUGGCUUACACUCUAUCGGGCCCUAGCGGCCGGCCGAGGGUCGGCCAUGGCGGCUGCCCGCCCUUCUCGUGACCGAGGUAGAAAGAGUAGGGUAGAGCGUGGGUAGGGGGUGUCCACAGGGUCGCGGAGUUGAAGCGAAGCUGAUGCGCACGCGCACUCCGGCCGAGACCCUCGCCAACGGCGGCCGGAGCCGUGGCCGAACCGCCGUGCGCGGGGAGGACGCAGCUGACGGGUGGGGUCGCCCCGUCAGCGUCCCGCAGAGAGAGGGCCUGACGAGCGGGACCCGCUCGUCAGUGACCGCUCAGAGAGAAGGGGCGGCGCGCGCAGCGCGGGUGCGGGCCGAGCGCGUGUGGGCCGGCCUGCGGCCCAGUUCCCAGACAGCCCACUGCACAGUGUUGCUUUUCUUUUUCCUUUUUGAUUAAAAUUGCUUGAUGUUUGAAAUUGUGUAAUAAAUCCGGUGCUAAUCCAAAAAUGAUGAAAGUUUUUGUAUAGGUUCCAUAAGGUGGGUAGAACACAAGAAAAAUAGUGGAUUCUGUUUUCUGGUAGUUUGCAUGUUUGUAAAAAUUUGCUCUUUUAAUUAAUGAAUAAAACUUCUAGGAAUUUUAAUAAUUUAUUUGUAUGUCCAAAAAUCACCAAAAAUUGUGGGGAGCCUCUGAAUAUUAUUCCCUGGCUCCACACAAAAUUUGAUGACAUUUGGAUAAUGUUUGAUUAGAAUACUAAUAAACCCUUAUUUAGUACUUAAGUAAUAAUUCCAAAACCAUUAAAUAAUAAUUAAUUAAAUUCUCAUGAUUAGGGUUGAGUGAUUUUGGGAUUGUGUGAUGACCUGAGGUCAUUAACCCUAAUGACCCUUGGCAUUUAAUUAUUAUUUAGCCUUAAUGCUUAAUUACUGUCAUUAGUAAUUAAUUAAGAAUUAAUUAAGGUAAAUAGGUUUAAUAAUUACUUAAUGUAAGAUAAUUAUGAAUUAAGUAAAGUCUUAGUUUACAGAUGAAACCUCUUGGGUAAAAAUAUUAAGUUAUUAAACAACUUUAUUUAGUGACAAUUCUGUAUUGCAUUAAAUAGGCAAAUCGUACUUAAUUCGGUCCAUCUUGCAUAAUUGCCAUACGCAUAUCAUAAGCAUUCAUCAUUUUGCGUAUAGUGUCCGUGACCGAAGGAGCGCCCGUUGAACCGAACCCCGAGGUCGGUGCUCCGUUCGAGGAAGUCGGAUCCGAGACUUGGGAAGUCUCCGAGGGUCCCUCUCUGCCCUGCAACCAAGGCAAGCCCCGGAUGCAUUAACCCCUCCUUGGAUGUUUUAAAUCUUUUAUCACUUAUGAAUUGAAAAUGCUGCAUUAAGUAGAUGAGAAUUGGGUUAACCUACUUGCUGCAUUUACUACCUUAACAUCUGUAUCCUGUCCUUGACACCUGUUUUAUUUUAAAACCGCGUAGCGAUGCUUAGCCCUGCUACUAGAUAGGUUUUCAAACAAGAAAGUUUGAAGGGUUGUUGUGGGAUACACUUAUGGCCAAUGAUGUUUCAACUUGAGACCGGUCGGUGGACUUGCUUUAAGAAUGGAGUCUUAAAGUAGUGUCUCCAACUGUGUCGGUUAAGGACCGUUCCGUUGAUGGCCUGCUGGGUUGAGAAUUUAUAGUACUAGCCACUUGCCUACGGUAAGCCCAGUCUUGUGAUCCCUCGACGCGAACAGCUACUCGCGCACUGGGAGUGGAAAGAUGGCGAGAGUAGUGUGUACCCACCUUACGGAUCUGAGAUGACCGGAAAACAUCUAGAUCGGCUGUAGGAUGGUGGAGUACUGUGCUCUCGGGUGCCGCGAACCUGGUCAAAUUUGGGGAGAGCUUGAUUUGGGUUGAUAUAUGCAAGAUUUGGUUCUACAUAUGUCGGGUGGUUAGGAACUCCAGCUGGAUUGCUAAGCGAUUCGAAUCGUCGUUGCUCCCCGAUUGGGAGACUCAAUUCCUUCGACCCUCAUCGUAGUUAAAUAUGCAACUGAAUGAUAACAUGAGAAAAGGGAAAAUGUCUCAUGAGGUUCGGAUCCCAAUUCCCGGACUCAUAGCGACAUGAAGCUAUGGCCAUCAAUAAAUAAUACUUAAUGAUAGGGUUAGGAACUCACGGAUUCGUCUGUGGGGAACAACUAGUUAGACUAUCCUCGAAUUCUUCUGCCUCCGCGAGGGAGGAAUUCAGGGUAAAACUUGAAAAUAAGGAUGCACUACUAGUAAGCUUUUCCGCAAAACACUUUGGCUCCUUGCUCAGCCACCCCUUGUCUACCUUAAGCCUGCAUCCCUAAAUUCUCCUCUUUUCCCGUCGGAUAAGUCUUGUUGAGUACUCCCGUACUCAGGGUUUCAAUACCCCUGUUGCAGGUGAAGCUCAGGAGCCGACCUGUUUCGGACCCUGUUGUGUGACCGUCGUCGAGGUUGACGACGAAGAAGAGUGAGCGUGACCCAUGGGCAGGGGCUGUAAAUUUGUUUUGUCUCUACUAAAGUUUAAGUUGCUCCGCUGGACCAGGCUUGUAAUAACACUCUACUAUUUGGAAGAACUCCUUUUGUAAAUUAUGUUAUGUAAUACUUCCGCUGUUUCACUCUGAAAUACUAUUUUGGUCUUGUGUCGUUGAGUUACUGCUUUAUCUUCGCAACGAAUGAUCCUGGUGUUAAGGUGGCCACUUGCUAUCCUGUAAGGGCGAGAAGAAACAGAUCUCGUUGUUUGACCAUUAUCAGUGGUCAGGACGAGUCAGCUUGGUACGCCACAGGUAGCAGUGGAAUGAGCGCACAGUAAGGCUCAUCGGACUUCUAAAGUGGGAGGACUCCCGGCAUCACCGUCAGAGGUCCUUAGGACAAUGGCAGGUGCCGGUGGGCCCAAACACUUAGGGGGUUCUGCCACAGCUGGUAUCAGAGCAUUCGUUGCUAAGAUGACUGCUGAAACUUUGAAAAACUUCAAAAAUUCGUUUGGAACUAAUAUUAUGAACUUGCCUAUUUUGAGUCCAAGUGCUUAGUCCUAAUCUACCCCUGUCUAUAGGCUUUCUUAGAAUUUUUGAAGUGGUUUGGAGGAGCAACCUAAAGUAUUGCCCUAUGUUGUAAAAGUUUAAAGUAAUAUCGUUACGAAUUGUUAGUAGGAAUCAUAAGUUCGUGCAUGCAUCAUAAUGUAUUAACUGGUUAAGUUCCUUCCUCCUUGUUGGGUUGGGCGAAUAGAAUCAAUCCUAUUCUUGCUAACCUUUAAGGUCUCUCUUACUAAUCUAAACUUACCCUCUACAGGAUGGCUCGUCAGAAGCAGACCCCGCGUAAGCGGACCGGUCCAAAAGGAGUUCCCCGACAUCAGCUAGCUCCACGCAGUGAUCAAGCCAGUAGUAGCCGUACCCCGCCUCAGCAGGAGGUGGACAGGCUGUCCGCCGAGUUGACUGAGGUGAUGAGAGAGAGAAUGUACAAUGUUAUGGAGAUUGGCAAACUCAAAGCUCAACUGGCCAAAGAAAAACAAGCUACGGAAAACUGUGAAGCUAUGUUGUCCCGGAUGGUGGAGGAGCGGAAUGCAGCCAUUGCCCGAGAGGAAGAAGCUAGGAGCACCCAUAGGCAUGAGCUAACUAGGAUGAACGCAAAGUUGGGCAAGGCAAAGUAUCUUAAGGAUUUGUAUGUGAAGAUGGCGGCCACGGUCACCGCACAACGGGAUGUUGCGUGGCAACGAGAGGACCAGCUCCAGCUGGAGAAACUGGAGCUGGCAUAUCACUUAGAUACAGUCAAUGAUCUGGCUAUGCAAUAUCGUGAUAUUGCAUUUGAUCUGUAUCAUCAACUUCACCCACCUCCCGGCGAAGGAGAAAUGGAUACGGAUGGCGAGUUGGCAGACGAUGGAGAACCCGAUCCCGGCCUCAGUGGUGGAGAGGAGUCCGACCCCGAUGAUCACAACCCAGGGGGUAAUCAAGAUGAUGGCAACGACGACCCGGGCUACAGCUCUGGCCACACCGAUUAGUUCGGUGAAACCGAGGGCAACGUCGUUGUAGGGGUCUUAGCUUGCCGUAGUGGGGUUCGGGUUUGUAAUAUAAGUUUUCUUUCGGUUUGAGAAGUUGAACUUGUUUACUCUUGGUGUGUAUCUAACUAAUGUUUAAUAAGUGAAUGUAAGAUAUGUUCUGUGUUAUGAAUUCUACGUGGUAACAGGUAUCUACGAUUCUUGUAACAGAUGCCGAUGCGUACUCGCGGAUCCGAUGGAGCUGGGACAUCCCAGGGAGGGGAUGAUAUCCCCAACCCUCCACCUGCUCCACCUUCUUUGGCUGACGCCAUUGCUGUCCUGCUAAGUGCCACUACUGACAAUGCUCGCUUGCUGCGCGAGCUAGCCCAGCGUCAAACACACCCUGCUUCAAACUUCAGGGCACCGCGCAACGGGGACGGAGAGGCUCGGUAUGUAGAUUUUACCGAGACCAGGCCCCCGGUGUUCACUAAGGCCGAUGAGCCUUUAGAAGCGGAUGACUGGCUCCGAACUAUGGAGCAUAAGUUCAGUUUAAUUCAGUGUUCAGAAACUCAGAAACCCUUAUUUGCAGCCCAGCAGCUUCGGGGAGCUGCAGGUGCCUGGUGGGAGAACUUCUUAGCUAUUCAAGCUCCCGGACACCAAGUUACCUGGACCGAGUUUAGGGACGCGUUCCGCGCCCACUACAUCCCCGAAGGGCUCAUGGCCAUGAAGGCCGAAGAGUUCCUCGCCUUGCAGCAAGGCGACAAAAGUGUUAUGGAAUACGUGGCAAGGUUCAAUCAUCUUUCUCAAUAUGCCACGGAUCAUGUGAACACUGACAGAAAGAGGAAAGCCUGUUUCAUGCGUGGCCUAAAUACUAAACUUCAGACCAUGAUGACCACAUGCCAAAAUGCUACUUUCUAUGAGGCGGUAAAUAUUGCUAUCGCCUCAGAGGAAAAGAAUAGGAAACAUAAGGAAGCCAAGAAGAAGGCUGCUUCCUCUUCUUUCUCUGGUCGCGGUCAAAAGCGCCAGAGGGUCAUUUAUCAUCCACAGGGCCACGGACGUUUCCAAACGCCGAUACCUUCUCGUGGUCCUUUCUCCCCUCCACAGUACAGACCUGGGCAGCAGGUAUAUUCUCGACCUACUGCCAUCGCUUUUGCACCACGCCAGCCGAACGCCCCGGGUGUUCGCCCUACUGCUCCGCCCAGCCACAAUUACCCUUGCUUCAAUUGUGGUAAACCUGGGCAUUUCUCUAAAGAGUGCCCUUUUCCUCGUCAAACCAACCCUACCUUUCCCAGGCCACCUAUGGGCCAACCCCAGUCGGGCCAGUUUAGAACUGGGGUUCAAAAAGGGCAACAGGUACAGAGAGGUAGACCGGUAAAGAAGACAGGGCAAGUCUUCCAUACUGAAGUGGAGACAAUUCCAGAGGGUGAACCAGUGAUGAUGGGUACGUUUCCUGUCGCGAAGCAUCCUGCUUUAAUGCUUUUUGAUUCUGGUGCAUCCCAUACAUUUAUCAAUCGCACCUUUGUAUUAAAGCAUGGUAUACCCAUUGGGGAAACACAAGAUCAUUUUUAUAUACAGUCGCCAGGAGGACGGCUGAUGUCUAAAGAAAUGGUUCACCAAGUACCCAUCGAAUUUGGUGGGCACAAUUUUCCUACUAGCAUGAUUGUUCUUAAGGACCAAGAAAUUGAUGUCAUCUUAGGCAUGAACUGGAUGGCGCAACGAGGAGUUGUGCUAGACACUUUGCACCGAACCAUUAAAAUCCCAUUGCCCAAUGAGAGUUCUUACUUGCUAAUCCAAUUAGUUACUCCCAAACGGACAAUUGGGCAAGUUCAUGCCGCUAAUGUGUCUGAAGUUAAAGAUAUCCCGGUAGUUCGAGAUUUCCCGGAUGUAUUUCCUGAAGACUUACCAGGUCUGCCUCCGGACCGGGAUGUACAAUUCAGUAUAGAAUUGAAACCGGGAACGGCCCCAAUAUCUCGAAGGGCCUACAGAAUGGCACCGAAAGAGCUGGCCGAAUUAAAAACCCAAUUACAAGAAUUGUUACAGAAGGGUUUUAUUCAGCCCAGUUCUUCUCCAUGGGGUUGCCCAGCCUUGUUUGUGAAGAAGAAAGAUCAGACAUUAAGGCUGUGCGUCGACUAUCGUCCUCUAAAUGAGGUGACGAUUAAGAACAAGUACCCAUUGCCCCGUAUUGACUUAUUGUUUGACCAGUUAGCUGGGGCCAAGGUGUUCUCAAAGAUUGAUUUGAGAUCAGGGUACCACCAAAUUAAAAUUAGGCCGGAAGAUGUGCCCAAGACUGCUUUCACAACCCGUUACGGGUUGUAUGAAUACUUGGUGAUGUCUUUUGGGUUGACUAACGCACCGGCCCAUUUUAUGUACCUGAUGAACUCUGUCUUCAUGCCAGAACUAGACAAAUUUGUGGUCGUCUUUAUCGAUGACAUCUUGAUUUACUCCAAAACUAAGAAGGAGCAUGCUGAACACUUGAGAAUCGUGCUGACCCGUCUUAGGGAGCACCAGCUAUAUGCCAAGUUCAGCAAAUGUGAGUUCUGGCUGGACAAAGUUCAUUUCCUGGGUCAUGUAUUAUCAGCGGAAGGAGUCGCUGUAGACCCAGGCAAGGUAGAAGAUGUGUUGAAUUGGAAACCCCCGACUAUGGUACAUGAGGUCCGUAGUUUUCUGGGCAUGGCGGGAUAUUACCGUCGUUUUAUCCCAGACUUUUCCAGAGUCGCCAAACCAAUCACAACCUUGCUCAAAAGUCAAACAAAAUUUGUUUGGUCACCCCAAUGUGAGCAGGCUUUUCAGACUCUGAAAAAGUUGUUGACAACUGCACCUGUCUUAGCCCAGCCAGAUAUUGAAAAACCCUUUGAUGUAUAUUGUGACGCAUCAGGAAUCGGGUUAGGCUGUGUGCUGAUGCAGGAGGGUCGUGUAAUUGCAUAUGCUUCCAGACAACUCAAACCUCAUGAAGAGAAUUACCCGACCCAUGAUCUCGAACUAGCCGCCGUGGUACAUGCAUUGAAGAUCUGGCGUCAUUAUUUGUUGGGAAACACGUGUCAUCUAUAUACAGAUCACAAAAGCUUGAAGUAUAUCUUUACUCAAGCUGAGCUUAAUAUGCGCCAGCGAAGGUGGCUAGAACUAAUUAAAGAUUACGACCUUGAGGUGCAUUAUCACCCUGGCAAGGCAAAUGUAGUAGCGGAUGCCCUCAGUCGUAAGGCUCACUGUAAUUGCUUAACAGUGAAGCCUAGGGAUAUAACUUUGUGCCAAGAGCUAGAGAACUUGGGAAUAGAAAUGAUUUCCCAAGGAAGCCUUUCCAAUUUAAAGAUUGAUUUCAAUCUCGAGGCUCAAAUCAUAAAGGCACAAAAAGAAAACAAAGGCAUGAGACAUCUUAAAGAGAAGAUUUCUAAUAGAGCACUCACAGACUUUAAGGUGGAUGAGGCGGGAGUAAUCUGGUUCAAGAACCGGUUAGUGGUUCCCAAGGUACCUGAGCUACGUCAGCAAAUCCUGGAAGAAGCUCAUACCACGAGGUAUUCUAUUCAUCCGGGAAGCAAUAAGAUGUAUCAGGACCUGAAGCAAAGGUUUUGGUGGACAAAAAUGAAGAUAGAAAUAGCUCGCUAUGUGGCCCAGUGUGACACCUGUCGAAAAGUCAAAGCCAUUCAUCUCAAAUCCGCUGGGGAGUUGCAACCUUUGCCUAUCCCCGCAUGGAAAUGGGAUGACAUAAGUAUGGAUUUCAUAGUAGGAUUGCCCAAAACGGCCAAGGGCUUUGAUUCCAUUUGGGUCAUAGUAGAUCGUCUCACCAAAACAGCACAUUUUCUGCCGGUAAAGCUAUUGUAUCCUGCCUCCACCUAUGCUAAGAUUUAUUUCGACCGUAUCCUAAGUCUGCAUGGAGUGCCAAAGACAAUAGUGUCAGAUAGAGGCACACAAUUUGUCUCCCAAUUCUGGAAAUGUUUACAUGAGUCCUUGGGCACUAAGCUUUUAUACAGCACAGCCUACCACCCUCAAACUGGUGGGCAAACGGAAAGGGUAAAUCAAACCCUAGAAGAUCUAUUAAGAUCUUGUGCCCUGAAUUUUCCAGAUAAGUGGGAUGACUGCUUGCCUCUAGCAGAAUUUUCCUACAAUAAUAACUAUCAAGAGAGUAUCAAAAUGGCUCCCUUUGAGGCACUGUAUGGUCGCCGAUGUCGAACUCCGUUACACUGGUCAGAACCUGGAGAAAGAUGGUUCUUCGGAGUUGACUUAGUGAAAGAGACUGAGAACAAAGUGAAACAAAUUCAAAAUAAUUUGAAAGUUGCUCAGUCCCGACAGAAAAGUUACGCUGAUAAAAGACGUCGACCAUUGAAGUUCGCCAAAGGUGAUCAUGUGUAUUUGAAAGUAUCCCCAAUGAAAGGAGUAAAUCGUUUUGGUGUUAAAGGCAAGUUAGCGCCUCGUUACAUUGGUCCAUUUCCAAUUAUUGACCGAUGUGGACAAGUCGCUUACCGCCUUAAACUGCCCGAACGAUUAUCCGGGGUACAUAAUGUGUUCCAUGUGUCUCAACUGAAAAAGUGUCUUCGGGUACCGGAUCGAGUUCAAGAUAUCGAAGAUGUAAAGCUUGAACCAGAUCUAACUUAUUCGGAAUAUCCUAUCCUAGUACUGGAUCAAAAAGCUAGAGUUACUCGAAGGACAACCACUAAAUGGUAUAAAGUACAAUGGAGCCAACACUCUGAGGAGGAAGCCACCUGGGAAUCUGAAGAUUACUUGCUAGAGAAUUUUCCUGAAUUCCAUGCUUCUCUUCAGGACAAUAUAUGAUAACCCGAGAAUGUACUCCAGUAAGGAAAAAGAGUCACCAAAGCCAUGUACUUAAUGUACAUAUAUGCAUAUAAUGAAGUUUUUUUCCCCAACUCCUUGCCUUAUGGAAAAGUUGAAGAUGAAAGAGUUUUGACAAAUUUCCUUUUCCAUUACUUACCCUAAGGUUUUAAAUCUCGGGGACGAGAUUUCUUUAAGGGGGAAGGGCUGUAACAUCCCUGAUGUUACGGUUACUAAAAACGGAUCAUGUCAUCAUAAGCAUUGCAAAGCAUAAUUGUUAAAGCACAUUAGUAUGCAUCAACCUAAAAUAAGUUUACUUUGGUUGCUUGAGCUUAGGGAAGUAGAGUGGGCUUCUGUGAUGUGUUGUUGCUUGUGUGGUUGCUAAAACCCUAGGGUGGAAGUUUUCCGAAAAACUAAGGGGGGAAAACCCUGAUUUCUGGAUCCUAGAAUUGCCCCUUUUUGUUUAAUUCAAAAACUAAGCAAAAUUUGAGGUUGAGUUCAAAAGCAAAGUUGUAGAUCUUGGCAAGAUGUACAACUUUGGUGUUUUGAGUUUUUGAAGUUUCAAUGCAAAAUUCAAAGUAAUUUUGAAAAUACAGAUUUCCAGAAAGUGUCCCCUUUUCCAACUUAAAUUCCCAAUUUAAAAUCCAUUUGGAAUUUUGAAAAGUGGUCAACAUGAAAGUUGUAGAGCAUAAAAAGUUGAGCAACUUUCAUGUUGGGAGUUUUUCAAGUUGUUAUACAAAAUCAAAAGUAAUUUUGGAAAUUCUGUUUUGCCCCAAUUCAAAAAUUUGGAAUUUCUUUGAUUUGAGUUUGAUUUUCAAACUGUUUGGCCAAAUACACCCUGUUACACUCAAAAUCAGCUCUGGUCACCAAAACAUAUUUUGUAGCUUAUAAAAUUUGGAACAACUUUUGUUUUGACACAAAUUUGACUCCAGUUCAAAUUUCGGCUGAAUUUCACAAAAUCCAGAAGAGAGGGGAUAAGGGUUGCUACAGUGACCCGAUAGGGAUCACCGGCUCCCUGUCCAGCGCGGCCGCCGUGCGCGCAGCGCCGCGUGCGCGCGCGCAGGCACGCAGCUGCUUGCUGCCAGGGUCGCCAGGCGACGUGGACGCCUCGGGCUCGCCUUCCCCUCCACUUGAGCACCGACGUGGACGACGCCGUCCGUUUCCACUGUCCACGGCCGGAGAAAACUCGACGUCCCUCUCCCUGAAAUUCACCGUACCCAGUUCCCCUCGCGCCAAAUUGAGUAACCCAGCGUCUUCGUCACCUUCGUGCGGACCCAGUGCACCCCCAAGCUCCCUCUCUAACCCACCCAGUCGCCAGAACCUCUCUGCUCUUCUCCAACUCCGGCCGAGACCGCCGCCGCGGAGCUCUUCCCGUGGCCACGGUGUUCCAGUGAGUAUCACACCCCGCUGGCGACUGUUUCAAGUCCCUUCCGUGCCCCGGUUGCUCAUGCUCUCGCUCCUUCUCCUUGAAUGUGAGCAGGAUCGCCGGAACAAGCUUGCCGGAGCCAGAGCUCCCGCCCGACGACACUGCUUCCGUCGCCAGCGGCUUCAGCUGCUUCUCCGAGCCUUGCAGCGUGAGCACCACCCUCCCCAACCCCUAUGGAAGCUCGCUCGGCCGUUGGCUUACACUCUAUCGGGCCCUAGCGGCCGGCCGAGGGUCGGCCAUGGUGGCUGCCCGCCCUUCUCGUGACCGAGGUAGAAAGAGUCGGGUAGAGCGUGGGUAGGGGGUGUCCACAGGGUCGCGGAGUUGAAGCGAAGCUGAUGCGCACGCGCACUCCGGCCGAGACCCUCGCCAACGGCGGCCAGAGCCGUGGCCGAACCGCCGUGCGCGGGGAGGACGCAGCUGACGGGUGGGUCGCCCCGUCAGCGUCCCGCAGAGAGAGGGCCUAGUCACAACGCCANNNNNNNNNNNNNNNNNNNNNNNNNNNNNNNNNNNNNNNNNNNNNNNNNNNNNNNNNNNNNNNNNNNNNNNNNNNNNNNNNNNNNNNNNNNNNNNNNNNNNNNNNNNNNNNNNNNNNNNNNNNNNNNNNNNNNNNNNNNNNNNNNNNNNNNNNNNNNNNNNNNNNNNNNNNNNNNNNNNNNNNNNNNNNNNNNNNNNNNNNNNNNNNNNNNNNNNNNNNNNNNNNNNNNNNNNNNNNNNNNNNNNNNNNNNNNNNNNNNNNNNNNNNNNNNNNNNNNNNNNNNNNNNNNNNNNNNNNNNNNNNNNNNNNNNNNNNNNNNNNNNNNNNNNNNNNNNNNNNNNNNNNNNNNNNNNNNNNNNNNNNNNNNNNNNNNNNNNNNNNNNNNNNNNNNNNNNNNNNNNNNNNNNNNNNNNNNNNNNNNNNNNNNNNNNNNNNNNNNNNNNNNNNNNNNNNNNNNNNNNNNNNNNNNNNNNNNNNNNNNNNNNNNNNNNNNNNNNNNNNNNNNNNNNNNNNNNNNNNNNNNNNNNNNNNNNNNNNNNNNNNNNNNNNNNNNNNNNNNNNNNNNNNNNNNNNNNNNNNNNNNNNNNNNNNNNNNNNNNNNNNNNNNNNNNNNNNNNNNNNNNNNNNNNNNNNNNNNNNNNNNNNNNNNNNNNNNNNNNNNNNNNNNNNNNNNNNNNNNNNNNNNNNNNNNNNNNNNNNNNNNNNNNNNNNNNNNNNNCGGUGCUCCGUUCGAGGAAGUCGGAUCCGAGACUUGGGAAGUCUCCGAGGGUCCCUCUCUGCCCUGCAACCAAGGCAAGCCCCGGAUGCAUUAACCCCUCCUUGGAUGUUUUAAAUCUUUUAUCACUUAUGAAUUGAAAAUGCUGCAUUAAGUAGUUGAGAAUUGGGUUAACCUACUUGCUGCAUUUACUACCUUGAUAUCUGUUAUCCUGUCCUUGACACCUGUUUUAUUUUAAAAUUGCGUAGCGAUGCUUAGCCCUGCUACUAGAUAGGUUUUCAAACAAGAAAGUUUGAAGGGUUGUUGUGGGAUACACUUAUGGCCAAUGAUGUUUCAACUUGAGACCGGUCGGUGGACUUGCUUUAAGAAUGGAGUCUUAAAGUAGUGUCUCCAACUGUGUCGGUUAAGGACCGGUCCGUUGAUGGCCUGCUGGGUUGAGAAUUUAUAGUACUAGCCACUUGCCUACGGUAAGCCCGGUCUUGUGAUCCCUCGACGCGAACAGCUACUCGCGCACUGGGAGUGGAAAGAUGGCGAGAGUAGUGUGUACCCACCUUACGGAUCUGAGAUGACCGGAAAACAUCUAGAUCGGCUGUAGGAUGGUGGAGUACUGUGCUCUCGGGUGCCGCGAACCUGGUCAAAUUUGGGGAGAGCUGGAUUUGGGUUGAUAUAUGCAAGAUUUGGUUCUACAUAUGUCGGGUGGUUAGGAACUCCAGCUGGAUUGCUAAGCGAUUCGAAUCGUCGUUGCUCCCCGAUUGGGAGACUCAAUUCCUUCGACCCUCAUCGUAGUUAAAUAUGCAACUAAGUGAUAAAAUGAGAAAAGGAAAAAUGUCUCAUGAGGUUCGGAUCCCAAUUCCCGGACUCAUAGCGACAUGAAGCUAUGACCAUCAAUAAAUAAUACUUAAUGAUAGGGUUAGGAACUCACGGAUUUGUCUGUGGGGAACAACUAGUUAGACUAUCCUCGAAUUCUUCUGCCUCCGCGAGGGAGGAAUUCAGGGUAAAACUUGAAAAUAAGGAUGCACUACUAGUAAGCUUUUCCGCAAAACACUUUGGCUCCUUGCUCAGCCACCCCUUGUCUACCCUAAGCCUGCAUCCCUAAAUUCUCCUCUUUUCCCGUCGGAUAAGUCUUGUUGAGUACUCCCGUACUCAGGGUUUCAAUACCCCUGUUGCAGGUGAAGCUCAGGAGCCGACCUGUUUCGGACCCUGUUGUGUGACCGUCGUCGAGGUUGACGACGAAGAAGAGUGAGCGUGACCCAUGGGCAGGGUCUGUAAAUUUGUUUUGUCUCUACUAAAGUUUAAGUUGCUCCGCUGGACCAGGCUUGUAAUAACACUCUACUAUUUGGAAGAACUCCUUUUGUAAAUUAUGUUAUGUAAUACUUCCGCUGUUUCACUCUGAAAUACUAUUUUGGUCUUGUGUCGUUGAGUUACUGCUUUAUCUUCGCAACGAAUGAUCCUGGUGUUAAGGUGGCCACUUGCUAUCCUGUAAGGGCGAGAAGAAACAGAUCUCGUUGUUUGACCAUUAUCAGUGGUCAGGACGAGUCAGCUUGGUACGCCACAGGUAGCAGUGGAAUGAGCGCACAGUAAGGCUCAUCGGACUUCUAAAGUGGGAGGACUCCCGGCAUCACCGUCAGAGGUCCUUAGGACAAUGGCAGGUGCCGGUGGGCCCAAACACUUAGGGGGUUCUGCCACAACUGUAGAUGAGCAAAUCUGGAUGACAAAGAUGGAACAAUAUCCAAAACAGCUGAAUUUCUAAUUCAUGAACAAUUUCUAUUUAGACUGAGGUAAUGUAAGCCAUAGCAAGAAUAAGAUAAAGCAGAUAAAUAAUAGCAUCAUGUGUACUUUGCGGGGCACAAGGAUAUGAAUUUGUGUGCAGUCAUACCUUCACGGCUACAUCACCACACAACAAGGUGGCAGGUUGAACAUAGCGUCGAUUUUCGGGAGUAACAACGUGUCCAUGAACAACCAAGUAGUUAUGAUAAAUUCAUCAAUUAUGGGAAAACAAAGGAUUAGAAAGAAGUUGCUUCUGGCCUAAAAUCAACUGUUGUAUAUUAUGCUCUAUUGAACGAAGACACAGGCAUGACCUAGUCUACCAAAUCCUUGUACAUUUACCUCCAAUAAAUGGAAGAGGAUUAUAGCUUCUAUGUAAGCCUGUGGAAACAAAUAAAGUGGUUCUCAUUGGAUGUAUAAAGGCAUGUCUUAAGUUGCACAAAUGAAGGACAUCAGGAAAAUUUUGAAAAAUUUAUAUACCAACCCAAUCUUAUGUUGUAAUGCAACACAUUUUCUUCUUCUGAAAGGAAACAACAAAGCAAAGUGGCAAGUAACAAUACUCAGGACAUAAGGCAUCCCAAUAUACUGAGGUUGUGAUAUCCAACUUCACCAUCCUGAAAAGAGCACACAUGAAGGGAGCAAAGGGAACCAGGUUGGCUGGAUGGCGUGAACCUUUGGUUUGUAGGGGUAAAUUUGAAAUACAUAUAAGAGAAAUGUAAAGGGCCAAAGCACAAAACAGCGUCCUGUUUAUUUUAAGUGUCUUUAAUACUAUGAUUUUGCCUACAUGAAUGCAACAGACGAGGCAUGAGAGCAACCUCAAAAGCAUUGGAAUGUCAAUAUAAAUGCUCAAGGUGGAAAAUAAUUUCAUUUUUUAAAUGGAGAAGUCGGUGUUAUUUUUGUCAACAAAAUGAAUAGGUAAGAAGUAAUUAAUCCUCAGAUUUGUUUAUGCAAAUGGUACUUUAUGAGCAUCAGAUGUAUCAAUCAGAACCAAUACUGGGACACAUCAGGUGAGCUCACUGAGACAACAACAAGCAACUUUGUUCAUAAUAGAUGGAAAACUGCAUUUUUUGAUAUAGCGUGAUGUGUUAUUGUGAUCAAAACUACGCUUUUCAAAAUUAAAAAAGCAUUAUGCAGCACUCACAUGGAGCACCAAACAAGAACUCAACAACUCGGUGUUAUAAGAGAACAUUCUACACUUAACCAUGCGCCUAAUCCUGAAAGGCCAGAAUACAAAUACUGUUGCAUGGAGUUUUAAAAUACCAACUACUAUUACUUUAAAGUGGCACUACAGUAAUUGUAUUUGCAACAUGAGAUGCAAGUACUAACACCUGUAGCAGAAAACUAAAGUGAAACUUAUUAGAAAUUACCACCUAUAAUUCAGUGGACAAGGGUACCUGACCUAUUGAAACAUUGGGGGUUCAGUCGAGCUUCUCAGGUAAUCUUGUUAGUGUCAUUUUAAGUUCUGCUUAACCUGCACCAAGCAGCAAAAGUGCUUUGAGUAGAAAAAAGGCAAAAACUUUAGUAAGUUGACCGGCCACCUCCAUGUUUGUUUCACUGCAGCUCUUUCUUUUUCCAUGCACCAAAGGACUAAAUGCUCUAAAUAUAUGUUUCAUGGAAACAUUGCAAGGACAGCAUAUAGAUGUGUAGCUAUCACUAAUCAUCAGUUAUCCAUGAAGGCUAGAAUACAUCUGACUAUAUGACAUAAGUAUUUGAGGGGCAGGGGUAUUCACUAAGAUAAUUCUGUAGUACUGAUAUGAAGUAAUUAAGUAUGGAAAAAAUUAAGAACUAAGAAUGGACCUUUGGUUUUAAUAAACCUAAAUGCUUAUACCAAAAUAUGGGUUGAAUAUAAUAGUCAAGUGGUCGUAAACCAAGCAAAUAUUUAACUUAGAAGCCUAUAUCUAUUGCACUGUUGUCACCACAUCCAGAUGGAUUUUUUUCUUAGCACUAUAAGUUGCUAGAACCUUGGGCACGAAAAGAUUUUUCACUCACCUAUGCAGGGAAGGCUUGUUUUCAUUGUUCUCUAGGAUGAUGUGCUCGAGUAUAUUGCUAUGAAUGUCCAUGACAUGUGGAACUUAGAAGAGGAGGAACCAUUCCAGUUGUCAUGUUGCCAAUGUUGUAGAGUCUUCUCAAAUCAAGAGCACCAGUCAUACUGAACAACGCCAACCAACAGGCCAGCUAUAUUCACCUAAAAAUUUAUUAUGAAUUGCAUACGAGGCAAAGAAAACUAACCUAACAUUCAUAACAGAAUACCAAACGAGGAAAGGAUCCUUACUCAGAAUUCAGAAAAACAAGAAAAUGGGACAACCUCUGGUUGUUGAAUGGCCAGAUAGACCUGUUUUUAAUUCGAGUGUUUCAUCCUGGCUCUCAUUGCCAUAACCAUAUAUAUAGUAUCCAUUGCGGCACCUAGGUCUGUCCCUGUUAUCUAAAAAUCAUAACCGUUACUCCGAAAGGGAAGAUCAAUUUUUAUCGAAUUCCUAUACUUAGUAUAUGAUUAGUAGGUCAGAUUAGAUCCUACUGGAUAAGUAGGAGCUGCUGACAUAUUUGUAGGUCCUCUGUUGUGCAUACCCUGCUUCAAGGCAACAAAGGGGAAAAACAUGAGUGAGCCUAGCAGUAGACAUAAUACAUAUUCAGAAUAAGAAAGCACUUCACAUGUGAAAAAAGGAAAGAUAGAAAAAGGGUCAUGUGGAUGCCUAUGGAUAAUAUGUAUUGAUUACUUAUUAUUUAUGGGACCAAACAGAUUUAUAAUCAAUUGAAAUUUAUUUUGCACAAUAAGCUAAUGCUAUCCUGAUCCACACCAUUCUGUGCAUCUAGAAAAGACAUGAAAGAAACACACAACCGCCAAAAGGAAAGAAACUCACCAACACACCUUCCAAUCUUAUUAGUCCACGCAGAUCCUCUUGGUUGAGGUCCUACAUCACAUAGCAUAGAGGAAAGGAGCAUCAGCAAGCAUGAAGCAGAAGGAAGAUGUGCUCCAAAUCCCCAAGAACACAAUAUUGAAGAAUAGACAGAAAGAAGUGUGUGGGUAAGAUCAUGUAACCCUGUUGUUUCCAUCAUGUAGAAAUAGUGUACAUAGUAUUUUAAAGUUGGAAAUGCAGAUGUUUAAUUAUUGUACUGUGAAAUAUGUAAAUUUAAGAGUAAGGAAAAGCUGAAGUUUAUUACCUGACUGAAGAUGUGUAAGCAUGUCUAGAUACAUGUGUUGGUUGUCUAACACUGAAAAAUAGAAAUAAUCUAGGAAAUAAAAUACGAUAAUGCUUUUAGAUUUGCAGCUGUUUAAUGAAGAUGUGUAAACAUGUGUACAUACAUGUGUUGGUUGGCUGACACUGACAAAUAGAAAUAAUCUAAGAAGUAAAAUACGAUAAUGCAUUUAGAUUUGCAACUGUUUAAGCAGCAUUAGACUGCAAAUAUUACCCAGGUGAGAAAUUCUGCAUGAGUCAUGUUUAGACUAUUUGAGCAGAACCUCUAAAGAACCCUACAUCCUCAAGCACAAGCAUCGUGUAUCAGUGAAAGGAAAUUCCAAAACAUCAUGACGGUACAAAUGAAGCCAAAAAUGUUACAGGGCAGCAUCGCCUAGAGAGCACGGACCUAGUAGAGGGGCAUGGAAGGCAAGCAAACCACAAUGCACUGUGUUACAUCGGGCUGGACUAUGGGCAACCACCCGUGCUGGCGUGUCGGCCCAUUCGGAGCUGAGGUCGGAACUAUGCCGGUAUGUUACCCACACCAGGGUCACUGCCACCUACGGCUGGGCAAAACCCUAGGUCACCUCAUCGCCACCGCCACCACCGCCACGUUGGGGGCUCGCUGUCGCUCCGUACGUCACGUGUGGAGGUGUGGAGGAGAACAAGGGCCGCGGUCAUCGUGCUGAGUGGCAGCCAAUGUGGAGGUCCACUUGUGCCACCGCCCUAUCCGCAUCGGAAGGGAUGGGGAGAGAGAGAGAGAGAGAGAGAACGAAAGGGAAGAGACUGUCGAGACUUAUACGCACGAUGGACGGAGAAGGAGGGGGCUAGCGCUGCGCAGGCUUGGGGCGCCAUCGUGCCGUCGCCCUGCCUCGGCCGCACUGCCCGUGGGGCGCUGUCGUCUCGUCGCCUCCAUGUAACACCCUAUAAUUUACUCCUUUCAAAAUAGAGUUAAAAUAAUUUGAUUAUAUAUUUUUGUGCCCAUGAAAAUAUAGAAAACAUAAUAUUUUUCAUUAAAUUAAGAUUUAUCAUAAGGCUUAGCAACAUUGUUGUGCAUACAUGCUGUUGCAUAAGAUUUGAUGUAAUGUUUGAUUGUUGCUCCUUUGUGUGUUGAGAGUAAGCAAAGUUUUUAAAAUUUGCGUUUAGUAGAACGAUCUUCCUUGGUCGGUAUAUCUUUAUUUUUAUCUACAACCAAAUUCUUUAUUUCUCAGCUCAAGUUUUUAUUAGGAGCUUCCUAAAAUCUUUUCUUUAUCAUCCAACUCACUCAUUUCUGUUCCUCGUUCAUCAAACAAUAUCUACAAUCUUAAUGGGAAUUUUUCUAGGUUUUUUUGAAAUUUGUUUCAACUUUUCUGUGAGCAUGAUCUCAUUUUUAGAUGCUCCAAACAAUCUUAUCAUGAGCUCAAAAAAACUUUAUUCGGGUUCCCCAUGUUCUAUAAUAUCUCUGAGAAUUUUUCCUGAAUUUCUGGAGCUUUCGGAGUAUUUUUCGUGGCUUAACUACUAAUUCUGGACUUUUCUUGAAUUAUUUUAUCCAUGAAAAUAAUUAAUUCCGAAAAUAAUAAAUAUCUUACUAUUUUUCCAGCGGCAAAGCCCAUUUGCAAUAAUCAUAAUAAAUCCCAAAGACCAUGUAUUUAUUUACUAAUGGACUUUAAUAAUUAAUUAGGCCUACUAGUAAACAUGAAUGUUGCAAAUCAAUUAGUCCCAUAUCUCUAGUUGAUGUUAAUGUGGUGAGUUAUCCUUCUAUAUGUAUGUACCAAUCUCUUAGACAAAUUAUACCAAAACUAUCUCAAGGGAAGCUCCUAGUUUGAGAAUCCCUGAUGAUGUGAAUUAAAAUUUUCUCCACUCCUUCUCAUGUCUUUCCAUUGCCACGUUAGGAGAGACUCGGCUGUUGCUUAUCCUAUCGUGCGCUGCCUUCUACAACUCUCCAUGUUCCGUUGCCUAGGGUUGCCGGCCGCUGCGGAACCCGAACUGCACGCAUGGAAUUUCUGAUGCUGCCUAGUUCACGUUCACGCCCGAUCAUGCCGCAGGACCAUCAAUCCUGAUCGUUCAUAGUUAUUUGUUGGUGAGCAUCCCCUUGUUUUCCAUCUUCUCUGUUAAUUACACCAUGCACGCACGUUGUAUGUUUCCCUUAUUUCUUUGCUUCUUAUCCAUAUGCAGCCAUUGAUCGUAUGUAGGCUUCUGUCAAUGUGCCGCGGUUGCGUUUUUCCUGAUCGCCAUGGCUGGCGGUGGUGCUUUCCCUGUGCCCGAGCAGAUGGGAAGCCAAGCGUUUGCUGCCUGUUGAGCCCGAAGGUCUGAGUUCCAAUUAGCUAGCAAGCUGCCAUGCACUUGUCUCGCAAAUCUUUUCAGGCCACCGCUAAUCAUCUGCUCCAAUUCAGUACUGAAAGUUCCAUCCAUGUACGUACUUACAUCGAAGGCUUCCAGCAAUAGCCAUCGACAAUUGAAGUUAAGUUCCAGACUUUGUGCUAAUCUAUUCUUUAUUCAUUGAGUCUAUAUAUGGAUCUCAUCGAGGUGCUGAGCUCGCUCGCCGCUGUGGUGACAGCUGUUGGAAACCUCUCCGCUGACUUGAGCAAGCCGUCAAGUGUCUUCACGUGGAGACCAUCGAGCCACCCCCAUCAAGCUGCACGCAUUCACUGAGACCGCCCCAUUCGCUACAAGCCUCUGCGUGAGUUCGCCAUAUCCCAAUAUAUCUACCGGUGCUUUUACCUUUGUAAUCAAAAGCCUCCAUGUUGUUCUCACCAAGCUUCGACGAACUCCAUGGCCAACCACUGUGCUAGAGAUCCUGUGCCGUGCGUGCUUUGCCUUGCUCCGAUUACAUACAGUUUCCAUAGCUAACAUGAUGACAUCAUGUUGAUGUCACCAUGAUGUCAAACAAGUAUUAUUACAGUUUUCCUUUACAAAAAUACAUCAAAAAAUACAAUAAAAAUACAUUAGCUUGUUUAGGUCAUAUUUUCUCUGUUUUAACUCCGAUUUGACACAUUCAAAUUGCGUUAAGUCUGUAUUUGAAAGAUCUACAUGUUAGUAAUACUGUUCUCUCAGUUUGAAACUUUUUUUAAAUUUCGUAACACCAUUUAAUUAAUUAUUUUUCUAUAGAAAAUCUUAGAAAAUUCAAUUUUUUUUUUGUUUUAGCUCCGAUUUUCAUGAUCUUUAUGUCUGUGUGAUCAUAGUGCAAUGUAGAUUCAUUUUAUAAACUUUUAUCUUUAUUUUCUACUGUUGGUGUAUUGUUCUAAUUAUAGGUUUGUUUGCUUUGUAUGAUUGCCUCUGGAUGAUUGUUGAUGAUGUGAUGACUGAGUUUAGUCGGUGAGCUUUUACGUGGUGAUCAAGAAGCAGUUUGUGGAAGGUUUGGAACUAAAAGAAGGAUCUAAGUUUCAAGACAAGUAUAGCAUGGGAUCAUCCUUGUUUCCUAAUAACUUUAAUCACAGAAUUCAUAUUGCAUGUGUCUUUUUGUUAAGAAUUUCCUAGUAUUGAUCUUAUACCUUGUCACCUAUGGAUUUGCAUUGGGUGGCUUAUGCUAGUGCUCCACUAAACCAUGAUCUUGUAAUUUGAGUAAUGGAAUAUGCAAUAAACAUUAAAAGAGGACUUUUUAGCAACUUUGGUAAAGAGGGCUGGAGCAUUGGGCUAUCCUAUGGUGCUCUAGUUUCUCUCCCUAAGGACUUAUCUGUAUAUGACCAUCCGGGACAUACAGUACAACUGUGAGGGCUACAUGGCUCUGGCUUUAGCUCAGUAUGAUGACCUUUUCUAGCUUGUUAGUGGUUACCCUUGUGGCGCAAAUGGUGAAUAGCAGAUCGUGGAUUCCUACGGGUGAAUCACAUGGACUGACUAAUAAAACCAAACGACCCUAACUUGUUAGACGAACCUUUGAACAACUUCAUAGUGAACCCUUCCGGCCUCCAUAGGAAGGGGGUUAAGAGAUUAGCUACCUCGGGCGAAAGGGUAAAUCAUGACUCACAGCGAAAUUGUACAACCUCUGGAGAGUGUAAAACUAAUAUAUCAGCCGUGCUCACGGUCACAAGCGGCCUUGGACCAAUACAGAAAAAAUAAUUAAUAAUGGCAAAUUAUUAAAGUUAUUAUUACUAAAUAUGUGGUUUAUGCUAUUCUUUAUUCACUUUACAUGAUCAUGAGUUAACUUUGGGACUUGACAACUUGAUGCUACUCAUAUGCUAGAAUUGUGACAACUAAAAGCUACAUGCAGUUAAACCAGUGUCUAGCCUUUGAGCCUCAUGAACCCUAUGUUAUUCUUGCUGAGUACGAGAUGUAUUUAUGCUUGCCUUUACAUUUUAUUUGGAUAAAAAUCCCAGAUGGGUACAAGAUUGCUAGUUUGGAGAAGAGUUUAGGCUUGUGCUCAACCAGUCAGUUGUCCCUGUGGAUUUGGAGCUUUCGCCUAAAGAACGGAGUGUCUUUCCACUGUUUUCUAUCCAAGGUUAUAUCUUUUAUAUUAAGUUCGUUAUAUAUUAAGCAUUGUCUAUUGAUAUUACCCGUAUUUGUGGCUAUAUGUGAGAUUUGACUUCCUGGGCUCACAUAUGGUGUGUAUCUGGUUUUGUUCUUAGUAUCGGGUGCUACAAAGUGGUAUCAAAGCAAUGCUGACUGUAGGACGCAAGCCUAGUUAGAAAUUGGUCAUCUUAAGGUUUUGAAAUUGUUAUAAUACCCUUGCUCUAUAAACCUUGGUAUUUUCCUCUAUACUAUAUCUCUACCCUUGCUAUUCCUUCCUACCUUGUUGCUUAUUUUAAAAAUCUUUGUUCUCAUCUUUACUCCUUGAUUUGGUAUGCUUUUAGAACCUUCUCUUACCUCUUCUUGUGUCUUCGAAACAGAAGUUUUAGGAUCCCAACCCUUAAGAUGAAGAGAACGAUAGUAUCGCAAGUUGACUUGUUUGACGUAUGAAACUAUAAUGCUUAAUUGGUUUGUCAUUAUGCUUAUGCUUGAUUUGGAUCUUUGUAGUGGGUUCAGUGAUCUUGUGGGAUUUCUGCACAACUUCAUUUAGUGUAUUGGUCUAAGGUAUAAGGAUUAAUGACAUAAUUAGUUGGGUUUUGGUUUUUCUCUUGUUAUCUUAUCCUGCCUUUUUGGAGUAUCCUCUCUUUAUCAGAUUAUAUCUCUGAUCUCGAAUGAACAAAAAUCAUGAGGAAAUUUUGGAUGACAGUGGACGUCAAGAUCUUUCUCUGACUCAAGCAUCACCCUCAUAGCUAUUAUGGUUUGGAAGUUACAAAAAUCACAAGAUGGUAUAGUUGAGCUGUCAGGAAUCGGAACCAGUUUCAGUUGCCUACUGUUUUAGACAAAUGUAACUCCAUAAUUUUGUAAAAGGUACUAUAAUAAAGUUGUAGGUCAUUUGAUAAGCUUUCCAACGAUGCAAACUGCAGCUUUAUCAGAUUAAUAGGACUUGAGUUAUGACAUCUACAAGUUGAUGUUUCUGCACAGUUUCAAAAUCUAGACAAUUCUAGUUAGUUCCUAUUUUUUUCCGCGACAUUAACUUCAGAAUCUGGGAAGUGCUAUAUACAGAAGUUGUGGAGGACUUCAUAAGAUUUUCAGCCAUGUAAGACUCGCACCCACAUGAUUUUCAUAGCUCGAGAUAUGACUGUUGCAAGUUGCCACGACUGUGCUGACAUAUUUUCUGGAUAGAUAUUGUUCUUGGCUGUUUUAUCCAAAGUUAAUGUCAGAGCCUGAGACAGUAUUCUAUACGAAAGUCAUAGAGGAUUUUGUCAGGUUCCCAACGGUGUAGGACAUAAGUAUAUUAGACUGAUGGAGUAUGAGUUAUAGCUGCUUUACUAUGCUGCAUAUUUUUAUUCCAUGGGGAAUUUCAGAUUUCUUGUACGUGUCAGUGCACAUGAGUUUCUCUUGGGUAUUAGAAGAUCUUAUGAUAUGAUAAUUCACUUAGAAUAUGGAACAAGCUACCCAUUUGUGCCCCUAGUUUACUCUUCUUAAGGGGGGUAGCCAAGCUAAUGAAGUUACAAGAUGAAUGUUUCAUACAUUCUAGCACUUGACAUGGAAGUGUUGAUCAUUCCUAUGGUUGAGAAACCACUAUCAAGUAUCCUUGCUAAGAAGUUCUUAACAUGUUGGUUCCAUCUACAAGGAGAGUGCAUAUUAAUCAAGGUUUGAUCUUGAAUGAAAGUAUCAUCAAAUGGGAGUCCAAUCUUCAAUAUACCUAAGGCGAGAUGGCAUUGACGACAUAGGAAGUGGAUAUGGUACAUCUAAUGUUGAUGCUACAGAGACUCAAAAUACUUCAUUGCUAAACAAAGCAUGAAAAGUAAGUUUUGGUUGAUGAAAGUUCUCACAUAGGAGAUGUCAUCCUUAUGGUGAACAUGAGAAAGUGAAGAGUGCAUUGAGUUUGGGACCCACCAAAGGAAGUGAACGAGACUUAGAGUUCCAUGGGAACGACAAGAUGCUAUGAUAUGUUUGUUGGAGGCAUUGUAAUCUUGACAUAAGAGUGACUAAGAGAUUGAUUUGGAAUAAUAAGAUUCUAUCAAUGGUUCAUUGAAGGUGUUGUGAAGAUUGACAAAUAGAGUUGUUCUACCCCCUGUAGACUUUAGAUGUGCUCUAAACAAUAAAAGUUAGGGCUUAUGCAAAAGUCAACUAAGUGAGUUAGACCACUUGGCACAUGAUGUGGAGGUAUCCAUAUUGGAGCAUGGAGAUACUAUCUUCUUGGAUAUAAGAGUUAUAUCUAUGUAGAAUGUAAGAAUCUAAAGGGCAUCUUUAGGAAGUUGGAUUUGAGCUGGUCACAUCAUUGAUGGAUUUGAGUGAAUAAAGAGUUAUGACUAGGAAAAGUGCUAUCACUUGAAGGUGAAAAGGCCAUUGCAAAUGCCUAAAGCAUAAAGAGUGUGCUAGAGGAGUUUGAAUAACACUAAGGUUUGAGGAGUUGAGUGUCAAACUGGAGCGAUACUGCCAAGUGAGCCCUAUUAAUUACACUUAGGAACAAGAGGAACAACAAAGAUUAAUUAGAAGUUAUGUUGGAAGACUCAAGAGUUGUGUGUAAGAGUGGAGCAACUUAACCUGAUUAUGUUGCUUUACGAGAUACAUGCAGAGAGUUAAAGUAGAGCACCAGAGACCUGCCGGAUUAUUGCAACCAAUGAAAUCCCUGAGUGGAAGUGGGAAGAAGUUGGUAUGGACUUCAUAAUGGGAUUGCCAUUGUUGACGGUCCUUAAGUACUAAAAUUAAUAAUCAAAGAAACAUGAAAAAGGAUCAAUAUGAAACAAACAUCUAGAAUUAGGGUUUUAUCUGACAGAAUUCCACGAGCUUUGGUGUUUAUCUAUUUCUGCAGGGGUUUAUCAGAAAAUAGGGAGAGAAGGCCCACAUGUCAUGUUUACAACGAGAUAAUUACGUGCCACGCAAUUUUCCUUGAUCUAGAAGGAUCCAGAAGCCACGGGAACGAACGGGACACGAUUCGGGCUCGGGAGCUGGGCGGCCGCCCACCCCCCUUGGGCGCCCGCCCUGGCCAGGAAGCCAAUCAGGACUCUCUCUCGGGACAACUCUCCACCGACCUAAAGGAUCAAUCUAAACCAUAAAAUCUAUGUCGGUUUGAUCCAAUGGCUCACGUUCACUUGAGGGGACUAUAAAACCAGACCCCCUGGCCCCUGGAGGAGAGAGGAGAAAUCAUUAUUCAGAGGUAGCCAUCAAAGUUAGGGUUUAGAUCUCUCUCCCACGGAGAAUUAGAAUUAGCUACUCCCUAAUCCUUCAAGUUUAGAGGUUGAUUAGAUAGCAAUUAGAGAAGUAGAGCACUACGCUUUGGAUUCGGAUCUUCGGUAAUAAAGAUUGGUAUUAUUCAUAUCUUUCUCUAAUUCUAUUGUUCUAAUUGCAUUAUGUCUCUAAUUAUUAUGUUCUUAGUUUGUUCUAGUUCUAUAUUUGAUAUAGUUCUAAUUGAUAAUGAGUUUAUGUAUAAGUUUGCAAAGCGCUUAGCUCUUGACGCGAGGGAGUUAGGUGAUAGAUCACAUGUGAGCGUGGUGCUUAGAUGUUAUUUAUCUGCAAAUGUAUCCUAUUGGCCGAGUCGUGUGGUAGUUCGCGAUAGUGACAGCUUCAUUGAUUCUUAUAUAGUCCACCCUCCGUUGAUAGGACAGGCAGAACCGGUAUUGUGGAGUAAGUCAUGCGAUGUUCUGAUUUACUUUAUCAAUGUUCCUUAUACAUGAAUGAAGAGUCUUUUAUGCUAUAUAUGAUCUUGUAGAUAACUAGAGUAGAUUAUGACUUAGUAGUUAGUAGAUAACUUAGAAUCCAUUCUCUAGCUAAUCCGACAUCACCUACAUAUAUGAGGAGUAGUCUAUUUUCUAAUCGCUGUGCUCUUUAUCCCAUGAACUUAUACUUUAUUAUCAUUAUCUUUAUGGUUUACCCCCUGCAAAAGUAAGUGACUGUGUGACGAGUUUCUCAUUAGUAAUCAUGUUCUUGCAAGUUUAUCGCUAGUCUAUGCCUUGAUAGAUUUUGCCCCUUUGAUUUAAUUCCAUCUCCUUAGAUCCCUUGAGCAAAAUUAUAAAUAACGAUACCUGGAAUACUUAUCCUGGUGAAAUGCUACAAUGAGGUGUUUUAUCUGUGCGCUUGCGGAUAGAAUAGAUUAUUUUCUAGAGAGCCUUUACAUUUAUAAAUACCUUUGUACACUCUGGCGCCAUGCUAGGGAUGACAACCUAGUAUCUAAGUGGUGUUAGCUAGUGUCAACAAGCAUUUCUGGCGCCGUUGCCGGGGAACAUUAUAGAAGUCAUACGAGUCUCAGGAAUAAGUCAUAAAAAGGGAACAAAAGGGUAAUAUUUAGGAAAGCCAGAAAAUCAAUCAAGGUUAUUCAUAUAAAAUUUUAGACUAGACUAUAGAGAAAUAAUUGCAUAAAACAGCUACUAAGUGAGAAAUCAUAACAAGGCACCUCUGCUUUGGCAGGUUCACCCUGUUGUUUUUCUAUGUUUAUAUUUUUAUACAGGGUAUAACAGGAUUGACUUUGGGUACAUUCAACUCUUCAUCAUCAGAACCAAAGCAAUCAAGAGAAGAAGAAGCUAGCUACCAAUUGCUGAAGCUAUGGCACAAAAGACCUUGCAAGAAUUCUCUGCUCCAAGUCUUGACAACAUUCCAACCGGUCCAAGAUUUGUAGUAGAAGAAGGAAUACCCGAGUUUGAGCUCAAGUCAAGCCUCAUCAAUUUGGUGCAAGCUACACAAUUCAGUGGAAAGGCACAUGAAGAUGCCAGUGCACACUUGCAGAAUUUCUUAGAGAUUGGAAGCACAAUCCACAUCAACGGAGUUGACAAAGACGUCAUACUGCUUCGCCUUUUUCCAUUCUCACUAGAAGGGAAAGCGAGGAAGUGGUUCUACACUCAUCAAGAUAAUAUCAACAACUGGACGAACUUGUCAGAUGCCUUUCUAUCAAAGUUUUUCCCUAUAGGCAAAACAACUGCCUUAAGAGGAAAUAUUGUCAGUUUCCAACAGCAGAAGACAGAAGCCAUUUCACAAGCAUGGGAGCGUUUUCAAGGAUACGUAUCAGAUUGUCCUCACCAUAGAAUGGCCACAUGGUUACUUAUGCAGACCUUCUACCAUGGAUUAACCCAGAAGGCUCGUGAGUGCCUAGAUGCAUCUGCUAAAGGAUCAUUCUUGGAGCUUACAACUGGAAAAGCAGAGAUACUUUUGGAUAAGAUAGCAGAAAACCAAAGCUGGUUCCAAGAUAAAGCUCAACAAUGUCAUCAAACUGAAGAAAUACCAGAAGAAGUAAAAGCAUUAUCAACUAAGAUGGAAAAUUUGCUCCAUUGGAUUGACCAGAGGGCCAAGUUCAAAGAAGAUCAAAGGGCCAUUGAGACAGCAUACAAAUAUCAACCAACUUCGAGUCAACCCAAUAGCAAAGGUAUGAAUUCAGGUAAUACUUUCAAGCAACUUUCACUAAAAGAGAUAAUUGCUCAACAAACUAAAAUUAAUGAUGAAGUUAAACAAAGGCUAGAUACAAAUGAAUCAUCUCUUAAAAAAUAUACACAAUAAAAUGGAUUUUCUACUAACUGCCUUUGAUGAGCAAAACACUCUUAAUAAAAUUGUAGAGCUUAAAUUAAUAAAAUUAGCUGCUGCACUGCCUGUUGCUACUAACCUUGAGCAGGUAAAGAAUAUAACUACUAGAGGAGGUAAAGCUACCAGAGAUCCACCAUACCCAAAAGAGAAACAAAGAACAUCAGCACCAGUGCAACCAGCAGUGAUAGAAGAAGAAAGCCCAGUUGAAGCAGAAGAUCUGCUACAACCACCAAGAACUGGAGAAAUGAGGAAAGAUUUUUACGACACCAACUAUUUGCCAUUUCCCAGAAGAAACAGAGGACUACAGUCGGAUGAGCAGUUUGAUAAGUUUGUAGAGGUCAUUCAGAAAUUAUAUGUCAACAUACCUCUGCUCGAUGCCAUACAGGUACCUACAUAUGCAAAGUACAUCAGAGAUAUUCUUAACAAGAAGAGACCACUGCCCACCACUGAGGUUAUCAAGCUGACAGAAGAAUGUAGUGCGGCCAUCCUCAACAAACCACCAAAGAAGAAGGAAGAUCCAAGAUGCCCCACUAUUGAUUGCUCGAUCGGAAACCAACACUUCAACAAUGCACUUUGUGAUCUCAGAGCAAGUGUCAGUGUGAUGCCAGCAUCAGUCUACAAAAAGCUUGAGCAUGCAACCUUAGAACCAACAUCAAUGUGCCUACAACUAGCGGAUCAAUCGGUUCGACACCCGCUGGGCAUCGCCGAGAACAUUCCAGUCAAGAUCAGAGAUUUCCUGGUGCCAGUAGACUUCGUAGUACUGGACAUGAGUCCUGACUCAAAAGUGUCCAUCAUCCUUGGAAGGCCAUUUCUGAGCACUGCCAAUGCCCACAUUGAUGUCGGGAAAGGAGAAAUCAAGUUCAACAUAAACGGUCAAGAAGAACACUUCACAUUCAAACUCAGACCAGAGAGAGACUCUACAGUGAAGGAAGUUCAUGAAGAACCACUGGAGACACCAUCUCCGGAGGAAGGAAACUUAGAAGAUUAAAAGAAUUGGAGGUCCAGCUUGGGGGACCUAAAAAUCCCAAACCCUCACCGGGAGGUAAAUCGGUAUUUACCCGCAUUAUUAAUUUUCUCAUAUUAAAUUCUUGCAUAAUUAAUUAGUCAUGGCAUUAUUAUAAUAAUCAAAAAGCCCCAUAUAAAUAAUAUUCGUGGUGUGUAACAACCCAUAUUUAUUAAUUAUUGUGGAGGCACAAAAAUAUUUUCCAUUAUCAUUAAGUUUCAAUUCUCAUAGAUUUUCCUGCAUUAUAUUUAUUUAUAUUGAUCUUCUAGAAGCAUGACCCACACUCUUUGGGUCCCACAUGUCAUACACUUCAUCUCACAUACAUCCCAUCACAUAAUUUCAUCCACCAAUAUGUUUCCACUCACCUGACAUCUUUCCACCGUCCAACCAAUACCAACACAACAUUAUUUUGCGUGAGAUCAAAGCAAGGAAGCAAGUGGAGGAGGCACACCCAGGAUGGACACCAGGGGUGGGCGCCCGCCCACCUACCUUGGGCGCCCGCCCUAUCCCCUGCUCAGCCUAUAAAAGGUCACCUCCAGUUUCCCUUCUCUUCACACAAACACUUGAGAAAACCGCACAAAUCUCAGUUUCCCGAGGAGGAACUUUUGUAGUAAAGAGAAUAGGGUAGAGAGAAAUUGGAGAGUGGAAGGGAAGGUUGGAGUUCUUUUGAGAGAGUGAUUGUCACCUAGCAAAUAGUGAUCCCGUUGUCCAAGAGGAAGUAAAAGUUGUUUAGGGGGAGGCUCUACCAAAAUAGAAACUUGUCUUGAACGAUUAACCCCUGGACUACUGACACUCCGGACGGUUGACUACUAACAUUUUAUCUCACAUUUUCUACCAGUUGUAUUUUUGCCAACUUUUGUGUGCAGGAUGUUUAAGAAGGUGAAGAAUGUAGGGAAGGCUCUCAAGAACAUUGGUACAAGGAGUUCAACCCGACACUCCUCACAGCCAUCAGAGAUGAGCGUCGAUCCGACACCCACACAAGUUCCAUCAUCUUCAUCAGGUCAGCAAGUCAAGGUCCUUCUCAAGAUACGAGACCUAGGACUGAAGACCUGAAGAGAGAAGGAAGUUUAUCAGCAACUGAAGAACAAGGAUUUCAUUCACACCCCUACUAUCGAUCCAAUCCUACUACGAGAAACAGGUAUGGACACUGAAUUUGACUUAAUUUUUCAGAUGAUGGGUUGGACAAAUUUUUGGAAUAUAACUGAGCUGGGUUCUCGUCUUCUCACCCUCGAAUUUCUUUGCACCUUACAAUAUUAUGAGGGGGGAAUUGUUUUUUGGAUGUUCAAACAGGAAAUUAUGUUGUCUUGGAGAGAGCUAAGCGACCAUCUUGGUUUCUCUUCAAGAUGCAUCCUGAACAUUGACUCCGAUUUACCCAAUUUUGAGAGACACCAGUUUUGGAGAGAAAUAUCUAGAGAUAAUUUUUAUAGUCAAGCCCGAACCAGUGACAUGGAACACCCCACUCUUAGGAUGUUUCACAAAUGGCUUGGGUACAAUCUUUACUAUCGCGAUGAUAUUAGGAAAGUAAGAGUAGGAGAUUUACAACUUUUAUAUCCUGCUAUUAGUAAAGUACCCACUUCACCUGUUACACUAUUAGUUUCACAUUGGCUUAGUAUACCUAGUCUUCAGGGACCAGUAGGCUGUACUUCACUUAUCACUCGUCUAGCCACUAAUCUUCACUUACUAGAAAACUCAUCGUUGGACUUCAUAGAAGAAUUAAGAAUUUAUCAUGGCUAUGACACAUUUAGACAAGCUCGGAUGUUAAAGAAAGAGGGGAAUAUAAUGUAUAUGCUAUAUGAUGAUAAAGGCAAGAUUCAGUUACCUAACCCGAACCUUGGCCUCUACUCUGUGCAAAACUUUUUGAUUGAGAUUGCAGCAACACUAGUGAACCAGAGAACUCCACAGCGAGUAGCAUCUGAAAGGAUAACCACUCACCGAGAACGCACUUGGUAUGGAGCUGACCCUGGACCAGAAGAAGCAGCGCACCUGCAUUAUUGCGAUUACAAUCCACGAGUCCUUCGAGACCCAUGGGCUCGUCAUGCGCAACCACAAGAGCCAACAGAGGAGACAUGGCCGGAGAGCCAAGAUCACUAGUGGACAAACCCGCCUUUUCAUACGGGCAGGUACUCCACUGAUCCAUAUGGAGCUUCAGGAUCCAGACCUCCACCCUAAUUUGAUGCAGGACGAUACUCCGACGUCUCCUACGCCUUCACGAAUGACUACUAUCAAGAGGCCGGUGCUUUCUUCACUCGUACCGACAACACCCUCCUCGACAUCCAGAACACGCAAGCAGAACAUGGAAGACUCCUGGAAGAGCAACAAAAAUGGAACCAGGACCAUGCUGCUGCAGUGCAAGAGCUGAGACAAGAUACAACAACAAUGAACGACAACAUCACAACCAUGAUGCGGUUCUGGAACAUCGGGUAAGACCGACAGCAACAUCCAGCUUGGGGGAGUUCCUCCCUAAAUUUAUCAAGUAAGUUUCUAUUUGCUCUUCUUAUUUAUUCUAUUCUGUCUUAGUAUUUAAUUUAUCUUAAAAGGAAAAACUUAGAAAACCAAAUAAAUAUUUUCUUGUUUUAAUUUACUGCAUUCUAUAAACAUGAAAACAAAAUAAAAAGAGUAGAUAAGUGUGCUUUAUUUUCCUGCUAAGUUUAAUCUCUAAAAAAAUCAAAAAAGAUGCAUGAUGGAAAUGAUGAACAGUUGCUCUGUUUGCUUACUUACAAGUACCAAGCUUUUAUAUUAAAAUUCUUCUAGGAAUUACUAAAACUGAUAUUACUAUCUUUGGGAAGCAUAAAACUAAAGUCUAGGUAAGAGAAAGGCAUGAUAUAAAGUUGAGCUACUGUUUAUCUUGUUCCUACUACACUAAGUUCUAGAGAUUUAUUUUGAAAACUUACAAAUCACAUGAUGAGUUCCUAGCAUAACAAACUACCUACUACAGCCAUACUUGCUAUAACAUCUUUUACUAUAUUCACAUUGAGUUUGAUCGAGCUGUGUAGACCCUUAGGAGCUUUUCAUGUGGUUAAAUUAAGAUAUUCACUUGCACACAUCUACCACAACAUCCAUUACCAUUCAUUAAAAUUGCUAAAAAUAUUAUCACUCACUGUCCCGAAUAUUGUUAUUCUCUCUCUCUAAAAAGAUUCAAUGCAGAAGAGGCAUGGGUUAUGCAAAAAUAUGCGAGGAAAUAAAAAGGGGCAAGUGCCCGGAACCUCGGAAAAGAAAGAAAAAGAGUGAGACGAGAGGUAAAAAUGGACAAGUGUCCGAAGUAGAAUUAGGGGUACAAAGAUGCCCACUUGAGCGGGAAAAAUGGACAAGUGUCCGACAGUAGAAUUAGGGGUAUCUACUACCCACCUGAAAAAAAAAAGAAAAGAAAAAUAUAGCCUAUGUUCUCCCAAAGCAAAGAUCAAAGAGGAGGAGAGAUAGCAGUAUGAGGAGCAAUGAGAACUAAGUUUUAUUAUCACUUAUGCAUUUUCACCAUCACUAUCAUUUACUCCAUCACACAUGCACAUCUUGAAUUAAUUAUAUGCUGAGUUCCUUUGGAUCCAUGGCUCGAUUAGACAACAUAUGUAUGAGCUGUUUUCCACUCCUAUGAGCUCCACUUAAAUAUUCCAUUAGCUAUAGGAAAGUGACAUUAUGGUAAGGAUCCACAAAUACCACAUAUAGAUAGACUUGAGAGAAUCAUUGCUGGGAACUCUGAGUUUUAUUUUGAAAACUUAUGAAAAACUCUAGAACAAAGGUGAAGAAUAAACAGGAGGAAUAGUGCUUGACUUAACUAUUUUGUCUUUCGAUUACUUAAGAUUUAAGUGCAGGUACUAAACUCCAUAACACUUCACUAUAAUCUGGAAGAAUUUUUAUGUAAAAGCAUGUGUGCCUGUCAGGAAAGAAAACAUCGAAGCAACUCCUGAUCCGUCUGAGUUUAGCUGUUUGCUCAGGGACGAGCAAAGAGUAAGCUUGGGGGAGUUUGUUGACGGUCCUUAAGUACUAAAAUUAAUAAUCAAAUAAACAUGAAAAGGAUCAAUAUGAAACAAACAUCUAGAAUUAGGGUUUUAUCUGACAGAAUUCCGCGAGCUUUGGUGUUUAUCUAUUUCUGCAGCGGUUUAUCAGAAAAUAGGGAGAGAAGGCCCACAUGUCAUGUUUACAACGAGAUAAUUACGUGCCGCGCAAUUUUCCUUGAUCUAGAAGGAUCCAGAAGCCACGGGAACGAACGGGACGCGAUUCGGGCUCGGGAGCUGGGCGGCCGCCCACCCCCCUUGGGCGCCCGCCCUGGCCAGGAAGCCAAUCAGGACUCUCUCUCGGGACAACUCUCCACCGACCUAAAGAAUCAAUCUAAACCAUACAAUCUAUGUCGGUUUGAUCCAAUGGCUCACGUUCACUUGAGGGGACUAUAAAACCAGACCCCCUGGCCCCUGGAGGAGAGAGGAGAAAUCAUUAUUCAGAGGUAGCCAUCAAAGUUAGGGUUUAGAUCUCUCUCCCACAGAGAAUUAGAAUUAGCUACUCCCAAAUCCUUCAAGUUUAGAGGUUGAUUAGAUAGCAAUUAGAGAAGUAGAGCACUACGCUCUGGAUUCGGAUCUUCGGUAAUAAAGAUUCGUAUUAUUCAUAUCUUUCUCUAAUUCUAUUGUUCUAACUGCAUUAUGUCUCUAAUUAUUAUGUUCUUAGUUUGUUCUAGUUCUAUAUUUGAUAUAGUUCUAAUUGAUAAUGAGUUUAUGUAUAAGUUUGCAAAGCGCUUAGCUCUUGACGCGAGGGAGUUAGGUGAUAGAUCACAUGUGAGCGUGGUGCUUAGAUGUUAUUUAUCUGCAAAUGUAUCCUAUUGGCCGAGUCAUGUGGUAGUUCGCGAUAGUGACAGCUUCGUUGAUUCUUAUAUAGUCCACCCUCCGUUGAUAGGACAGGCAGAACCGGUAUUGUGGAGUAAGUCAUGCGAUGUUGUGAUUUACUUUAUCAAUGUUCCUUAUACAUGAAUGAAGAGUCUUUUAUGCUAUAUAUGAUCUUGUAGAUAACUAGAGUAGAUUAUGACUUAGUAGUUAGUAGAUAACUUAGAAUCCAUUCUCUAGCUAAUCCGACAUCACCUACAUAUAUGAGGACUAGUCUAUUUUCUAAUCGUUGUGCUCUUUAUCCCAUGAACUUAUACUUUAUUAUCAUUAUCUUUAUGGUUUACCCCUGCAAAAGUAAGUGACUGUGUGACGAGUUUCUCAUUAGUAAUCAUGUUCUUGCAAGUCUAUCUCUAGUCUAUGCCUUGAUAGAUUUUGCCCCUUUGAUUUAAUUCCAUCUCCUUAGAUCCCUUGAGCAAAAUUAUAAAUAACGAUACCUGGAAUACUUAUCCUGGUGAAAUGCUACAAUGAGGUGUUUUAUCUGUGUGCUUGCGGAUAGAAUAGAUUAUUUUCUAGAGAGCCUUUACAUUUAUAAAUACCUUUGUACACUCUGGCGCCAUGCUAGGGAUGACAACCUAGUAUCUAAGUGGUGUUAGCUAGUGUCAACAGCCAUGUAUUCAUAAAGGUUAUGAUUUCAUAUGGGCAAUAGUAGAUCGGUUGACUAAAGUUGCUCAUCUUAUUCCGGUUAAGACCAAUUAUAAUGGACUAAGGUUGGCUUAAUGGUAUAUGGAAAAGAUAGUGUGUUUGCAAGGGGUCCCUAAGAAGAUAGUUUCUGAUUGAGGUACCAAGUUUAUGUCUCAAUUUUGGCAACAAGUGCAUACAUCUUAAGGAACCAAGCUGAAUUUCAGUACCGUAUAUCACCCUCAGACUAAUGGGCAGACCAAAAGAAUUAAUCAGGUUUUGGAAGAUAUGUUGGGAUCUUGUGCAUUAUAGUAUGGUACAAGUUGGGAUAAGAGUUUACCGAAUGUGGAGUUUUCUUAGGACAACGGAUUAUCAUUAGAGCCUUCAGAUGGUAUGUCUUUAAGCUUUGUAUGGACGGAAGUGUAGAACCCCAUUGUUUUGAAAUCAAAUAGGUAAAACACAAGUGUUUGGGCCAGAUGUUCUAGAGAUGCAAAACAACAAGUGAGAGUGUUCAUGGAUAACUUAUGGGUGGCACAGUCUCAACAGAAGAGAUAUGCUGACAACCGGAGAAAAGAAUAAGCUUUUGAAGUAGAAGACUAUAUGUAUUUGAAGGUGUCACCUAUGAGAAGUGUGAGAAGAUUUAAUAUGAAGGAAUGGUUAGCACCAAGGUAUACUGGGCCUUUCAAAGUGUUAGAAGAUGUGGUGAAGUGGCUAAUUAGAGCAUCUGAAAGUUUGGGAGGAAUGCAUGAUGUUUUCCAUGUGUCUUAACUCAAGAAAUGUUUGUGUGUGCCAUAGGAGCAGAACACAUUAGAGGAAUUGGCUGUUAAAGAGGAUCCUACAUACAAAGAGUACUAGUAAGAAUUUUGGAAACAACAGAAAGGGUUACCAAGAGUUGCAUUAUCAGGAUGUGCAAACUUCACUGGAACCAGUACACCGUAGAGGAGGCUAUUUGGAAAAGAGAAAGAAUAUUCAAUGUUAAGAGUAUCCACAUCUUUUUGGUAACCAUCUUCCGAAUCUCGAGGACGAGAUUCAUCUUAAGGGGGUAGAAUUGUAACACCCUAAAAUUUACUCCUUUCGAAAUAGAGUUAAAAUAAUUUGAUUAUAUACUCUUGUGCCUAUGAAAAUAUAGGAAACAUAAUAUUUUUCAUUAAAUUAAGAUUUAUCAUAAGGCUAAGCAACAUUGUUGUGCAUACAUGCUGUUGCAUAAGAUUUGAUGUAAUGUUUGAAUGUUGCUCCUUUGUGUGUUGAGAGUAAACAAAGUUUUUAAAACUUGCAUUUAGUAGAACGAUCUUCCUUGGUCGGUACAUCUUUAUCUUUAUCUACAACCAAAUUCUUUAUUUCUCAGCUCAUGUUUUUAUUAGAAGCUUCCUAAAAUCUUGUCUUUAUCAUCCAACUCACUCAUUUCAAUUCAUCGUUCAUCAAACAAUAUCUACAAUCUUAUUGGGAAUUUUUCUAGGUUUUUUUGAAAUUUGUUUCCACUUUUCUGUGAGCAUGAUCUAAUUUUUAGAUGCUCCAAACAAUCUUGUCAUGAGCUCCAAAAAAACUUUAUUCGGGUUCCCCAUGUUCUAUAAUAUCUCUGAGAAUUUUUCCCGAAUUUUCGGAGCUUUCGGAGUAUUUUUUGUGGCUUAACUACUAAUUAUGGACUUUUCUUUAAUUAUUUUAUCCAUGAAAAUAAUUAAUUCCGAAAAUAAUAAAUAUCUUACUAUUUUUCCAACGGCAAAGCCCAUUUGCAAUAAUCAUAAUAAAUCCCAAAGACCAUGUAUUUAUUUACUAAUGGGCUUUAAUAAUUAAUUAGGCCUACUAGUAAACAUGAAUGUUGUAAAUCAAUUAGUCCCAUAUCUCUAGUUGAUGUUAAUGUGGGGAGUUAUCCUUCUAUAUGUAUGUACCAACCUGUUAGACAAAUUAUACCAAAACUAUCUCAAGGGAAGCUCCUAGUUUGAGAAUCCCUGAUGAUGUGAAUUAAAAUUUUCUCCACUCCUUCUCAUGUCUUUCGAUUGCCACGUUAGGAGAGACUCGGCUGUUGCUUAUCCUGUCGUGCGCUGCCUUCUACAAGUCACCAAGUCUGUCGCCUGGUGUUGCCGGCCGCUGCAGAACCCGAACUGCACGCAUGGAAUUUCUGAUGCUGCCUAGUUCACGUUCACGCCCGAACAUGCCGCAGGACCAUCAAUGCUGAUCGUUCAUAGUUAUUUGUUGGUGAGCAUCCCCUUGUUUUCCAUCUUCUCUGUUAAUUACACCAUGCAGGCACGUUGUAUGUUUCCCUUAUUUCUUUGCUUCUUAUCCAUAUGCAGCCAUUGAUUGUAUGUAGCCUUCUGUCAAUGUGCCGCGGUUGCGUUUUUCCUGGUCGCCAUGGUUGUAACACCCCAAAAUUUGCAAUUUUCCAAAAUAGGGUAAAUUGUUAAACUGUGUAUUUUUGUGCCCACGAAAUAUAGGACAAAUAAUAUUUUUCUUUAAAUUAAAAUUUACCCUAGGAGCUAGCCACUUGUUUGAGCAUGCAUGUCUUUCCAUUUGAUUUUUGGUGAUGAGUGGUUUUGGCUAAAGCCCAAAAAUAUAUUUCAAGCAGAUUUUAAAAUAAAUUUGAAAUUGGCUUUGAAGAAAAACAAAAGAAAAAGAUUUAUCUUUUCCCCUCCCUCUUCAUGGAAAUCGGCCCGAAGGCCCAGAACCUUUCCCCCAAUCCUUCCCCUCGGCCCAGCGCGCGCAGGAGCCGCGGCCCAGCUUUAUUUCCUUCCCCCACUGCCUGCUUCCUUCUUCCCCCUCUCUUCUUUCCUUCCUACGCGGCCCAGAGUCUCGGCCCACGCUGGAUCGGCCCGUGAGCCGCGCUCUCCACCUCGCUGCUGCCGCUGACGAGCGGGUCCCGCGCCCAGUUUCGCUGCCAGGUGGGACCCAGAGGUCAGGACCGUCCCCUACCUCAGUCCGUUUAGGACACGAGCUCGAGUCGCACCCACCGCGCGCGAUUCUCGAGAGCAAUCCUUGCUCCGCACGUUCGCCCCCUUUAAAUAGCGGCCACCGCUUCCCCCGCAACCCCCUCAUCAAAUCCCAGCGCCAGCCGCCGCGUAGUUCUCGCCGAAAAGCGCCGACGAGAUCCGGGCCGAAGCCAAUCCGCCGCUGCAUCACGUUUUUGUCACCGUGAGCAGUUUGACGGUCUUCUCGCUACUCUUGCGAAGUCGCCGAACCUCUUCUUUCGCGAUUUCGUGUUUCCUAUGCGUAGCUAACCUCCGCCGAACCUUUUGCAGAGCCGCCGUCCGCCUCUCGCCGUCGCGAGCCCGAGUCGGCCUCACUCGGUCCUAAUCUCGGCACCAGGUUAGUUCGCGUUGAGCUUCUGUUGACACCGUUUUUGGGCACGUGUCCAGGCCGGCAGGAUAAGACGACAGUGUUUUGUUUACAGGAUGAGUUGCCGAUGAGGAUGGUUGCCGAUGAAGGAGAGGUUGAACGUGACUAUGUCUACAGGCGGUGAUGUGUCUAUGCCGAUGGCUAUGAUGAGGAAGUCUGCCGAUGACUAUGGCAAGGGAGUCUGCCGAUGAUACGAAGGGAGAGUUCGGGAGCCGCCGAUGGUUUGUGGAAGAGUUUCAGUUUGUCACGGGAGAUAGUUUUGUUAUUUCCUUAAUUAUUUAAAUCGUUUUGUAUACGGAUUCCGUGUAAUUUGAAAUUCGAAUUCUAAUCGUGUCUGGCUGUAGCUCUUUGAGCAGGGUAUAAAUAUAGACCCUAGGACCUUGUAAUGAGACAUCUAUCAAUCAAGCAAACACACGUUUUUACUCAUAUUCCAGCAUCUACUUUCUCGACGACUUCGUCAUACUUUUUUUCCUUUUCAUUACGAGUUCUUAGGAAUUCGUCGACUCAAGCUCGGCGUGUUCUCAAGUUCCGCGUGAGUACCUCUUAGCCGUGACAUCCGGGCGCAUCGCUGUUGUCAGGACUAAAGUAUUCGAGUUAUCACCUUUGCCGAUAGUAAGGUCAAAUCGGCUGGCACGCCUUAACAUUUGAAUUGGGUAUUAGCCCUUUGUGUUUGCAGACCAGCUUUUGCACGAACAAAUCUUUUGGCACGCCCAGUGGGACAGAUCCAAGAUCAAGAUCAACAUGUCAACUUCUGAGUUUGAUCAAGAGAACGUCAUCCCCGUGACAGAAGCCAAUCUUAAGGAUGAGCAGAAGCAAGCUAUUGCUAAAGCCAUGGAGGAUUACAAGCAGCAAUGCCUGAGGUCCUUCUGCAUGAACAGGAGCGGUGAGGUAAUUCAGAAGGAUGCACUACCGGCUCCUCAGCAGGUUACUUUUGAGUCCAAUCCUGGCAAGCUUCAAGAGAUGGUUGACAGUGCGAUCAACCGCGCUUUGAUCAAUCAAGCUGGUGUACUGUCUAAUACGGUUUUCAAUGCCGUGGCGAGAACUUUCAAGGAGGGACAACUGCCACCAGAUUAUGUGGGCCCCACUUAUCACCAGCCAAAGUCACCAGUGGUCACAGCUCCAUCGGCUGCUACGGCCGCUGCGGGUAUGGAGAUUCCUGUUCCACCAAGCACGUUAGGAAUCACCAAUGGACAGUCUAUGCCGAUGACAACUAAUCCACAAACUUCGGAUGGGCAGAUUAAACUUGCCACAGAUCUGUUAGCAUCGGCAAUGACAGGGUUAACCCCUCCUCCCAACUGGUGGGGUUAUGGCAUGCCUCCAGAGUUAACGCCGGGUACAUCACAGACGACUAAUAUGAGAGGCGAGACUCCUAUGGCAUCGGCACCUCCCAAUAUGCCGAUGAACCAGAGUCCCCAGUAUACUACAACUACUACUGCAAGACCUCACACUGGGAAUUCUCAAGCUCCAAUGUUCCAGAUGCCUAACGCAUCGGCAGACUCGAUACUGAUGCAACAGAGGUCUAUGGCUCAAUCAGGGUAUGUCAAUUCAACGAUGAUGCCCAAUUACCAGUCAUCGGCAGGGCCUAUGCCGAUGAACGCUAAUAUUGGAUGGCUUGGGCAGCAAGUCUUUCCGCAAACACCCCAACAGAGUCACCAGGCUACAGGGUUCCAGCAAGGACAGAUCUAUCCCGGGUUUCUGAAUCAGGGGAUCCCUAACCAGCCAGUGAAUCCCGGGCAGCAGUUCGUCGGACAGCAGAUUGGCGGGCAACAGCUUGGUGGCCCACAGGUGGGAGGCCAGAUAAUCAAUCCAAUGUUCCGUGCAGAUCGUGCACCGAACAGACACGUGGAGGCUUACCAGCAGGUGCCGGAUCCACAACCACCAAAUCGGCAAGAUGCCGAUGCGUACUGGGCCGAUAAGAUUGCUGAAGUAAUGAGGGAUCAAUUCGGGAUAAAACCCAAAGUCAAUACUUACUCUUAUCGGACACCGUAUCCUCCUGCAUACGACUUGAUCCCGCUUCCACACCGGUACAAGGUACCAGAUUUCACUAAGUUUUCUGGGCAGGAUGAUACGUCAACCAUGGAGCACGUCAACAGAUUCAUUAUUCAGUGCGGUGAAGCUGGUAACAGGGACGAAUUGAGGGUUCGUUUAUUUUCAUCAUCAUUGUCUCGGUCGGCUUUUACCUGGUUCAUAUCACUACCUCCCAACUCAGUGAUUACUUGGGCCGGUCUGGAAAAACAAUUCCACAAAUACUUCUUUUCUGGGGUCCAUGAGAAGAAGAUCACCGAUUUGGUCAAAUUAAGGCAGCGUAAUGAUGAAUCGGUUGAGGGUUUUGUGCAGAGGAUACGGGAAGUCAAAAAUAAAUGUUAUAGUCUGGUCCUAGAUGAUCGGCAGCUAGCAGAUUUGGCUUUCUAGGGUUUAUUGCCACACAUCAGGGAUAAGUAUGCUUCUCAGGAGUUUGAAAGCUUAAGUCAUUUGGUGCAGAGGAUUUCUGAUCAAGACAUCAAACCUUUCGAGCUCAAAAGAGCAUGGAACAAGAAGGUAUCAUUUGUUGAUGAGGCAACGAGCUUAGAUUCUGAUGAGGAACCAGUCAUUGGCUUGGUAGAGUGGGUAAAGAACAAGAAGCCGAUGUCUUGCCCUUUUGGGCAGAAGGAACUAGAGAAGUUCGCUUUUGACACCGCUAAUGCCGAUAGGAUAUUUGAUUUUCUACUUCAGGAAGGUCAGAUCAAACUGUCUCCUAAUCAUGUGAUCCCAUCGGCUGAGGAGUUAAAGAAGAUGAAAUAUUGCAAGUGGCAUAAUGCAACUUCUCAUGACACCAAUGAGUGCAAGGUUUUCACACAGCAGCUGCAAUCGGCUAUAGAGUCUGGGAGAAUCAAGUUUUACAGUUCCAAGACUCAGAAGCCGAUGAAGAUAGACCAACAUCCUUUCCCAACAAAUAUGUUGGAUGCUAAGGGAAAGGCUAAGGUCUUAACAUCAGAAGCAGCCGAGAGGAGUGCAUCGGUAGAUCCUCAACAUCAAGUUACUACUGCCGAUGCAAGAGGUAGGGGCCUGGUUCAGGAAGGAACCAGCUCAGGUAGGCCUCCCCGGUCUGGCAUCGUUAUAACUCAUAGAAGGCCUCGAGAUAACUGGCAGCAACGGGAAGAUCGGUAUCGGCGCCAGCAAGAAGAUUAUCGUCGGGAGGAAGAGAGACGCCGACAGGAGUGGGAUCGGCAUAGAGAUCACUGGAACUGUCCGUUCUUCAUCCAUUGUUGGGAGGAAAAUAUUAAGCUUCCCACUGUCAGAGACUGCCCUGAGUGCAAUGGUUAUGAUCAGUAUGAUAGGACUGAUCGGCGUUAUCAUGAUGACAAUCGGCGAUUUAAUGGGCCGAUCAGAGGAAGAGCAUCAGUUCAUGAUCGGCUGGGGGGCAGGCUCAAUGUGCACGAUAGGCUCGGUGAUCGUAUCCAAUAUUUUCCCAGGAACCGGCAAGAGUUCGAGGAGAUGGCUAAUGCACGAGUUCCCGAUGAGUUCAUAUUUUGCAGGGAUGCUAAUACGCAUCGGAUGGAGUCGAGAGAAAAUCGACGCCCAGCAGCAGGCAGAAGCCACUUCCUCCAUGGUGUCCAGAAGGGCUGACGAAGACACAUAAGAGGAGGUUGCAGCGUGAAAGGCAAGAAGGGCUAAGCAAGGGCGAAAGCUCUGGAAAAUCUGAGGAUCGACAACAACCAGAUCCUAAAGGGGAAGGUCCAUCGGCAGGUGUCAACAUGGUCUUUAUGUUGCCGAUGGAAUUCCUUGUGCCAUCCAGUGAUGAUGAGGUGGAGUUUUCCGAUCAAAUAGCUCAGUUGGCUCUAGAUCCGAUGACGGCUAUCUUCGAGAAGCCUGCCGAUGAUGAAAGACAGCAUCUCAAGGCUCUGUUUGUCAAAGGAAGGGUUGAUGGGCAGCUGAUGACUAAGAUCUUAAUUGAUGGAGGAGCUGCUAUCAAUAUCAUGCCAUAUACGGUGUAUCGGAAGCUUGGAAAAGGAGAUCAAGAUUUAAUCAAGACCGAUAUGAUGCUCAAAGACUUUGAAGGGAAUGUGUCUCCGGUCAAGGGGGCAAUAUGCGUAGAGUUAACUAUCGGCAGUAAAACAUUGCCGACAACCUUCUUCGUGAUCAGUGGAAAGGGUGCUUACAACUUGCUAUUGGGAAGAGAUUGGAUUCAUGCUAAUUGUUGCAUCCCAUCUACAAUGCACCAAUGUUUGGUUCAGUGGGUAGGUGACAAAAUUGAGAUUGUUCCGGGAGAUUCUUCUUAUGUCAUUGCGUCGGCCGAGGCAGACACCUAUGAGAGGACCAGGUGCAUUUCAGGAGAAGUUUGGGAGAAAGAUUUUCUGAAGGUUGCCGAUUACGAGAUUCCACCGAUCCAAGCAGUCGGUUCUGACGACGGUUUUUAAUGGAUAGGUUCGCCGAUGAUGGAAAGUUAGGCCAGGGAUUCACAUCGGCCGAUGAUUUGGUAGAAGUAGAUAUCGGUAGUGGUGAUAAGCCUAGACCUACUUUUAUUAGUGCUAAGUUAAAUCCUGAGUGUAAGCAGCAAUUAACCAAUUUGUUAAAGGAAUAUAAAGAUUGCUUUGCUUAGCAUUAUACCGAGAUGCCUGGUUUAGACCGAUCAAUUGUUGAACAUCGGUUGCCUAUCAAGUCUGGAUUUCGGCCACAUUAGCAACUAGCUCGCCGAUGUAAUCCUAAUAUUCUUCCUGACAUCAAAGCCGAAAUAACCAAACUUAUUGAAGCUAAAUUUAUUCGGCAGUGUCGGUAUGCCGAAUGGAUUUCCAAUGUUCUUCCGGUCUACAAGAAGAACGGGAAACUUCGGGUCUGCAUUGAUUUCAGGAACCUUAACAAAGCUACGCCGAUGGAUGGAUACCCAAUGCCAGUUGCCGAUCUGUUGGAUGACGCUGCGGCUGGGCAUCGACUUAUUAGGUUUAUGGAUGGUAAUGCAGGGUACAAUCAAAUAUUCAUGGCUGAAGAAGAUAUUCCAAAGACUGCGUUCAGAUGCCCUGGUCAUGUUGGAUUGUUCGAGUGGAUAGUUAUGACUUUUGGCCUCAAGAAUGCUGGUGCUACUUAUUAGAGGGCCAUGAAUUUUAUAUUUCAUGAGUUCAUCGGCAAACUGGUAGAAAUUUAUAUUGAUGAUGUGGUGGUCAAGUCCGGGGACUUCACAGAGCAUCUUGCCGAUCUACGAAAGGUAUUGGAGUGCACAAGGAAGCACAGAUUGAACAUGAAUCCCAAUAAGUGUGCAUUUGGUGUAUCGGCAGGGCAGUUUCUCGGUUUCAUGGUGCAUCAAAGGGGGAUUGAAAUUAGUCGAAGAUCUAUUGAUGCCAUCAAUAAAAUAGUAGCCCCUACCAACAAGACUGAGCUCCAGUCCUUGAUCGGCAAGGUAAAUUUUAUCAGGAGAUUUAUAUCUAAUUUGUCUGGUAAAAUUCGUGCUUUCAGUCCUCUUCUUAAGCUAAAAUCCAAUCAAGAAUUUAUUUGGGGGAAAGAACAGCAGUUAUCUCUGGAUGAAAUCAAGGAGUAUCUAGUAAAUCCUCCAGUUCUAAUUCCACCUCAGCAAGGAAAGCCCUUCAGAUUGUAUUUGUCUACCGAUGGGAUGGUUAUCGGUUCAGCUUUGAUUCAAGAAUUUGAAGGGAAAGAGCGUGUAAUUUAUUACUUAAGCAGGACGUUGAUUGAUGCUGAGACCAGGUAUUCGGCCAUUGAAAAACUAUGCCUAUGCUUAUAUUUUUCGUGUAUCAAGUUAAGGCACUACUUGUUAUCGGCCGAAUGCACUAUUGUUUGCAAAGAUGAUGUGAUCCGGUACAUGCUAUCUAUGCCGAUUAUGAGUGACAGGAUCGGUAAAUGGAUUUUGGCGCUGUCGGAAUUCGAUCUGCGUUAUGAAUCGGCAAAGGCAGUUAAAGGGCAGAUUAUGGCCGAUUUUGUGACUCAACUUUGCGGUGCAGUGGAGGCUUUGGAAAUGGUGCCCUAGACGCUUUUCUUUGAUGGAUCUACAUGUGACCGGGGGGCAGGGAUCGGCGUAGUAUUAGUUUCCCCUAAGGGGAGGAAGUAUGAAUUUUCCUUGCCGAUUGUUGCUACAUCAACAAAUAAUCAGGCUGAGUAUCAGGCUUUGAUAAAAGGAUUGGAGUUGUUAAGGGAAGUGCGUGCUGACGCUGUCGAAGUCUUCGGGGAUUCUAUGUUGGUUAUAAAUCAAUUGGCCGGGAACUAUGAAUGCCGAAGUGAAGUUCUCAUAACUUAUUACGAAAGGAGUAUGCAACUGUUAAAGGAAUUCAAAGAUUUCCGUUUAGAGCAUGUUCCCCGAUUGCAUAAUGAAGAGGCCAAUCGGUUAGCUCAGCAUGCCUCAGGAUAUCAGCCUAUAAUUAAUACAGUAUCGGCAAUCGAUGCCGAUGAUUGGAGGAAAGAAAUUAUUGAUUAUUUGAAAGUUCCAUCUAAGAAAGUUGAAAGACGAGUUCGAUUUCAAGCGACCAAGUAUGUGCUCCUCGACAAUGAAUUAUACUAUCGAACUAUUGAUGGAAUUCUUCUCCAAUGCUUAGGUGAUGAUGAAGCUAGGAGUUUGGUGGGAGAAAUUCAUGAAGGGGUGUGUGGAGCGCAUCAGUCAGCUUUUAAGAUGAAGUGGAUGAUUAGGAGGAAUGGAUAUUAUUGGCCGACUAUACUUGAGGAUUGCUUUAAGUAUUUCAAAGGGUGUCAAGGGUGUCAGAAGUUUGGUAACAUUCAAAGGGCACCUGCAUCGGCUAUGAAUCCUAUCAUAAAGCCUUGGCCGUUCUGAGGGUGGGCUAUUAAUCUGAUCGGCCAGAUUUAUCCACCAUCUAGCAAAGGGCAUAAGUUUAUUCUACUUGCCACUGAUUAUUUCACUAAGUGGAUCGAGGCUAUUCCUUUAAAGAAAGUCACAUCGGCCAAUAUGAUUGAUUUUGUGAAGGAGCAUAUCAUUUACCGAUUUGGAAUUCCUCAAACAAUUACUACCGAUCAGGGCACUAUGUUUACAUCAGGGGAGUUUGAUGAAUUUGCAAUUGGUAUGGGGAUUAAAGUGUUGAAUUCUUCUCCUUAUUAUGCUCAAGCCAAUGGGCAGGCCGAGGCGUCUAACAAAGGAAUUAUCAAGCUUAUCAAACGAAAGAUUGAAGAAAAUCCUAGACGGUGGCAUACAUUAUUAAAUGAAGCGUUGUGGUCCUAUCGGAUGGCUUGUCAUGGAUCAACCAAAGUGUCACCCUAUCAAUUGGUAUAUGGACAUGAUGCAGUGUUACCUUGGGAGAUUAAGGCUGGAUCUAGGUGAUUAUCUUUUCAAGAUCAAUUAGCUGCCGAUGAUUAUGCAACUUUGAUGACCGAUGAGUUAGAUGAUCUAGCGGGACAUCGGUUAAAGGCUUUAAUGAGUAUAGAAGAAAAUAAGAAGAGAGUUGCUAGAUGGUAUGACAAGAAAGUAAAGGCUAAGGAGUUUGCCGAUGGGGACUUGGUAUGGAAAUUAAUUUUACCAAUCGGGACUAAAAGUUCGAAGUUUGAAAAGUGGUCUCCUAAUUGGGAAGGUCCUUAUCGGAUAAGUCGAUCAGCUCCUGGAAAUGCCUAUAUUCUGGAAACUCUCGAAGGAGUUGAAUUUCCUAGAGCAUUAAAUGGCAAAUAUUUAAAGAAGUACUACCCCAGCAUAUGGGUCGAUGCAUAAAAGUUUAAGUGCCGAUAACACUCCUAUCGGCUGGAUUUAAAUGUUUGGGGGCAGGACUUAAUGUUUCAAAAGAUGCCGAUAACAGUCCUAUCGGCUAGACUAAAGGCUAAAAGAGCAGGAAAACACAAAUGUGUCGCUGAUGAGAGCUUCAUGUGUUCAGCAGCGCCUGGAUCGCUAAUAUGGCGCGUAGCCGGAUUUGGUUGGUUGCUUCUAUCUCCUUGAUAUCGUCAUCGGCAGAGCCUUCUAUCGGCUUCAGCUUCUUCUUCAAUUGUAGUGCCUUGCGACCGUGGACGUUCCGCUCAUGCUCAAGAAGCUUGAUGGUCUUUGGUAGUUGACUCUCUUCCUGUUGGGCUUGGGACAAGGCGUCCUCCACUUGUUUGAGUUCUGCCAACAGGGAUUCCCUUUUUGCCGAUAAGUCAGAUAUCUUCUGCUUCAGCAUGUCUCCUGAAGAUCUCAAGAUGCCGAUGUUCUUGUGCUUCUCAUCGGUCAGGAUCUUCUCUUUCCUCAUCUCUUCAGAAAGCUGAGUCUCAGCAGCUCUAUCGGCAAGACGCCGAGAAGCCCUCUGGUACUGCAGCUGACGACUCUCCAAAUGUGCGGCUUGGAAAAGGAUUUCUUCGACAUCGGCUGGGAUCUGGCCUCUGAGAGUCUUGAACAGAAUCUUGGCUGGGUCGGAGUCAUCGACCAAUUGCGCCGUGUCCUGGUGAAGGAGGGCCGACAGUUCUUCCAUCCUGGCCCUGAUCUCUGCCGAUGUAAUGCCAACUGUCUGGGAAGAGCUUGCUUCUUCACCUUCUUCUUCAGAGAGGUCGAUGGCGAAGGAGAAUAGGCUGUCGGGGGAAUCUUGUUCCUGGGAGGAAGAGCAAAGUUAGUUCAUAUUCGGAGAAUCGGCAAGUAAUGCUGAUAAAGAUUAGGUGACUUGCUUGUUUCAAGGCUAUUUCCUGCCUUUGACUGGAAGAUGCCGAUGGAGCCGUAGGUUGAUCGGCCAGAGUUGCCGAUGGAACGACAUCAACUGAAAGAAGACAGGAAGAGUUAUGAGGCUGAGUGAGAAUAAGUUCAUUGGUGGCAGUAUUAUUAAAAUAUGUUACCCGGAGGAGGAACGAUGAUUGUUUGAGUCGGGGGAACUGCCGAUGAUGUAAUUGGACCUGCCGGGCCAGUUGUUUGUCCACCCACGUCAGCUGAAGUACCUUCUGCUUGGGGUUCUUCCUGCUGGGGUUCGUCUGCUUCUGGUGCUUCCUGCGGAUGAGGGGGAGAUGGUGCUUGCUGGAUCUCUACAUUUGGAGGGGAGGGAGAAGAUUCCACCGGAAUAGGAGAUACCGAAGGAGGAGGAGGAGGAGGAGGAGUCGCCACUUUCUGGCGCUUUGUUCCAGCCCUGGUACCCUUGGCGCCCUUCCUCUUUGGCUGGCUGGACUGGGGGGCAUCGGCACCUUGACGUUUGGCUUUUCCCGAUGCACCGGUUUGCUGCAGCAACAAAAAGGAGUUUAUAAAUACAAUUGUAGCCGAUGUAAAGGUAAUCGGUAUAAGUAAAAGGGGUUUGACGAAUUACCUUGAAAGCCUGGGCCAGAGUGGAAGCAGCUACCGUUGGUGAUGUCUGAGUUCUCUUGGUGGUGACUUUCUUAAGGCGCGCACCUCGAUGAACAAUGGUGGCCAGAGUGGGAGCAUUGUGGCCGAUUGAAGAAAUUGGGCCUGGUGGAAACAGGUCAAUCGGCUUACCACUUCUGCUAACCGAUGGAGGGAUGUUGUCAACCUGCAAAAGGGAUACAAAGGUGAGUUACCGAUGGAAAUAAGAUUGAAAAAUUGGAACACCGGUUUGAAAUACUUACAGCGUCAUCGGAGACUUUGUACUCGGGGUCGAUCAUGCCGCGGUACGAAAGGGCUGAUUUGCAGAAUAGAUGCUCCUUCCAUUCUGCCCGCCAUAGCUUGUAUGCCUGAGUAAUGAAAGCGGCUGGAACCCACUCUGACAAAUCUGCAUCUGUAUCGGCAUUCGGAGGUAGUUGAGCUACUCGAAUCCACUCAAGAAAGUUGGUGAUGGGUUCCCUAGGUUUUAUCACAUCGGCAUAACAGAGUGCAAUCGGCAGCUGGCCAAAAGCUAAUUGACGAACUAAUUGUUGAUAUUUGGGAACGCAAUAAGGAAUUGAUCCGCAAGCGCACGGAUAUCGGUGAGCACUUCACCCGGGAGGUUAUCCAGAGUAUCGUAUUUAUUUUUUUACCACUAGGAGAAAGAGUGCAUCUGACUAACCGGUCUAUUACUACUAACCUUUAGGCACAAAGAAUGUCUUUCGAUGUGAGUGAUAAAUAGAGAAGACUGCAACCGUAGUCUCCUUCUAACCUUGGUAAGGAUGAUCUACUGUUCUAAUGGGGAGGCUAACGGAAUCUAGACACCACAAAGGAUGUUCAACCCGCACCUAUAAACCCUAUCCUUCCUGCUAACGAGAUGUGAUCUACAAAGGUAGCUCGGAAUUGUCACGUUCCUCACUACUACCACGGUCCAGCUAGUCAGGGAAUAUCUAUGAGUACCCCAGCCUAAACACCACGUUUACGCUAGCAAUGAUUACUCUAAACUCUACGCGAAGAGAUUAAAGUAAACUCAUAAACCAUAAGAACAAUAAAACAAGAACUUACUAGAAUUUAGAAGUCGAAUUACUGAAGAAUCCUAGGAGCAAGCUUCGGGUUAGGAGAACUUGAUCCCGCAGGUACAAGCUUGGAGUAGACACCGACAGGCCGGGCUUCCUCCACUCUUCACCUCCACUCUAUCUCUCUCAAUCUAGUAGAAACUAGAAGAUCUAUUUCUACCUUACAUUGAUUGCUAAGCCUAAAAAGAAAUAUUAAUUAGAGAAGAGGUUUUCCUUCGAGGGCACCCCUCAGUCUCUAUGAUAAUUUCUUCAUGUCUUCUCCAGGGGCCAGGGGGCCUUGCUUAUAUAGUCCUCCCCUUCUAUGCGUUUUUGGGUCGAUAGCCGAGGUGGUACUAUGUUUUUCUUGAUCCAAUAGGUCGGUGGAAUAUCCCGAGCGAAAGAGUCCUGAUUUGGCUCCAGCAGGGGGGCGGGCGCCCAGGCUCCAGGGCGGGCGCCCUGGGCCUGGCCCAGUUUUGCCUCCGCUUCGGUCUCGUGGCUUCUGGAGUCUUCUAGAUGAAGUAAAAUUGCGCGGUGCGUUGAUAUCUCUAUGUAAUCCCGACAUGUGGGCCUUUCUUCCUUAUUUCCUGAUAACCCCCUGUAGAAAUAGAUAAACCACAAAACUCGUAGAAUUCUGUCAGAUCAAACCCUAAUUCUAGGUGAUGGUUGCAUAUUGGUCCAUUCUCUUAUUUAUUUGAUAAUUAAAAUUGAUGUCACUUGGAGUUUUUGUAUAUUGUUGAAAGAAAGUUAGCAUACCUUUUGAUCCUCAUAGGUUCUCUCAGAUCACUCAUUAUCUUUUAUAUAUAUCUCACUGAGGCUGUUUUAUUUUGCAAAAAUUCUCAAGCAUACUUACUUUGCAUUUAUUGCCUGAUCGAAACGGGAUCCGAGGAGGGGAAUGUCAUACUCUUAGAUCAAAGACUUUGAAAAUUAAAAACUUUGUCAACUCUUGCUGGCAUAUUGCUUAUUAGAGGGACCAUGGGCUAUCAUAUUUUUUUAAGUGGAUACCGAGGUACCCCUAAUUCUACUGCCGGACACUUGCCCAUUUUUUUUCUGCGAGGUUGUCGAGCACUUGCUCCUUUUUAUUUCCUCAAAAUAUUUUUAUUUUUGCAUAGCCCAUGCCUCUAAUGCAUUAAUACUGAAAUAGUGUCUUGAUCUUGGGAGCAUGAUAAAUCUCUCAACAAGGGUCUAACUCAUUUUGAACAAACUCAAUACAGAGCAGAUAGCUUUUAUAAUCAUAAUUAAUAUUUUUAUUUUUAUCAGGCAUAUAAAACACUGAGGAUGGUAGCUAGAAUUUUGAAUAUUUUGAAAUAAAUUCUCCAAGCAACAAUGAUAUCAAGAAUAAGAAACUCAUACUCUACCAUCACAUAUUCCAUAUUGACUUAAGUAACACAGGGUUUUAAAAUGAUUUUAUAAUAAUUGUAAGUUUUCGGGGAAUAUCACAGAUUGAGAUUAAUCAUGAUUAGAAAUAUUUUAAUCUUUUUAUUUUAUCAUGUCAGAAACAGUAAUCUGCAUAAUCCAAAAUAAAUGUAUGUAUGAAGUAAAGUGUGCAGAGUGUGUACCUGAAUCGUGGAGUGGUGUAGUCGGAGUGUGUUUGGCAUGUUGAGGGAUCUCCCCCAUACUUGUUUUCUGCUUUCUUGCACAAAAAUAAAGUAGAGACACACAAGACAUAAUAAUAAUAAUAGUAGUACUCUUUAUUGAUCUUGAGGCAUUUAGUACAAAAGACUGAUAACAAACUGAUAGCAAACUAAUAAUAAUAGCAAACUUAAACCGAAUUUAAAGAUAGAUGACUAAGAUGCAUUGCCUCAAGGUCUAAUCUAGAUAACUUAGCGGCGCUCUAAUUCCUUGAUCUUCUUGUUGGCACUGGCAAGAUCCUGCCUAAGGCCUAGUAUAAUGGUGUUCUAGUUAGAGAGCUGCCUAGUGAGGGAAUUAACUGAGGACUGGAGGUCUAUGAUAAUUCUAUCUAGCCUGCGAACUUCCUCAUCAAUAUCCAUUAUAGUCUUGCGACGCUUGGGAGGUGUCUCAAAAGCAUUGAGAGAAUGCUUCGGGGCUGCCUUUGGAGGGAUGAAACGGACUUUGGCUGCUCUAAUCCCUUUAAAGUAAGGCCUUUCCUCCUCUGAAGUGUAGCGUACGCUGCUGAUCUCGCCGCUCCGGUUGGUCUUGACUCCAACGACCCUCUCAUUGGGUCUAGGUGGAAGGAUCCUUGUGCCGAUUGGCACCUUGAUAGUGGUCUUCGUCUUGGAUGAUGGUCCUUUGAGGAGUAGGGGUUGUGGUGGUGUGGUGAGAACUGGUUGAGCAUGGUAAGAUUGGGCGGAGCUACGUUGGCGUAAUGGCAUGGCUUCUAGCUGACGCUCUGUUUUGGCCGGGACGAGAGCACGGGCAUCGGGGUCUUCCACUGGCUCCAUGUACGUUGAGGUUGAAGGGGACGACUUCCCAAUCGUCGUGGUACUUGUCGGCCAUUGGAGUAGCAAGGAACUAAUAAAAUUUUAAUUGAAGUAGAGCUAAUUAAGCUCUAAUUAAAGGAGAGCUAAUCAAGCUCUAGUUGAAGGAGAGAAAGCUUGGUGGCUUGGUGUUUGAAAACUGAGGUCAGGGGUCUGUUUAUAUAGGGGUCAAAAGGAUACCUCUAUGGGUUGUUCGGGUUGCUCCCGUCGAUGUGCGUGCGAAACUUUCCAUCCGAGGGAUUAUUCGGAUCACCCUAAGUGCAUUUUCCAUAACAGAGAAAGUCGGGACCGAGGGGGAACAGGGGCUGGGCGCCCGCCCACUUGACCUGGGCGCCCGCCCUCUCUCUGGCUCCUCUGUGGGCCCACUUCUCCGAGCGCAUUUCUAGAUGCGAAAUUAUUUAGAAAAAUAUAUAUAUGACCCAAAACCAUCAGACCAAAAGUGUCGGGCUCUAAUUCUCCAUGGGAAGGUAAAAAUGGACUACGUCUAUUUCUUCAAAUUCCUCAUUGGGCUCUAAAAAUAAUUUAAGACAUUGACCAUUUACCUUGAAUAACGUACCUUCGCUGUUUUGAAGUGUGAUAGCUCCGUGGGAUGAUGAAUUGAUUACCUUGACUGGUCCUUCCCAUUUUCUCCGGAGUUUUCCAUGCCCAAAAAGCUUCACCCUGGAAUUAAAAAGGAAUACCUUAUCUCCGGGUGUGAACUCCUUCUUCUUGAUUCUCUUGUCAUGCCACCUCUUGACUCUUUCUUUGUAGAUCUUUGAAUUGUGAUAUGCCUUCUCUCGCCAUUCUUCCAAUUCUGAUAAUUGCAUUCUUCUAUAAUCUCCAGCAACAUCUAGGUCCAUAUUCCAUCUCUUUAUGGCCCAGUGUGCUUUGAAUUCUAGUUCAACAGGUAGAUGGCAAGUCUUCCCGUACACCAAUUGGUAUGGAGACAUUCCAAUUGGGGUCUUGUAUGCUGUCCGGUAUGCCCACAGUGCAUCGGGUAACUUGUCUUUCCACGCCGUUCCCAUUUCAUUUACUGUCUUCUGAAGAAUAUUCUUGAUUUGUUUGUUGGAAGUCUCUGCUUGGCCACUUGUCUGAGGAUGAUAAGGGGUAGCGACGUUGUGACGGAUUCCAUGUCUUGAUAGAUAUUGCUUGAAGCGUUUGUCGAUGAAGUGUGCUCCUCCAUCACUUAUCACUACUCUGGGGACUCCAAAUCUUGGAAAUAUAAUUUCUUCAAACAUCCUCUUUGAACUGACAUUGUCGGCAUGCUUGCAAGGUAAUGCUUCUACCCACUUGGAGACAUAGUCAACCGCCACCAAGAUGUACUCACACUUCUUUGAUGGAGGAAAUGGACCCAUGUAGUCUAUUCCCCAGACAUCAAAGAGCACAAUCUGAAGGUUGUUGGUGAGUGGCAUUGCAUCCCUUGUAUUUGUGUUUCCGUGCCUUUGACAUGGCCCACAUCUUCUGAUAUACUGUUUCGUGUCUUCAUACAUUGUAGGCCAAUAGAAUCCACACUGCCAGAUCUUUGAAUGUGUACGGAAUGCUCCAUAGUGACCUCCAUAUGGUGAUGAAUGACAUCUGUCGAUGAUCUUCCAUCCUUCCUCAGUGGUCACACAUCUCCUGAGUAAGCCAUCAGAGCAUACUCGGAAGAGGUAUGGCUCGUCCCAUAUAUGUGAACGACUUUCUUGAAUAAGCUUCUUCUUGUUUGCUCCUGGUGGUACAUACCCUGAAACCAUAAAAUUAACAAUAUCUGCAUACCAGGGGUCAGACCUGUUAAUCCCGUAGAGCAUGUCGUCCCGGGAUGAAUCAUUGAUGGGGGUUUCCUGUGGACUCUUAAAAUACAUUCUAGACAAGUGAUCAGCAACAGAAUUUUCUACUCCUUUUUUAUCUUUUAUUUCUAAGUCAAAUUCUUAGAGUAAUAAAAUCCAUGUAAUCAGGCGAGGUUUAGCAUCUUUUUUAUUGAGCAAAUAUUUUAGUGUAGCAUGAUCAGUGUAAACAAUUAUUUUAGCUCCAACUAAAUAAGAUCUAAAUUUAUCAAUGGCAAAGACAAUAGCCAGAAGCUCUUUUUCAGUGGUUGCAUAAUUAAGUUGAGCUCCUAUCAAAGUUUUACUGGCAUAAGCAAUUGCAUGAUGUUUCUUAUCUUUAGUUUGUCCCAAUACUGCCCCCACAGCAUAAUCACUAGCAUCACACAUAAUUUCAAAAGGCAACGACCAAUCAGGGGGUUGAAUGAUUGGUGCAGAGAUGAGUGCUUUCUUUAAUAAAUUGAAAGAUGUUAAACAUGCAUCAUCAAAUUCGAAAGGAGCAUCCUUGGCUAGCAAAAGAGUAAGUGGUCUAGCAAUAAAUGAAAAAUCUUUUAUGAAUCUACGAUAAAAACCAGCAUGGCCAAGAAAGCUCCGAAUUCCUUUUAUAUUCACAGGUGGAGGUAGUUGUUCAAUUACUUCAAUUUUAGCUUUGUCUACCUCAAUCCCUCUUUCAGACACUAAGUGUCCUAGCACUAUUCCUUCUCUAACCAUAAAAUGACAUUUUUCCCAAUUAAGGAUUAAGUGCUUUUCUUCACAUCUUUGCAAAACCUUAUCUAAGUUUUCAAGACAACUAUCAAAAGUUUUUCCAUAAACAGAGAAAUCAUCCAUGAAAACUUCCAUAAUCUCUUCAAUCAUAUCAAAAAAUAUAGACAUCAUGCAUCUUUGAAAAGAAGCUGGUGCAUUACAUAACCCAAAAGACAUUCUACGGUAAGCAUAAGUUCCAUAAGGGCAUGUAAAAGUGGUUUUGCUUUGAUCAUCAGGAUGGAUCGGGAUUUGAUGAUACCCUGAAUAUCCAUCUAAGAAACAGAAGAAUGAAUGGUUUGCUAACCGCUCUAGCAUCUCAUCUAUAAAAGGUAAAGGAAAGUGAUCUUUUCUCGUGGCUUUGUUUAGUUUUCUAUAGUCUAUGCACAUCCGCCAUCCUGUGACGGUGCGUUGCGGAAUUAGCUCAUUCUUUUCAUUCAUAAUAACUGUCAUGCCUCCCUUUUUGGGCACAACUUGGACUGGGCUCACCCACUCACUGUGCGGCACAGGAUAUAUAAUCCCUGCAUGCAGCAACUUUAUAACUUCCUUUUUAACUACCUCUCUCAUAGUGUUGUUAAGUCUACGUUGGGGUUCUCGAGAGGGUGUAACAGAAGGAUCUGUUGGAAUACGAUGGGUACAAAUCAUAGGACUGAUUCCUGUAAGAUCUUGAAGUGAGUAGCCGAAUACUGAGUGAUGUUUCUCAAGAAUGGUCAUUAAUCGCAGAGUUUGAUCCUGAGUGAGUUUAUCGCUAAUGAUCAUAGGGAACUCUGGAUUAUUGUUUAGGAAAGCAUAGGUAAGACCGGGUGGUAAAGUUUUAAGUUCUAUGGGGGGUCUAGGUGUUUCUGCAAACUCGUCUAAGGGUUCAGGCUCAGAAGGUUCGUCUUCUUCUUCUGUGAAGAAAGGAGUUUCGUCUUCUAAGUCUGAUUCAUCUAAAAGCUCUAGAGAUGCAGCCUUUACUUCCUCCAUAGGAUCAGGCAAAAGAUAUGACUCGGCCUUAUUAUUUAAGGAGUGUGAAAUUAUCAUUGGGAAUUGAAAAGUUUUUCCAAAAGAAAUGUGUAGCUUUCCAGUAUGACCUUCAUAAAGGAGUCUUCUAAAAGGUUGUCCUAUUAACAGGUCGAAGUCCCAUGUAUCAAAGAUAUAGAAGUUCAAAUGAACCAUGGAGCCUUCUACCGUAAGAGGUAGGACAUUAAUAAUUCCAAGACUGGGGAUUAAUCUUCCCGAAGAUUCCUUUAUGAUCUUUGUUGUGGGGGUUAAGACAAGAUUUUUAAAUAGUUCAAGUGCAAAAGAUUCAGACAUGAUGUUGAUCCCCACAACAGGAUUAUAAAGAGCAUUAAAUCGAUCAGAAUUAUAAGCACAACGUAUAGUUAUAGAGGGUGUGUCCAAACGGAUCACAUCAGAGGAAAGCUCUGAUUCCUCCAACCAUUCGCUACUCAUUACUGAGAUAAGCUCUCUCAAUUGAUAUUCACUUGGUAAAUAAAUGCUAAACUGGCCGUUUUGGGGUUUGUCAAUAGAAUGGUAGUUUGAAAUAUUUCCAAAAUCGGCAAAAAGAUCGGAUUCUAUAUCCAGCAUGAAGUCCGGUGGUGGAAUUUCUUCCUCUUGUGGCUCAGAACUUGGGAUAGCUAAAGUAGAUGAAGAAUUUGGCAGAGUGUCUACUUCGGCUUCGUAGGUUUCAUCAUGAAGGGUAUUAUCCAUCUUAGCUUCUAGGAUUCUAUCUAGGAUCACUCUUGCUUUAUCAGCAGGGAUGCGAAAGAAAGAACCUCUAGACAUUGUGUGCAGCAUUUGUUUGUGAUUUUUAUGAAGACCUCGAAAAAAGUGAAAUAAAAGAACGGGGUCUUCAAGAUUAAGGUUUGGACCAGAUUCUAAAAGAUCAGAAAAACGUUUCCAGGAUUUUCCCAAAGUUUCAUUAUCUUUUUGUUUAAAAGAUAGGACUUCGAGUCUAAGGUCGGCUAUACGGUCAAGGGAAUAGAAAUCUAGACAAAAGUUGGCUCUUAAAACUCCCCAUUCACCUUGUUGUUGACUUACCUUCUGACUGUACCAUUGUCUAGCUUCUCCCCUUAAGGAAAAAGCUUCCAACGUAAAGUCUUAUCAAAAAUGCCUUCAAUGCGAAGACAAUCACAUGUUUGCUCAAAAUCUCUAAUAUGAAGGUAAGGGUUUUCGUCUUCCUUUCCCGAAAAAGAUAGGUUUUGAAUCAUAGCAAUCAACCUAGAACUUAACUUAUACUGGGAUGUUUGGAUAGGCUGUGAUGAUUCCCAUGGUAAAAGGUCAGUUGCUAAAGGGAUUGCAGACUCAUGGAUCGAUUUAGAAUUUUGGUUUUCCAUAGGGUAAGAGUAAAGAAAAUAAAUAAAGGAUAUAAAAGAUAAGAAAAGAUAAAAGUAUAGAUACAAGCUAAUAGCAAGACACAGGUUAUCUCAGCAACCGUCUUUCUCCCCGGCAACGGCGCCAGAAAUGCUUGUUGAUAUUUGGGAACGCAAUAAGGAAUUGAUCCGCAAGCGCACGGAUAUCGGUGAGCACUUCACCCGGGAGGUUAUCGAGAGUAUCGUAUUUAUUUUUUUACCGCUAGGAGAAAGAGUGCAUCUGACUAACCGGUCUAUUACUACUAACCUUUAGGCACAAAGAAUGUCUUUCGAUGUGAGUGAUAAAUAGAGAAGACUGCAACCGUAGUCUCCUUCUAACCUUGGUAAGGAUGAUCUACUGUUCUAAUGGGGAGGCUAACGGAAUCUAGACACCACAAAGGAUGUUCAACCCGCACCUAUAAAUCCUAUCCUUCCUGCUAACGAGAUGUGAUCUACAAAGGUAGCUCGGAAUUGUCACGUUCCUCACUACUACCACGGUCCAGCUAGUCAGGGAAUAUCUAUGAGUACCCCAGCCUAAACACCACGUUUACGCCAGCAAUGAUUACUCUAAACUCUACGCGAAGAGAUUAAAGUAAACUCAUAAACCAUAAGAACAAUAAAACAAGAACUUACUAGAAUUUAGAAGUCGAAUUACUGAAGAAUCCUAGGAGCAAGCUUCGGGUUAGGAGAACUUGAUCCCGCAGGUACAAGCUUGGAGUAGACACCGACAGGCCGGGCUUCCUCCACUCUUCUCCUCCAUUCUAUCUCUCUCAAUCUAGUAGAAACUAGAAGAUCUAUUUCUACCUUACAUUGAUUGCUAAGCCUAAAAAGAAAUAUUAAUUAGAGAAGAGGUUUUCCUUCGAGGGCACCCCUCAGUCUCUUUGAUAAUUUCUUCAUGUCUUCUCCAGGGGCCAGGGGGCCUUGCUUAUAUAGUCCUCCCCUUCUAUGCGUUUUUGGGUCGAUAGGCGAGGUGGUACUAUGUUUUUCUUGAUCCAAUAGGUCGGUGGAAUAUCCCGAGCGAAAGAGUCCUGAUUUGGCUCCAGCAGGGGGGCGGGCGCCCAGGCUUCCAGGGCGGGCGCCCUGGGCCUGGCCCAGUUUUGCCUCCACUUCGGUCUUGUGGCUUCUGGAGUCUUCUAGAUGAAGUAAAAUUGCGUGGUGUGUUGAUAUCUCUAUGUAAUCCCGACAUGUGGGCCUUUCUUCCUUAUUUCCUGAUAACCCCCUGCAGAAAUAGAUAAACCACAAAACUCGUGGAAUUCUGUCAGAUCAAACCCUAAUUCUAGGUGAUGGUUGCAUAUUGGUCCAUUCUCUUGUUUAUUUGAUAAUUAAAAUUGAUACUUAAGAAUCGUCAACACUAAUGCCGAUGGGUUGUAGAAUUCAUAAGUCUGGGGAGAGGUUUUUGUGCUACCAAAGAAAUUCAGUGGUAUGGCUCUAGGAGUCAAAAUUGCCAUCAUCACCUCAUUAUCCCUGUCAAGAGCUUCAUCAAAUGGAUUGAAAACCAGAGGGAUCAUACUGUCUGGGUCAUCAUAGGCCAACCAUGGUCGUUCAUCUCUGGCCAAGCCCUCAUACAAAGUCUGGAAGAAUCGGCCGAUCUGAUCUGGAUUACCCCCUGAACCAGGCAAGACUAUGACGGCUUCGCCAAAGUUUAGGGGAGCGCGUGUUGCCGAUUCUUCUUCACCCAACACAUGAUUUUCAGUUAUAUCUCUUGGGAAACGCUAUGUAAAUAAGUUAAAGUUGAGGCGCUUGUACAGAUGCAGAUUAAGCCACAUAUUGAUAAACCACCAGGGGCCGCCUAAGUUGACAGUAGACUGGCCGAGCAGGAGUUUCUUGGCCACCUGAUGGAGGAGAUGGUAAGCAGCGCCAAGCAAGUAUCGGCCGAGAGGGAAUCGGCCACCGUUAGCCAGUCUCUCUGCUGCCGAUAGAUAGACGGAAGUCGGUCCUACCGAUCGACCACAGAACACAAACUUGUCCAGCCACAUGUUCAGAAAAGUGGUUUGUUCCUUUAUGCUGACAGGCCCCGUCCCACGAUACUUCUGAAUGUACCCUGACCAGCCGCCGAUGGAGCGAGUUUCCACUUUGGCACUAGGAGCGGUGUCAAAAAAGUGGGUGCUAUUGGUAGAAGAUAUAUCUAGACCGGUGAGCAUGGCUACAUCGGCAAGAGUAGGAGAAGCAGGGCUGUGGCCAAAGACAAAAGCGUUGAGGGUGUCUGACCAAAAGUAAGAUGCAGCUAUCAACAGUGACUCAUUCCUGUGCAUAUCGGCAAUGGACAAUCUAAUGCAUUGAUCUAGCUUUCUCUCGCCCCACUGGACUUCAUUGGAGUUGCUGACCCUCAAGAACCAGUCUUUCCACCCUACAGUAGGGCUGGGCCAAGAACGGAAGGUGUCUUUCCACAGAUCUAAAGAAAAAUUUUCGGUUCUGAAAGAGAUCCUGUUGGUUUUUGCGUUAAUAAGAUCGGUUGGAUCUGGAUCCCCUAGAGGGCCGAGGCAUUGGAGGUGUGGUUGAUCGGUAGGGAUGACAAUUUUGUUGGACAAUUCCUGGUGGUUUUGGAAAUAAAGAAAAGGAACACAAAGAAAAGAAAAAAAUAUUCAGUAAAAUGGAUUGCGGAUGAACGGGGAUGUGAGGAAAAAUACAGGAAAUGGAAUGAAGAACUGACCUCAGGGACGAUGAAGCUAAUGGCCAUCUUGCGACGAGGAGGUUCUCUGAGGGCUCCAGGGUUGGUGAGGAAGAGUCUUUGUCAGAGGUCUUGGAGAUUUUGAAUGGCGCCGCCGCUAGGAAAGUAAAGUUGGGAUGGUGGAAUGAUGUGAUGGAGAAGGAGUACCCGAGAAGGAACUAUUUAUAGGACAAAAUGGGCAAGGGCAAAUCUGACUUAUCUCCUUGCCGCAUCCGAGAAAUCCGAGGGUGCUCAGGUAGAUAUGGUAACUGUUCACACGAUAAUCAAGGGAUUGUGCAGGUGAUUUGACGGGAAGCGGUCAUUAUCUGGAGAUAUUUUACUGUGCGGGAUCUCCUGGUCGGUCCAUCGGCAGCGUCCUGUAACGGUCAUAUUGCCGAUGGGCGAGUAAAGUGAAGAUAGUCGUUUGUACGAACGUCCUGAUCAGUUCAUCGGCAGAUCUUUGUAACAGUAAUAUUGCCGAUGUGCGGUUGAGAAGGAAAUGCCCGUUUAGGAAGUUGAGGAUUUCGAGGAAUAUGCAGAAGAAUAGGAUCAGAGUUGUUCAGAUUGAGGUUGUCGGUUACCAGAUUAGGAGCAUUAAUUGCGGGAAAAGGCAUCAUUACUGCAGAGAAUUUCGGAGCAUUGAUGAUUUCGUACUCUGAAAUUGGGGGGCAUGUGUUGACACCGUUUUUGGGCACGUGUCCAGGCUGCCAGGAUAAGACGGCAGUGUUUUGUUUACAGGAUGAGUUGCCGAUGAGGAUGGUUGCCGAUGAAGGAGAGGUUGAACGUGACUAAGUCUACAGGCGGUGAUGUGUCUGUGCCGAUGGCUAUGAUGAGGAAGUCUGUCGAUGACUAUGGCAAGGGAGUCUGCCGAUGAUACGAAGGGAGAUUUCGGGAGCCGCCGAUGGUUUGUGGAAGAGUUUCAGUUUGUCACGGGGGAUAGUUUUGUUAUUUCCUUAAUUAUUUAAAUCGUUUUGUAUACGGAUUCCGUGUAAUUUGGAAUUCGAAUUCUAAUCGUGUCUGGCUGUAGCUCUUUGAGCAGGGUAUAAAUAUAGACCCUAGGACCUUGUAAUGAGACAUCUAUCAAUCAAGCAAACACACGUUUUUACUCAUAUUCUAGCAUCUACUUUCUCGAUGACUUCGUCUUACUUUUUUUCUUUUCAUUACGAGUUCUUAGGAAUUCGUCGACUCAAGCUCGGUGUGUUCUCAAGUUCCGCGUGAGUACCUCUUAGCCGUGACAUCCGGGCGCAUCGCUGUUGUCAGGACUAAAGUAUUCGAGUUAUCACCCUUGCCGAUAGUAAGGUCAAAUCGGCUGGCACGCCUUAACAUUUGAAUCGGGUAUUAGCCCUUUGUGUUUGCAGACCAGCUUUUGCACCAACACAUCUUUUGCCACGCCCAGUGGGACAGAUCCAAGAUCAAGAUCAACAUGUCGACUUCUGAGUUUGAUCAAGAGAACGUCAUCCUCGUGACAGAAGCCAAUCUCAAGGAUGAGCAGAAGCAAGCUAUUGCUAAAGCCAUGGAGGAUUACAAGCAGCAAUGCCUCAGGUCCUUCAGCAUGAACAGGAGCGGUGAGGUAAUUCAGAAGGAUGCACUACCGGCUCCUCGGCAGGUUACUUUUGAGUCCAAUCCAGGCAAGCUUCAAGAGAUGGUUUGGAACUAAAAGAAGGAUCUGAGUUUCGAGGCAAGCAUAGCAUGGGAUCAUCCUUGUUUCCUAAUAACUUUAAUCACACAAUUCAUAUUGCAUGUGUCUCCUUGAUAAGGAUUUCCUAGUAUUGAUCUUAUACCUUGUCACCUAUGGUUUUGCAUUGGGUAGCUUAUGCUAGUGCUCCACUAAACCAUGAUCUUGUAAUUUGAUUAAUGGAAUAUGCAAUAAACAUUAAAAGAGGACUUUUUAGCAACUUUGGUAUAGAGGGCUGGAGCAUUGGGCUAUCCUAUGGUGCUCUAGUUUCUCUCCAUAAGGACUUAUCUGUAUCUCACCAUCCGGGACAUACAGUACAACUGUGAGGGCUACAUGGCUCUGGCUUUAGCUCAGUAUGAGGACCUUUUCUAGCUUGUUAGUGGUUACCAUUGUGGCGCAAAUGGGGAAUAGCAGACCGUGGAUUCAUGCGGGUGAAUCACAUGGACUGACUAAUGAAACCAAGCGGCCCUAACUUGUUAGACGAACCUUUGAAAGGCUUCAUAGUGAACCCUGCCGGUCUUCCAUGGUAGUGGGCUAAGAGGUCGACGGGCCUCGGGCGAAAGGGUAAAUCAUGACUCACAGUGAAAGUGUACAACCUCUACAGAGUGUAAAACAGAUAUAUCAGUCGUGCUCACGGUCACGAGCGGCCUUGGACCAAUACAGAAUAAAUAAUCACUAAUGGCAAGUUAUUAAUGUUAUUAUUGUUAAUAUGUUGUUUAUGCUAUUCUUUAUUCACUUUACUUGAUCAUGAGUUUAUUUUGGGACUUGACAACUUGAUGCUACUCAUAUGCUGAAAUUAUGACAACUAAAAGCUACAUGCAGUUCAACUAGUGUCUAGCCUUUGAGCCUCAUGAACACUAUAUUAUUCUUGUUGAGUACAAGAUGUACUUACGCUUGCCUUUACAUUUUAUUUGGAUAAAAAUCCCGAAUGAGUACCAGAUUGCUAGUUUGGAGAAGAGUUUAGGCUUGUGCUCAACCAGUCAGUUGUCCCUGUGGAUUUGGAGCUUUCGCCUGAAGAACGGAGUGUCUUUCCACUGUUUGCUAUCUAAGGUUAUAUCUUUUAUACUAAGUUCGUUAUAUAAUAAGCAUUGACUAUUGAUAUUACCCUUAUUUGUGGCUAUAUGUGAGAUUUGACUUCCUGGGCUCACAUAUGGUGUGUAUCUGGUUUUGUUCUUAAAACCGGGUGCUACAAAGUCGUAUCAAAGCAAUGCUGUCUGUAGGACGCAAGCCUAGAUAGUAAUGGUCGUUUUAGUCAUCUUUGCUUCACUACAUUCAUGCUUACUAUCUCACCCUUGCUAUUUGCUAAAAUUCUUAUGCUUCUAUCAUCUAAUUCUAUUCUAAAAGUAUUGCUUCUAUUCUAACUUACUCUUGGUCUAAAUCCAUACAUGGUUCGUAACGAAAAAAUUGCUCGCAACAACUCUGGAAGACCAUGUUUGACUCGGGGAAUCUAUGGAUUAACGGAACCGGAAUAUGAGGAAGCUCGCCCUGUCCCAUCAAGACAUACUUGUUGGCGGAAUGAGUACUUUACCACAUCCUUUAGUGGCGAAGAUUUCUUUCACCCUCGGCUUGUGCGUAUACUACUAGACCACUAUCCUGAACAGCAAGCCAAGGAGGAAUAUAAGUGCACUAAGUGGACUCAUCCUAAGUAUGAGAGCCACUGGAGCACAGAAGCGCACAUCACAAGGUGGAAUGAGUUUACUGGUUCACACGUGGUGGAAUCCAUUCAUUCGUCUCUCAGUGACUGUUUCAGUAAGCAUGCUAGCAUAUCUGAUGCUGCCCAUCAAGCUCUUCUGGCAUAUCGUGGAAAGCACUACGAAGAGAGGAAGAAUGUCAAACAAAAGUAUCUUCCUUGUCGUCCACCAGGCACUUUGCAAUGUGUGAUGGCUGACCCCUACUUGGAGCAGAAUGAACAACUAAAGGAGAUGGCUUUGACUAUCCAAGUCAUGAAUCAAAAGCUAGAAGACAGUCAACUGGAAUAGGCGGAAGUAAGGCAACACUAUGAGGAAGCCCUUGAUGAGAUUGAUGAGUGGAGAAGUCGUGGUGGAUUACCUAAGAUCAAUGAGGUGAAGGACAUACAUCGCUUAACUCCACGCAAGAGAUGCUACCCUUGAUGCCGCUGCAGUCACACCGUGUUUAAGAAGUAGGAAGUCCCCCUUUGUAAUAAACGUUAGUAGCAAAAGCUGAGUCAAAUAUGUGCGCUUUGUGAAUCUUUAAUGUCUGGUUGGUUUGUCUUAGUGCUUAUGUUUGAGUUGGAAUUUUGUAAUGAGUGCAAUGAUCUUGUGGGUUUCUCCACAAUUUCAUUUAGUUUAUAGGUCUAAGAUACAAGGACUAGUGAAUAAAUAGAUGGGUUUUAGUUUCCCUUGUUUUCUCUGUCCUGUCUUUUGGGAGCAACUUAUCUUCAUCAGUUCAAAUCUCUAUUCUCAGGGGACCAUAAAAUCAUGUGAAAAUUCUGGGUGAGAGUAGACUUCAAGGUCCUUCUCUGACCACAAGAAUCACCCUCAUAGCUGUUAUGGUUUGGGAAUUACGAAAAUCACAAGAUGGAAUAGUUGAGCUGUCAGGAAUCAGGACCAGUUUCAGUUGCCUACUGUUUUGGACAAAAGUAACUCCGGAAUUUGGGAAAAGGUUCUAUAAUAAAGUUGUAGAUCAUUUGAUAAGCUUUCCAACGAUGCAAGCUGCAACUUUACCUGAUCAAUAGAACUUGAGUUAUGGCCUCUACAAGUUAAUGCUUCCGCACAGUUUCAAAAUCUGGACAGUUCUAGUUAAUUCCUACUUUUCAGCCAACUUAACAUCAGAAUCUGGAAAAGGGGGAUAUACAGAAGUUGUGGAGGACUUCAUAAGAUUUUCAACCAUGUAAGACUCGUCCCCGUAUGAUCUAAGUAGCUCGAGAUAUGACUUCUGUAAGUGGCUGUAUCGAUGCUGAGACAUUGUUAGGAUGGAUAUCAUGUUGGGCUGUUUUACCUAGGUUUAAAGACAGAAACUAAGGAAGCCUUCUAUAUGAAAGUUGUAGGGAAUUUGAUAAGGUUUCUAACGGUAUAAGCUAAGAUCUUAUUGGAUUGACAGAAAAGGAGGUAUGCCUAUUUUGCUGCGCUGGUGUCUUCGUAUCGUGAGGAAUUUCAGAUUUCUUGUACAUAUCAGUCCACAUGAGGUUCUCUUCGGUAUUAGAAGAUCUGAUGAUAAGAAACCCACUUGAAAGAUGGACUAAACUACCCAUUUAAGCACUAGUUUACCUUUUUUAAGGGGGGGUAGUCUUAUCAAAGGACUUACAAGGAGAAGUGUUGGAUCAUUGAUAAGGACCUCAAGUGUUUGGUAAAUUUAGGUUUUGACGCAAGAAAUAAGUUCCAUUGAAGUGUGCUAAUGGAGAUGUAGGUCAUUGCUGGUACUCAUAGCUUAGAAGUGGUGCUUAUGAGAAUCAGGUGACACCAAAGUCUAUGAAGUUAUACAUGGGAUGUGAGAGCGAAGCAAUUCAACUAAGAUAGAGGUACCAAUAGUUGGAACUUAGUGAUGAAACCAACUCCAGACCAUGAGACUUGGUACAGUGAAUUCGAAAGACUAUAUGAUGUGUAACAUCUAAACUGAAUAUGAGAGCUAGUCCGUACUGUCCCCCGACCUAUCUCAUCUUAAGGGGGGUAGUACCUUGUUAUGAUAGAUUAAUGCCCUUUCAAUUCACCAUGAAGUAAGAAGUGUUUCUGGAGAUAUCACAUGAUCAUAAUCAUCUAUCCUGGCUCAAGUUAGCGAAAUUAGUCACUUGACAAAUUAGGAAGAGGAUAAGCUACAUCUACUGUUGAUUCUACGGAGACUAAAAAGUCUUCAUUACUAAACGGAGCAUGACCAGUAUGUUCUAGUUGAUGGAAGUUCUCAUUUAGGAGAUGUCAUCUUUAAUUAUGGACAUGAGAAAGUUAAAGAUGCAAGAGUUGGAAACCACCAAAGGAAAGUGAAUGAGACUUAGAGUUUUAUAGAUAUGGCAAGAGUUAUCAUAGGUUUGCUGGGGCCAAUGUGAUCUUGACAUAAGAGUGAAUAAGAGUUUAGGCUUGUGCUCAACCAGUCAGUUGUCCCUGUGGAUUUGGAGCUUUCGCCUGAAGAACGUAGUGUCUUUCCGCUGUUUGUUAUCUAAGGUUAUAUAUUUUAUACUAAGUUCGUUAUAUAAUAAGCAUUGACUAUUGAUAUUACCCUUAUUUGUGGCUAUAUGUGAGAUUUGACUUCCUAGGCUCACAUAUGGUGUGUAUCUGGUUUUGUUCUUAAAACCGGGUGCUACAAUGGCUGGCGGUGGUGCUUUCCCUGUGCCCGAGCAGAUGGGGAAGCCAAGCGUUUGCUGCCUGUUGAGCCCUAAGGUCUGAGUUCCAAUUAGCUAGCAAGCUGCCAUGCACAUGUCUUGCAAAUCUUUUCAGGCCACCGCUAAUCAUCUGCUGCAAUUCAGUACUGAAAGUUCCAUCCAUGUACGUACUUACAUUGAAGGCUGCCAGCAAUAGCCAUCGACAAUUGAAGUUAAGUUCCAGACUUUGUGCUAAUCUUUUCUUUAUUCAUUGAGUCUAUAUAUGGAUCUCAUCGAGGUGCUGAGCUCGCUCGCCGCUGUGGUGACAGCUGUUGGAAACCUCUCCGCUGACUUGAGCAAGCCGUCAAGUUUCUUCACGUGGAGACCAUCGAGCCACCCCCAUCAAGCCGCACGCAUUCACUGAGACCGCCCCAUUCGCUACAAGCCUCUGCGUGAGUUCGCCAUAUCCCAAUAUAUCUACCGGUGCUUUUACCUUUGUAAUCAAAAGCCUCCAUGUUGUUCUCACCAAGCUUCGGCGAACUCCAUGGCCAACCACUGUGUUAGAGAUCCUGUGCCGUGCGUGCUUUGCCUUGCUCCGAUUACAUACAGUUUCCAUAGCGAACAUGAUGAGAUCAUGUUGAUGUCACCAUGACAUCAAACAAGUAUUAUUACCGUUUUCCUUUACAAAAAUAAAUCCAAAAAUACAAUAAAAAUACAUUAGCUUGUUUAGGUCAUAUUUUCUCUGUUUUAACUCCGAUUUGACCCAUUCAAAUUGCGUUAAGUCUGUAUUUGAAAGAUCUACAUGUUAGUAAUAUUGUUUUCUCAGUUUGAAACUUUUUUUAAAUUUCGUGACACUAUUGAAUUAAUUAUUUUUCUAUAGAAAAUCUUAGAAAAUUCAUAUUUUUUUUUGUUUUAGCUCCGAUUUUUAUGAUCUUUAUGUCUGUGUGAUCAUAGUGCGACGUAGAUUCAUUUUAUAACUUUAUAUCUUUAUUUUCUACUGUUGGUGUAUUGUUCUAAUUAUAGGUUUGUUUGUUUUGUAUGAUUGUCUCUGGAUGAUUGUUGAUGAUGUGAUGACUGAGUUUAGUCGGUGAGCUUUUAUGUCGUGAUCAAGAAGCAGUUUGUGGAAGGUUUGAAACUAAAAGAAGGAUCUGAGUUUCAAGGCAAGUAUAGCAUGGGAUCAUCCUUGUUUCCUAAUAACUUUAAUCACACAAUUCAUAUUGCAUGUGUCUUUUUGUUAAGGAUUUCCUAGUAUUGAUCUUAUACCUUGUCACCUAUGGAUUUGCAUUAGGUAGCUUAUGCUAGUGCUCCACUAAACCAUGAUCUUGUAAUUUGAGUAAUGGAAUAUGCAAUAAACAUUAAAAGAGGACUUUUUAGCAACUCUGGUAAAGAGGGCUGGAGCAUUGGGCUAUCCUAUGGUGCUCUAGUUUCUCUCUAAGGACUUAUCUGUAUAUGACCAUCCGGGACAUAUAGUACAACUGUGAGGGCUACAUGGCUCUGGCUUUAGCUCAGUAUGAGGACCUUUUCUAGCUUGUUAGUGGUUACCCUUGUGGCGCAAAUGGGGAAUAGCAGAUCGUGGAUUCCUACGGGUGAAUCACAUAGACUGACUAAUGAAACCAAGCGGCCCUAACUUGUUAGACGAACCUUUGAAAGGCUUCAUAGUGAACCCUGCCGGCCUCCCUAGGAAGAGGGUUUAAGAGAUUAGCUACCUCGGGCGAAAGGGUAAAUUAUGACUCACAGUGAAAGUGUACAACCUCUGCAGAGUGUAAAACUGAUAUAUCAGCCGUGCUCACGGUCAUGAGCGGCCUUGGACCAAUACAGAAUAAAUAAUUAAUAAUGGCAAAUUAUUAAAGUUAUUAUUACUAAAUAUGUGGUUUAUGCUAUUCUUUAUAAACUUCACAUGAUCAUGAGUUAACUUUGGGACUUGAUAACUUGAUGCAACUCAUAUGCUAGAAUUGUGACAACUAAAAGCUACAUGCAGUUAAACCAGUGUCUAGCCUUUGAGCCUCAUGAAUCCUAUGUUAUUCUUGCUGAGUACGAGAUGUACUUACGCUUGCCUUUACAUUUUAUUUGGAUAAAAAUCCCGGAUGGGUACCAGAUUGCUAGUUUAGAGAAGAGUUUAGGCUUGUGCUCAACUAGUCAGUUGUCUUGUGGAUUUGGAGCUUUCGCCUGAAGAACGAAGUGUCUUUCCGCUGUUUUCUAUCCAAGGUUAUAUCUUUUAUAUUAAGUUCGUUAUAUAUUAAGCAUUGUCUAUUGAUAUUACCCCUAUUUGUGGCUAUAUGUGAGAUUUGACUUCCUGGGCUCGCAUAUGGUGUGUAUCUAGUUUUGUUCUUAAAAUCGGGUGCUACACUCCACCUCGGGCUCGAGAGAGAGGAUGGGGAGGUCGUCCUAUUUUUUUAUGAGGAGUGGGGAGAGCGCUAGAUGUUUUUGUGGAGGCCGACGUGGGCAGCUCCUGGCCACACAAAGGGAAUCAGCCAAUCAGGCUAAGAUGGACCAAUAGGAGGGGGAGGAGGUGAGGUGGCAUUGAGGUGCGCCAAUGGCAGAUUUGAGGAGACGUGGCUGGGGUGGCGACACGGGGAGCAACUUAGAAUUGUUAGGGUAAAUUAGUCCAAAGAUUUUAGAUAUAAAAAUAAGAAAUUCGCAAGAUAAUAGAAGUGUAGUAGUUUCGAAAUUUAUACUAUACAAUCUGUAGUAAUUGAAAACUAUCUGGAAUUAUUUGCAAGCUAGUCGCAUGGAAAAACUAACCCUUUCAUGAAGUCCACAAUAUUAGCAAGGCAAAAUUGUAUCCAAAUCAAGUUGGAUGGUCAAUGUUGCAGAACAAGAUCCAGGGCCAAAUGAACACCCUCAGAAUUUGCAACAUCUGAGUUGUGUGCUACUUGGCUAAAUCAAAUUGAACAAACAUUGAGGAUGUUGCUUAUCUCCAUGCUGUGACAAGAAAGAGGGGACAAAGGGGAAGCAAAAACAAACCUCAGAGGAACUCAUAGCGGUGCUUAUCUCGUCCUAGGGUUUAUUCUUUUGAGUUUUAAAGUGUUUGCAACAUAAUUUAAGGAAAGGUCCAAUAGCAUUAGUUUGUUUCCAAUCAGAGAAUUGGGAACAUAAAUUGAAGAUGAUGCAAUCAAGUUCGACAGAUUUUUAAGAAUAUCUUCUAUUGUGUGUUGCCUUAAAUUUUGUUUUAUAGGAAAAAGAAAGUUGUUCAUGUACCUCAAGAGCACUAAAAUUUGCAUACAUAGGUAUUGAAAGGGAAUAAAGAAUUAAAGAAAACCCAGAUUACCUUGGUCCAGUAGUGGUUACACAAGAGGAAUCUGCAAGUCACCAAACCACAUCUAGAAAAAGAUAAGGAUACACUGACAUAGUUCAAUUUGAAGCAUAGAUCAUUGCAAAGAUCUAACAAAUAAAAUUAAGAUCUUUUGUAGACAAUAGAAGCAUAAUAGCUGGCAAAGUUAGACUGUAAACCUACAGUAAAUGAAAAAUAAAUAUAAUCUCCAAUUAAAACUAUUGGCAAGCCGGUAGCAUGGAAAAGUUAACCCUCAUGAUCCCACAACAUUAGCAAGGGAAAUUGAUAUUCAGAGCAAGUUCAAUGGUUAAAGCUACAACAAUUAGGUACAAGUAUAAAUUACUUUGUGUCUCUAUUUACCUUACAUAGGGAGAACGUAUAGUAUGCACAAAAGAAAUUGUUGGCAUCUCUUGGAUGAAGAUAGAAACUGAAGUUUUACAUGGUACUGAAAUUAUGAACAUAUCCAUUUUGUUGUGAUUGCUGCACAAACCAAUGUAGCACAGACCAGCGACUUUCAGCUGUCUCCAUAGCACCCAAAAUUAAUCUCAUGCAUACCGAAGGAAAAUAUGGCAAAUGUAAUAUAUAUACCGAAUAAAUAUACUGCCUACUGGUCUGAAGAGAACACUGUGAUUACCGUUGCAACCACAAGACUCGAUAGAAAAGGAUAAACAAUGUUUCUUCUUAUGAAGCAACAGGCAAGCAUCAUCAAGCACAAAAUUGAUGCCCAAAAACUCAAAGAAAUAGGAGAGGCAAAAGUGACCGUACACAACCAAAGUGUAUGGCAAUGUAAUCCUUGGAAAUAGGGCAUGUGCUCAGAAAUGAUAGUAUAUAAUUUGGCGUCACACGCAAUGAUCAUAGAUAAUGAACACGCAAAGGGGCAAAUCAUUAUAGGUAAUUGCAUGAAAACCACGGAUCUCAUAAGUAAGAGUGAAUCCAGCCGCAUAGUAUGUGACUAAACACACAAUAAGCAGUAGCUCUCAUUGGUGCAUUAAAACUGCACAAAAUAGAACAGCCAGGAAUGAAUACAAGGAAACAUAAUCAUACAAUUGACCAUUGCCUCUUGUAUUAUGGGACAAGCACAUAAAACAAAAACAUAAUUUCAGGUGCACACAUCAUAGCAGUAGCCCAUUCCCUUAAUUUUUAACGCAACAACAAUACGAAACCGUACUCAUCACUGCACAUGACUGGAAUGCAAAAAAUAAACAAAAGAACACCAGCGCUACAGUGGUGUCACAGAAAUGUCAAUGAUACGCUCAUGUGCUCAGAUCUUGGUCAUAAUACCUCUCUGCUCUCAUAUCUAGAAAACUGAGCAGAUCACGACCUACAGAACAAGAAUCUGCAGUAACCAUGUAGAUCGACAAGAGAAAAAGAGAACACCAUAUCUACGACAAAAUGGAGCCCUCGUUCAUGCAUAUGGCACAUCAGGAGAAAGGGGAGGGAAAGAGAGGGGAGGGGAGUAAACCAGUGAGCGGACAGAUCGAGGGAGAGCAGAGCCGCGCCGACUGUCUGCAAAGAGCUCGCACGGAGGCGGUAGGCGGCCGUGGCGCCGGCCAUGGCCGCCCGUGCCGUGCCGCUGCGCAGGGCCGUGCGUGUCUGUCGCGCCACACCGUGCCGUGGGACUCGCCCGCGUAGGGGUGGGGGGAAGGGAGGGACGCUGUCGCCUCGUGCACGUUGCCGCGACUGCCUGCAAGGAGCACGCUCAGAGGGGUAGGGCAGACGCGCCCGCCAGCAAUGGCCGCGCGCACCACGCCGCCGCAUAGGGCCGCGCGCGUUGGCCACGGCACGCCGUGCCACAGGGCCCGCCCGUGCGGGAGUAUGGGAUGGGAGGGACACCGCCGGCCUCCUCCUAUGCCGUCACGUCGCGCACGUCACCGCGGCAGCCUGUAAGGAGCUCACACGGUACCGCGCAAGGCCACGUGCGUCGGCCGCGCGAUGCCAUGCCGCAGGGCCUGCCCGUGUGGGAGUGGAGGCACGGGAGGGAGGCCGCCGAGCUCUGCCUAUGUCGCCGCCUCACGCACAUCGCUGCCUCGGGAGGGAACGAGAGAAGGAGAGGGAGAGAGAGAGGAAGGAGAAAGAGGAUAAGAUGGGAGGGCAUGGGAGGAGAUAUUUUUCUAUUGAAUUAGGGAUGCGGCAUGGACUGCUACAGUGAACCGUUUUUUUCCUCGUGAGAAGCCGUACAGGACACAUGGCUGGGCCGAUUUCCUGCCUAGCUUAGCCGGCUUAAUAGGAGCAAAUACGAAGGAUAAGCAUCAGAGUGAAAUGUACCACGCCAAGUUGACAACGCUUCUCCUGCAGAACCGGUGUCCCUCUCCGUGGCGCACUCCAGCAGACCCCUCCACUAAGCAAAACCAUAAGGCAAAUGUGAGUACGAAGAACAAAAAAGGAGCAAGCAAGAACAAAAUUAGUAAGUAAAAAUAAAUUCUCCAACAUAGGUUGCAAACCCCAACUGCUCCGACGUCACCUACUGUUGCGAUAGAUGAACACCCGAGAAAAGCCCCAAUGUGGCAACCAAAUCCCAAUGCACCCCGUGGGCGAGGCAGUCGGCCGUCCAUGGGGCCCCAGCGCCGCGUCCGCUUGCUGACCCAGCCCCAAAGCCCGCACGCCCACCCAAUAAAGCGCAGGGAGAAGAAGACAGCCCGCGCCCACCCAAACAAGCGUAGGGGAGAAGAACAUAGAGCCCUUGCACCCGGUACGUACGCGACACGGAAUGAAAAAGGUGCCGGGCUGGGCCGGGGCAUGGAAGCCGGAAGCGGUACCUGAGCUCGAUGUGGCGCGGAGAUGGAGCUGGCGGAGGGUUGAGGCCGGCCGCCGGCGAGACGACGGAGGCACCUGCAACGGCGGAAGGCGGGCAGCAGCUGCGGCGAGGCAGCGCGCGGCCGAUCGAUCGAUUGGGGUAAUCGGGGUUUUGCCGCAGUGACGACGGGAGGCAGUGAGCAGCGAGGUAGGCAGUAGGCACGCGUGUCGCAUAAGCAGUGGGCUAAUGGGUGUACAGUAAAUAUCAUUUUUGCCCUUUGUGUUAGUUGCUCUUUGGUACGGUACCGCACCCGCAACGGGGGAAGGCGGGCAGCAGCUGCGGCGAGGCAGCGUGCGGCCGAUCGAUCGAUUGGGGUAAUCGGGGUUUUGCCGCAGUGACGACAGGAGGCAGUGAGCAGCGAGGUAGGCAGUAGGCACGCGUGUCGCGUAAGCAGUGGGCUAAUGGGUGUACAAUAAAUGUCAUUUUUGCCCUUUGUUGGUUGCUUUUUGGUACGGUACCGUGAUCAUCAGCGGUGGGAUACAGAUUUUUCAAAGCAUAAUGUCCGUACGUUGUUAUAGUUUUAUUUAGAUAUAGGCCUAUUUUUGGUUCCCCUUGCUAAAGUUUAGCCAGCUAAAAUUAUUUUAGCUAUUCUUGGGUGACUAAUGGAACUAAAUUUUGUUAACUCUUUUUAGUCAAUGUGUUUGGAACUUUAGCUACAAAAAUGACUAAAGUUUAGCUAGCUAUAAUUUAGCAAGAGAAACCAAAUAGGGCCUACUUAAUAAAAUAACAAUAUAUUUUUUAUAGUUUAUAGUCUCAGAUAAUUACAUAUGAUAAUUAAUAUAAUAAUGACUAAGAAAAAGAACAAUAAAGACAUGUCUCAUAUAUUUAUACUAUAAAUAAGUUCUUAAUUGCUUAGUAGAUCUCAAAGCUCUUCAGGGAUAAUGUUUGCAUGUUCAUUUUGAUAACUUUGUAGAAUGUCCACCAAGCAUUCCGUCCUUAGCAAACGUCCACUCUGUGAAUGCCAGAUAGUAAGUUAACUUAUUAAUUUUCUAUGCACUCUACAAAAUUUACAUAGAGGAUAUAUAGUUUAUAUGCUUACAGGGUGGAUAGACAAUCUUUUUCCAUCCUACUAUUUUAAAUAACUAUAUACAAAGAAGCAUGGCAUUUCCCCGGAGAAGAGCAAGUGUUUAUUUGUGUUAGCUAAAUGACAUAGAAUAAUAUUACUAUAUAAUUUAAUUAAUAAUUGAGAACAUAAAUUAAGAAGAUAUUACUACUACAUAUUAUUUGGCCAAGUAAAAUAUUUGUAUCAUGGUGUCUAAUUUAACCCAUACCGAUGCACAAACAAAGAAGAUAUUGCUCCAUUAUUACCUUAAUCAAGUGUCUUUGAUAUUGCUCUAGCUUUUUUCAUUGCACAAUAUUCACGUUGCUUCCUAUUUCUUUCAUCUCUUUGUUCAGUGUUUUUCUCGGCCCUUUUACGAGCGCGGUAUUCACAUUGUUUUCUAUUCCUCCCUUCCCUCUUUAUUCUCUCUUCAUCUACCGAUGUUCUAUCAGUGGCUGUGAAAUAUAGUGUGUGUUAUUAGUUUCAGAUUUUGUUUGGGAAACUAACCAAUAUAGAUGGUCGCGAACAUACCAUGUCCGAUAGUGUUUGAUAUGUCGUAAAGUGUAGGGUGGGUUUGUCGCCGGACCUGUAGCAGGCCCAUCGAUGAUGGCAUUCAUGUUAAUCUACAAUAGAAAACACGAAGCAAGUAUACUUACUGUGUUCAUCAUGGCGUUCGUUGUCUGACCUAGUGCGUCAGCGUUUCCCCCUACGGGGCGCCCCUGUCCGCGUUUGACGUCACGCCCUGGCCGCGCUCCGGUGUCGCGUCCUGGCCGCGCGCCUGUUUGCGAGCCCCUGGCCGCACGUGGAGUCAGGCGGCCAGGGCGUGAAGUCUUGGCGGUGCCCCAACGAUCCUCUGGCCGCAAGCCCCUGGUCGCGCGCCCCGUCUGGCCCGGCAAGCCCAGGCCGCGGGCCCUCGUCGUGGACAGGAGAAUGCGAACAGAGGGAAGAUACACGGUCGUGCGUGAGAGGGAGGUGGGGGCGGACUGAGGGAUGAAUGAGGUGAGUGAUGAGUUUGAUCCAAGCCUUUAUGACCGUUGGAUGUGAUUGAGUUAGGGGAAUGAUAGAUUAGAGUUAAUAUUGUCCCUUAAUUUUGGGAGAUAGAUCUUCCUUGGUGGAAUUUUUCGUGUGUACUUAGUGUAGCUUAUAACUGUAGUAGUAGAUUAUAGGAUGCAUUUAGUUAAGUUCAUAACUGAUGGAUAAUAUAGUAGUGGAGAUUUGUGGUAUAUCUCAGUAACUACACCCGUGCCUUUUUACCUUAUACAAAUUAGAACUGAGGCUUGAUCACUAUGAUUUCGUGUUAAAUUAUGUUUUUAUGAUUUUUUUGUAUACAUAUAUGAUGGCAAUCCAACUUGAAUACCUCUCAUCCAAUUUGGUAUAUGUUGUUGACAACAACGAUCCCAUGUGGUCAGGAUGUUCGAAAACGAGAAAUCAGGUUCUUAGUUUUCUAGGAAGAGAAGAACUGAUCGGAGCCGCGUCUCCGACGGGGGAUGCUUGGGUGAGUGAUAGGAAUAACCCUCCAGCUGGAUAGGAAUCAAUUCGAAUCGCCGUCUCUCCUGGAUAGUGAGAACUUGACAGAGCAGCGGCAAACGUAGCAUCCACUAAGUACAAUGGUUCUUGAUAAUGAUAAUGAUGAUAGCAAAAAAGAUCAUAUGAUGAAUUUGAUAUGGUUAUUAUUGUUUAUAAUAAUCAAGUGAAGUGCUUAGUCUAGGUGCUAAUCUAGUGGUAGGCAAAAGAUGAUUAAUAUGAUGCCUUUACAAAUGGUGUAGUAUCUACUUAAGCUUUGGGCAAAUAUUGAGUCGAGCCAGCUACACUUUAUACUCAGCCUUGCAUGAUUCUUGGUGUCUUUUAUAUUUUACUAGACGGGUAAGUCUAGCUGAGUACAUCAUCGUACUCAGGGUUUAUUCCCACCUAUUGCAGAUGAUGUCUUUUAUGAUGGAUUCUGCAAGACCUGUCUCCAUCCCACUGGGGAUGAGGACUAAACCGUUGGGCACGGUUCUCUAACGACUUCAUACCCCGUUGCUUUUGGAUGGACGUGAUGAGACUAUGGCAAUAACAAGAACUUUGGAAUAUGUGUUGUAAACUAUUUUGCUUCCGCUACUGUGAACUUGUGUUGUAACAACUAAGUACUCCGAUGUGGUGCCGCUUCGUCGGCACUGAAUGACUAUGUAACAUUCGCUGUAUUAUGUUGAACUAUUACGAUAUUGUUUUGUUGCAAGUUGGUUUGAAAUCCUUCGUAAUUUCAGUUGACUACCAGGAUUAUAUGGGCUCAAGUCUAGAAACUUGAUUGCUAGUCGAUCGUUUCUACACUUGAACUCUUAUAAUUUGGUCGGUUCUGUGACAUGUGAUGGGGGUUGUAUUCUUGUGACAACGACCUUUUCUCCAAUCUACACAUGGUUAGAAUAAAUAAUAUAUAUGUAUACACAAACCUGUGAGAUGGCAGGGUUCCAGAAUGAUGGAUCUUGAAUGUUCAAGCACCCUGGGUUCUAAAAUCUUGUGGAAUCAUGUCGCAAGGUCGAAGUGGCAUCUGAUGUCAUGUCUAUUCCAUACUCAACAGAACAAAGGGGUAAUCCUACUAAAGCUAGUCAUACACAAUAGCAGACAUCAACAUCAUUAUUAGAAUCUUUACGCCAAUUGCUUUCCCGGCAACGGUGCCAAAAAUGCUUGUUGGCAUUUCUUAACACAAUCACCAAAGAUAGACAAAAAAUCCUAAUCCCCAGCAAUAGUGCUAGAAAUGCUUAAUGACAUUCGUUAGUGCAAAAAAAUAUAUAAAAUAUUCUGCAAGCGCAUAGAACAUCAUCGUAGCAUUUUACCGGGAGUAUUCCACGUAUCGUUAUUUGUAAUUUACCAUAGGGAAGCGGGGUUAAGAAUUUUGAUAAUUCACUUUCCUACAUCUACUAACUUAGAGUAUCAAAUAAACUAAAGGAUGGAUAAAUGACAUACUAUAAUAUAAAUGAAUAUGACUUUGUUCUACUUCAAUAUUAUGAACUAAAGGAGGAUUCUUGGUAAUUCUCUAAUUAUGCUUCUAAUUGUUCUUCUAAUUAUCUUUGUUCUUCAAUAUUAUGAAUAUGACUUUGUUCUACUUCAAUAUAUUGCUUAUGACUUUGCUCUACUUGCUUAUAUUCAAGAUUAUAUUGUUCUUAGUUUAUCAUAGUUAUGUACUUGGCUUAGUUAGAUUGGAUCUAUAUACAUGCUUACGAUCGUAUAGCGUUUAUCCAUCGGAUCCAUGGGUAAAUGAAAGAUAUUGUGUAGGCGUGGUGCUUAUACCGUAUUUAUCCGCGAUUGUACCCAAUAUGCCAGAUCGUGGGGUAGUUCGUGAUAGUGACAGCUUCAUUGAUUCUUAUAUAGUCCCCCUCUCGUGUAUUGGGCUGGCAGAGCAAUAUUAUUACAGGGGAGUGAUUGCUAUGUUUCUCAUUUACGUUGCUAAUAUCACUAUGGAUGGGCGUAGUCUUGUCUCGCAAUGAUUGCUAAGUAUGCUUGCACUAAUUAUGAUAAUGCUAGACUAUAUAGUUGAGGAUAACUUAGGAAAUAUUCUUGUAGUUCGUUCUAAUACCAUGCUAAUGACUUUCUAGAGUAUCUAAUUGAGGUGCUUAUCAUAUUUAUAUGUGGCUAAUCAGAUUAAUUAUCUUUGUCACUAUUCAUUAUUUUAUAUAUCCUUUAUGUGACACUUAUCCCUGUAUGAAAGAGUUAGAUACAAUGUUCGCAAUUAUACAUGCAAUGAUAGAUACUCAAUCUCAUAUUCUAUUCUGUAGUCAAUAUUGAUGAUUGUUAAUCCCUUCCCAGUGGUAAAAAUAUAAAUAACGAUACCUGGAAUACUUCCCGGUUAUAAUGCUACAUCGGUAUUAAUCUGUGCGCUUGCAGAUCCCAUUCAUUAUUUAUUUAGAAGAGCAAUUGCAUAUUUCAAUACCGCGUCUCUCAUGUCAUGCUGGGGAUGACAACUUGGCUUAAGUGGUGUGAGGGAUAGGUUUGGCAUUUUUGGCACCGUUACUAGAAUUAGAGAACUAAGUCUACUUUUGGUAAUGAUGUUAAGAAUACCCAACAAGCAUUUUUGGCGCCGUUGCCGGACAAGGUUGAUUACUAAUCAAGAAUGGAAUAAAGGAUUUUGAGUUAUCAUUCGCAUCACUAAUAUGAUUGAGCUUAUUAGUUCUCUCAUACAGUUUUACCCCGAUAUUUUUCAAUUUUAUCUUAUGCAGGGGAAUGUAUGAAUAGAAGACAUCUUUCAGGAAAUUUUGUUGACAAUCCCGAAGCCUUGUUCAAGAAGACAAGAGCCAAGCUCAAGAAGAGAUCAUCAAUGUAACACCCAAAAUUUGAUUUUCAAAUAAUAGGAUUUAAUUUAAUUUAUUUAAGUAUUGUUGUGGGCAUUUAAUCUAGUAAAUAAAUAAUUUUUGUCAAAUUAAAAACUCAUCAUAAGUUUAGAAACUUCAAUCUUGCAUUCAUGCUGGAGCAUAGUAUUUUUUUGUGUGUUGUUCCUAUUUUUAUUUUAUUUGUUUGUGCUUUCAAAAUGCUAUUUGGAAAAGGUUUUGGAAAAGAAAACAGAAAAGAAAUUGGAAAAAAAAGAGAAAGGGGGAAGCCCUCCCAGUCGGCCUGGCGGCCCAGCCAGCGCCUGGCCCAACGCGCUCUCAGCCCAGUGGCCAGGCCCGCACGCGCAGCGCUCCCUCCCCCUCCUCUCCGCUCGCUGACAUCCUGGGGCCGCAUGUCAGCGCUUCCAUCUCCCUCUGUUAGUAACCAAGCCGGACACGGCCGGGAGCCAAUCGAACCCGAUUUCUCGGGAUUACUUGCCAAACGCGUUAGCCGAGCCCCUAUAUAAUCCCUAGCAUCGCCCCCGCGCGUGUUUCCCAUCUUCGCCACGCGAAAUCCGUGCCCCUAUAUAAUCCCUAGCAUCGCCCCCGCGCGUGUUUCCCAUCUUCGCCACGCGAAAUCCGUGCCCUAGCUACAGCAGACGGGAUCUCGCCGCAAGCCGAGCGCCUUGCCACGCGCCGCGAGCUCCUCCCGUCGUUCUUCGGCCCCAGCAAAGCACCUCCUCGAGUUCGCGGUGAGCUCCUCGUUCCGAUGGUGUUUUUCUUUCUUGAAACGGUGAGCACCGGCCGGAUGAUGGCUCUGCGUGACCAGGGAGCCGCCCAGGAAGCCUGCCAACCGUUCAACCGAAGAUCAACGGCCAAGAUUAAAACAUACCCCUUCGCUGCGCAUUUUCGUUAAGAGUCCCUGGAGAUUUCGCUAUUCAACCCGCAGUCCCUAGCGCCCUGAGUAAAAUACGUUUUCUAAUGCCAAAGGCGUAUUCGUGACCGGUUAAUGGAAAAAUGCGCUUUCUGCUAUUUACAAGUUUGCCACUGAUAUUGUUUUGCUCAUAAAAUAUUCAUUAUAACUCCGUUUUUGUCCAUUCAAAUUUCGUUAGAUUCGUAUUUCCGAGCUCUACAUGUUAGAAUUAUUUAUUCUCUGUGUUGAAACUUUUAAUUUCCUGGUAUUAUUUAGUUAAUCAUUUCUCUAUAGGAAAUCUUAGAAAAUUCAUAUCUUUCUCGUUUUAAUUCCGAUUUUCGUGAAAUUUACGUUCGUGUGAUCGUAGCGCUGCGUAGAAUAUUUUGAUAAACUUUUAUAUUUGUUUUACCACUGUUUGGUGUAUUGUUCUAAUUAUAUCUUGUUUGCUUCGUGUAUAAUUGUCUACAUUGGAUUGCGUGUUGUUGAUUGAUGAUUGGGAUUAGACGGUGAGCCGUACGUUGGUGCUCAAGAUCAUGCAUUUGAAGACCAGCAGGCUCAGGAGAGCUUUGAUCAAGGCAAGUAUAACUUGGGAUCAUCCUUGUUACCUACACACAAUUAAUAUAACAUUUAUCAUAUGCAUGCUAUCACCUUGAUGACCUUAGCAAAAUCAUAGAUGAUUGUUACCCUGAAUUCCUUGUUACCUAUUUGGAUAUGCAUUUGGGUAGUUCUUGCUAGUGCUUGAUUAUUAAUCCAUGAUCUUGUAACAUGAAUAUUGAAUAUACAAUAAACAAUAAAAUAAGCUUUCCAGCAACUUGAAUAUAAAGGGUGGAAAGAACUCUAGCUUUUGCUAGAUUGAUCUUGACCCUCCAUAAGGACUUAUCCCUUGGCAAAAGCUGGGACAACUCAUACAAUCAUGAGGGCUAUAUGGCUCUGGCUUUAGCUCAGUAUGAAGAACUUUUCUAGCUUGUUAGAGGUUCCCCGAAAGGGUGGAGGGGCUGAACCGACACGGGUAUAGUGCGAGCCCCUGUCCCUAUGUGUAUAGGCUGCGCGUCAUUGUGCCAUUCGGAAGGGGGGUAUCUAUAUCUGCUCGCAAAGGAAACCUUGCGGCCCUAACAUGUUAGAUGAACUUUUGAAAGGCUUCAUAGUGAUCCCUGCCGACCUCCCUAGGAAGGGGGUUAAGAGACUAGCUACCUCGGGCGUAAGGGUAAAUCAUGACUCAUGGGUAAAGAUGUACAACCUCUGCAGAGUGUUAAAUCUGGUAUACUAGCUGUGCCCACGGAUACGGGCGGCCCGGAAAACUGAUGGAAUAGAUGGACACUGAUGAACAUGAUUAAUGAUAAUAAAGGAUGGUUUAUUAUGUUGUUUAUAUGUUUUAUUCUUAAUUCUUGUAUACAUUGAUCAUGUGGUUAUGGAAUUUAUUAUGCUACUUUGACAUUUGCUAUUCAAUGAUUAAAUAUGCUAUUCACAUAUAAAAGCUAAAUGAAGUCAAACCAGUGUCAGCUUAUUGAGCCUCAUGAACCCCUGGUUAUACUUGUUGAGUACGAUAUGUGCUCACUCUUGCAAUUUCCCAACACCUCAGGAUAUGAUAAUGAAGAUGACUGGAAUGAGGACUAUCGCUAUGAGUACUAGGUUUGGAGUCAACCAGUCAACAGUGUCCCUGUGUGGAGCUUCCGUUGAGAGCGUUGUUUAUUUCGUGCUAUCAUUUUUGUAUGAGACUAUGUGAUAUAUUAUAUUCCGCUAUGUAAUAAACACUGCAAUGGUACAUUUGAGAUUUGUCUACUUAUGUGUGCGACUAUUCCUGGGGCACAUAUGAGUCUUUUAUGCAUCCUGUUUUGUUCUUAAAAUAUGGGUGUGACAAAUUGGUAUCAGAGCUUUGUUGACUGUCGGACGCAAGCCUAGUUAUAAAUUGGCUGUCUUAAGGUUUUGAAAUUGCUAUAAAAUCCUUGCCCUAUAAACCUUGAUAUUUUCUUCUACACUAUAUCCUAUUCAUCCUCACCUUGUUGCUAAUUUUAAAGACUUGUUCUCAUCCCCACUUCUUGCUUUGAAUAUGCUUUUAGAACCUUCUCAUACCACCUUCUGGCAUCGUUGAAAUAGGAGUUAUAGGAUCUUUACCCUUAAUAGGAAGAGAACGUUAGUACCGCAAGUUGAGUCAAUGCUUGAAGUGUGAAACCUUUGAUGCUUGGUUUGGUUUGUUAUUAUGCUUAUGCUCGAUUUGGAUCUUUGUAAUGAGUGUAAUGAUCUUGUGGAUUUUCCCUACAAUUUCAUUUAGUCUAUAGGCCUAAGGCAUAAGGAUUAAUGGACUAAAUAGUCGGGUUUGGAUAAAAUUCUGUUUUUGUCCUUGCUGUGUUUCUGGAGCAGUCUGCAAUGAUUCUGGUGUAAAUCAAAUUCUGAUCGUGCAAUGUUCAUCAAAAUUUUCUCGGAACAAGUAGACUUUCAUAUCUUUCCAGUGCCUUAAGAAUGACCAUAUUAUCUAUUAUGAGCUGUGAGUUAUGACUGUUUAAAGUUGAGGUUUCUGCGCAGUCUGGAAUUCUAGAAUAGUUUCGGUUGUACCCAGUUUUUGAUUAACCUAACUUUGGAAUCUGGUAAUAUGAUCUAAAUGAAAGUUGUAGAAAAUUUCUUUAUCUUCCCAACGGUGUACAGCAAGUAUCCUUUUGAAUUCUGCAACUCGAGAUAUGACUGAUUUACUGCUCUGCUGAUGUCGGAUGAUACCCAGAAAAUUUUAGAUUCCGUUAACUCUUGUAAUUGUCAUGCUGGACAUUACUAAGACAUGAUUCUAUACCUUGGAAUGCAGAUGGCAGCAAGGGGAAGAGGCAGAGGCAGAGGCCGUGGCAAUGGUGACAAUGCCCCAAUUACUGUGGAGGAACUCAUGCAAACCCAAAAUGAGAUGAUGCACGUCUUCAUGCAGCACUUACAGCAGCAACCUCCACCAACACCACCACCUGUCCAUGUGAGAGAUAAGCGUGGUGAAUUUAUGAAGGGAAGACCUCCAGUGUUUACACACUCAGCUGAUCCUAUGGAGGCAGAUGAUUGGCUUCGUGCUGUAGAGAGGCAACUGAACAUAGCCCAGUGCAAUGAUAUGGAAAAAGUGUUGUAUGCUUCUGGACAAAUUCAGGGGGCAGCUCAGACAUGGUGGGAGUCAUAUCAAGCUGCUCAUCCUAACAAUGCUCCUCCUGUCACUUGGUUGGAAUUUUGCAGAGACUUUAGAGCGCGGCAUAUCAAUGAAGGAAUGAUGGAGCUCAAGCAGGAAGAAUUCAGAUCUCUUAGGAUGGGUUCUAUGUCUGUGGCGGAGUAUCAUGACAUGUUUGAGCAGUUGGCCCGCUGUGCCCCAAACGAAGCUAGAGAAGAUGCUGACAAACAACGUCUCUUCAUGAAAGGUCUUUACUAUGAACUCAGAUUGCAACUGGCUGGAAAUACCUACCCUACCUUCCAGGCUCUGGUGAACCGUGCCAUUGUGUUGGAUAACAUGCGCAAAGGUCAGGACAAGAAGAGAAGGAUGCUAGCCCAAGGUUCUGGAGGCAACAACCGCCAACGUUUCAAUUCUCAGCAGGGCGAUCAACAGAGGUACCAUGGACCAGUUAGUCAAGGGGAUCGCAACCAACAAUCUCAGCGUAAUCCUAAUCAACAACAGAGUGGACAACAGACUUCUCGCUCGGGAAAUUCAAAUGCCACCUCUAUGAAGAGAAGUGCUUCCAAUACCCCUACUAGGUGUUUUCGCUGUGGGAAAGAAGGUCAUUUGUCAUAUGAUUGCCCAGAGAGAUUCAACCAGCAGAACAACAAUCAAAAGUCUAAUUCUCAUGGAGCAAAGGUGAACCAUGUGGCUGCAGAGACAGUACAAGAGGGACUGGAGAUUAUGAUUGCUACGUUCAGUAUCAACUCUAUUCCCGCAACAGUUUUAUUUGAUUCUGGAGCUUCGCAUACAUUCAUAUCACAAGCAUUUGUUAGGGUUCAUAGCAUACCACUAGUUGCCCUGAAAACCCAUAUGCUAGUAAUCUCACCAGGAGGGACUAUACCAAUUUCAUAUUGUUGCCCCUCGGCAAGUCUUUCUUUAAGGGGGGUAGAUUUCCCUGUUAGUCCCAUGGUUAUGAGAACCUCAGGCAUAGAUGUGAUAUUGGGUUUGGAUUGGAUGAAGAAAUAUGCUACGGAAAUUAAGUGCAAAGCGAAAGUAGUAGUGGUGACAACACCCAAGGGGGAGAGAAUCAGUGUGGAUGUAGCAGUGCAGGCUCCACCCACAGCUAUAGUGAAUCAGCUGGAUGAUGGUGUUGAUCUUCAGGACUGGGUAGGGAAUAAAUUUUCAGAUAAGUUACCAGGUAUGUUACUUGACUAGAGACAUGAUUUUGCUAGUGCAAUGGAAUUGGUAUUUAGAGACACAAGCAACUUAGGAAAGAGAGAGUCAUUGGAGAGAGUCACAACCACAGUGGUUUGUUUAUGCACGGCUCAAUCUCGAGGACGAGAUUCUUUUAAGGGGGUAGAGUUUGUAACACCCAAAAUUUGAUUUUCAAAUAAUAGGAUUUAAUUUAAUUUAUUUAAGUAUUGUUGUGGGCAUUUAAUCUAGUAAAUAAAUAAUUUUUGUCAAAUUAAAAACUCAUCAUAAGUUUAGAAACUUGAAUCUUGCAUUCAUGCUGGAGCAUAGUAUUUUUUGUGUGUUGUUCCUGUUUUUAUUUUAUUUGUUUGUGCUUUCAAAAUGCUAUUUGGAAAAGGUUUUGGAAAAGAAAACAGAAAAGAAAUUGGAACAAAAAGAGAAAGGGGAAAGCCCUCCCUGUCGGCCUGGCGGCCCAGCCAGCGCCUGGCCGAGCGUGCUCUCGGCCCAGUGGCCAGGCCCGCGCGCGCAGCGCUCCCUCCCCCUCCUCUCUGCUCGCUGACAUUCUGGGGCCGCAUGUCAGCGCUUCCAUCUCCCUCUGUUCGUAACCAAGCCGGACACGGCCGGGAGCCAAUCGAACCCGAUUUCUCGGGAUUACUUGCCAAACGCGUUAGCCGAGCCCCUAUAUAAUCCCUAGCAUCGCCCCCGUGCGUGUUUCCCAUCUUCGCCGCACGAAAUCCGUGCCCUAGCUACAGCAGACGGGAUCUCGCCGCAAGCCGAGCGCCUUGCCACGCACCGCGAGCUCCUCCCGUCGUUCUUCGGCCCCAGCAAAGCACCUCCUCGAGUUCGCGGUGAGCUCCUCGUUCCGAUGGUGUUUUUCUUUAUUGAAACGGUGCUCGGAAACGAGAAACCAGCGGAUGCCGACGAGCUUCCGGGCGGUGGCCAUGGCGCCACUGAACCGGUGCCGAGCUCCGGCCGCAUGAUGGCUCUGCGUGACCAGGGAGCCGCCCAGGAAGCCUGCCAACCGUUCAACCGAAGAUCAACGGCCAGGAUUAAAACAUACCCCUUCGCUGCGCAUUUUCGCCCUGAGUAAAAUACGUUUUCUAAUGCCAAAGGCGUAUUCCUGACCGGUUAAUGGAAAAAUGCGCUUUCUGCUAUUUACAAGUUUGCCAUUGAUUUUGUUUUGCUCAUAAAAUAUUCAUUAUAACUCUGUUUUUGUCCAUUUAAAUUUCGUUAGAUUCGUAUUUCCAAGCUCUACAUGAUAGAAUUAUUUAUUCUCUGUUUUGAAACUUUUAAUUUCCUGGUAUUAUUUAGUUAAUCAUUUCUCUAUAGGAAAUCUUAGAAAAUUCAUAUCUUUCUCGUUUUAAUUCCGAUUUUCGUGAAAUUUACGUUCGUGUGAUCGUAGCGCUGCGUAGAAUAUUUUGAUAAACUUUUAUAUUUGUUUUACCACUGUUUGGUGUAUUGUUCUAAUUAUAUCUUGUUUGCUUCGUGUAUGAUUGUCUACAUUGGAUUGCGUGUUGUUGAUUGAUGAUUGGGAUUAGACGGUGAGCCGUACGUGCUCAAGAUCAAGCAUUUGAAGACCAGCAGGCUCAGGAGAGCAUUGAUCAAGGCAAGUACAACUUGGGAUCAUCCUUGUUACCUACACACAAUUAAUAUAACAUUUAUCAUAUGCAUGCUAUCACCUUGAUGACCUUAGCAAAAUCAUAGAUGAUUGUUAUCCUGAAUUCCUUGUUACCUAUUUGGAUAUGCAUUUGGGUAGUUCUUGCGAGUGCUUGAUUAUUAAUCCAUGAUCUUGUAACAUGAAUAUUUGAAUAUACAAUAAACAAUAAAAUAAGCUUUUCAGCAACUUGAAUAUAAAGGGUGGAAAGAACUCUAGCUUUUGCUAGAUUGAUCUUGACCCUCCAUAAGGACUUAUCCCUUGGCAAAAGCUGGGACAACUCGUACAACCAUGAGGGCUAUAUGGCUCUGGCUUUAGCUCAGUAUGAAGAACUUUUCUAGCUUGUUAGAGGUUCCCCGAAAGGGCGGAGGGGCUGAACCGACACAGGUAUAGUGCGAGCCCCUGUCCCUAUGUGUAUAGGCUGCGCGUCAUUGUGCCAUUCGGAAGGGGGGUAUCUAUAUCUGCUCGCAAAGGAAACCUUGCGGCCCUAACAUGUUAGACGAACUUUUGAAAGGCUUCAUAGUGAUCCCUGCCGACCUCCCUAGGAACGGGGUUAAGAGACUAGCUAGCUCGGGCGUAAGGGUAAAUCAUGACUCAUGGGUAAAGAUGUACAACCUCUGCAGAGUGUUAAAUCUGGUAUACUAGCCGUGCCCACGGAUAUGGGCGGCCCAGAAAACUGACGGAAUAGAUGGACACUGAUGAACAUGAUUAAUGAUAAUAAAGGAUGGUUUAUUAUGUUGUUUAUAUGUGUUAUUCUUAAUUCUUGUACACAUUGAUCAUGUGGUUAUGGAAUUUAUUAUGCUACCUUGACAUUUGCUAUUCAAUGAUUAAAUAUGCUAUUCACAUAUAAAAGCUAAAUGCAGUCAAACCAGUGUCAGCUUAUUGAGCCUCAUGAACCCCUGGUAAUACUUGUUGAGUACGAUAUGUGCUCACUCUUGCAAUUUCCCAACACCUCAGGAUAUGAUAAUGAAGAUGACUGGAAUGAGGACUAUCGCUAUGAGUACUAGGUUUGGAGUCAACCAGUCAACAGUGUCCCUGUGUGGGGCUUCCGUCGAGAGCGUUGUUUAUUUCAUGCUAUCAUUUUUGUAUGAGACUAUGUGAUAUAUUAUAUUCCGCUAUGUAAUAAACACUGCAAUGGUACAUUUGAGAUUUGUCUACUUAUGUGUGCGACUAUUCCUGGGGCACACAUGAGUCUUUUAUGCAUUCUAUUUUGUUUUUAAAAUUUGGGUGUGACAAUCAACACUUCAGCAAGAUGCUUCAUCCAAUCAAGAAGAUCACCGGAACUUGUCUUCAGAGUUCGAAGCCAUGGCGAACAAAUCGAUCCGUGAGUUCUCAGCUCCCACUACGGACAACAUCCGCACUGGACCUGCUGCACAGAUCGAUGGCAACUUUGAGCUCCAGCAUGGACUUAUCAACAUGGUGCAGUCCAAUUAGUUCUGUGGGAAGGCACACGAAGAUGCUAGUGCUCAUCUACAACACUUCCUGGAGAUUUGUAACACAUUCACCAUAUCAGUAGUUUCCAGAGAUGCUAUACUACUUCGCCUCUUCCCAUUCUCACCGUUAGGAAGAGCGAAGCAGUGGUUCUAUUCUACAAAGGAGAAGAAUACUACGUGGGCACUCUGCUCAACAAACUUCCUGGCUAAGUUCUUUCCCAUGGGCAAGACCAAUGCUCUCCGUGGGAAGAUUACAAGUUUUCAACAACAAAAUGAUGAAUUUGUUCCAGAAGCAUGGGAGCGCUUUCAAGACUACAUCCUAGAAUGUCCCCAUCAUGGAAUGGAGAGUUGGCUACUAAUGCAGACCUUUUAUCAUGGACUCGGCAAUAGUGCCCAAGAAACCAUGGAUGCUGCAGCUGGAGGAGCAUUUUUAUCACUUACUAUAUCACCAGCCAUAGCUCUUGUGGAGAAGAUGGUGUCCAACCAAGGCUGGAAUGAAGAGAGGACCCAGACACGCAAGAGAGGUGGAGGUAUGCAUCAGCUCAAGGAGGUAGACAUGCUGUCUGCAAAGCUAGACCUGCUCAUGAAGAAGCUCGAUGAUAAAGCAAGAGAUAAGAAGGAAGUUAUGCACAUCUACGACUCUCACAUGACUUGUGAGGAGUGUGGAGAUACUGGACACUCAGGCAAUCACUGCCCUGAGAUGCUUGAGGAUGUGAACUACAUCAACAACAACAACUACUACUACAACCGUCCUCAACAAAAUCAAGGAUAGGAAUCAACAGAGGCCUAACUACUCAGGUAAUUAUCAAGGUAACAAUUCUUACAACAAUAAUAAUUAUUUUCCACCUCUGAGAGAGUUAGUGUCUAAUCAAGGAAAGCUAAUGGAUAACCUAUCUAAGAAAUUGGCAUCUAAUGAUAAAAUGCUAGAAAAUAUAAAUAAUAGAAUGGAUAAUUUCUCUACUGCCAUCAAGAAUCAAAUUAGCUUUAAUAAAAUGAUUGAAUCUCAGUUAAAUCAAAUAGCUGCUGCUGUUCCUACUACUAACCCCGGUAUACCAUCACAACCGGAAGGAUUAGAAUCUGCAAAUCUCGUAGACAUGUUUGAUGCAGGUAAUUGGAGUAACCCCGUCACUGAAUUCACUACUGACCUUCUGCCGAUCAAGAGAGGCGAUCCAGGAUGCCCCGUCAUCCUGAUCUCCAUCGGCAUGGUGGACGUCCUAGAAGCACUCUGCGACUUUGGCUCUAGUGUCAACAUUAUACCCAGGAUACUCUAUGAAAAAUUCUUUAUAUAUCCUUUAUUAGUAACAACCAGGUGUUUGCAGUUUGCAGAUCAGAUAAUAAAUUUUCCAAAAGGAAUAUUGAAGAUCCUUUGUGUCCGAGUUGGUACCUUGUACGCCCCAGCAGACUCCGUGGUGAUAGAGACCGGUAAUGAUGAGAGAGCACCCAUCAUCUUAGGGAGGCCAUUCUUAAACACCUCGGGAGCUGUCAUCUACGCUAGUGCUGCCAAGAUCAGUUUCUACAUCAAAGGGAGUAAGGAGAUGUUUUUCUUCAAGAACAAGACUACACAAAUCCCAGAUCAAUCCAGACGUGAAUCAAGGAAGAGGACCAACAGGAGGAACAGGAACAAGCAAGUGUGGAUCGAGUCAGCUAAGAUGGUCGCUGCAGUUCAAGGAGGUCAAGAUCAUCAACUUAAGUCACUAUCUUUGACCAAGAAGGACGACCCAGGAAUGCCAAGCAUCUAUUGCUCCAUUAAUGGAUACAGCUUCUACAAGACGUUUUGCGACACUGGAUCGGGCGUCAACAUAAUGGCCGCAGUCACCUAUCGGCUCUUGUUCGGAACCAUGCCCCUAAAACCAACAUACAUUCAGCUCCAGAUGGCAGAUCAGACGUUUCGAGAAGUUGAAGGAACAGUAACUGAUGUCCCUGUCAAAAUAGACGAUCAUUUUGUCUACACAGACUUUCAGGUUAUUGACAUGGGAGAAGAUGAAUACGAUCCACCCAUCAUCCUUGGAAGACCGUUCCUCAGCACCGUUAAAGCAAUUAUCUACAUUGGAACCGGAGAAGUCCAUAUGCACUUCCCCUCGGAGAAGGUACGCCGUUAUUUUAUUGACCCUAACUAUAUCGUUGAAGAAUCUAAGCAGGUAAGAAAACGACGCAACCGCAACCAGAGGAGGCAAAUCAUCAAGGACGGAUGGGCAGACUACGUAGCAGUUUAAACAGAACUAUCCUGUGGAGACCGAAGCGAAGAGGAGGCACCGCCGAAAUACCGACUACGCGACCCAACGAAUCCCAGGACAAUUGAGAAAACGGAGAGUCCCGUUCGGAGGACUUAAAAACACCGAACGCCUUGCCAAGAGGUACACUUGGUAGUUAUACUUUCCCUUUCAAUUAUUUUGAAUAGUUUGCUUAGUUAAUCAUGUUCGUACUAUCUUAAAAAGAAAAUAAAAAUGUGAAAAACAGUAAGCCCCAUGUGAGUAUACGAGUGGCAUAAAACCCAUAAGUACAUUCACUGUGGUGGCAUAAAAAUAAAAAUAUUUCUUUUCUGCUUUAUAAAAUGAAAAUAUAAAAUAGGGAGUAAUAUUUAUUAAGGAGUCUCAACAUGAUAAAGGCUAGAUAUUUAUGCUAACACUUAAUCAGUUCCACAAGCUUUGUUGUCUAUUUGAGCUCCACAGAAUUUAAAAAUCAAGAAGACUAGCAGACGGAGGACAUUCUAAUCGCUGUCAGAAUGCUGUUGACUUUCAAAUACACCUCUGCCACCUGCUAGCUACAUCAAGAGAAAUUACGUCAAAAUUCAGCUUGGGGGAGAGCACCCCCAUUUAUCCGGAUAAGUAUUUCUAUCUAUCUUUAUACUUAUAUUAUAUUAGAAUAUAAAUAUAUAUAAUUAUGGAAAAACAAAUAAAGAUUUUUUGCUUAUAUAUAUAUCUUUUGCUUAGUGUGUUUAACAAAUAAAUAAAGUGGCUAUGCUAAACUGAAUCUUAAUGAUAAAACUCUAGCAUAGAUAUGAUGAAUAGUUGCUCUGCCUAAUUUUAAAAUUUUGAAGUUCACUCUCAAGUUUAGAUAUAACUGUUAUAAUUUAAAGCUUGCUCUAAAUCUAAACUUGUGGGAUGAAAACUUGAUCUGAAGUCUAAGUUGUUAAGGGAUAUGAUAUGGGAAGGUUGAGCUGCUAUUUAUCUGUUCUUAGAGAUGCUAGAAUUCUGGAGAAUUUCAUCUUUGAAAAUCUUUAAAAUAUUGCAUGAUGAGUUCCUGUAUGAUGAGAGUUUAAAUUCGUAACACAGCCAUAUAUACAUGCUUGCUAGACCUUGAGCCACACAUUUAUUAUUUACGGCUUAUGAGUAUUGAGUGUGGUCACGCUGUGUAGACCCUUAGGAGCUUGUCAUGUGGUUAAAUCAAGAUUUCACUUGCACGUUCACUCAUAUAUGCUACUUCUACUCUGGAAGUACGAUCCACAUAUAUCCACCCAUUCCAUCUCCAGAAUCAUCCAAAAAUAUUCUACUCCUAAUCCGGGAGAGAAUAACCAAAAAUAUUUCUGUUUUUCCUUUGUGAAAUAAAUGCUCAAGUUAUCUUGUUACUACCACUUGCUAUAUUAUCUCAAGAGACGAGUGCUCUGAAAAAAAGAUACGAGGAAAUAAAAAGGUGCAAGUGCCUGGAACCUCGAAAGAAAAGAAAAAGUGAGACGAGAGGUAACAAUGGACAAGUGUCCAACAGUAGAAUUAGGGGUACAAGAUACCCACCUGAGAGGAAAGAAAAAGAAGAGCAUCUCAUUCUCUUCAUAAAGUUUCAAAAAGCAAGAAAGGUAUAUAUCCUCUCAAAAGAGCAAAAGUAGAAUUAGACUUUCACCAUUGCUAUCACCAUCAUCACCGUACACCAUUCAUUCGCCACACAUGCACAUCUUGAUUUGACUUAAUGAUUUGUUUCGUUGGAUCCAUGGUUUGACUAUACAAUACAUGUCUUGUAAGUACGUAUACUUUAUCUCCCACCAAUGAGCUCCAGAUAUUAAAGCCUUAUUAGAGUAGGGUGAGAGAGAAGGCAAUGUCACUAUGCCUUAUACCACAAAUACCAUAUAUACAUUGAGAGAAGGCAUAUACAAUUACUGCCUUGUUAAGGAUCCAGAAAUACCACAAAAGAGAGAUUUGAGAGAAUCAUACAAGGAAUCUCUGAGUUUUAUUUGAAAAUCUGCAAAAACUUCAGAGCUAUAGCUGAUCAAGAAUAAGAGACAUGGCACUUGACUAGACUGUUCUAUCUUUUAAUACUCAAGACAGAAGUGACGGUUACAAGUCCCAUGGUGAAAGGUAAAAUGAAUAAGUUUUAAGUUUUGACAGUUUACUCUAACUCAGAGAUGAGAUCUUAUUUAAAAAGCAUGUGUACCGUCAAUUUUUAAAGAUAUUGCAACAAUUUCUAAUCCAUCGCUGAGUCUAUCGUUGCUCAGGGACGAGCAAGAGGUAAGCUUUGGGAGUUUGUUGACGGUCCUUAAGUAUCAAAUUUAAUUAUCCAAUAAACAAAGAAAAGGAUCCAAAUGAAAUCAACAUCUAGACUUAGGGUUUUAUCUGACAGAAUUCCACGAGUUUUGGUGUUUGUCUAUUUCUGCAGGGGGUUAUCAGGAAAUACGGAAGAAAGGCCCACACGUCGGGAUUACAUAGAGAUAUUAACGUGACGCGCAAUUAUCUUACAUCUAGAAGACUCCAGAAGCCACGGGAAGAAAGCGGAGGCCGAACGGGGCCAGAGGCAGGGCGCCCGCCCUGUUUCCCUGGCGCCCGCCCUCUGUUGGAGUCCAAACAGGACUCUAUUUCGUGGGAGAUCUCCACCGACCUAAAGGAUCAAGGAUAACCGUUCAAUCAAUGUUGGUUUGAUCCAACGGCCCAUAUUAACUUGAAGAGACUAUAAAACCAGACCCCCUGGCCCUUGGAGGAGGGAGCAUCUCAACCCUAAUUCAUUAUUCUCAAGGGAGAAGAAUCCUCUGAUCAAGAUUAGAGCCACCACAUCAAUUAGAUAUCUAGAUUAGCAUAGCUACAUAGGAUUAGAGUUAGAAGGAGUCAAUCUUCGAUUGGUUUCCGGAUCUGUCAAGAGGAUUCUUGGUAAUUCUCUAACUGUGCUUUUAAUUGUUCUUCUAAUUAUCUUUGUUCAUCAAUAUUAUGAAUAUGACUUUAUUCUACUUCAAUAUAUUGCUUAUGACUUUGCUCUACUUGCUUAUAUUUAAGAUUAUAUUGUUCUUAGUUUAUCAUAGUUAUGUACUUGGCUUAGUUAGAUUGGAUCUAUAUACAUGCUUAGGAUCGUAUAGCGUUUAUCCAUCGGAUCUAUGGGUAAAUGAUAGAUAUUGUGUAGGCGUGGUGCUUAUACCGUAUUUAUCUGCGAUUGUACCCAAUAUGCCUGAUCGUGGGGUAGUUCGUGAUAGUGACAUCUUCAUUGAUUCUUAUAUAGUCUCCCUCUCGUGUAUUGGGCUGGCAGAGCAAUAUUAUUACAGGGGAGUGAUUGCUAUGUUUCUCAUUUACCUUGCUAAUAUCACUAUGCAUGGGCGUAGUCUUGUCUCGCAAUGAUUGCUAAGUAUGCUUGCACUAAUUAUGAUAAUGAUAGACUAUAUAGUUGAGGAUAACUUAGGAAAUAUUCUUGUAGUUCGUUCUAAUACCAUGCUAAUGACUUUCUAGAGUAUCUAAUUGAGGUGCUUAUCAUAUCUAUAUGUGGCUGAUCAGAUUAAUUAUCUUUGUCACUAUUCAUUAUUUCAUAUAUCCUUUAUGUGACACUUAUCUCUGUUUGAAAGAGUUAGAUACAAUGUUCUCAAUUAUACAUGCAAUGAUAGAUACUCAAUCUCAUAUUCUAUUCUGUAAUCAAUAUUGAUGAUUGUUAAUCCCUUUCCAGUGGUAAAAAUAUAAAUAACGAUACCUGGAAUACUUUCCGGUUAAAAUGCUACAUCGGUAUUAAUCUGUGCGCUUGCAGAUCUCAUUCAUUAUUUAUUUAGAAGAGCAAUUGCAUAUUUCAAUACCGUGUCUCUUAUGUCAUGCUGGGGAUGACAACUUGGCUUAAGUGGUGUGAGGGAUAGAUUUGACAUUUUUGACACUGUUACUAGAAUUAGAGAACUAAGUCUACUUUUUAGUAAUGAUGUUAAGAAUACCUGCAUCCUCGUUUCUUCUUCUCCGCCGCUGCUAGCCCUAGCUUCGCCUUGUGCAGCCAUGUUUGGACGUCCUGGAGUAGAGUACGUCCGCCGCCGCUACUGCUGACGCUGUCCUUUUUAGCACUGUUCGUGACCCAUUGCUGAGUUCCACGUAGAGGUGAAGAAGCUGCACAAUCUUUUUUUUCUUUUUCUUUUCUCUGUUGUUUUCCAUUGUUCAGUCGCCGCAACUUUUGCCGUUGUUUGCUCCUCCGAUCCGCCGGUGCCUUUAGCCUCUGCCGGUCUCCCAAGCAAGGGAAGCCGUCAUCCGUGCCCAGAAGCACCAUGCCGUGGACGAGCUCUCCUAUAGUCUCCGGUAAACAUCUAGGUGAGUUCAUCAAGAGUUUCUCUAUGUUUCCAAAACCUUUCCAUCCAAACCCGAAUCAUAUAAGCCGUUCUCAUCAAACGCCGAUGAGCUCCUGGUCACCAGACAAUGGAGUCUGUCCAUACGUGUGCUCUGCUCAUUGCUAGCUUGAUGAUGUCAUGGUGACCAAAAGAUGACAUCACAAGAUUUUGUGGCCGUUUUUCUUUAUUACAAAAAUAAAUAUAGAAAUACAUAGAAAAUACACUAGUUUGUAUAGUCAAUAUUUUCUCCGUUUUAACUCCGAUUUGACCCAUUCAAAUUGCGUUGGAUUCGUAAUAAUAAGCUCUACAUGACAGUCUCACUUUUUCACUAAUUUGAAACUUUUUAUUUUCGUGACCCUAAUUAAUUAAUUACUUUUCUAUAUAAAAUCUUGGAAAAUUCAUAUCUUCUACGUUUUAGCUCCGAUUUUCGUGAACUUUACGUCUGUGAGAUCGUAGCACUGCGUAGAAUCUUUUUAUAAACUUUUCAUAUUGUUUUUGUAUGAUUGGUGUAUAGUUCUAAUUGUAGCUUUGUUUGCUUCGUGUAUGUUUUCUCCGAUUGUUUGUGUGAUCGAUGAUCAAGAUUAGACAAUGAGCAAUCCAUGGUGAACCAGAGUGCCUUGGACAAUUAGUAAGACCAGCAAGAUCAGCAAAAGCAUUUGGAUCAAGGCAAUUAUGGUAAUUUGGAUUUUAUUUCUGUGACCAUGAUCCAGUGGCUAGAUUAAUGUUAAGUAAUAAAUGAUAAAAAUGACUUUUUAGCAACUUAAUGAUUUGUCCGUACGUGAUCACCCGGGACAACAGUGCAACCAUGAGGGCUAUAAUGGCUCUGGCUUUAGUUAAGUUUGAGUAACUUUUCUAGCUCGUUAGCGGUUACCCGUUGUGGCGCAAUUGGGGAAUAGCAGACUGUGGAUUCCUGCAGGUGAAUCACACGGACUUAUUAGACUAACCUUUGAAAGACUUCAUAGUGAUCCCUGCCGACCUCCCUUGAGGGGGUUAAGAGAUUAGCUACCUCGGGCGAAAGGGUAAAUCAUGACUCAUGGGUAAAGAUGUGCAACCUCUGCAGAGGGUUAAAAACUAGUAUACUAGCCGAGCUCACGGUCAGGAGCGGCCUUGGGGACAUCUACAUUAAGGGUGAUGAUUCUUGUGUGUUAAAUAUGCUCAUUGUUUAUUGUUUAGUGCUUUACAUUAUUUAUGUCACAUUGAUCAUGAGAUUGUGGGAGCUAUACAAUCUAGUAGCUAUACUUGUGGAGUUCGACAUGGACUCACCCUUGCUAUUUCCCUCAAACCUCAGGAGAAGUUUAGGCUUGUGAUCAACCAGUCAGUUAGAUCCUGUAGAGUGAAGUUAAUACCUGAAGUUGGAGUCAUCUUCCGUUGUUUGCUGCCUAAGGUUAUCUCUUUUAUACUAAGUACGUUAUAUAUUUUUGCAUUGUCUUUUGAUAUUACCCCUUAUUUGUAGCUAUAUGUGAGAUUUGAUUUCUAAAACUCACAUAUGGUGCAUAUCUGGUUUUGUCCUUAAAAUCGGGUAUUACAAAGUGGUAUCAAAGCAAUGCUGGCUGUAGGACGCAAGCCUAGAUAGAAAUUGGUCGUCUUAAGGUUUUGGAAUUGUCAUGAAAUCCUUGCUCUAUAAACCUUGGUAUUUUCAUCCAUACUAUAUCUCUAUCCUUGCUAUUUGUCUCUACCUUGUUGCUUAUUUUAAAAAUCCUUGUUCUCACCUUCACUCUUUGCUUGAUAUGCUUUUGGAAUCUUGUCUUACCACCUGCUUACAUAGUUGAAAGAGAAUCUUAGGAUCCUUACCCUUAAUAUGAAGAGAACGAUAGUAUCGCAAGUUGAGUGAAGUGUGCUUAUUUGGUUUGUCAUUAUGCUUAUGCUUGAUUUGGAUCUUUGUAAUGAUUGCAAUGAUCUUGUGGGAUUUCCUCACAAUUUCAUAAGUUCAUAGGCCUAAGGCAUAAGGAUUAAUGACAUAAGUAGUUGGGUUUGGUUAUAUCCUGUUUCUAUCCCUUGCUGAGUUCUGGAGCAGUCUACAAUAAUUCUGGUGUAUCUCAAGUUCUGAUUGUGCAACGUUUAUCAAAGUUUUCUGGGAACAAAUAGACUUCAAUAUCUUUCUCAGACCGUAAGAAUAACCCUCAUAGCUAUUAUGGUUUGGAAGUUACAACAAUCACAAGAUGAUACAACUGUGCUGUCAAAAACCUGGACAGUUCUGGUUGCAUACUGUUUGAGACAAAUAUAGCUACAGAAUUUGGGAAAGUGUUCUAUAGAAAAGUUGUAGACAAUUUUCUAAGCUUUCCAACAGUAUAAGCUGGAACUUAUUUGUAUAAGUAUAGCCUGAGAUAUAACAUUUACACUUGGAUGUUUCUGUUGUGUUUCAAAAUCUGGACAGAUCUGGCAUUUCCUAUUUUCAGCCAAGUUAAAGACAUAAUCUGGGAAAAAGUUGUAUACCAAAGUUGUAUAGGAUUUUCUAAGCUUUUCAAAUAAGUAAUGAUCAUCUCCAUAUGAGUUAAGUAGCUUGAGACAUAACUUCUGGAAGCUACUGCACCUUUGCUGAUACAUUUUCAGGAUGGAUAUUACGUUUGGCUGUUUUACCUAAGCUUAAAGACAGAACCUAAGGAGGUCUUCUACAUAAAAGUGGUAGAGAAUUUCAUAAGUUCCUUUAACUGUAUAAGCUACAACUCUAUUGGAUUCACAGAAUAAGAGUUAUGUCUAUUUUACUACGCUGAUGUUUUUCAUAUCACGAGAAAAUUUCAGGAAUCCAUUUGUUCUCUUGCACAAAAGUUCUUUGGGAUGUCAGAUGUACUCAAUGUUAGUUAACUUGUCUGGAAAACAUGCAAGCUACCUUUCAUGGUCCCCUAGUUGGCUUUUCUUAAGGGGGGUAGCCCAAUUAAAGAGGUUACAAGAAGAAGAAGUGGUUAAGGACUGGAACAUUUAUAAGUACAUCAUGUGCUUGGUAUUUUGGUUCGUUUCAAUAUAUCAUUCUAUUUGGAGUGUGCUAGUACCAAUGGUGGUUUAUGUCAUUACUGAUACUCAUGGACUAAGGGUUGCGUACGAGGAUCAGAUGACACCAAAGUUUACAAAGCUAUAUGUACAAUGUGAGAGUGAAGCAACUUAACCGUGAUAAAGGUACCGCUAAUUGGAACUUAGUGAUGAAACUAACCUUGGAUCAAGAGACUCGGUACAGCGAAUUUAAAAGACUAUAUGAUGUGUAGCAUCUAAAAAGGGUAGGAGAAGUAGUCCCUAGUAUUCCCCAAUCAAUCUCGUCUUAAGGGGGUAGUACCCUGAUAUCAGUGGGUGAUGCAUUUUAAAACUAGCUUGAAGUGAUAAUUGUCUUCUGAGAUAUUCUAUGGUUAUGAUCAUCUAUCCUUACCGUGUUACUGACGUUGGUCACUUGAUGACAGGGAGUGUAGUGUCCCAUGAAUCCGGAGCACAAUAUGAUACCUCUCAUGGAUAGGUGGGAAGAUUAUGAUCAUCUUGCCUUUGAAGAAAGAUGCUAUGAGUAUGUCAAAGUUGAGUGUUAUCAAAAUAAUAAUAUGGAAGAGCAAGUUGACAAUGAAACAAACCAAAAUCCACAACGACGGAAGCGUAAAAGGAAAGCUUGUAAGAAGCCUGCUCUCGGAAAUAAAGUACAGCGAAAUUAUAUCAAUGGAAGACUGAACAAUGUGGAUAGGCAUAACAUUCAAGGAGCCACCAAAGUGGUGGGAGGCUAUACUCAAGUGGACUCAGUGCUAGUUUUUGCUCCGUUUGACCGAAGUGCUUCACAUUCUUUCAUAUCCGCCAACCUGGUAAAGACAAUCGAACGGGUGAAGUGUCCGACGAGAAAGCCUUUGUUAGUUCAAACCCCAAUGGGAGAAAUACAGGCAGAUCAGGUUUGCUCAAAUAUCAAUCUUGUCAUAGAGAAGGAAAACUUCACUGUAAACCGCAUUGUGCUAGAGUCACUCAAAAUUCCUUUGGUUCUUGGCAAUGGAUGGUUAUGUGCACUCAAGGCAGUGAUCUAUGCUACCCAGUGGAAAAUUUUCUUAACCGCACCAUCAGGGAAAAGAAUUGAGUAUCAAGGUGGUCCACUUUUACCUGAGGAGGCAUAUCCAUGCUAAGCUACCAUGUCCUUGAGUUGUAUAAGUCAAAAAGUUGGUAGUCAAGAUGGAUUUUAAUCAGCUAUGAAUAAUAGACAUUUUAUGGAAGUUUUGUUCACAAGUUGUAAUCCCGAGACAUAAGUGUUUACAUUGGAAUACAAGUUGUGAAGUUGAAAUAGGUAUCAAGAUCUUGUUCUUGUUUUCUCUUUUGGAAUCCGUGUCUCAUCCGAAUCUCGAGGACGAGAUUCAUUUAGGGGGGUAGAUUUGUAACACCCAAAAAAAUUUGCUCUUUUUAAAAUAGGAGAAUUUGAUUUAAUUGUGUAUUUUUGUGCUCAUGAAAAUAUAGGAAAAAUAAUAUUUAAAAAAAAAAUUAUAUAAGGCUUAACAACAUUGUUGGUGCAUUCAUGGUGUUGCAAUUGUUUUAUUAUUGUGUGUUGUUUUGAACUAAAACUAAACCGAUUUAAAAAUUCAAUUUAAAAUUGACUUUAAAAAAAAAAUAGAAUUUCUUCCUCUCUCUUGUGGCCAGGAGGAAAGCCCAGCAAGCCCACGCAGGUGCCCCUUCGUUUCUCACGCCUUGGAGCACGAUUUGGUCAUUGGAAAUCCAACGCGUCCAAUUCCGAUUCUUUCGGAUCGUAUGCUGAGCCGCCCUAUAAGAAUCCGGAGACCCUGUGCAUUCUCGUUUCUUCUUCUCCGCCGCUGCUAGCCUUAGCUUCGCCUUGUGCAGCCAUGUUUGGACGUCCUGGAGUAGAGUACGUCUGCCGCCGCCACUGCUGACGCUGUCCUUUUUAGCACUGUUCGUGACCCAUUGCUGAGUUCCACGUAGAGGUGAAGAAGCUGCACAAUCGUUUUUUUCUUUUCCUUUUCUCUGUUGUUUUCCAUUGUUCAGUCGCCGCAACUUUUGCCGUUGUUUGCUCCUCCGAUCCGCCGGUGCCUUUAGCCUCUGCCGGUCUGCCAAGCAAGGGAAGCCGUCAUCCAUGCCAAGAAGCACCAUGCCGUGGACGAGCUCUCCUAUAGUUUCCAUAAACUUUCCAUCCAAACCCGAGUCAUAUAAGCCGUUCUCAUCAAACGCCGAUGAGCUCUUGGUCACCAGGCAAUGGAGUCUCUCCAUACGUGUGCUCUGCUCAUUGCUAGCUUGAUGAUGUCAUGGUGACCAAAAGAUGACAUCACAAGAUUUUGUGGCCGUUUUUCUUUAUUAAAAAAUAAAUCUAGAAAUACAUAGAAAAUACACUAGUUUGUAUAGGCCAUAUUUUAUCCGUUUUAACUCCGAUUUGACCCAUUCAAAUUGCGUUGGAUUCGUAAUAAUAAGCUCUACAUGACAGUCUCACUUUUUCACUAAUUUGAAACUUUUUAUUUUCGUGACCCUAAUUAAUUAAUUACUUUUCUAUAUAAAAUCUUGAAAAAUUCAUAUCUUCUACGUUUUAGCUCCGAUUUUCGUGAACUUUACGUCUGUGAGAUCGUAGCACUGCGUAGAAUCUUUUUAUAAACUUUUCAUAUUGUUUUUGUAUGAUUGGUGUACUGUUCUAAUUGUAGCUUUGUUUGCUUUGUGUAUGUUUUCUUCAAUUGUUUGUGUGAUCGAUGAUCAAGAUUAGACGAUGAGCAAUCCUUGGUGAACCAGAGUGCUUCAGUGACUAAGAUCAGAGCCUUGGACAAUUAGUAAGACCAGCAAGAUCAGCAAGAGCAUUUGGAUCAAGGCAAGUAUAGUAAUUUGGAUUUUAUUUCUGUGACCAUGAUCCUGUGACUAGAUUAAUGUUAAGUAAUAAAUGAUAAAAAUGACUUUUUAGCAACUUGAUGAUUUGUCUGUACGUGAUCACCCGGGACAACAAUGCAACCAUGAGGACUAUAAUGGCUCUGGCUUUAGUUAAGUAUGAGUAACUUUUCUAGCUCGUUAGCGGUUACCAGUUGUGGCGCAAUUGGGGAAUAGCAGACCGUGGAUUACUACAGCUGAAUCACACGGAUUGACUAAUGAAACCAAGCGGCCCUAACUUGUUAGACAAACCUUUGAAAGACUUCAUAGUGAUCCCUGCCGACCUCCCUUGGAAGGGGGUUAAGAGAUUAGCUACCUCGGGCGAAAGGGUAAAUCAUGACUCAUGGGUAAAGAUGUGCAACCUCUGCAGAGGGUUAAAAACUAGUAUACUAGCCGAGCUCACGGUCAGGAGCGGCCUUGGGGACAUCUACAUUAAGGGUGAUGAUUCUUGUGUGUUAAAUAUGCUCAUUGUUUAUUCUUUAGUGCUUUACAUUAUUUAUGUCACAUUGAUCAUGAGAUUGUGGGAGCUAUACAAUCUAGUUGCUAUACUUGUGGAGUUCGACAUGGACUCACCCUUGCUAUUUCCCUCAAACCUCAGGAGAAGUUUAGGCUUGUGAUCAACCAGUCAGUUGGAUCCUGUAGAGUGAAGUUAAUACACAAAGUUGGAGUUAUCUUCCGUUGUUUGCUGCCUAAGGUUAUCUCUUUUAUACUAAGUACGUUAUAUACUUUUGCAUUGUCUUUUGAUAUUACCCCUUAUUUGUAGCUAUAUGUGAGAUUUGAUUUCUAAAACUCACAUAUGGUGCAUAUCUGGUUUUGUCCUUAAAAUCGGGUAUUACACUUAUUUUCCCUACUAAGGCCCUUAAAAAAGUGAAAUAGAAGAACUUGUUCUGGAAUACAAAGUUUUGGGCCAGUGAGAGUAAGGUCAAUAAAGUGGUCCCAUGAUUCGCCAAGAGAUUCUUCUUCUAGCUGUCUAAAAGAAAUAAUCUCACACCAAAGUUCCGCCACUCUAGAGAUUGGAAAAUAUUUUAAAAUAAAACUAUUAUGUAACUCCUUCCAAUCUCCAUGAACACUCCCUACUUUGAGUUUAUACCAAUGUCUAGCUUUUCAUAUUAAAGAGAAUGGAAAGAACUUCCAUUUAAGGGUCUCAUCGGACAUGCCUUCUAUGUGAAGGAGGUCACAGACUCGAUAAAACUCUCUUAGGUGUGUGUAUGGGUUUUCCUCACCUUCUCCUGAGAAAGGUUGUUUUUGAACAAAUUCUAUGUAUUCGGGGUCUAUCUCAAAACUAGAUGCUAUGAUAGGUUUUGAAGAUUUUGGUGGUUCGAGAUGUGUGCCCGUAGGUCUAUGAAAUUGAUAGAUAGACAUGUUUGCAUUCAUGAUAGACUAGAAAUCAAGGAUUAGAUAAGAAGAAAGAAUAGCAGAGAUGAGGAAAAGGAUAAAAGGAAAAAUAUAUUUUUUUAUUAUUUUUUUAGAAAAUGAUUAAGCUAGUUCGUAGUCAACUCAGCAACCGUCUUCCUGGCAACGGCGCCAAAAAUGCUUGUUGACACUUGCGAACACCACUUGAAUACUAGGUUGUCAUCCCCAGCAUGGCACUAGAGUGUACUAUGGUAUUUAUACGCACACAGAUAAAUCCGCAAGCGCACGGAUACCGUUAUAGCUUUUACCCAGUUAAAGGUUUUAUCGUAUCCACAGGGAAACGGGAGAACCAACUACGCUCUAACUUAACCAAGAUAAAUAGAUAAGUGUAAAUAGGAAAGAUGGUAGAAUUGAAUAAGAACAAUAUUAAAGGUAAGAUAACAAUGGGUGAUAAUAUGGGAAUAGAGAGUAGAGCAAUCUAGUAUAUGGGUGAUGGUAGCAGAAUAGAGAGGAUAACUAUGGUUUCUCUACUUCAAAGGGGUAUGUCUAUGUCUGGGACGAACCAUGCGAUAAGAAUAUACCACAAAGGAUGCUUAUCCAUAGGCCGAUAAACCCUACCCGUCCUGCUAACAGGAGGUGGACUACAGGGGACCAACGUAACUGUCACCUACGUGGCUUACCACACGAUCUAGCUAGACAGGGGAUAUCCACAAGUAAUCUAGGUCUAAGCACCUCGCUUACACCUAUACUACAACUCUAACCUAUAAGGUCCUAUAGAUUAGAAGUACUCAAAAGAGUUGUGAACCAGAACAUACAUGAUUAGUAAUUGCAUAAUGAAUUAGAAGUAGAUUACCAGAGUCAUCCCAUGAGCAAGCUUGAUUAGAGCUUGAUCAUGGGGAAGUACAACUGGAGGAAGAACCGACAGGCCGGCCUCUCCUCCAAUCCUCCCCCGCUCUCCAUCUCGCUACUAUCUAGAUCUACUCUAGUUUAGAGAUGAGAGGAGAGCUCUCAUCUCCAAAUCCUAGCUUUUGCUCUGUCUAAUAAUAAUGAAUAGGGAUCAAGGGGUGCCUUCUCCAAGGGCCAGAGGGUCUGCUUAUAUAGUCCUCUCAAGUGAAUCUGGCCAUCGGAUCAAACCGACAUUGAUUGAACGGUUAUUCUUGAUCCUUUAGGUCGGUGGAGCAUAAUCCCCGAAGAGAGUCCUGAUUGGACUUUGUAGCUGGGUGGGCGCCCAAGGGGGGAGGGCGGGCGCCCUAACCCCGAGCCCGCUCGGCUUCCCGUUCGUUCCCAUGGGUUCUGGAGUCUUCUAGAUGAUAGAAAAUUGCGCGGCAUGUUAAUAUCUCUAUGUAAACCCGACGUGUGGGCCUUUCCUCCAUAUUUCCUGAUAACCCCCUACAGAAAUAGACAAACACCAAAACUCGUGGAAUUUUGUCACAUAAAACCCUAAGUCUGGGUGCUGGUUGCAUUUGGAUCCUGUUCUUUAUUUAUUUGAUAGUUAAAUUUGACACUUAAGGACCGUCAACAGUGACCUCUUGACCUCUUUUGCUUAGGCUUUUAAAAAGUGCUUCACAAAAUGUUUGCAUGUCAAAAUUCUCUAAACCAAAGUUGUAGCAAAUUUUGUAAGGAACUAAAAUUGUUUUAGGGCCAUCUCAUGAAAAAAUGAUCACAACAUGCUCAAAAAGGGCUCACAAGUCGAUUUGGGUGUUGUUUGGACACUUAGAAAAUUUUCUAAGUCUUCUACUCGACAUAGUUUGCUCGAAGGAACUUUGGAGCUUUGCAUCUUUUCAUCUAGGCUGAUUUGGCUCUUGCUCCAAUUGACAAAGUUAUAGAUCUCGUUUAGUUACUCAAGUUUGUCAACUGCACCAUCUCCUAAUUCGCAAUGAUUUCGGAGUCAAUCAUCGUUGAAAUAGCUAUGUGAGUCGGUGUUCGAAGCCCUGAUGGCAUUCUUUAGGCACGCGUGUUGGCCGACCGUAGCAGACUCCGGCUGCCAUCUGGCCACCGUACGCUGUCAUUGGCCCCACCGGUCAUGUCGUUUGUGCCUUCAUGGCUACCACGCCACCCCACACUCGCCCAGCACCUCUCCCAGUCGCUCUGCUCUCUCUCUCUCUCACGCGCUCCCUGACGGUAGCGACGCCAUCGCCAUUGACGCCGAGCGUCUCAUGAGCUCCACGCGCCCUCAUCUUCACGCCGUGCCUCCUCUCCGAGCGUUAGCGAGUCCGCCACGAGCUCCUUCAUCUUCUCCAUCUCUCGGUUGCUCAAGAUCGACCCAAGGUAACCUACAUUUCUCGAGUUCGCCGUUGUCAAAUUCACGGCCGCCGCGACCCCUACUCCGGCAAACCUCGGCGCUCCCCUAUCCUUACCCUCUUCCUUCUUUCCAAGUCGCAUUAGGGCUUACUUAGGUCCGCGUCUUACCCUACGUCACAUCCUAUAGCUAAUGGUGACGCCACCGAGCGGAAACACGACCACCGUGCCACCGCGCUCACCGCCGGCGACCACCCCGCACGUCGGUAGGCUCACCGGAGCCCAUAGAGUUAGGCCUUUCCACCUAGGAAGCUCCGCGCUAACUCGCUAAUGUUGUAGCUGCCUCAUUCUGAUGCUCUACCAACCAGAGACGGUCGGUGUAAGCCGGGAUAGCCCCGCUGUGCUGCCAUGACCGAUGGUGACCUUGCUCUGUUACUCCAGCUCUCGCACCACCUGCUUCUAUCGACGCGGAAGGACUCAGGGAACACCCUGGUGCCCUUGGAUCCACCGGAAAAGCUCACCGUCAGCGAUCGUUUGCCGGCGAGCGUGUCCUCUGGCUUCUGUGUCACUGACACGCGGACCCCGCUGUCAGCGACCCCGUUUCCCUCCUUCCCAUUUAUUCAAAUUUCUAGAUUUUGCUCAAUCUUGCAAAAUUCAUAUCUCCUGUUUCUGAGCUCCAAAAUGUGUGAAACUAAUUUUGUGAUCUUCUCUGAGACGGAUAGUUUUUAUUAAAAUUAUAAAAUGUGCCAUGUUUUCUGUGAAAAAUAAUUAUUAUGAAUUAAUCUUGAUUAGUCAAAGUAAAUUCAUACCUUUCUGUGUAAGGCUCCAAAUGUGAUGAAAAUUUUAUGGAAGGCUUUGUAUGUUAGUAGUAUGCUCUGGUAAUUAUUUUAUAAUUUUUGGAUGUUGUAUGACUGGUAUGUAAUUUAUACUUGCUUGAUUGCUUAAAUCCUUGUAUAAAUCACUAUAAAUAAUGCAUGCUUGUGCUGGUGUUCUACUUUGGCAUGGUUGGUGUUCAUGAUAGUAGAAUCAUAAAGAUAAUCUGAAAUCUGUUGUUUGACACUGUUUAACCUAAGUUUCCAAAUUUAUGGUUAAAAGCACCUUGUCAAAUGAUAAUUAUAUAUCUAAAGUUCAGCAUAUGCAAUUGCCCUGAAACUUUUAUGGUGAUGAGUAGGUGCCAUGCAUAUGCUUCUGUAAUUGUUGUUGAGUUUUCUGAGUACUUAUGCAUAUGUUCCUUAAUUAUCCUCUUUUAUGGAAAUAUAUUAAUAAAUGCUAUAUAAAUAAUGGUUUGGUAAGUAACAUAUGGUUUUCUGUUAAUCUUGUAUCAUAUGUCUUCUGGUGAGUCACUUGGUUGACUCUAAAUAUACUUUUCCAUGUUAGUAAAUAAUUAAUUUAAGGUUAAUUAACCUUUCUGGACAUCAAAGGAGUAAUCUGGUAAUUGCUUGAUGCUAAGCAUGUUUUCUGGGGAACAUGUCUAUACAAAAGUUGUUGUAAACUUUAUGCUCUAUCUGUGGUUAAAUUUUGGUAGCAUUUGGCCAAGUGGCUUAAAAGUUAUAGCUGUUCUAAGUCAGGUUCCAGAAGAGGGUGUUCUCUGUUUGUCUCGAACAGAACCUGGAACUUUUUUUAUUUGACCUGUUUAACUUGUGAAUCAUGCUUACGUGUCUAAAGAUGAAAUGUAGAUAAUUUUAUAAGCUUUUCAUAAUGUCUUAAUUCAUGUUUGUAGGAUCUGUACAUCUCUAGUUAUGGUCUGUUCUCUGUGCUGCCUUACUGAGUAUAAAGUGAUGUUGGUUGGUGUAGCUAGUGUUUAUCUUUGUUAAGUCUUGUGGUGUUCUUAGGUAACCUUGUUGAGGAGUUUACUCUGUAAAUGAGUGUCUAGUGAGGGUCUAUGAUAGUAAUCAUGUGAUGCAUCCAUCAUUCCCUUGUAUGUACACAUCCUUUACUCAGUGCACGUACAUGCAAUAGGUGCAUCGAAAGUCGGAGCUUAGUACGAGAUCGAGAGGGUGAACCCGGAAGACCAGGAGAACACCCAGGACCCGGAGGCCCAGCCAGUAGGACCCAAGGAGCAUGAAGAAGAAGUCAAGUGUCCGAGUCACGAGCCCACAUCGUUCGUGAUAGGCAAGCCCCGGAGCAUUAUAAGUCUCCUAUUUAUUUUACCAAGCAUGAGUAAAUAUGUUAAUAUCUAUUGCUGCAUUACGUAUAGAAGUUGUAUUAAACCCUUGCUGCAUUAUAUCUUUCCUUGUCUAGAUAUCUUAACUUACCCUGGUAUAGAGUCAGGAUCGAGUAGUAGCUAAGGCAUGCUUAAACCGGUAGAAGCUGGGUGAUGUCCUGACACCUACGAGCUAUAGGGUCUGAUAAUACAUCACGAUUGGCUAUAUUUGCUAUCAUGGAAAAGAACCUAGCUAAAAUGACUUAGGCCAGGCGGAGUUUUGCAAGGUGGUAGUAACUCCAUCUAUGGCAGCUAAGGACCGAUCGUUGUAUGUCCUCUUGUCAUGUUGAACGCAUGCCUGACACUUAGUUGGCCGGAUAACUCGUUCCGACCAUGAAGCCUAGUAGUAUGACUCAGGCUGAGGCCGGAAGACCGGCAAGUAUAAAGUGCGCACUACCGGAGGAAGUGUGAUGUGCGGCGGGGCAUUGGCGUAAGACCAAGGGUGUAACACUCCUAGUGUUAGCUUGCAUGUUAACCAUGAGCAUUGCAUUAGCAUAAGCAUCAUCAUGAUCACUCAUGAGCAUCAUACCAUGAUCACAUGCCAUUUGCUUUAUGCACUACAUGAUUAAAUUGCAUGUGUGACUUGAAUUGGGUGACUAUAAGGGGUAGCCAAUGCAAACAAUUGUACAUUGUCUUCCAAAAUACCUCAAUCAUGUUUAGAAUAUCAUUUGGAACAAUGUUCAUGUUGAAGGUUUUGGCCAAAAAUGCCCCUAAGUCAUGGUUAACCCUAGAAUGACCUUUUUGACCCUCCUAGACCUCUUUUCAAAGUUGUUUUAUGAAACUGGUGUUAGAAUCUUGCAUGUCUUUGACACCUGAAACAAAGUUGUAGAGCAUUUCAUAAGCUACAAAAGUUAUGUAGAUGACUUUUUAUGAAAAAGCUUAGAACACAUCCAAAAAUUGCUCACAAGCCAAAAAUCAGGGCUGAUUUCACACUUAGCCGAAUUUGGCUAAGUGUUGGAUCACGCAGUUUCGACCAAGGGUGAUUGGGAUUCUUGUAGUUUGAAAUUCAGACUGAGUUAGACCUUGAUCUUGUAAUCAAAGUUGUAGAACUCGUGUAGCUCUGUCCAGAGGAUCAAAUCCCAGCCAAAACCAUCGAUUGAGCUGAGAGUAAAACGUUGACAAAGUUCGAGUUUCAGUCACUGUUGGCGACGACUGAAUCGCGUGAUUCAGUUUCGUCAGAAACCGUCCGCCACCGCGUGUCCGGCCAGGUGUCGGCCGUACGCCAUCGACGACCCCGCCUGUCAGCUCCCACGGCGUCCCUAAGUUGACACGCACCGAGUGGACGCCUCAGACACGCUCUCCACUCGCUCAGCGCUGCACAUUUCGCUUCGUCGUCGCCUCAGGAAGCUCCGCCGCGCUUCGGCGAGCUCCUCCGGUCGUUCCACCGCGUCUCCGGCCAAGCCACUCCGCCCAGAGCUCCGCCUUGACGUCCUCUACCUCGACGUCCACUCCAUUCCCUUAGCCGAGCACCGGUGAGGUCACAUUGUCAUCUCCGUCGCGAGCUCCACCUCGCCGGAGUUCACAGAGAUCACCGGCAACGUGGCCAGACCUCUCUGGUUCACAUCUGGCCGUGAUUCUUCUUCCUAUAGCUUCGCCUUGAGCCGCUCUUGCUCGUCCGCAACCUCUACUGCGUCGCCAUUGCCUGGAUCCGCCGGCGUAUCGCCGCGCAGUGCCGCCGCUUCGCCAUUCCCGUCGGCGAGCACCCUAGAGUCCAGUAGAGCGCGCGUAAAGUAGGUCAACAGAGUCGCCUUGAGGAGAGGAACACGUAGGUGCCCUUGGAUCCGGCCGAGACCUCGUCGUCGUUGAGCUUCGCCGGCGACGAGCAUCUCCCCUGCCUCUGUCUCACUGACACGCGGGUCCCGGAUGUCAGCCUCUCUGUGUCACCCUCUCUGGUUCACUAUUGUGCAGAGCUAAAGCUGUUUUUGUAAAAUUCAUAUAUGGCGUUUUAGAGAUCCAAAUGUGGUGCUUCCAAUUUUGCUAGGUUCCAGCUUAAUCCUAGUUUUUAAUAAAAUAUGAAACAUGCUAUGUUUUUGCAGAAAUAAAUAGAUAUAAAUUAAUCUUGGAUUUUUAGUGGGUAAUUUUAUCUUGAGAUCUAUUGAUCUGCUGGCCAUGCAAAUUUAGGGAGUUGUUACUUAUGUUAUGAAUAGGCUCUGAUAAUUGUUUCAUGAUUUUUGGAAGCCUAGUUAAGAAGUUAAAAAUAAAUAUUGCUUAAAUAGGAGUUUCUUGUGAUAUUUUUAGUAAUUAAGUUAUAACUCCUUUUGUGAUGAAACUUGCUGAGUGUUGCACUUAUGUGUGGGCAAAGAUAGGAAAAAUCUGAAAUCUGUUGUUUGACACUUUUUGAUAGGGUUUCACAUUUAUGCCUUGCAUGCCUUUACUAGCUUGUUAUUUUUAUACCUCACAAUGUGUAUGUGCAAAUGAUCUGAAAAUUUUACAGUGAUCUUAUGUUAGCAUAAUUAGCUUGCUGUAAUUUUCUUAGGAUUUUUGGAACACUUGAAGUAUAUGUUCAUUAAAUCAUCUUAAUAAUUAAAUAAAUAGAAAAGGUGAUGAUAGAAAUAGUUUUAGACCUUGCCAUGGUGUUUUCUGGUGUUCCUUAGAUAUGUUAUAUCUGUUGGUGCAAUUGGUUUAUCCCUGUGGUACAUUCUCAAUAUAUGCAAAAUAUUAUUUUAGCUAUUAUUGCCUUUCCUAGAGCAUUUCUGUACAGCUGAUAGCAAAUGAUUAAGAACUACUUGAAGAUUGUGUUUUCUGGGAAACUUGUCUACAACAAACUUGUAGCUAACUUACUGAUCCUUUUCGUGUCCAAAUUUCAUGACAAUUGGUUGAGUAAUUUAAAAGUUAUGCAUAUUUCAAGUAGCUGCUGCAAAGUGCUUGCUCUCUGGAAUUUCCAGAGCAGCCAGCCAACUUUGUAUGUUUUAGCAUAUUUCGGUUGGGAAUCAUACUGAGAUGUCUAAAAGUAAAUUGUAGACAAUUUGUUAAGGUUUCCAGAAAGUGCUUACUUGCUUAAUUUUGUUAAGUGAUACUCGAGUUAUAGCUGAAACUUGUGACUGGUUGGUUUGCCUACUAAACCAGUGACUGGGUAAGAGUAGCUAGGACUUGUUUAACUUGUCUAUUUAGUCUCUCUACCACAAAAGAAGUAUGCAUUUACUUGUUAUUCCAUGACUCACUUAUUCUUAGAAGUUUAUGCUCAUGUUAUACCUUGUUUAUGUCCCUUUGGCUCUUCAUCAUGACAUCAUGCAUCAUAUGUGCAUUCUCUAUAUUCAUCUCCUUGUCAUGCAUACAUAGGUGUACCCAAGGGAGUAACGGUGCUGGAGUUCGAGCUGCUGGAGCCGGAAGGACAGCAAGGGGAACUACCUCAAGGAGUUGAGGAGGAGGAGGACUUGCCGGAGUGCCCCGACCAUCGUCCCUCUACUUACGUCGAAGGCAAGCCCCGGAGCAUUAUAAGCCUCCUACUAUUUUAUUAUCACAAUCAGCUAUCAAAUGACUAUGGUUAUAUAUUAUUGCAUUAAGUGGUAGGCGUUGAUAUGACACCCUUGCUGCAUAAUGACUACCUUGUCCACCUUAAACAUUACCGAAGUAGGUCCAGGAUCGAAGUGAUGCUUAGCCAUGCUUAGCUCGGUAGAAGCCGGGUGAUUUCCUGUCACCUGCAAGAGUUAGGUGGAUGAUGAUCACGGUUGGCUAUAAUUGCUAUCGUGGAGAUAACCAGGUGUUAAAAAUGAACUUGAGACUGGGCGGGAUGACGAUAGUGCAGCAACAAGGCAUGGAGGUCUUGGGUGUGAAUCUAUCCCCGUCUGGGUCGUUUAAGGACCGAAUCGCUGUACGUCCCCGUGUCAUGUUGAACGCAUGCCUAUCACUUAGUUGGCCGGAUAAGUCAUUCCGACCGCGAAGCCUACGAGUGCAACUCAGGCCGGAUACCCCGUUCUGUAUGAGUGCGCAUCCCGGUUGGUAGCAAGGAUGUGCGGGGAGUCAAUGGCGUAAGACCGAGGUGUCAGGUUAGAGUCCUGACCCUGGCAGAUUGGCGGUCCCUAGGGGUGCGGCGCUGGACGGACCCGCGAAUUGGUCCGGAGUUGUGCUAAAGGUGAUCCGAGCUGCCGUCAUGAAGUAUGCUUGGGUGUGUGUUAGGAAUACCCCUCCAGCUGGAUAGGAAUCGAUUCGAAUCGCCGUCUCUCUCGGAUAGUGAGAACUUGACUUGGGCAGCGGCAACGUAGAACUCACUAAGCAAACAUAGUGGUUAUGAUGAGAAUGUUGAUAGCAAAGUGAUAAUCCUGAUAUGGUUAUUAUUGAAUUGAUUAAUUACUCAAGUGUAUGCUUAGCACAGGUGCUAAUCUAGUGGAUAGCUGCUAAGUAAUGAACUUGCUGCUGAAAUAUGAAUAAAUGAAUUACUUAUAACAAAGGCUUUUAUGCAAAAAGUGAGUCAAACCAGUCCACUAAGAUCAGCCUUGCAUACUCCUUGGUGUCACUUUAUUUCUGGUUUAUGACGGGUAAGUCUAGCUGAGUACAUUCUCGUACUCAGGGUUUUUAUUUACCCCUGUUGCAGAUGAUGUCGUCUAUCACGGCUAUUGUGCUAACUGUCAUCACCCAGCUGCGGAUGAUGAAUAGAUCAUGGCCGUGAUCACUCUUCUACCUUCAGUUAUGCUUUUGUGGGGAUUGACCAUGGAACUGGCAUGUAUUAAGAACUGAGUUGGAGUUGUUUCAAAACUACUUUGUCUUCCGCUACUGCUAUGGUUUGUAAUAACCUUUUCAAACUCUGAUGUGAUGUAAAACUGUGUUCUGUGUUGAAUGUUGUAAUCUGUGAUGGUGAUGCUUGAUCAUGUACGAUCUUGGUUGUAUGUUGGUUGGAUCGAGGUCUGUUGAGAUUUCGUCGGACUACCGGGUUUAUAUGGGUUCAAGUCCAUUGGCUUGACUGCCUCAGUGGUCGCUAAUUCACUUGAAUUCUUAUAAAUUGGACGGUUCUGUUACAGCUAGUAUCAGAGCAAGGAUUAAGUAUAACCAUCAUAGAUGUAUUUGAAAACAAAUGAAUUUGGUUUUCUCAAACUAAUUUGGCAAAUUAGGUUAUAAAUAGGGUUGUUUUAAAAAGGUUUUGAUAACUUAUACCAUGCCAGUGGUCAUGCCCUUUAUGCCCACAUAAGGACUUCUAGGUGGCUUAUUAUUACUAACAUGGGGGUUUUCCUUUCGUCCUCCAUAUGGCGUGCAAUUAUAUGGAUACCGCUUACGUAAGUGGUAAUGAAUGGAUCACAUACCGCUACGCCAUGGUAAGCAUUGUUUGUUUUCUUUCGUCGUCCAUACGGUGUGAAAUUGUAUGGAUGCCACUUGCUUGAGUGGUAAUGUAUGGAUCUGUAUGCCUCUACGCUACGGUAAGUGUGAGCUGUGAGGGCAUGACCGUCCAACCGUCGGUCUAGGGGAGUGUUAGCUGUGGUUACUAGAAUAUUUACAUGUUUCACACAUGUAUAUAUGAAGGUACUUAAUUGUGGGUAGUAAGUGCAGCCAUGUGUACAUAUUUGAUGUAUAUGUGGGUGUACCCCAAAUGGGUAGUGUGCUACGGUAUAUGUUCGGGAAUAUAUACCGGAGUACCUAGCUUGAUUGAUUGUUGUUUGGAUCUACAUUUUUGCACUUAUACUACUGUGGGGCUGGGCUGAAAUGAAAUCUUCUACAGGUACACUAACAACGAAACGUGUAGACCGAGUAGUUGCGUAUAAAGAGUGCACAUAUGUAUGCCACCGACUAUACCGUUAGAAGUUUCUUCUAAGUUUGGAAAGGACGUAUGGAACGUGCAUGCAUCAUGAAUCAUUCAUACAUUCUUCAUGCAAUACUUGGGUAUUAAAUUCUGAAAAUACGAUUCUUUAUCUCUCCUUGUAAUUAAUCUCCCUUACUCAAAUGUGGUCUUUCUACAGAUGGCAGCCCCACACGCGAGUGAGACUUUCCUGGACAUGUUUGGCACUCCUACUUUGUUGUAGAGGGUGCUAAGUUCAGUUGGAUAUGAGGAACCACCUAAGUACACUUGGACCGAGGCUGAGCAUGCAGGGGCCUUACCUUGGGUAGAUGUCCAAAUUACAGUUCCCCCUUGUCCAAAUAACCCACAGUGGCUAGGUUGGUUAGUUGACUGUGAUGGCCAAACUCCUUGGGAGGGUGCCCAAGUAGCAGCCCUGGAGGUUUUGCUAGAGAUUUGCCAAGAGCAUGGUGAUGAGCUUGUGAAUGGCCCAGCGGGAUCCGUUCCCAGAGUGAGUGUGACUGACACAUUUGUGUCCCAGGUUGGGAAUGAGUCUUUAGAGAUGAGAGAAACCUUGCUAGGAUAUAGUUCUAGCCCUGCCAUGAGUGCCAUGCUAGCGGUACUUAAGCUGUACUAUGUACGCCAGGACACCAACAUAGAUGCCAUGCUAGCGCUUCAACAAGCACAAGUUGCGCAGCGCAAACUGCGCAAGCGUGUGCGCAAGCACCGCAAGGCUUUUAUGGACGCACAAGCUGAAAUCCAAAACUAUCACACCGCCUUGCAAGCCCGCCGCAACCAAGUUGAGAAUGCAGUUAGAGAGCGCAAUGAGGCACAAGCCCGCAUGAUGCAAAUGACUAGAGAGAGAGAUGAGGCUAUGCGCUUGGCUGAAAAUAGAGAAGCUGCUAGAGUUAGAGCCUUGUUCCAUGCUGAAAUGAGAGAGGAAGAACUGAUUACUAGGAUUGCUGAGCUGCAGUUGGAUGUCCAUCGUUUAAAUAACAUUAUAAAUCCUAUCCCACAACCAGCCCCUUUUAAUAAUGAAGAAGCUCCUAGUGAGGAAGAUCAGCACGAUGGCAUCAUUUAUAAUGGAGAGUCUGAUGAAGAUAUGUAGCCUAGCAAUAAUUCUAUGAUCAUGUGUCAAUUUCCAUCUCUUUAUGUAAUGGACAUGUAAUCUGAAUUUUAGUUGAAGACUCUAUGUAUUUGGCCAUGGUGCCCCUCCUGUAAAACUUAAGUGUGGCAAUGACUCUAUGUAACCUUAUGCACAAUGUCGUUAAUCCUUGAGAAAUUGUGGUUGUGAAUGAACGCGAGAAUAACCAAGUAUCAUGGAAGAUAUUCUCUUAUUGUACAUGGAUUAUUGUGCCUUAAUUUCUGUGAAUUUACUUCAUUAAAUUCCGUAUGGCAGCAAUUGAAGUUCAUGACAAUUAUAUCCAUUGCCUGAAACAAUCGCUUGGUAUGCCUUGUGCAGAUGGCUCGCAAUACUCGCUCCGGUCACAACGAGGUGCCGCCACCACCACCUCCUCCCCCGCCUACGCCUACUGAGCUAUUGGCAGCUCUUGUUGAGGACCAGCGUAUGCUCAAUGAGGCCAUGCAAACUAUGGCGCAACAGAACCGGGGUGGUCGCCAUGCUCGCCAAGGCGGAGAGGCAAAUCAGUAUAGCAGUUUCAAGGAUUUCUAGGACACCAAGCCGCCGCUGUUCAAGGAGGCUAUUGAACCUCUAGAAGCUGAUGAGUGGCUUAACACUCUUGAACAGAAAUUCCGUUUGCUAAGGUUAACCGAAGAGCUAAAGGCGGAAUAUGCAGCCCACCAGUUGGAGGGCAAAGCAGGUGUUUGGUGGAGUCAUUACAGGACUAGCUUGCCCGCCAAUGCUGUUGUAACCUGGGACCAGUUCCAAACUGCUUUCAGGAACACUUAUAUCCCACAAGGCUUAAUGACUAUCAAGCACACUGAGUUCAUGAAUCUGACGCAAGGCACUAAAAGCUUGACUGAGUAUCUUCAUGCUUUUAACAAUUUGUCUCGCUAUGCUCCUGAGAUGGUUGACACCGAAGUCAAGAAGCUCGCUAGUUUCAAGAGAGGGUUGGGACCCAAGUUGUCCAAGAACAUGGCUGGUAACAAGAGUACCACCUUUAAUGAGUUUGUGAGUGACGCAUUGACUCAAGAGAACUCCAAUGCUGUGUAUGCCGCGUCCAAAAACCGCAAGAGGGCCUAUGAGGCAGGUGCUUCACAAUCCAAGGCUCCAGUGACAAGUAAACCGGCCUAUCGCCCACCCAAUGCUAUGACAAGGUACAGGCCGCCGCAGAAAAAGUCAAAUGUGAAGACGGGAGUGCGCAAGUCCUUCACCGUUGCUCUCCCAAGAGGUGCCACAGGUCAAGGAAGUCCCAAGACUCCUCCUGAUAACCGUCCCUGUUUCAAUUGCAAGCAAGUUGGUCACUGGGCGAGGGAUUUCCCUUAUCCUAAGAGGAAUGCUGCAGCUGGAGGCAAUAACCGUAUGGGCCGAGUAUACUAUACCACCAUAGAAGAAAUUCCUGAAGGUGAAGUAGUCACGGCUGGUAUGUUCCUUGUAAAUCAACACCCUGCAGUUGUCUUGUUUGAUUCUGGAGCUUCACAUUCAUUUAUGAGUCAAGCAUUCGCAUCUAAGCAUGGGCAACAUGUCAUCAACCUUGAUAGUGGCAAGUUUUGGAUUAGUGCUGCUGGUAAUCAAAUUGCUACAAACCAAGUAGUGAGGGAUGUACAAAUUACCAUAGAAGGGCGUAAUUAUUCAGCAAAUCUUGUGAUUUUACCGGGCUUGGGAAUAGAUGUUAUCCUAGGAAUGAAAUGGAUGAGUGAUCAUGGAGUGUUAAUAGACACUUCAACUAGGGUCAUCAUGUUGAGGGAGCCUGAUAGUAAGAAAGCUUUCUUAGUUCAACUCCCUAGAAGCAAUGACAUCCGUCACGCGGCCAAUGCUAUUCGACCACUCACUAUAGCAGAAAUUCCGGUAGUGUGUGAGUUUCCGGAUGUUUUUCCAGAGGACCUGCCCGGGUUGCCGCCGGACAGAGACAUUGAAUUUAAAAUUGAUCUAAUUCCGGGUACCGCACCUAUCUCUAGAAGGCCAUAUCGAAUGCCACCCAACGAGUUGGCAGAGUUGAAAAAGCAAUUGCAAGAACUGCUUGAGAAAGGUCUUAUUCGGCCUAGUUCUUCUCCAUGGGGUUGUCCGGCUCUCUUUGUCAAGAAGAAGGACAAGUCUCUGCGUAUGUGUGUAGACUAUCGUCCGCUCAACGGUGUGACUAUUAAAAACAAGUACCCAUUGCCUCGCAUUGAUAUCCUGUUUGAUCAAUUAGCCAAGGCUAAAGUAUUCUCCAAGAUUGAUCUGAGAUCUGGGUAUCAUCAAAUCAAGAUCUGACCUGAAGACAUUCCUAAAACAGCUUUCUCUACCAGGUAUGGGUUGUAUGAGUAUUUAGUCAUGUCCUUUGGUCUGACUAAUGCCCCUGCUCAUUUCAUGUACCUGAUGAAUUCGGUGUUCAUGCCCGAACUGGAUAAGUUUGUGGUGGUGUUCAUCGAUGAUAUAUUGGUAUACUCUGAAAAUGCACAAGAACAUGAGGAGCACCAUCGGAUUGUACUCACUAGAUUGCGAGAACACCAGCUUUAUGCCAAGUUCAGCAAAUGUGAGUUUUGGCUGACGAAGGUGCCUUUCCUAGGCCAUAUUUUAUCCGAAGAGGGUAUUUCUGUUGACCCGUCAAAGGUGUAGGAGGUUCUAGACUGGAAGGCCCCGACUUCAGUGCACGAAGUCUGGAGUUUUCUCGGUCUAGCGGGUGAUUAUCGGCGCUUCAUUCCAGACUUUUCCAAGAUAGCUAAACCUAUGACCAAGCUACUACAAAAAGAUGUGAAGUUUGUGUGGUCCGAAGAGUGUGAAAUUGCUUUCACCACUUUACGCCAUUUGCUGACCCCCGCUCCCGUUCUGGUACAGCCUGACAUUGAAAAGCCAUUUGAUGUCUUUUGUGAUGCAUCUGGCACUGGCCUAGGUUGUGUGCUUAUGCAAGAAGGCCGAGUUAUUGCCUAUGCUUCUCGGCAACUGUGGAAACACGAAGCCAACUACCCUACUCAUGAUCUAGAGUUAGCAGCAGUUGUACAUGCAUUGAAACUCUGGAGACACUAUCUGUUGGGUAAUCUUUGUCACAUUUACACUGACCAUAAGAGCCUCAAAUAUAUAUUCCCUCAGCCCGAAUUGAACAUGAGACAGAGGAGAUGGUUGGAGUUGAUAAAAGACUACAAUCUAGAAGUACACUAUCAUCCCGGCAAGGCCAAUGUUGUAGCUGAUGCUCUCAGUCGGAAACAACAUGUUAGACCUCUCUUAGAGGAAGGCUUCAAUUUAUUGCAUCCUGCGGUCCUGCACAACAUUAUAGUCAGUUGCUCAUUAGAGAGUCAAAUCAUAGAGCUCCAAAAGUCUGAUCCUGGUAUUUUUCAUAUCAAGAGAAAGAUGCAAGAGCAAGACACCAAGCAUUUCAGGGUAGAUGAGAAAGGUGUACUGUGGUUUGACGAUCGACUAGUUGUACCUAAAGACCGUGACCUACGAAACAAAAUCCUAGACGAAGCUCACUCUUCCAAAUUGUCCAUUCAUCCGGGGAGUAGCAAAAUGUACCAAGACUUGAGACCUCGUUUCUGGUGGACCAAAAUGAAGAAGGAGAUAGCAGCUUAUGUUGCUAGGUGUGAUACUUGCUGCAGGGUAAAGGCAGUUCACCUCAAACCUGCAAGUUUAUUGCAACCUUUGUCGAUUCCAGGUUGGAAGUGGGAAGAAAUCAGCAUGAAUUUCAUUGUGGGACUCCCCCUUACUCAAAAAGGACACAACUCUAUAUGGGUGAUUGUUGACCGUUUGACCAAGUCAGCUCAUUUUAUUCCUGUACACUCUACAUACCGGCCAUCCGACUAUGCUGAGUUGUACUUCUCUCAGAUAAUUAAACUGCACGGAGUGCCUCGCACUAUUAUCUCUGAUAGAGGUCAUCAGUUCACCGCUCGCUUUUGGGAGCAUCUGCAUUCACUCCUUGGCACAAAAUUGGUUCGCAGUUCAGCCUAUCAUCCUCAAACCUCCGGUCAAACUGAGCGUGUGAAUCAAAUUUUAGAGGAUAUGUUGAGGGCUUGUGUUAUAUCUUCCAAGGGUGCAUGGGAGAAAUGGCUACCGUUAGCUGAAUUCUCUUACAAUAAUAGUUAUCAAGAAAGCAUCCAAAUGGCCCCUUUCGAAGCUUUGUAUGGCCGCAAAUGUAGAACUCCUCUAAACUGGGUCGAACCAGGUGAAAGGAGGUACUACGGGAUUGACUUUGUCAAGGAAGCCGAGAAACAAGUUCUCACUAUUCAGCAACAUAUGAGAGCCGCCCAGGCUAGGCAGAAAAGCUAUGCUGACCGAAGAAGAAAGCCAAUUGAAUUCGAAAUAGGUGACUUUGUGUACAUAAAAGUAUCGCCCAUGAAAGGAGUAAAUCGCUUCGGCGUUAAAAGAAAGCUUGCCCCUAGGUAUGUGGGUCCCUACCGAAUCAUUGAGAAGAGCGGCAAGGUAGCUUACAAAGUACAACUACCUCCCGAAAUGAGAGCUAUUUUCCCUGUAUUCCACGUGUCUCAACUCAAGAAGUGUCUUCGUGUGCCCGAAGAGAGAGUUGAAACAAGAGAUAUCAAGUUGCAGUCAGACCUAUCUUAUGAGGAAUAGCCUGUACAAGUUCUUGAUGUUAAAGAACGGGUUACUCGUGGGAAGGUAAUCAAACUUUUUAGAGUAUUGUGGAACCGUCAAAAUGAGAGAGAUGCCACUUGGGAAAGGGAAGACUAUUUACAAGUAACUUAUCCCACAUUCUACGAAAAAUGGUACGUCUUUCAAAUCUCGGGACGAGAUUUUUGUAAGGGGGGAGGGCUGUAACACUCCUAGUGUUAGCUUGCAUGUUAACCAUAAGCAUUGCAUUAGCAUAAGCAUCAUCAUGAUCACUCAUGAGCAUCAUACCAUGAUCACAUGCCACUUGCUUUAUGCACUACAUGAUUAAAUUGCUUGUGUGACUUGAAUUGGGUGACUAUAAGGGGUAGCCAAUGCAAAAAAUUGUACAUUGUCUUCCAAAAUACCUCAAUCAUGUUUAGAAUAUCAUUUGGAACAAUGUUCAUGUUGAAGGUUUUGGCCAAAAAUGCCCCUAAGUCAUGGUUAACCCUAGAAUGACCUUUUUGACCCUCCUAGACCUCUUUUCAAAGAUGUUUUAUGAAACUGGUGUUAGAUAUCUUGCAUGUCUUUGACACCUGAAACAAAGUUGUAGAGAAUUUCAUAAGCUACAAAAGUUAUGUAGAUGACUUUUUAUGAAAAAGCAUAGAACACAUCCAAAAAUUGCUUAAAAGCCAAAAAUUAGGGCUGAUUUCACACUUAGCCGAAUUUGGCUAAGUGUUGGUUCACGCAGUUUCGACCAAGGGUGAUUGGGAGCCUUGUAGUUUGAAAUCCAGACCGAGUUAGACCUUGAUCUUGUAACAAAAGUUGUAGAACUCGUGUAGCUCUGUCCAGAGGAUCAAAUCCCAGCCAAAACCAUCGAUUGAGCUGAGAGUAAAACGUUGACAAAGUUCGAGUUUCAGUCACUGUUGGCGACGACUGAAUCGCGUGAUUCAGUUUCGUCAGAAACCGUCCGCCGCCGCGUGUCUGGCCAGGUGUCGGCCGUACGCCGUCGACGACCCCGCCUGUCAGCUUCCACGGCAUCCCUAAGUCACCACGCACCGAGUGGACGCCUCAGACGCGCUCUCCACUCGCUCAGCGCUGCACAUUUCGCUCCGCCAUCGCCUCAGGAAGCUCCGCCGCGCUUCGGCGAGCUCCUCCGGUCGUUCCACCGCGUCUCCGGCCAAGCCACUCCGCCCAGAGCUCCGCCUUGACGUCCUCUACCUCGACGUCCACUCCAUUCCCUUAGCCGAGCACCGGUGAGGUCACAUUGUCAUCUCCGUCGCGAGCUCCACCUCGCCGGAGUUCACAGAGAUCACCGGCAACGUGGCCAGACCUCUCUGGUUCACCUCUGGCCGUGAUUCUUCUUCCUAUAGCUUCGCCUUGAGCCGCUCUUGCUCGUCCGCAACCUCUACUGCGUCGCCAUUGCCUGGAUCCGCCGGCGUAUCGCCGCGCAGCGCCGCCGCUCUGCCAUUCCCGUCGGCGAGCACCCUAGAGUCCAGUAGAGCGCGCGUAAAGUAGGUCAACAGAGUCGCCUUGAGGAGAGGAACACGUAGGUGCCCUUGGAUCCGGCCGAUCUCCCCUGCCUCUGUCUCACUGACACGCGGGUCCCGGAUGUCAGCCUCUCUGUGUCAGCCUCUCUGGUUCACUAUUGUGCAGAGCCAAAGCUGUUUUUGUAAAAUUCAUAUCUAGAGUUUUAGAGAUCCAAAUGUGGUGCUUCCAAUUUUGCUAGGUUCCAGCUUAAGCCUAGUUUUUAAUAAAAAUAUGAAACUUGCUAUGUUUUUGCAGAAAUAAAUAGAUAUAAAUUAAUCUUGGAUUUUCAGUGGGUAAUUUUAUCUUGAGAUCUAUUGAUCUGCUGGCCAUGCAAAUUUAGGGAGUUGUUACUUAUGUUAUGAAUAGGCUCUGAUAAUUGUUUCAUGAUUUUUGGAAGCCUAGUUAAGAAGUUAAAAAUAAAUCUUGCUUAAAUAGGAGUUUCUUGUGAUAUUUUUAGUAAUUAAGUUAUAACUCCUUUUGUGAUGAAACUUGCUGAGUGUUGCACUUAUCUGUGGGCAAAGCUAGGAAAAAUCUGAAAUCUGUUGUUUGACACUUUUUGAUAGGGUUUCACAUUUAUGCCUUGCAUGCCUUUACUAGCUUGUUAUUUUUAUACCUCACAAUGUGUAUGUGCAAAUGUUCUGAAAAUUUUACAGUGAUCUUAUGUUAGCAUAAGUAGCUUGCUGUAAUUGUCUUAGGAUUUUUGGAACACAUGAAGUAUAUGUUCAUUAAAUCACCUUAAUAAUUAAAUAAAUAGAAAAGGUGAUGAUAGAAAUAGUUUUAGACCUUUCCAUGGUGUUUUCUGGUGUUCCUUAGAUAUGUUAUAUCUGUUGGUGCAAUUGGUUUAUCCCUGUGGUACAUUCUCAAUAUAUGCAAAAUAUUAUUUUAGCUAUUAUUGCCUUUCCUAGAGCAUUUCUGUACAGCUGAUAGCAAAUGAUUAAGAACUACUUGAAGAUUGUGUUUUCUGGGAAACUUGUCUACAACAAACUUGUAGCUAACUUACUGAUCCUUUUCGUGUCCAAAUUUCAUGACAAUUGGUUGAGUAAUUUAAAAGUUAUGCAUAUUUCAAGUAGCUGCUGCAAAGUGCUUGCUCUCUGGAAUUUCCAGAGCAGCCAGCCAACUUUGUAUGUUUUAGCAUAUUUCGGUUGGAAAUCAUACUGAGAUGUCUAAAAGUAAAUUGUAGACAAUUUGUUAAGGUUUCCAGAAAGUGCUUACUUGCUUAAUUUGGUUAAGUGAUACUCGAGAUAUAGCUGAAACUUGUGACUGGUUGGUUUGCCUACUAAACCAGUGACUGGGUAAGACUAGCUAGGACUUGUUUAACUUGUCUAUUUAGUCUCUCUACCAGAAAAGAAGUAUGCAUUUACUUGUUAUUCCAUGACUCACUUAUUCUUAGAAGUUUAUGCUCAUGUUAUACCUUGUUUAUGUCCCUUUGGCUCUUCAUCAUGACAUCAUGCAUCAUAUGUGCAUUCUCUAUAUUCAUCUCCUUGUCAUGCAUACAUAGGUGUACCCAAGGGAGUAACGGUGCUGGAGUUCGAGCUGCUGGAGCCGGAAGGACAGCAAGGGGAACUACCUCAAGGAGUUGAGGAGGAGGAGGAGGACUUGCCGGAGUGCCCCGACCAUCGUCCCUCUACUUACGUCGAAGGCAAGCCCCGGAGCAUUAUAAGCCUCCUACUAUUUUAUUAUCACAAUCAGCUAUCAAAUGACUAUGCUUAUAUAUUGUUGCAUUAAGUGCCAGGCGUUGAUAUGACACCCUUGCUGCAUAAUGACUACCUUGUCCACCUUAAACAUUACCGAAGUAGGUCCAGGAUCGAAGUGAUGCUUAGCCAUGCUUAGCUCGGUAGAAGCCGGGUGAUUUCCUGUCACCUGCGAGAGUUAGGUGGAUGAUGAUCACGGUUGGCUAUAAUUGCUAUCGUGUAGAUAACCAGUUGUUAAAAAUGAACUUGAGACCAGGCGGGAUGACGAUAGUGCAGCAACAAGGCAUGGAGGUCUUGGGUGUGAAUCUAUCCCCGUCUGCGUCGUUUAAGGACCGAAUCGCUGUACGUCCCCGUGUCAUGUUGAACGCAUGCCUAUCACUUAGUUGGCCGGAUAAGUCGUUCUGACCGCGAAGCCUACGAGUGCAAUUCAGGCCGGAUACCCCAUUCUGUAUGAGUGCGCACCCCGGUUGGUAGCAAGGAUGUGCGGAGAGUCAAUGGCGUAAGACCGAGGUGUCAGGUUAGAGUCCUAACCCUGGCAGAUUGGCGGUCCCUGGGGGUGCGGCGCUGGACGGACCCGCGAAUUGGUCCGGAGUUGUGCUAAAGGUGAUCCGAGCUGCCGUCAUGAAGUAUGCUUGGGUGAGUGUUAGGAAUACCCCUCCAGCUGGAUAGGAAUCGAUUCGAAUCGCCGUCUCUCCUGGAUAGUGAGAACUUGACUUGGGCAGCGGCAACGUAGAACUCACUAAGCAAACAUAAUGGUUAUGAUGAGAAUGUUGAUAGCAAAGUGAUAAUCCUAAUAUGGUUAUUAUUGAAUUGAUUAAUUACUCAAGUGUAUGCUUAGCACAGGUGCUAAUCUAGUGGAUAGCUGCUAAGUAAUGAACUUGCUGCUGAAAUAUGAAUAAAUGAAUUACUUAUAACAAAGGCUUUUAUGCAAAAAGUGAGUCAAACCAGUCCACUAAGAUCAGCCUUGCAUACUCCUUGGUGUCACUUUAUUUCUGGUUUAUGACGGGUAAGUCUAGCUGAGUACAUUCUCGUACUCAGGGUUUUAUUUACCCCUGUUGCAGAUGAUGUCGUCUAUCACGGCUAUUGUGCUAACUGUCAUCACCCAGCUGCGGAUGAUGAAUAGAUCUUGGGCGUGAUCACUCUUCUACCUUCAGUUAUGCUUUUGUGGGGAUUGACCAUGGAACUGGCAUGUAUUAAGAACUGAGUUGGAGUUGUUUCAAAACUACUUUGUCUUCCGCUACUGCUAUGGUUUGUAAUAACCUUUUCAAACUCUGAUGUGAUGUAAAACUGUGUUGUGUGUUGAAUGUUGUAAUCUGUGAUGGUGAUGCUUGAUCAUGUACGAUCUUGGUUGUACGUUGGUUGAAUCGAGGUCUGUUGAGAUUUCGUCGGACUACCGGGUUUAUAUGGGUUCAAGUCCAUUGGCUUGACUGCCUCAGUGGUCGCUAAUUCACUUGAAUUCUUAUAAAUUGGACGAUUUUGUUACAAAAGGUAGGUCAUUUAAAAGUCCUAAUUGUCAUGGCAGAGUGGCAGCCCUGGGAGUGCGGCGUUGAUCGGAGCCGCAAUUCCUGAGUCAUACCAAAGGUGACCUGCUUGCUCUCCAACGGGAGAUGCAUGGGUGAGUGCUAGGAAUAACCCUCCAGCUGGAUAGGAAUCGAUUCGAAUCGCCGUCUCUCUCGGAUAGUGAGAACUUGACAGAGCAGCGGCAAACGUAGCAUUCACUAUGUACUCAAUGGUUCUAAGACGAUGAUAAUGAUGGCAAUAAUGAACAAUUUGAUAAAACCUGAUAUGGUUUUUAUUGUGUGAUGUUAAUCAAGUGAGUGCUUUAGUAUAGGUGCUAAUCUAGUGCCAGGUUAAUGAUAAUUAACUUGAGGCUAAUAAGAAUGGUUUAUUUAUCCAACUUAAGCUUUUUAUGCAAAAACAUGUCAAGCCAGCUCCACUAUUUAAAGUAAGCCUUGCAUGACUCUUGGUGUCCUUGUAUUGGUUAGAUGAGUAAGUCUAGCUGAGUACAACCUUGUACUCAGGGUUUAUUCCCACUUAUUGCAAAUGACAUCUUCUAUGACAGUUUCUACAAGACCUAUCUUCACCCUGCUAGGGAUGAUGACUAACCGUUGGGCGUGGUUCUCUAAGACUUCGUACCUAACUUGCUUUUGGUGGAUGUGAUGAGACACUGGCUGCAACAAUAAACUUGUGAUGUUGGAUUGAAAACUAUGUUGCUUCCGCUACUAGGAACUUGUUUUGUAAUAACUUAAGUGAACUCUGAUGUGCGUCGCUUCCUCGACCUUGUAUGAAAUGCUAUAACAAUCGAUGUAUUAUGCUGAACUCAUUACAAUCUUGGUUUGUUGCCAAGUUGGUUAGAAAUCCUUCAAGAUUUCGGUUGACUAUCAGGAUUAUAUGGGCUCAAGUUUGGAAACUUGAUUGCUCUGGUGAUCAUUUCUACACUUGAGCUCUUAUAAUUUGGUCAGUUCUAUGACACCCUAUGGGUUCAUGUACAUGUAGACAUGGGCCAAGUACUCCUACUCGCCCAACAGUUGACAGCGGCCUCUAGCAAGGUGUGACAACUCCUAUACGCAUGCAAGGAUCAUAUCAAACAAACCACUACAUACAUAUACAUUUUAUUCCCUUGCCACAUGAUAUUUGGUCCAACUCGUGGGUUAACACUUAACCCAAGCAUGGCCAUGCAUUUAUUGAUCCAAUCACUUGAGUGAUCUAGUGAUAUCUCUCUCACAUAGAGAGGGGCAAGUUUCAUCUUGAUCAUCUAUGUCUCACAGCAUGUUCCCCGACAAACCCGAAGACAACCUUUGUAACUACCCUAUUACAGAGCAGCGUUUAAUAGUCCCUAAGUAGGUCGUUUCACAUUUGAUAACAUACGACAAUCUCAGGUCUAAUGACAUAAUGUACAUGAUGUAUAAAGAGAUAAUAAGAACAUCUCAUGUUGGGUCAGUCCAGCCCCAUGUCAUACAUGUGCCCACAUUAUUAGUUUGACAUCUCUAUGUCUAUGACUUGUGAAACAUAGUCAUCAACUAAUACAUGUGCUAAUCUAAUAUUCAUGUAUGUCCUCACACGAACUCUGAUUAGGGACAACUUUAGAAUAAUCAUAUAAGUAAAAGAGUUUCACAAAUAAUUAACAUAAUUAUCAAUCAAUACAAGUUUUUCUAUAAUAGAUAUUCAUCGAACUCAUAAUAGAUUUCAUGGAUACAACCGUAAUAUCAUAAUCUCUAUGAUUACCUCUAGGGCUUAUUCCCAACAGUGUGUUAAUCCCAAAUUUUGGUGAGACAAGGAACUGCCUGUGGGCCCGCUUCAUGGGAAGGAGGAACGGCCAGAUAGUGGAUUGACUAAAUAGAAGUGUGGAGGAAAGUAGUCGAUCAAGGGAUGUCAAACCAAGGCAAGAUAGAAGAAGACGUGUCAGGUUUUAUUACAAAGAAGGAAUUGGAGUCCGAAUUACCUUUUUGAAUAGUCGUGUAAUAUUAGGACAUAUGACUAGGUUCUAGGGCUAUAAAUAUUAGAACUCGAUCCUUGUAAUGAUAUAAUCAACCAAAAAAUACAAACACUUUUCAGCUCCGGCCACCAACCUUAGGAGUAGGAGUAAGAGUAGAUCUCGACAAGAUCUUCGAUAAAUCGAGUUGCAUCAGUUGAUUUUGACCAUCGGUUUGCUUGUGAGUAUUGUCAUGGUUCAUGUUUAGUUUAUCACGACUGCAUCUUUCAAACUCGUGUUAAGCUCAAUUUGAACUAGUUAUCGACUUAGAUCUUAUUUGUAAGGCUGCAUUAUUUUAAUCUCUUACAAAGACCGAUUUAAGUUAAUUUUUGGCUCUAUUGAAUUGACAAUUUAAUAGAUUCAGUAAGUUAUCAAUAUUGUUUAACGUUUAACGUUUUGUUCAUUAUAGCAAUAUUCUGCCCAAUCAAGAUUCAGCAGAUUAGUUCAAGCUUUAAACAUAAACACUUGUUGCAAAGUUUAAAUAAAUAAUGAUUAUCAAGUAAAUUUAAGAUAACUAAUAUGUUGUUCUUGAUUGUUGAAUGUUAUGUGUUUGGGAUAUUUAUUUAAUCAUGAUUAAUUUGGUAACAAAACCAAAUUUACUUAUGGCGAAGUAAAUAGAUCUCGUUCGUGUUUCAUGGAUCCUAUAUCGACUAAAUAGCCGAUCUAGUUAAGCUUGAACGAAUAGCGCAUAUGUGUAAACCCGACUAUAGAAUUAAAUAAAUUAGUAAAUUGUGUUAAAUUUAUUGUAGCCUGCUGGACUUUCGAGCAGGUGAAUAUAAAUUUAAUAUGUUUAUGAAAGUAACUUAUUAAGACCUUAGUCCUUCAGACCAGUGUUGACGGUCGAUAACGUCAACUUUUAUUAGAACUUUAAACCCGAAGGACAACAUGAUUACACACUAUUAUAGGGUUUAAACUAACAUUUUGCAUGAGUUUUGCAUAUUCUAUGUUUUCUAGGGUUGAUUUCACACUGAAAAGAGGGAUUCUAGUGCAUAUUUACCACGAAACUCAUCCGCGGCAGAAAAUAUCAUCAUCAGGCUCAAAAAGGGUCUAGAAAACACCCGAAGAAACGAGAGCCGUGGAAGAGGAAAGGUGGAGCCAGCAGGCCCCACCCUAGGACUAGUCGGCGCCCUGUUUUGCUCGUUGCCCGCCGCCUUCUGGAGUCUUCCUCCUAUGCAUCCUUGGAAGCCAAGCAAAGUAUCCAUCCAUCAAUUUUAAGACAGUUUGAUCCGACGGUGCACACAAGACGAAGACGCGGAUCGCUGACGUGGUGGUUCUUUGCCCCCUACUCCACCUCGACCUAUAUAAUGACGCCCAAAGCUCCCCUCAAGAGGCAUUCUACACCCCGACGCUUCAUAUUCUCUACAUAAUUAGGGUUAGGGUCCCUCUAGUUGUUCUAGUUCUAGUUCAUCUAGAUCUAGUUCAUCUACAUGUAGCAAUUAGUUGAGACUAGUUCUUCUAGAUCUAGUCUUGUUUAGAGAUUAGAGAGAUUUAGUAGAGUAGAGAUUCUAGAGGAGUUCUGGCCUAUCGGUGCUUCUUCAUGGUUGUAUUCUUCUGGAUCCAGUUUCUCUCGCCCGGAGCUGCGUUCUUAGGUACUUUUGUACUUACCCUUCUGGUAUAAGUAAGCAUCUUGUUCUUAUUUAUUCUUUGGUUCACAACUCAUAUUGAGUGCUUUGACAUUGAUCGUAACUUGGUUGAAGUAGUGUUUUAUAGUGUACGCGUGGUGCCUAGGCUAGGUUUACUUGUGAAUAUCCCCUAAUCAGCCGGAUAGUGGUAGUUCGCGUAGGUGACUUUAUAGCUACGUUGAUUCCUCUAUAGUCCACUUCCCGUUGAUAAGAUUGAUAGGCUUAUAGAUGCCUGAUAUGGGGUUACACUGAUUCUCCCCCUAUUCGUGUUACUUGCCCUAUAAGACGGUAUUAUACAAAGUUUACCGGAGUCGGAACCAGAGUGCAUUGAUAUUUACUUUUUCUUGAUAUGAUCUAGCCUAAUUGUAGGGUUAAGUCUAUAUACUUUGUCAUCAUCACAACUGUUCCUUGUGGAUUCGAUAUUUAAAACCUCUAGGUAAAAUGUGAUGCUGGUAUGAUAUAUUUGCGCUUGCGGAUAAUCCUAUUUAAAUCUAUUUAAAUGGAGUGUAGUUAAUUUAUACCAACAAGUAUUUUUGGCGUCAUUGCCAGGGAACAAUUUGUUGGUUUUGAUUUAGUCUAGCUUACUCUUGUAUUAUACUUUUAUAUUUUCCUGUUUUUAUCCUAGUCUCUUCAUUAUUUUUGUGUUCAUCCUUAUAGAUGUUUUUAAUUAUAUUGCUAUUUAUCUUUAUGGCAUGUGCAAAAGCUUAAAGCAUAAACCUUAUCAUAAUAUCUAUAAGCUAUGCCCAUAUCUACAUAAUAUAAUAAACCCUUCUCAAUUAUAUCAUGGGAUCAUUAAUCCUCACCUUGGUUUGCUGGGCCCCAUGUUUAUUCAACAUUUAGGAUCCUACCAAGAGUUACAUGAAAUCCCUUGAUUUAUCUUCUCGAGAGUUCUUUCUUAUCUUUUAAAAAGCAAGAUAUUAUGCUCAAAAGAGUUGCUCUAUCUAUUUCUGAACUCCCCAAAAGAAGAAAAGAAUUUAUUAUCUAAACUAAAAAUAGAAGUCUUGAUAACUAAAAUACAAUCAUAUCUUUCUUAAGAUUUAGCUAUCAAUCCUAAAUCUUCAAAAUUCCACUUUAAUGAUUUAGAUUUACAAUUAGCUAAGAUGCUCAUAAAUUAAUGCAUAUCAGAUCUUCUUAGAAGAGUAUCUUGGAAAAAGCAUCAUCAAUUUCCUUUCCUUCCUAAAAAGACAUUGGGACAAAUUCAAGGAUGGCAUGCCAAGUGAUGCCAUAGAAGGAGAGCCAAGCCACUUAGAAAUAGAUUCUAUCUUCUCCCCUUCUAUGGCCAUAAACCCAUCUCUAAACCCAUCCUUGACCCCAAUGAAUCUUUUUAUGCUCCUUCUACUAAUCUUCAUAAUGACCAUAGAAAUCCAUCCAGACAUCCUAAGAAUAGGAGUCAUGAAAAUUAUAGGAAUACCCAAGAAGAGCAACAGCAAUAGUAGGAACACAUAGAACAUAUUAGAAAUACCUAUGCUAUUGUCAAAGAAUGGAAGAAGAUGAAGUUUUAACACUAGCAUCUAAACUUGGUCUAAAUUCAAAUGUUAAUCUUAAAUUAAUUUCUUUGAUAAAUAAAACUCACCCCAGUUUAGAGAAAGCUUUAGAUGAGACCAACCUUAUGGACAUCAAUUCAUGGGAAAUCCUAGAAAAUAAAAUAUCUAAUAAAUGUCAUAGGCAUGAAAUAAUAGAGACAAACUUAUUGCCUGUAGACAACCAUGAAGAGACACCCUUGGAGUUUGAAAAGGGAGAUCAUAUUGUCGAGCAUAUGAAUUAUUUCAUUAAACACCCUAUCAGACCCAUGCUCAUAUGAGAGAUCUCCUGGAUCAAUUAGUAUCUAAUAUUAAGCUCCAUCAUUCCUUCAUUGAUAUGUCAUGCUCUGAAAUCUCUGCAAAAUUCUUGUCAGGUGACAGGAGGAGCAUUGUUGGGACGAGAAACUUGAUAUGACUCCCAUCAGGUCUGAGCUGCUCCCUGAAGUUAUCCAUAAGCAUAUAACACCUUUUCCAUAUCAUUGCAUUGUGAUAUAUUCAGUUGUCUCUGCAUAGCACAUAGCCAACCAUCUACCUCCAUAGGAUCAACUGAGUGAGUAAAUACCAAAGGUCUUCCCUUCAUAAAUUUCUCAUGCUUAUCUCUCACAUAAACAGGUAGUGGGGUGGUGGUGGUUGUUGACACUAGCUAACACCACUUAGAUACUGGGUUGUCAUCCCUAGCAUGGCGCUAGAGUGUACAAAGGUAUUUAUAAAUGUAAAGGCUUUUUAGAAAAUAAUCUAUUCUAUCCGCAAGCGCACAGAUAAAACACCUCAUUGUAGCAUUUCACCAGGAUAAGUAUUCCAGGUAUCGUUAUUUAUAAUUUUGCUCUAGGGAUCUAAAGAAGAUGGAAUUAAAUCAAGGGACAAAAUCUAUCAAGGCAUAGACUAGAAAUAAACUUGCAAGAACAUGAUUACUAAUGAGAAACUCGUCACACAGUCACUUACUUUAGCAGGGGGUAAACCAUAAAGAUAAUGAUAAUAAAGUAUAAGUUCAUGGGUAGAUAACACAGCGAUUAGAAAAUAGACUACUCCUCAUAUAUGUAGGUGAUGUCGGAUUAGCUAGAGAAUGGAUUCUAAGUUAUCUACUAACUACUAAGUCAUAAUCUACUCUAGUUAUCUACAAGAUCAUAUAUAGCAUAAAAGACUCUUCAUUCAUGUAUAAGGAACAUUGAUCAAGUAAAUCAGAGCAUCGCAUGACUUACUCCACAAUACCGGUUCUGCCUGUCCUAUCAACGGAGGGUGGACUAUAUAAGAAUCAACGAAGCUGUCACUAUCGCGAACUACCACAUGACCCGGCCAAUAGGAUACAUUUGCAGAUAAAUAACAUCUAAGCACCACGCUCACAUGUGAUCUAUCACCUAACUCCCUCGCGACAAGAGCUAAGCGCGUUGCAAACUUAUACAUAAAAUCAUUAUCAAUUAGAACUAUAUCAAAUAUAGAACUAGAGCAAACUAAGAACAUAAUAAUUAAAGACAUAAUGCAAUUAGAACAAAGAAUUAGAGAAAGAUAUGAAUAAUACCAAUCUUUAUUACCGAAGAUCCGAAUCCAGAGCGUAGUGCUCUACUUCUCUAAUUGCUAUCUAAUCAACCUCUAAACUUGAAGGAUUAGGGAGUAGCUAAUUCUAAUUCUCUAUGGGAGAGAGAUCUAAACCCUAACUUUGAUGGCUACCUCUGAAUAAUGAUUUCUCCUCUCUCCUCCAGGGGCCAGGGGGUCUGGUUUUAUAGUCCCCUCAAGUGAACGUGAGCCAUUGGAUCAAACCGACAUAGAUUGUAUGGUUUAGAUUGAUCCUUUAGGUCAGUGGAGAGUUGUCCCGAAGCAGAGUCCUGAUUGGCUUCCUGGCCAGGGCGGGCGCCCAAGGGGGGUGGGCGGCCGCCCAGCUCCCGAGCCCGAAUCGCGUCCCGUUCGUUCCCGUGGCUUCUGGAUCCUUCUAGAUCAAGGAAAAUUGCGCGGCACGUAAUUAUCUCGUUGUAAACAUGACAUGUGGGCCUUCUCUCCCUAUUUUCUGAUAAACCCCUGCAGAAAUAGAUAAACACCAAAGCUCGUGGAAUUCUGUCAGAUAAAACCCUAAUUCUAGAUGUUUGUUUCAUAUUGAUCCUUUUUCAUGUUUAUUUGAUUAUUAAUUUUAGUACUUAAGGACCGUCAACAAACUCCCCCAAGCUUACCCUUUGCUCGUCCCUGAGCAAACAGCUAAACUCAGACGGAUCAGGAGUUGCUUCGAUGUUUUCUUUCCUGACAGGCACACAUGCUUUUACAUAAAAAUUCUUCCAGAUUAUAGUGAAGUGUUAUGGAGUUUAGUACCUGCACUUAAAUCUUAAGUAAUCAAAAGACAAAAUAUUUAAGUCAAGCACUAUUCCUCCUGUUUAUUCUUCACCUUUGUUCUAGAGUUUUUCAUAAGUUUUCAAAAUAAAACUCAGAGUUCCCAGCAAUGAUUCUCUCAAGUCUCUCUAUAUGUGGUAUUUGUGGAUCCUUACCAUAAUGUCACUUUCCUAUAGCUAAUAGAAUAUUUAAGUGGAGCUCAUAGGAGUGGAAAACAGCUCAUACAUAUGUUGUCUAAUCGAGCCAUGGAUCCAAAGGAACUCAGCAUAUAAUUAAAUCAAGAUGUGCAUGUGUGAUGGAGUAAAUGAUAGUGAUGGUGAAAAUGCAUAAGUGAUAAUAAAACUUAGUUCUCAUUGCUCCUCAUAUUGCUAUCUCUCCUCUUCUUUUUGAUCUUUGCUUUGGGAGAACAUGGGCUAUCUUUUUUUUUCUUUUUUCUCUUUUUUUUCAGGUGGGUAAUAGAUACCCCUAAUUCUACCGUCGGACACUUGUCCAUUUUUUCCGCUCAAGUGGGCAUCUUUGUACCCCUAAUUCUACUUCGGACACUUGUCCAUUUUUACCUCUCGUCUUACUCUUUUUCCUUCUUUUUUUUUGAGGUUCCGGGCACUUGCCCCUUUUUAUUUCCUCGUAUAUAUUUUUGCAUAACCCAUGCCUCUUCUGCAUUGAAUCUUUUUAGAGAGAGAGAAUAACAAUAUUCGGGACAGUGAGUGAUAAUAUUUUUAGCAAUUUUAAUGAUUGGUGAUGAAUGCUGUGGUAGAUGUGUGCAAGUGAAUAUCUUAAUUUAACCACAUGAAAAGCUCCUAAGGGUCAACAAAGCUCGAUCAAACUCAAUGUAAAUAUAGUAAAAGAUGUUAUAGCAAGUAUGGCUGUGGUAGGUAGUUUGUUAUGCUAGGAACUCAUCAUGUGAUUUGUGAGUUUUCAAAAUAAAUCUCCAGAACUUAGUGUAGUAGGAACAAGAUAAACAGUAGCUCAACUUUAUAUCAUGUCUUUCUCUUACCUAGACUUUAGUUUUAUGCUUCCCAAAGAUAGUAAUUUUAGUUUUAGUCAUUCCUGGAAGAAAUAUAAAAGCUAGGUACUUGUAAGUAAGCAAACAGAGCAACUAUUCAUUAUUUCCAUCAUGUAUAUUUUUGGUCUUUUUGUUUUUCUAGAGAUUAAACUUAGCAGGAAAAUAAAGCACACUUAUCUACACACUCUUUUUAUUUUGUUUUCAUGUUUAUAAAGUGCAGUGAAUUAAAGCAAGAAAAUAUUUAUAUGGUUUUCUAAGUUUUCUUUUAAGGUAAAUUAAAUACUAGAAUAGAAAAUAAUAAAUAAGAAGAGCAAAUAAAAACUUACUUGAUAAAUUAGGGAGGAACUCCCCCAAGCUGGAUGUUGACGUGGGUCUUACCCGAUGUUCCAGAACCGCAUCAUGGUUGUGAUGUUGUCGUUCAUUGUUGUUGUAUCUUGUCUCAGCUCUUCUACUACAGCGGCAUGGUCCUAGUUCCAUUUUUGUUGUUCUUUCAGGAGUCUUCCAUGUUCUGCUUGCGUGUUCUGGAUGUCGAGGAGGGUGUUGUCGGUACGAGUGAAGAAAGCACCGGCCUCUUGAUAGUAGUCAUUCGUGAAAGCGUAGGAGGCGUCGGAGUAUCGUCCUGUAUCAAAUUGGGGCGAAGGUCUGGAUCCUGAAGAUCCAUAUGGAUCAGAGGAGUACCUGCCCGUAUGAAAAGGCGGGUUUGUCCACUGGUGAUCUUGGCUCUCCGGCCAUGUCUCCUCUGUUGGCUCUUGUGGUUGCGCAUGUCGAGCCCAUGGGUCUCGAAGGACUUGUGGAUUGUAAUCGCAAUAAUGCAGGUGUGCUGCUUCUUCUGGUCCAGGGUCAGCUCCAUACCAAGUGCGUUCUCGGUUGUCACACCCAUAUUUUAAGAGCAAAAUAGGAUGCAUAAAAGACUCAUAUGUGCCCCAGAAACAGUCGCACACAUAAGUAGACAAAUCUCAAAUGUACCAUCGCAGUGUUUAUUACAUAGCGGAAUAUAAAAUAUCACAUAGUCUCAUACAAAAAUGAUAACAUAAAGUAAACAACGCUCUCAACGGAAGCUCCACACAGGGACACUGUUGACUGGUUGACUCCAAACCUAGUACUCAUAACGGUAGUCCUCAUUCCAGUCAUCUUCAUUAUCAUAUCCUGAGGUGUUGGGAAAUUGCAAGAGUGAGCACAUAUCGUACUCAACAAGUAUAACCAGGGGUUCAUGAGGCUCAAAUAGCUGACACUGGUUUGACUGCAUUUAGCUUUUAAUAGUGGAUAGCAUGUUCAUAAUUAAAUAGCAAUUCUCAAGGUAGCAUAAAUAAUCAAUUAAUCCCAUGAUCAAUGUAAGCAUAAUUAACUCAUAGCAUAAACAAUAAUCAAAUGAACAUAAUAACAUAACAAGCUCAUCAUCUUAAUGUAGAUGUCCCCAAGGCCGCUCCUGACCGUGAGCUCGGCUAGUAUACCAGUUUUACACUCUGCAGAGGUUGUACAUCUUUACCCAUGAGUCAUGAUUUACCCUUUCGCCCGAGGCCCGUCGACCUCUUAACCCACUACCAAGGAAGGUCGGCAGGGAUCACUAUGAAGCCUUUCAAAAGUUCGUCUAACAUGUUAGGGCCGCAAGGUUUCCUUUGCGAGCAGAUAUAGAUACCCCCCUUCCGAAUGGCACAAUGACGCGCAGCCUAUACACAUAGGGACAGGGGCUCGCACUAUACCCGUGUCGGUUCAGCCCCUCUAGCGCCCUUUCGGGUAACCUCUAACAAGCUAGAAAAGGUCUUCAUACUGAGCUAAAGCCAGAGCCAUAAUAGCCCUCAUGGUUGCACUGUUAUCCCGGGUGAUCACGUACAGACAAGAUCUCAUGUCGUUAUUUGUCAUUCUUUUAUGUUCAUUGCAUAGCUAUUAAUCAUCUUACAAGAUCAUGGAUUAUAUCAAGCACUAGCACAUCUACUCCAAAUGCAUAUCAAGUAGGUAGCAAGGAAUCCAGGUAACAAUCAUCUAUGAUUUUGCUAAGGUCGACAAGGUGAUAGCAUGCAUAUGACAUAUAUGUGUAGUUAUAAGUGAAUAGGUAACAAGGAUAAUCCCAAGUUAUACUUGCCUUGCUCAAAGCUCUCCUGAGCUUGCUGGUCCUCAAAAGCUUGGGCUUGGUCACCAACGUACGGCUCACCGUCUAAUCCCAAUCAUCAAUCAACAACACGCAUUCCAAUGGAGACAAUCAUACACAAAGCAAACAAGGUAUAAUUAGAACAUUACACCAAACAGUGGUAAAACAAAUAUAAAAGUUUAUCAAAAUAUUCUACGCAGCGCUACGAUCACACAAACGUAAAGUUCACGAAAAUCGGAAUUAAAACGUGAGAGAUAUGAAUUUUCUAAGAUUUCCUAUAAAGAAAUAAUUAAUUAAAUACUACUGCAGAAUUAAAAAGUUUCAAAACAGUAAACUAAUAUUUCUAACAUGUAGAGAUCGUAAAUACGAAUCCAACGGAAUUUGAAUGGAUAAAAACGGAGUUAAAACGAAUAUUUUAUGAGCAAAACAAAAUCAGUGGCAAACUUGUAAAUAGCAGAAAAAGCAUUUUUUUUUUAAGCGACCGUCACCAGCUCCGGUGCGGUGGCCACCAUGGCCGGAGAGCCGAAGCUCGCCGGAGCUCCUCGACUUCUCCUUUCCGAGCACCGUUUUUUGAAAGGAAAAUACCGGGAUGAAGAGGAGCUCACCACGAUCUCGUCUAAGCGCUUGGUUGGGUCCGAGAGAGAACGGAGAGGGCUUGCCACGGAGAGGAACAAGAUCGGCCACGCCGAGAUCCGAACUCCAGAGAAUACGGCGACUAGGGCUCGGUUUCACAACUUGGAUGCAAAGAGGGAGCCGCGGGGUUUACCUAGGGCUUUAUAGGGGCUUGAUUUGCACAAAAGGCAAGAGAAUCCCGCUGUUCCCGGGAUUGAGUCGGCCGGUUCGUGAGUCCGGGUCGACUACGAACAGAGGUAGGGGACGAGCGUUUUUUUUUUUUUUUUUUCUCAAAUCUUUUUUUCAAAAAGGAUUUUGGGGACAAUUAAAUACAAACCAAAUACAAUCAACACAAAAUAAACUAUGUCUCAGCAUGAAUGCACAUAAUCAUGUUACUAAGCUUAUGAUAAUUUUUAAUUUUCACAAAAAUUGUUUAUUUGCUACAUUAAAUGCUCACUAAAAUUCUUAAAUAACUCAAAUUAAAUCCUAUUAAUUCCAAAUCAAAUUUUGGGUGUUACAAACUCUACCCCCCUUAAAAGAAUCUCGUCCUCGAGAUUGAACGGUGCUUACUCGAACAGAUAUGAGUAUGACUUCCUCAGAUCAUCCUCUCUUUCCCAAGUUGCCUCCGCUUCCGAAUGCCGAUUCCACUGUACUUUGCACAUUCUGAUGACCCGACUUCUGGUGACUCUCUCUGCUGUCUCCAAUAUUUUGACCGGAUGCUCUUCAUAAGUGAGGUCACCUUUAACGGAAAGUUCUUCCAAUGGUAACUGCCCCUCAGGUACACGCAGACACUUCUUGAGUUGUGACACAUGGAACACAUCGUGCACACCAGAUAAACUUUCCGGCAAUUCUAACCGAUAUGCUACUUCUCCACGCCUUUCUAAAACUUUAAACGGACCAACAUACCUUGGAGCUAGCUUUCCCUUCAUAUUAAACCUCUUCACACUCCGCAUAGGUGACACUUUCAGAUAGACAUAAUCACCCACUUCAAAAGCCAGCUCUCUCCUACGCGUAUCUGCAUAGCUUUUCUGACGAGAUUGAGCAAUUCUCAAGUUAUCCCGAAUAGUCCGCACUUGUUGUUCUGCAUGUCUAAGCACAUCUGUCCCAAACACCUGAGUUUCUCCCGUCUGAUUCCAAAACAAAGGUGUCCUGCACUUCCGACCAUAUAGGGCCUCGAACGGUGCCAUCUUCAGACUUUGCUGAUAGCUGUUGUUGUAGGAGAAUUCUGCAUAUGGCAAACUCUUGUCCCAACUAGCCCCAUACUGCAAAGCACAAGCUCUCAACAUAUCCUCCAAUAUCUGAUUGAUCCUCUCAGUCUGUCCAUCUGUCUGUGGAUGAUAUGCUGUGCUGAAAUUCAACUUGGUUCCCAAUGAAUCAUGCACUGCUUUCCAAAAGUGAGAUGUGAAUUGAGUACCCCUAUCUGACACAAUCUUCUUAGGUACCCCAUGCAAACAAACAAUUCUCUCCAUAUACAGCUCAGCUAGGCGUUCUCCAGUGUACUUAGUUUUAACGGGUAUGAAGUGAGCAACUUUGGUCAAACGAUCUACUAUCACCCAUAUUGAGUCAUACCCUCUCUGUGUACGUGGUAAACCCACUAUAAAAUCCAUACCCACUUCUUCCCACUUCCAUUCCGGAAUCUUCAUUGGUGCAACAGUCCAGNNNNNNNNNNNNNNNNNNNNNNNNNNNNNNNNNNNNNNNNNNNNNNNNNNNNNNNNNNNNNNNNNNNNNNNNNNNNNNNNNNNNNNNNNNNNNNNNNNNNNNNNNNNNNNNNNNNNNNNNNNNNNNNNNNNNNNNNNNNNNNNNNNNNNNNNNNNNNNNNNNNNNNNNNNNNNNNNNNNNNNNNNNNNNNNNNNNNNNNNNNNNNNNNNNNNNNNNNNNNNNNNNNNNNNNNNNNNNNNNNNNNNNNNNNNNNNNNNNNNNNNNNNNNNNNNNNNNNNNNNNNNNNNNNNNNNNNNNNNNNNNNNNNNNNNNNNNNNNNNNNNNNNNNNNNNNNNNNNNNNNNNNNNNNNNNNNNNNNNNNNNNNNNNNNNNNNNNNNNNNNNNNNNNNNNNNNNNNNNNNNNNNNNNNNNNNNNNNNNNNNNNNNNNNNNNNNNNNNNNNNNNNNNNNNNNNNNNNNNNNNNNNNNNNNNNNNNNNNNNNNNNNNNNNNNNNNNNNNNNNNNNNNNNNNNNNNNNNNNNNNNNNNNNNNNNNNNNNNNNNNNNNNNNNNNNNNNNNNNNNNNNNNNNNNNNNNNNNNNNNNNNNNNNNNNNNNNNNNNNNNNNNNNNNNNNNNNNNNNNNNNNNNNNNNNNNNNNNNNNNNNNNNNNNNNNNNNNNNNNNNNNNNNNNNNNNNNNNNNNNNNNNNNNNNNNNNNNNNNNNNNNNNNNNNNNNNNNNNNNNNNNNNNNNNNNNNNNNNNNNNNNNNNNNNNNNNNNNNNNNNNNNNNNNNNNNNNNNNNNNNNNNNNNNNNNNNNNNNNNNNNNNNNNNNNNNNNNNNNNNNNNNNNNNNNNNNNNNNNNNNNNNNNNNNNNNNNNNNNNNNNNNNNNNNNNNNNNNNNNNNNNNNNNNNNNNNNNNNNNNNNNNNNNNNNNNNNNNNNNNNNNNNNNNNNNNNNNNNNNNNNNNNNNNNNNNNNNNNNNNNNNNNNNNNNNNNNNNNNNNNNNNNNNNNNNNNNNNNNNNNNNNNNNNNNNNNNNNNNNNNNNNNNNNNNNNNNNNNNNNNNNNNNNNNNNNNNNNNNNNNNNNNNNNNNNNNNNNNNNNNNNNNNNNNNNNNNNNNNNNNNNNNNNNNNNNNNNNNNNNNNNNNNNNNNNNNNNNNAUCAAUAGUGUCUCCAAAUCUUCAAUGCAUGAACCACAGCUGCUAACUCCAAAUCAUGAGUAGGAUAAUUCAGUUCAUGUUUCCUCAAUUGUCUAGAUGCAUAAGCAACAACUCUACCUUCUUGCAUGAGAACACAACCCAAACCCAGACGAGAAGCAUCACAAUAGAUAGAGAAACUCUUACUCAGAUCUGGCAAAACCAACACAGGUGCAGUAGUCAAUCUCUUCUUGAACUCCUCAAAACUAGCUUGACACUUAUCAGACCAUACAAACUUAGCAUUCUUCUCUAACAGAGCUGUCAUAGGCUUUGCAAGUUUUGAGAACCCUUCAAUGAAUCUACGAUAAUAACCAGCCAAACCAAGAAAACUGCGUAUUUCACUUACAUCAGUAGGUGGUUUCCAAUUCAACACAUCUCUCACCUUACUAGGAUCCACUGCAAUACCACCAUUAGAGACAACAUGACCAAGAAAAGAAACUUCCUCCAACCAAAACUCACAUUUACUACGCUUAGCAUACAACUUAUGUUCUCUAAGUUUCUGUAAGACCAAUCUCAGAUGUUCAGCAUGUUCUUCCUUGGUUUUAGAGAAUACCAGAAUAUCAUCAAUAAAGACCACCACAAACUUAUCAAGAUACUCCAUAAAUACUUUAUUCAUCAUGUACAUAAAGUAAGCUGGUGCGUUGGUCAAACCAAAGGACAUAACUGUAUACUCAUAUAACCCAUACCUUGUUGUGAAAGCUGUCUUUGGUAUAUCUGAAUUCCGAAUCUUCAAUUGAUGAUAACCGGAACGCAAAUCAAUCUUAGAGAACACACAAGCACCUCUUAACUGAUCAAAUAAGUCAUCGAUCCUAGGCAAGGGAUAUUUAUUCUUGAUAGUGACCUCAUUAAGUGACCGAUAGUCAACACACAUCCUCUGACUACCAUCCUUCUUAUCAACAAAGAUAACUGGUGCACCCCAUGGUGAUGAACUAGGACGAAUGAACCCUUUAUCUUGCAAUUCCUUAAUUUGUUUCUUAAGUUCUUCUAGUUCAUUAACCCCCAUUCUAUAUGGUCUUUUAGCUAUGGGUGCAGUACCAGGUAGUAAUUCAAUAAUAAAUUCAAUGUCUCGGUCAGGUGGCAUACCUGGCAAUUCAUCUGGAAAGACAUCCGGAAACUCAUCCACUACCAAAUUCUGAGGAUCAACAUCUUCAUUCAGUUGGUUCACCUUGGCUGUGAGUGGUGCUUGCACUGUUACAUUAACACUGAUUCGUUCUCCCUUUGGUGUUGUCAGAGCCACUACUCUCUCUUUGCAAUUAAUAUUUGUUUCAUGUUGCUUCAUCCAAUCCAAACCCAAGAUCACAUCUAUGCCUGAAGUUCUCAUAACCAUGGGACUGAUAGGAAAAUCUACCCCCCUUAACGAAAGACUUGCCGAGGGGCAACAUAAAGAAACUGGUAUAGUCCCACCCGGUGAAUUAACUAGCAUAGGAGUUUUCAUUGCAACUAGUGGAAGGCUAUGAACUCUAACAAAUGCUUGUGAUAUGAAUGUAUGCGAAGCUCCAGAAUCAAAUAAAACUGUAGCAGGGAUAGAGUUGAUGCUGAACGUACCCAUCAUGAUUUCGGGUCCCUCCUGAACAGUUUCUGCUGCCACGUUGUUCACCUUUGCUGAAUUAGGAGUGGAUCUCCGGUCGUUGUACUGCGGAUUAAACUUCUCUGGGCAAUCAUAGGACAUAUGUCCUUCUUUCCCACAACGGAAACACCUGGUAGGAGUGUUAGAGGCACUUCUUUUUGUGGAGUUGGCAUUUGGGUUCCCUGGGCGAGGUGCCUGCUGGCCAUGCUGCUGUUGAUUAUGGUUACGUUGUUGGAAUGGAGGACGUUGGUUCCCACUCUGUGACUGAUUCUGGAAACGCUGGGGUUGUUGGUUGCGGUUCCACUGACUAACUAGUCCCUGGAACCUCUGCUGAUGACCUUGAUGAGAACUGAAACGCUGACGGUUGUUGCUCCCAGAACCUUGUGCCAGCAUCCUUCUCUUCUUAUCCUUACGUGCAUCACAGUUAGAAGCGCGCCGCACACGAUUCACAAGAGCCUGGAAGGUAGGAUAGGUGUUUCCAGCCAACUGCAACCUGAGUUCAUAGUACAAGCCCUUCAUGAAUAGACGCUGCUUAUCAGCAUCUUCCCUGACAUCAUUCGGAGCAUAGCGAGCCAACUGUUCAAAUGUGUCAUGAUAUUCUGCCACAGUCAUGGAGCCCAUCCUGAGUGAUCUGAAUUCUUCUUGUUUGAGCUCCAUCACUCCUUCAUUUAUAUGUCGAGCUCUGAAGUCCCUACAGAAUUCCAGCCAUGUGACAGGAGAAGCAUUGUUGGGGCGAGCAGCUUGAUACGACUCCCACCAUGUCUGAGCUGCACCUUGAAGCUGUCCAGAAGCAUACAACACCUUCUCCAAGUCGUUGCACUGUGCUAUGUUUAGCUGCCUCUCCACAGCACGUAACCAAUCAUCUGCCUCCAUGGGAUCAGCUGAGUGUGUAAAUACCGGAGGUCUUCCCUUCAUAAACUCUCCACGCUUGUCCCUCACAUGAAUAGGUGGUGGUGUCGGUGGAGGUUGUUGCUGCAGGUGCUGCAUGAAAACGUGCAUCAUCUGAUUUUGGGUUUGCAUGAGUUCCUCCACGGUGAUUGGGGCAUUGCCACCAUUACCAUUGUCAUUGCCAUUGCCACGGCCUCUGCCUCUGCCUCUUCCUCUUGCUGCCAUCUGCAUUCCAAGGUAUAUAAACACAUCUUAGUAAUGCCCAACAUGACAAUUACAAGAGUUAACCGAAUCUGAAAUUUUCUGGGUAACAUCCAACGUCAGCAGGUCAGAAAAUCAGUAAUAUCUCGAGUUCCAGAAUUCAAAAGGAUACAUACUGUACACCGUUGGAAAGAUAAAGAAAUUGUCUACAACUUUCAUUUAGAUCAUAUCACCAGAUUCCAACGUGAGAUUAACCAAAAACUGGGUACAACCGAAACUGUUCCAGAAUUCCAGACUGCGCAGAAACCUCAACUUUAAACAGUCAUAACUCACAGCUCAUAAUAGAUAAUAUGGUCAUUCUUGCGGCAUUGGAAAUAUAUGAAAGUCUACUUUUUCCCAGAAAAAUUUGAUGAACAUUGCACGAGCAUAAUUUGAUUUAUUCCAGAAUCAUUGCAGACUGGUCCAGAAAACAGCAAAAGACAGAAACAGGAUAUGACCCCAAACUACUAUUUAUUCAUGUUCUUACUUAAGGUUCUUAAUUAGAGAACUUGUGGACAUGCCCACAAAUUCCCAGCACUCAUUACAAAAAUCCAAAUCACACAUAUUCAUAAUAACAAAUCAGCAAGCACACCAAGUUCACACCACACUAGCAAAAGACUCUAAAUAACUCGCAACUACUAACGUUACUAUUACAUAUGGGUUCUUUUCUAUUCUUCGGGUGCAGCAUCCUUCAAGAUGGGUUCAACAUGCAGCCUCUUAUGAAGUUUGGGGCGGCCUAACUCCGCUCGAAGGUCAUCCGCUUCCCUUUGCUCUUUCUCCAGCAGCUUCCUCUCACGGUGUAGUUCAUUCUCCAACUCUAUCACCUUGAGUGUCAGCUCAUAAGUCAACUCCACUUGUGCUUGAAGCUUUGGUUGUGAAGCAUCUGCAACUUCUAUGGCCCAAGUCAUCUUCUCUGGUACAAAGCGAGGAUAGUGGUAUGUUGCAUUGUACUGAACAUCCUCAAAGCGUCUACCACGGUAAAAGAUCAAUGCCUGGUAAGCUGCAUCUGCCAUGCUCUCUCUCAUCGUGUCCCGGCUGAUUCGAGCGAGGUGUUUUGAUUCCACCUUUCGAAUCCCCUUGGUGGCAUCCAGUGUCUUGACUAUCAGCUCUGCAACCCAAAGUGAUCUCUUCAGCGGGUGUUUGUGCUCAGUGCAGUUAUACUCCAGUGUGGCCUGCAAAUCCGGGUAAUGGUGUUUCAAUGUCAACACCAAAUUCUCAUGGANNNNNNNNNNNNNNNNNNNNNNNNNNNNNNNNNNNNNNNNNNNNNNNNNNNNNNNNNNNNNNNNNNNNNNNNNNNNNNNNNNNNNNNNNNNNNNNNNNNNNNNNNNNNNNNNNNNNNNNNNNNNNNNNNNNNNNNNNNNNNNNNNNNNNNNNNNNNNNNNNNNNNNNNNNNNNNNNNNNNNNNNNNNNNNNNNNNNNNNNNNNNNNNNNNNNNNNNNNNNNNNNNNNNNNNNNNNNNNNNNNNNNNNNNNNNNNNNNNNNNNNNNNNNNNNNNNNNNNNNNNNNNNNNNNNNNNNNNNNNNNNNNNNNNNNNNNNNNNNNNNNNNNNNNNNNNNNNNNNNNNNNNNNNNNNNNNNNNNNNNNNNNNNNNNNNNNNNNNNNNNNNNNNNNNNNNNNNNNNNNNNNNNNNNNNNNNNNNNNNNNNNNNNNNNNNNNNNNNNNNNNNCACAUUAGUUAGCUCAACAGUCACAAAGCAAACAAGGUAUAAUUAGAACAUUACACCAAACAGUGGUAAAACAAAUAUAAAAGUUUAUCAAAAUAUUCUACGCAGCGCUACGAUCACACAAACGUAAAGUUCACGAAAAUCGGAAUUAAAACGUGAGAGAUAUGAAUUUUCUAAGAUUUCCUAUAAAGAAAUAAUUAAUUAAAUACUACUGCAGAAUUAAAAAGUUUCAAAACAGUAAACUAAUAUUUCUAACAUGUAGAGAUCGUAAAUACGAAUCCAACGGAAUUUGAAUGGAUAAAAACGGAGUUAAAACGAAUAUUUUAUGAGCAAAACAAAAUCAGUGGCAAACUUGUAAAUAGCAGAAAAAGCAUUUUUUUUUUUAAGCGACCGUCACCAGCUCCGGUGCGGUGGCCACCAUGGCCGGAGAGCCGAAGCUCGCCGGAGCUCCUCGACUUCUCCUUUCCGAGCACCGUUUUUUGAAAGGAAAAUACCGGGAUGAAGAGGAGCUCACCACGAUCUCGUCUAAGCGCUUGGUUGGGUCCGAGAGAGAACGGAGAGGGCUUGCCACGGAGAGGAACAAGAUCGGCCACGCCGAGAUCCGAACUCCAGAGAAUACGGCGACUAGGGCUCGGUUUCACAACUUGGAUGCAAAGAGGGAGCCGCGGGGUUUACCUAGGGCUUUAUAGGGGCUUGAUUUGCACAAAAGGCAAGAGAAUCCCGCUGUUCCCGGGAUUGAGUCGGCCGGUUCGUGAGUCCGGGUCGACUACGAACAGAGGUAGGGGACGAGCGUUUUUUUUUUUUUUUUUUUUCUCAAAUCUUUUUUUCAAAAAGGAUUUUGGGGACAAUUAAAUACAAACCAAAUACAAUCAACACAAAAUAAACUAUGUCUCAGCAUGAAUGCACAUAAUCAUGUUACUAAGCUUAUGAUAAUUUUUAAUUUUCACAAAAAUUGUUUAUUUGCUACAUUAAAUGCUCACUAAAAUUCUUAAAUAACUCAAAUUAAAUCCUAUUAAUUCCAAAUCAAAUUUUGGGUGUUACAUCGGUGAGUGGUUAUCCUUUCAGAUGCCACUCGCUGUGGAGUUCUCUGGUUCACUGGUGUUGCUGCAAUCUCAAUCAAAAAUUUUUGCACAGAGUAGAGGCUAAGGUUCGGGUUAGGUAACCGAAUCUUGCCUUUAUCAUCAUACAACAUGUACAUUAUAUUUCCCUCUUUCUUUAACAUCCGAGCUUGUCUAAAUGUGUCAUAGCCAUGAUAAAUUCUUAAUUCUUCUAUGAAGUCCAAUGAUGAGUUUUCUAGUAAGUGAAGAUUAGUGGCUAGACGAGUGAUAAGUGAAGUACACCCUACUGGUCCCUGCAGACUAGGUAUACUAAGCCAAUGUGAAACUAAUAGUGUAACAGGUGAAGUGGGUACUUUACUAAUAGCAGCAUAUAAAAGUUGUAAAUCUCCUACUCUUAAUUUCCUAAUAUCGUCACGAUAGAAAAGAUUGUACCCAAGCCAUUUGUGAAACAUCGUGAGAGUGGGGUGUUCCAUGUCACUGGUUCGGGCUUGACUGUAAAAAUUAUCUCUAGAUAUUUCUCUCCAAAACUGGUGUCUCUCAAAGUUGGGUAAAUCGGAGUCAAUGUUCAGGAUGCAUCUUGAAGAGAAACCAAAAUGGUCACUCAGCUCUCUCCAAGACAACAUAAUUUCCUGUUUGAACAUCCGAAAAACAAUUCCCCCCUCAUAGUAUUGUAAGGUGCAAAGAAAUUCGAGGGUGAGAAGACGAGAACCUAGCUCAGUUAUAUUCCAAAAAUUUGUCCAACCCAUCAUUUGAAAAAUUAAGUCAAAUUCAGUGUCCAUACCUGUUUCUCGUAGUAGGAUUGGAUCGAUAGUAGGGGUGUGAAUGAAAUCCUUGUUCUUCAGUUGCUGAUAGACUUCCUUCUCUCUUCGGGUCUUCAGUCCUAGGUCUCCUAUCUUGAGAAGGACCUUAACUUGCUGACCUGAUGAAGAUGAUGGAGCUUGUGUGGGUGUCGGGUCGACGUUCAUCUCUGAUGGCUGUGAGGAGUGUCGGGAUGAACUCCUUGUACCAAGGUUCUUGAUAGCCUUCCCUGCAUUCUUCACCUUCUUAAACAUCCUGCAAAAUUUGGCAAAAACACAACUGGUGGAAAAUGUAAGAUAAAAUGUUAGUGGUUAGCUGUCCGGAGUGUCAGUAGUCCAGGGGUUAAUCGUUCAAGACAAGUUUCUAUUUUGGUAUAGCCUCCCCCUAAACAACUUUUACUUCCGCUUAGACAGCGGGAUCACUACUUGCUAGGUGACAAUCACUCUCUCAAAAGAACUCCAACCUUCCCUUCCACUCUCCUCUUUCUCUCUACCCUAUUCUCUUUACUACAAAAGUUCCUCCUCAGGAAACUGAGAUUUGUGUGGUUUUCUGAAGUGUUUGUGUGAAGAGAAGGGAAACUGGAGGUGACCUUUUAUAGGCUAAGCAGGGGACAGGGCGGGCGCCCAAGGUAGGUGGGCGGGCGCCCACCCCUGGUGUCCAUCCUGGGUGUGCCUCCUCCAUAUGCUUCCUUGCUUUGAUCUCACGCAGAAUAAUGUUGUGUUGGUGGUGGUUGGACGGUGGAAAGAUGUCAGGUGAGUGGAAACAUAUUGGUGGAUGAAAUUAUGUGAUGGGAUAUAUGUGAGAUGAAGUGUAUGACAUGUUGGACCCAAAGAGUGUGGGUCAUGCUUCUAGAAGAUCAAUAUAAAUAAAUAUAAUGCAGGAAAAUCUAUGAGAAUUGAAACUUAAUGAUAAUGGAAAAUAUUUUUGUGCCUCCACAAUAAUUAAUAAAUAUGGGUUGUUACACACCACGAAUAUUAUUUAUAUGGGGCUUUUUGAUUAUUAUAAUUAUGCUAUGACUAAUGCAAGAAUUAAUUAUGCAAGAAUUUAAAUAUGAGAAAAUUAAUAAUGCGGGUAAAUACCGAUUUACCUCCCGGUGAGGGUUUGGGAUUUUUAGGUCCCCCAAGGUGGACCUCCAAAUCUUUUAAUCUUCUGAGUUUCCUUCCUCCGGAGAUGGUGUCUCCAGUGGUUCUUCAUGAACUUCCUUCACUGUAGAGUCUCUCUCUGGUCUGGGUUUGAAUGUGAAGUGUUCUUCUUGACCGUUUAUGUUGAACUUGAUUUCUCCUUUCCCGACAUCAAUGUGGGCAUUGGCAGUGCUUAGAAAUGGCCUUCCAAGGAUGAUGGACACUUUUGAGUCAGGACUCAUGUCCAGUACUACGAAGUCUACUGGCACCAGGAAAUCUCUGAUCUUGACUGAAAUGUUCUCGGCGAUGCCCAGCGGGUGUCGAACCGAUUGAUCCGCUAGUUGUAGGCACAUUGAUGUUGGUUCUAAGGUUGCAUGCUCAAGCUUUUUGUAGUCUGAUGCUGGCAUCACACUGACACUUGCUCCGAGAUCACAAAGUGCAUUGUUGAAGUGUUGGUUUCCGAUCGAGCAAUCAAUAGUGGGGCAUCCUGGAUCUUCCUUCUUUUUUGGUAGUUUGUUGAGGAUGGCCGCACUACAUUCUUCUGUCAGCUUGAUAACCUCAGUGGCGGGCAGUGGCCUCUUCUUGUUAAGAAUAUCCCUGAUGUACUUUGCAUAUGUAGGUACCUGUAUGGCAUCGAGCAGAGGUAUGUUGACAUAUAAUUUCUGAAUGACCUCUACAAACUUACCAAACUGCUCAUCCGACUGCAGUCCUCUGUUUCUUCUAGGAAAUGGCAAAUAGUUGGUGUCGUAAAAAUCUUUCCUCAUUUCUCCAGUUCUUGGUGGUUGUAGCAGAUCUUCUGCUUCAACUGGGCUUUCUUCUUCUAUCACUGCUGGUUGCACUGGUGCUGAUGUUCUUUGUUUCUCUUUUGGGUAUGGUGGAUCUCUGGUAGCUUUACCUCCUCUAGUAGUUAUAUUCUUUACCUGCUCAAGGUUAGUAGCAACAGGCAGUGCAACAGCUAAUUUUAUCAAUUUAAGCUCUACCCUUUUAUUAAGAGUGUUUUGCUCAUCAAAGGCAGUUAGUAGAAAAUCCAUUUUAUUGUGUAUAUUUUUUAGAGAUGAUUCAUUUGUAUCUAGCCUUUGUUUAACUUCAUCAUUAAUUUUAGUUUGUUGAGCAAUUAUCUCUUUUAGUGAAAGUUGCUUGAAAGUAUUACCUGAAUUCAUACCUUUGCUAUUGGGUUCACUCGAAGUUGGUUGAUAUUUGUAUGCUGUCUCAAUGGCCCUUUGAUCUUCUUUGAACUUGGCCCUCUGGUCAAUCCAAUGGAGCAAAUUUUCCAUCUUAGUUGAUAAUGCUUUUACUUCUUCUGGUAUUUCUUCAGUUUGAUGACAUUGUUGAGCUUUAUCUUGGAACCAGCUUUGGUUUUCUGCUAUCUUAUCCAAAAGUAUCUCUGCUUUUCCAGUUGUAAGCUCCAAGAAUGAUCCUUUAGCAGAUGCAUCUAGGCACUCACGAGCCUUCUGGGUUAAUCCAUGGUAGAAGGUCUGCAUAAGUAACCAUGUGGCCAUUCCAUGGUGAGGACAAUCUGAUACGUAUCCUUGAAAACGCUCCCAUGCUUCUGAAAUGGCUUCUGUCUUCUGCUGUUGGAAACUGACAAUAUUUCCUCUUAAGGCAGUUGUUUUGCCUAUAGGGAAAAACUUUGAUAGAAAGGCAUCUGACAAGUUCGUCCAGUUGUUGAUAUUAUCUUGAUGAGUGUAGAACCACAUCCUCGCUUUCCCUUCUAGUGAGAAUGGAAAAAGACGAAGCAGUAUGACGUCUUUGUCAACUCCGUUGAUGUGGAUUGUGCUUCCAAUCUCUAAGAAAUUCUGCAAGUGUGCACUGGCAUCUUCAUGUGCCUUUCCACUGAAUUGUGUAGCUUGCACCAAAUUGAUGAGGCUUGACUUGAGCUCAACCUCGGGUAUUCCUUCUUCUACUACAAAUCUUGGACCGGUUGGAAUGUUGUCAAGACUUGGAGCAGAGAAUUCUUGCAAGGUCUUUUGUGCCAUAGCUUCAGCAAUUGGUAUCUAGCUUCUUCUUCUCUAGAUUGCUUUGGUUCUGAUGAUGAAGAGUUGAAUGUACCCAAAGUCAAUCCUGUUAUACCCUGUAUAAAAAUAUAAACAUAGAAAAACAACAGGGUGAACCUGCCAAAGCAGCGGUGCCUUGUUAUGAUUUCUCACUUAGUAGUUGUUGUAUGCAAUUAUUUCUCUAUAGUUUAGUCUAAAAUUUUAUAUGAAUAACCUUGAUUGAUUUUCUGGAUUUCCUUAAUAAUACCCUUCUGUUCCCUUUUAUGACUUAUUCCUGAGGCUCAUAUAAUUCCUAUAAUGUUCUAUAAUUCCCCGGCAACGGCGCCAGAAUUGCUUGUUGACACUAGCUAACACCACUUAGAUACUAGGUUGUCAUCCCUAGCAUGGAGCCAGAGUGUACAAAGGUAUUUAUAAAUGUAAAGGCUCUUUAGAAAAUAAUCUAUUCUAUCCGCAAGCGCACAGAUAAAACACCUCAUUGUAGCAUUUCACCAGGAUAAGUAUUCCAGGUAUCGUUAUUUAUAAUUUUGCUCUAGGGAUCUAAAGAAGAUGGAAUUAAAUCAAGGGACAAAAUCUAUCAAGGCAUAGACUAGAGAUAAACUUGCAAGAACAUGAUUACUAAUGAGAAACUCGUCACAUAGUCACUUACUUUAGCAGGGGGUAAACCAUAAAGAUAAUGAUAAUAAAGUAUAAGUUCAUGGGUAGAUAACACAGCGAUUAGAAAAUAGACUACUCCUCAUAUAUGUAGGUGAUGUCGGAUUAGCUAGAGAAUGGAUUCUAAGUUAUCUACUAACUACUAAGUCAUAAUCUACUCUAGUUAUCUACAAGAUCAUAUAUAGCAUAAAAGACUCUUCAUUCAUGUAUAAGGAACAUUGAUAAAGUAAAUCAGAGCAUCGCAUGACUUACUCCACAAUACCGGUUCUGCCUGUCCUAUCAACGGAGGGUGGACUAUAUAAGAAUCAACGAAGCUGUCACUAUCGCGAACUACCACUCGACCCGGCCAAUAGGAUACAUUUGCAGAUAAAUAACAUCUAAGCACCACGCUCACAUGUGAUCUAUCACCUAACUCCCUCGUGACAAGAGCUAAGCGCUUUGCAAACUUAUACAUAAACUCAUUAUCAAUUAGAACUAUAUCAAAUAUAGAACUAGAGCAAACUAAGAACAUAAUAAUUAAAGACAUAAUGCAAUUAGAACAAAGAAUUAGAGAAAGAUAUGAAUAAUACCAAUCUUUAUUACCGAAGAUCCGAAUCCAGAGCGUAGUGCUCUACUUCUCUAAUUGCUAUCUAAUCAACCUCUAAACUUGAAGGAUUAGGGAGUAGCUAAUUCUAAUUCUCUGUGGGAGAGAGAUCUAAACCCUAACUUUGAUGGCUACCUCUGAAUAAUGAUUUCUCCUCUCUCCUCCAGGGGCCAGGGGGUCUGGUUUUAUAGUCCCCUCAAGUGAACGUGAGCCAUUGGAUCAAACCGACAUAGAUUGUAUGGUUUAGAUUGAUCCUUUAGGUCGGUGGAGAGUUGUCCCGAAGCAGAGUCCUGAUUGGCUUCCUGGCCAGGGCGGGCGCCUAAGAGGGGUGGGCGGCCGCCCAGCUCCCGAGCCCGAAUCGCGUCCCGUUCGUUCCCGUGGCUUCUGGAUCCUUCUAGAUCAAGGAAAAUUGCGCGGCACGUAAUUAUCUCGUUGUAAACAUGACAUGUGGGCCUUCUGUCCCUAUUUUCUGAUAAACCCCUGCAGAAAUAGAUAAACACCAAAGCUCGUGGAAUUCUAUCAGAUAAAACCCUAAUUCUAGAUGUUUGUUUCAUAUUGAUCCGUUUUCAUGUUUAUUUGAUUAUUAAUUUUAGUACUUAAGGACCGUCAACAGUGGUGCAGGUUGAUGCUGAAGGUGCUGCAUAAAAGCAUGCAUCAUCUCAUUCUGAGUCUGCUUGAGCUCUUCCACAGAAAUUGGGGCAUUGGCAGCCCUACCACGGCCUCUGCCUCUGCCUCUUCCCCUUGCUGCCAUCUGAAUUCCAAGGUACAGAAACAUAUCUCAAUAAUAUCCAACAUGUUGAAUCUGAAUUUUUGUAGGCGAUAUCCAACAUUAGCAGUUCAGAAAAUCAGUCAUAUGUCGAGUUCCACGACUCAAAAGGAGACGUUCUUUACACCGUUGGAAAGAUAAAGAAAUUAUCUACAACUUUCAUUUAGGUCAUAUUAACACAUUCUGUGGUUAAAUUAGCCAAAAUAGGGUAUAUCCGAAACUGUUCCAGAAUUCCAGACUGUGCAGAAACCUCAACUUUGAACAGUUAUAUCUCACAGCUCUUAAUAUGUAAUAAUUUCAUUCUUGCGGCAUUGGAAAGAUAAUGAAGUCUAGUUGUUCCAAGAAAAUUGUGAUGAACUUUGCAUGAACAGAAUUUGAGGUAUAUCAGAAUUAUUGCAGACUGCUUCAGAAAUCAGCAAGACACAGAAACAGAAUUUUGACCAAACCCAACUAUUUAGUUCAUUAAUCCUUAUGCCUUAGGCCUGUAAACUAUAUGAUUGUGGAGAAAAUCCACAAGAUCAUUACACUCGUCACAAAGAACCAAAUCAAGCAUAAGCAUAAUAACAACCAAACCAAGCAUUAAAGGUUUACACUUCAAGCAUUGACUCAACUUGCGGUACUAUCGUUCUCUUCCUAUUAAGGGUAAAGAUCCUAAAACUCCUAUUUUAAUGACGCGAAAAAGUGGUAAGAGAAUGUUCUAAAAGCAUAUCAAGGCAAGGAGUGAAGGUAAGAACAAGUCUUUUAAAAUAAGCAACAAGGUAAAGAUGAAUAGUAGGGAAAAGAUAUAGUGUAGGAUAAAAUUUAAAGGUUUAUAGAACUAGGAUUUUAUAGCAAUUUUGAAAACUUAAGAUGGCCAAUUUUUAACUAGGCUUGCGUUCAAUAGUCAAUAAAGCUUUGAUACCAAUUUGUCACACCCAAAUUUCAAGAACGAAAUAGAGUGCAUAAAAGAUUCAUGUGCGCCCCAGAAACAGUCGCAGAAGUUGACAAACCUCAAAUAGUACCAUCACAAUGUUUAUUACAUAGCGGAAUAAUAAUUAUUACAUAGUCUCAAACAAAUAAAGAUACUCUCAAUGGAAGCACCACACAGGGACACUGUCAACUGGUUGACUCCAAGCCUAAUACUCAUAACGGUAAUCCUCAUUCCAGUCAUCUUCUUUAACAUAUCCUGAGGUGUUAUGAAAUAGCAAGAGUGAGCACAUAUCGUACUCAACAAGUAUAACCAGGGGUUCAUGAGGCUCAAUAAGCUUAUACUAGUCUAAUUGCAUUUAGCUUUUAUAUGUAGAUGGCAAGUUUAUAUUUAGAUAGCAAAUGAAAAUGUAGCAUAAUUAAAUCCCAUAACCACAUGAUCAAUGUAUACAAGAAUUAAGAAUAACACAUAUAAAAAACAUAAUAAACCAUCAUUUAUCAUCAUUAAUCAUGUUUAUCAGUGUCUGUGGGGGUAUAAACCCCUACACCCUCACGGCUAGACUUGGGCCAGGAGGCUUGGCCCAUUACGAGACAAGUUCGAGGCUUGAUCCAACCAUUUGGAGUUUUGCGCAAGGAAACAAGACGUGGAGAUCAAGCAGGAUUCUAUUCGGUUAGAAUAGGAAUUGAUAUCAAACUAUCUAUGGCAAUUGUAACCGACUAGGAUUAGUUUCCAGAUCUGUAACCCUGCCCUCCAGACUAUAUAAGGAGGGGCAAAGGACCCCCCUAGAAUAUACUAUUAUCUCAACACAAAUCAAUACAACAAGACGCAGGACGUAGGUAUUACGCGCACACGGCGGCCGAACCUAGAUAAAAAGCUUGUCCGUGUCUUGCGUCACCAUCAAGUUCGUAGCUUGCGCACCGUCUACCGAUAAACUACUGCCGUGGGUAUACCCCAAGGCACACUGCCGACUAGCUUUCGUCGACAGUGGCGCGCCAGGUAGGGGGUGUGCGUACAGCUUUUCCGGCGAACAAGAUGGUCAUCGUUCCAGCUUCCGCGGCCGUGCCUGAAGGCCUCACGUUCACUGUCGGCCAGAUUACGUGGACGAGUCACGGCGGCGGUCUCACGACCACGGCUUCGGAAGAAACCCAGAUCCGAUAUGGGACCACGACGACAUCGGCUCCGACCACACUGACACCGAGCACUCGACCACCGCUUCCUCGUUACAAGGGAAAGAAGGUCGACGGCUCGGAUCUCUUCCGGGCCCUUGAUCGCGCCGAUCUCAAGCUUCUCGAAGCUUCCCAACUAGUGGAAGGGAUCUCGCGCCAGUCUGAUCAAGCCGCGCUAAUGGACUUUUUCAACUCCUACCGGCCAACUCGUGUCGUCACACACGAAUCGCUGGGAACGUCUCUAACGAUAACUUCCACCCCCUCAGGACGGUCCGUCGAACUCAAGGCUUAUCCAGAUCAAGGUUCCCCUUACGGGCUAAACAACUCAGUCGUUCACUAUUCAUGGCACAUCCAAUCCCUUUUCAACGAGGCAGGUUGGUUGCCAAAAUGGAGCGGUCGACCAGCUCGUCACUACGUCAACAUGGUGACGAUCCGAGAACUACGGGACGGCUAGGCUUCCAGCACAAAUUCCCACAAUAGAUCCGUUCCCACCGAAGUUAUAAACUCUGAGGACGAAGACUACGACCUGGAUUUACCACCGUAUCCUCUGGGUUUCUCUCGCUUCCCGGUCUUCCCACCUCGGCGAGGAGACCUCGUCUUCAAUGUCAGCGGCGAUGAACCAGUCGUCGAUGGAGAGACAGAUGAGCAGAGGUAGCUCCGCGAGCACCGCAAUGCCGACCGCGCCCGACGACGCGUGGACGAGGAAUGACAACUCCUGCCGCAUAACCUCAGCGACGCUUUUGACAUGGUCGGGGAUCAGCAAGUCUACAAAACGUUAAAGGGACCAUGCCAACUGCAUCCAAAGUUCAACCACACCAUGGAGGUAUGUCGCGUCCUCAAAAGCAUCUACACGCGGCGGGCUGCUCAAGACGACCCCGCCAAGAAAAACAGGAAACAGGACGGGCGCGACCACGAAGAUGAGGACGAGGACCAGGAUAGGGACCCACGACACCAGUAUGUCAGUCCCACCGACGUGGUCCACUCCAUCUUCAGGGGCAAGGUUUCCAUCGAGUCCAACCGAGAAAGAAAGCUCCUAAAGAGAGCCUGCCUCAACAUAGACCGCACAGAUGGUCUGAUCGCCGAUCCGAAAUUUCCUCCCUGGUCGCACAGGGAGAGCUCCUUCAGCAGGAAGGAUCAGUGGGCUGCCAUCCCGGAGCCAGGACGUUUCCCUCUAAUCCUGGAUCCUUGCAUCAACAGCAUCAGAUUCGAGCGUGUGCUCGUCGACAGGGGAAGCUCCAUUGACAUCCUCUUUCGUAAUAGCUUGCCUGCUCUCAAGAUAACUCCGGCACAGCUAAAGCCCUACGAUGCUCAAUUCUAGGGAGUUUCGCCAGGUCAAAGCUCAGUACCCCUCGGACAGAUAACAAUGCCUGUCCAGUUCGGAACGUCUGACCACUUUCGAACAUAGUUCGUCAACUUUGUGGUCGCCGACUUUGAUGGAACUUACCAUGCAAUACUUGGCCGACCAUCGCUGACAAAGUUCAUGGCAGUUCCACACUACUCAUACUUGGUCCUUAAAAUGCCUACAGAAAAGGGCGUUCUAAUUGGCAGGGGCAAUGUCUACACCGCAUACACUUGCGAGGAGGAAAGCUUCAAGAUCACUGAAGCAAUUGAUCUUUCAAUCCGCAUGGCAGAAACAGCAGCCCAAGCUGCACAGAUCCACCCCGACCAGCUCCGAGUACCCGAGCAGGAGACUGUAAGGAAGAAUUCAAAGUCCAAAGAACACAAGGAAGUACAACUGGUCGAUGGUAGCCCUGAGAAGACAGCCCUCAUCGGGGCCAACCUAGACCCUAAAUAGGAAGACGCGCUCGUUAGGUUUCUAUGAGACAACGUGAGCGUUUUCGCAUGGAAACCAGCAGACAUGCCCGGCGUCCCACGAAACCCAAUCGAGCACUCCUUAAACGUCUCGAAGACCGCAAGACCCAUUAAGCAAAAGCUACGAUGGUUCGCUCGUGACAAAAAGGAGGCUAUUAGGACAGAAAUAACACAGCUUCUAGCAGCCGGAUUUAUCAAAGAAGUGUAUCAUCCCGAUUGGCUCGCCAAUCCGGUUCUUGUACGCAAAAGAAUAAUGAAUGGAGAAUGUGCGUUGAUUACACUGAUCUCAAUAAACACUGUCCUAAAGAUCCUUUUGGUCUCCCUCGCAUCGACGAGGUGGUCAACUCAACGGCCGGAUGCGAACUCCUCUCUUUUCUAGACUGCUACUCUGGUUAUCACCAGAUCUCGCUAAAGGAAGAUGAUGAGAUCAAAACAUCUUUUAUUACUCCUUUCUGCGCAUAUUGCUACACGACCAUGUCCUUUGGACUCAAAAAUGCCAGAGCCACCUAUCAACGGGCCAUCCAACAAUGCCUCCACGACGAGAUUCGCGAUGACCUCGUCGAGGCUUAUGUAGACGACGUCGUCGUCAAAACAAGGGAUGCAGGCAGUCUAGUCGACAACCUAGACCGAACCAUUAAGGACCUAAAUAAAUACAAGUGGAAGCUUAACCCCAAAAGCUGCAUCUUUGGGGUCCCCUCUGGUCUACUACUCAGCAACAUCGUCAGCCGCGACGACAUACGACCGAAUCCUUCAAAAGUAAAAGCAGUGCUCGACAUGCGACCACCUAAGAAAGUCAAGGAUAUUCAGAAACUCACCGGAUGUAUGGCCGCUCUCAGUUGCUUCAUCUCAAGACUGGGAGAAAAAGGCCUCCCUUUCUUCAAACUCUUGAAGGCAUCGGAAAAAUUCUCCUGGACAGAGGAAGCUGACGCCGCCUUCACCCAGCUCAAGACUUCCCUCACCUCACCGCCUGUUCUCACAGCACCUCAGCCCAAUGAAGACCUACUCCUCUACAUUGCAGCGACCGACAGGGUUGUCUCCACGACAAUAGUGGUCGAGCAAGACGAGCCAGGUCACGUCUACAAGGUCCAGAGACCCGUUUAUUUCAUAAGCGAAGUCUUAAACGAGUCCAAGACUAGGUACCCACAGAUACAGAAGCUCAUAUACGCCAUCCUGAUAACGUCCAGGAAGCUUAAACACUACUUCGACGGCCACCGGGUCUUGGUAACCACCAGUUUCCCUCUGAGGGACAUUCUGCGCGACAAGGACGCCAACGGCAGAAUUGUAAAAUGGCCAAUGGAAUUAUGCCCAUUCUCCCUAGAUUUCCAGAGCCGCACUACCGUCAAGUCUCAGGCCCUGGUCGAUUUCAUCGCAGAGUGGACGGACCUCAAUGAACCUUCUGUCUCCGACAUCUCCGACCACUGGUCAAUGUUCUUCGACGGGUCCUUGAACAUCAACGGUUCCGGCGCCGGGAUACUCUUUGUGUCGCCUAACAAGGACAAACUACGCUACGUCCUUAGAAUCCUCUUUCUAGCGUCAAACAAUGUUGCUGAGUAUGAAGCAUGCCUACACGGCAUACGACUAGCCGUCGAACUGGGAGUCAAACGCCUCUACGUCCACGGCGACUCUGUCUUAGUUAUCAACCAGCUCAACAAGGAAUGGGACACAACCCACGAGAAGAUGGACCUCUACUGCAAAGAAAUCCGCAAAUGGGAAUCCAACUUCUACGGCAUAGAAUACAUCCACGUGGUCCAGGAUAAGAACCAGGCAGCGGAUGCGCUGUCAAAGUUAGGGUCAUCUCGGGCCCAGAUCCCGCAAGGCGUUUUCGUUCAGGACAUCCACGCGCCAAGUGUGGGCACAGACCUGGUCGAAAGGCAACCUAAUGAGGCAAUGCUCAUAGACGACGCUACUCCGACAACCAGCAACAGUGACUGGCGCACCCCUUUCAUCAGGUAUAUAUCAGUUGGGUCGGGCUUUCAGGAUAAAACGGAGAACGAGCGCCUCAUUCGACAAUCCAAGAAUUCCAUACUGGUGGAUGGCAAACUUAUGCGAAAGAACGCAAGUUCUGAAGUGCUGCUCAAAUGCAUAUCCCAAGAUGGCGGCAUCAAGCUCUUGGAUGACAUACACGCCGGAUCCUGCGGCAACCACGCGGCCUCCAGAACACUGGUCGGGAAGGCCUUCCGAGUAGGUUUUUACUGGCCAACCGCGGUCGCCGACGCCGAGAAACUGGUCCGACAUUGUGAAGGAUGCCAGUUCUUUGCCAAGAGGACCCACGUACCUACUCACGAGAUUCAAACUAUUCCGUCUUCCUAGCCUUUCGCCUGCUGGGGCCUCGACAUGAUCGGGCCAUUUAAACCGGCUCCCGGCAACUUCAAGUUUGUCUUUGUGCUAAUCGACAAAUUCUCGAAGUGGAUCGAAUACAUGCCACUGGUCAAAGCAACCUCCGAGAAAGCUAUGGAGUUCCUUAAUCAAAUCAUACACAGAUUCGGGAUCCCCAACAGUAUAAUCACUGACCUGGGCACUCAGUUCACUAGCACUACGUUCUGGGACUUAUGCGAUGACAGGGGCAUAGUGAUAAAGUACGUGUCAGUAGCUCACCCACGGGCAAACGGUCAAGUAGAGCGCACGAACGGAAUGAUUAUUGAUGCCCUAAAGAAAAGGUUGUACACCGAGAAUGACAGAGCACCUGGUCGAUGGAUGAAAGAGUUACCGGCCAUGGUCUGGGGUCUCCGAACACAGGCUAGUCAUAAUAUAGGCGUGUCACCCUACUUUAUGGUUUAUGGCUCCGAGGCAGUGCUCCCAUCUGAUGUAACCUUCGGAUCUCCAAGAGUUGAAAACUUCGACCAGUCAACGGCUGACAACACCAGGGAGCUCGAAAUCUACUGCAUGGAGGAAAAGCGUCUAAUUUCAUGUCUUCGAACAGCAAAGUAUCUUGAAGCCAUCAGGCGGUACCACAAUAGGAACGUCAAAGACCGUUCCUUCGUGGUCGGUGAUCUGGUACUCAAGUGGAAAACAAGCCAGGAAGGAACGCACAAGUUAUCCACACCUUGGGAAGGACCCUUUUUGGUCGCCGAAGUCACACGCCCUACAUCCUACAGACUGGCGUAUCCAGACGGAACACGCCUGCCUAAUUCAUGGCACAUAGACAAACUGCGUCAUUUCUAUCUAUAAAUUCCAGCACCUUCUGCUUGUAAGUUUCUUAUAAUUAGCAAUAAUAAAAGUUCUCUUUUUUGCUAUAUAUUUUUUAUACGCAGAGCUUUCGACGAACACAACAAUCUUCCUCUGGGGCGAAGAUCCUUAACGAUUAUUAAUCAAACACAGUGAUACAUCACUCAGAUAACAUUGCAGCGCUCAAAAUCAUGGUCAUGAUAAAAUCAAACUUUAUUACAAAACUUUACAUACAGAGUUUACAAUAAACACCCUGUUGGGCGGUUCCUAGUCUACUCCUACAGACUAUACUACAGGCCUACUGCUCGGGCUGAUCACCCGCUUGGCAUUGCUGCCCAGACGGAGGGGUUGGGGCCACAGGCGCAUGGCUGGUAGAGACCGCAGGCGUCGACCGCCCAUCUCCGGCAAUGGACACUCCCGACAACUCUCUAGCCGAUCUGUCUGACCCCGGCUGGUCGGGGGGAGUGGCUGUCCCACAGAGGUUGAUAUCGUCGAUCACCGUCGACGACAAGUCAAGCAGGCCAACACGAAGGUCGUCUGCCUCCUGCGGACCAACCUCCUUGGGGUACCCCCUCUCCAGUCUGGACAGGUCGACCAGAGGAUAGUGGGCGCGCACCAUGCUGAGGACGUGCGCACCGGCGAAUUCCCCGGCGUCCUUGACAAACUGCUGGAGCCAGUCCCACGCCCGUUGUGCCUUCUCGACUGGCGUUAGUCUCGACGCACGAGGUUGGUCAUCAGGGAGCUCAGGGCUGAUCAAGUCAAGAACCGGGGCCACUCCUUUCCAAAGCUUGAUGCAAUUGGUCUUCCAGGAGUCCCGGUCCUUGAUCAGCUCGUCUAAAUGCUUCUUGGUAUUCACCUUGAGCACUACAAACCAAGCAGGAGGUCAGUUCGCAAAUAAGAAAAGGAACGCUGAGCAACCAAAGAAAAAAGGGGUAGCACGAUUAUCACUAGACAACUCCCGAUUCCUGUUGCUUAGCUCCUCGCCAGCUCGGCGCUCGGUCUCCAGCGCCCCGGCAAGCUCUUGGCUGAGCUACUCCUUCUCUUGCCAGAGGCGUGCAACCUCCUCCUCUAAGUCAGCAGGAACAAUCCCUGGUCAACAAAACUGACCACGUGGCUACAUACAGCUGCUCGGAAUACGCGACUGACCUCUCCUUUGCCGAUCCUGGUCGGCUAACCGCCGAUUGAGGUCGAGAAGGUGCUCUUCCUGCGCACUCAUCUCGACCGUCUUCUCCCCGGCUUCCGACCGAAACCGAUCCACCUCCGCGGACAGGGCCUUGUUCUCGGCCACAAUGCCCUCAAUUUGGUCGAAGCACCUUUUCCGGUACUUCACCGUUUUCAUUGCGCCCUGCAAGAAGAAUACAUGCUGAACCCAGGAACAUCGCACAUAAGCGUUGAGCAGUGCAAAGGACUACCUUAACUUCGUCCACAAGACGCUUUGCCGCGCGCUCCACCCUCGCGGCCUCCUCCGUCUCCGCGAGCUCCUCAUGUCCGAUGAUGUGUUCCCCGCGUUGGUGCCACACGUAGACAUGCUGGCGGCCAUCACGGGGACGACCUUGGAUCUCCUCUACGUCAUCGUUGGGGCCGUCCGGGACUCCUCGUUCGCCGCACUGCCACCGGCCGUGGUCGCAGGCAUCACUGGACCCUGGUCCAGGCCAGGGGAGCCUACGGGCGAAGAGGCCCCUGCUCGGGGCGGGAUUGGGACUCCCCUUUCUUCGGCUGGUGGAGGAGUCAGGGAUCUGCUUUCCUCCUCCACAACGUUACUCGGGGGAGGCGUCCUUGUAGCCUCCUCAUUCCUCGUCGGGGUGCUCGCCGCGGCCCUUGCCGGGGCCGGAUGCUCCUCGGCACUCUCAGCCGCGGUUGUCACCGUGGGCUGAUCUGUGGUCUGCGGCAUGGCGUCCCCAACGACAGCGACGGGCUCGGCUGCCUUCUGGCCAGCAACGCGGUCCGGGUCGACGUCCGACGCCGCGCUAACAACAAAGCGACAUUUUACCAACAUCAAAAGCAGUAGCAAAAACACAAAUUGAAGUACGAGAGUAAGAUUGAACAACUUACAGGUUGGAGCGCCUGUGCGUCACGGUGAAGAACCUCCUCCUUGUCCUACCGGUCGGCGCCUGCACCCCCGUCUCUACGACGCGCGUCGGCUCGACGUGCGGGGCAGGAGGGUCACUGGUCAUCCGACCAGCGGUGGCCGGCGCAACGUCCGGGCGACUACGCGGCCUCCGAACCAGAGAAGGCGCGGCCUCCUCCUCGUCGUCGUCGUCGUCGGUGAUCCGGACGAGCCGACGGCGCUUUGGUGCCUUGCUGCUCUCCGCCGGCAGCGUCUCCGCAGGAGAUGGAUCCGCCACCAGCGGCCUUUUCCCCCCACUCUGUCUUCGGUGGUCGGGGCGGGGCGGUUCUGCUCCUCCUCGCUGCUGGUGUAUCGGGGACACUCAGCAGCGUCGUCCUCUGGCGGGUCUAUUCCCGCGGGACUCUCCAUGCCAGGUGCCGGUGAUAUGUACACCGCGCACCGGUCAACGUCUCCAAUCUACAGCAACAUCAAAGAUAAGUCAAUAGCUGGGAGAACAAGUACUCAGGAAGUAAAUUCAGUCAGAAAUAUUACCUUAGGAGCUGGUCGUCCAAGCUUGAAGGCCUGCAUCCGAUCACCACUCCGGACAAAGCUGUCAUCUGCAAAGUUGAACAGCUCGUUCAGCAGCUGUUGCACUUCUGCCUUCUCCAAAACUUCAGGACUCAUCCUGGUCGGGUCCUGGCUCCCAGCGUAUUCGUACGCCGAGUGAACCCUCUUCUGGCAGGGCAUCACCCGACAACAGAUGAAGUUGACGACCACUCCUGGCCCGUCUAAACGGGACCAGUCAAUCAGCUUCAUCAGGUCUUCCACCUGACCAGUGAACUGCGGGUGGUCCGUCCAGCUGACCGUCUUCUCGGGAAUGUAGCCCACGUCGCAGAACGUGGAGCUGCCUGGCUCUUCCCUGACGUAGAACCACUUCUUGUACCAUUCGGUGAGAGAAGUAUUCCACGGGCAGUUGAAAUACUGGUUCUUCAUCCCGUUACGCAGAUUGAGGUAUACUCCACCUGCAAUCUUGGAGCCUCCAACUACUCCUCUUUUCCUCAAACUGGAAAAGGUAGCGAUAAAGAUCGAAGUGCGGCUCUAUCCCAACAUAGGCCUCACACAGAUGGAUGAAGGUAGAAAUGAGAAGGAUGGAGUUCGGGUGCAGAUUGCAGAUCCCGAUCUCAUAGUAAAGAAGAUCCUGGAGAAAAGGAUGGACAGGAAUCCCAAAGCCCCUCUUGAAAAAAAUCUUCGAAAACCACGAUCUCACCGGCACGAGGGUCUGGGUAGCUCUCCCCUUCUGGCGCCCUCCAGCCGUCGAGCUCUUGGCUGUGCAGCAGCCCCAUGCCGACGAGGUCGUUGAGGGACCUCGCAUUGCUCCGGGACUUCUUCCACUCUUUCGCCAUCAGCUCGGCCCUUUUCUUGGAGUCACUCUUCGCCAUUGAUGCUGAGGGAACGAAUGCGAGAUGGGAGAGGUGGUGGUGAUUGCAAAAGGCAGGAAUGGCAAUAAUGGAAAGCUAGAAGGCAAUGGAAGGGUAAAGAAUACUGGGGCAAUGUCAAGCCUUUAUAAGCAACAGCUCCACCCUUCUCACUUCCCGCAUUCUUGGGAAGUGGGCGGGCCCAGCGGCGGAUGCGGCGUUUCGGUUUUCAACAAUUACCGGCAAUUAAUACGGCGGCUUUUUUUUGUAUAAUUGAUGGUUUCCUUUUCUGGAACCGCGCUAAGAGCGGCUGCACAGUUACCAGGCGCACCUUUUCACGCAGCCAUCUGACAACACGUCAGGAUGUCUCGUCACAUCACACAUUAAUGUGGUAAGAUGCUUUUUUUCAAAAUAACAGACAAAAAUUGGUGGAGGCUCAAUGUUCCUGGGGACUGCACCGACCACCGAGCAUUGUGUGCUCGGGGACUGGUUGACCAGUCUGCCAGUUCGGAGAUCUGGGGACUGCACCGACCACUAAGCAUUGUGUGCUCGGGGACUGGUCGACCAGUCAGCCAGUUUGGAAAUCUGUGGACUGCACCAACCACCGAGCACUAUACGCUCAGAGACUGGUCGACCAGUUUGCUAGUUUGAAGAACUAGGGACUGUACCGACCACUAAGCGUUAUAUGCUCGGGGACUGGUUGAUAAGUCCAUACGAUGGCAAAUGGGCAUGAUAUGCUCGGGGACUGGAUAAUUCUAAUUUUUUAGACCUUGCUACAAGGCUCAUACUUCGCCUUCCAGCAAGCUCGGGGACUACAUCGGUACGAUGCAUCUGGCGAUGCAUCUCAGUUUCCGAAUUAUUUUGAAAGCUUUUCUUUUGACCCUGGCACCACGUGCCUACAUCGCCUACUACCAGGCUCGGGGACUAAGUGGGCUCACUUCACCUAGCGGUGAAUAUGCUUGUUUUUUGGAAAAUUAUACUUUUCAUAAAAGUAAAGUGGGCACACUUCACCAGGAAAGAAUUUUUUUUUAUUAAGAGCACCAUGCAUUCUUCGAACAACCUGCUUCUUCGAUGUCAAUGAUGAUCAAUAGUCUUUUGAGUUGGUCAAAAUACCGUUGCAACUGUUUGGGCGACUUUGCUGCUUAUUGAAGACGUCAAGCCUCACUGAUCGAAGAAGCUCAAGACGGCGUGUUACAUCACAAUACAUGGUGCUCGGGGACUAGCUGUGGGGGUAUAAACCCCUAUAUCCUCAUGGGCCUAUAUGGGCCGCACCAUCAGAGGUGGCUCAGCCCACAGGAUGAAGACGUGCGGCGCACGACUGGUCGGCGUGCACCGCAAGGCUACAAGAUAUUGUACCAAAUAGGAUACUUUGCUUGUAACUCUGUCCCUUCAGGAUAUAUAAGGAGGGGCAGGGGUCCCCUAGAGGACAAGUCAUACAUCAUUAUUCUCUCAACACAAAUCAAUACACCAGACGCAGGACCUAGGUAUUACGCCAACUCGGCGGCCGAACGUGGAUAAAAAGCUUGUCCGUGUCUUGCGUCACCAUCGAGUUCGUAGUUUGCGCACCGUCUACCGAUAAACUACUACCGUGGGUAUACCCUAAGGUAGACUGCCGACUAGCUUUCGUCGACAGUGUCCAUACAUUGUUAUAGUUUUAUUUAGAUAUAGGGCCUAUUUUUGGUUCCCCUUGCUAAAGUUUAGCUAACUAAAAUUAUUUUAGCUAUUCUUGGGUGACUAAUGGAACUAAAUUAUGUUAACUCUUUUUAGUCAAUGUGUUUGGAACUUUUGCUACUAAAAUGACUAAAGUUUAGCUAGCUAUAAUUUAGCAAGAGAAACCAAACAGGGCCAUACUUAGGCCUUGUUUACUUCUAAAUUUUUUUGCAAAAUAUGAAUAGUAGCAUUUUCGUUUGUAUUUGAUAAAUAUUGUCCAAUUAUGGACUAACUAGACUCAAAAGAUUCAUCUCGCAAAUUAUAGAUAAAUUGUGUAAUUAGUUAUUUCUUUUAUCUAUAUUUAGUGCUCCAUGCAUGUGCCGUAAAAUUCGAUGUGAUGGAGAAUGUGAAAAAUUUUGCAAAAUAUUUUAGGAACUAAACAAGGCCUUAAUAAAAACAACUAUUUUAAACAAAAUAACAAUAUAUUUUUCUUAGAUUAUAGUCUCAGAUAAUUACAUAUGAUAAUUAAUAUAAUCAUGACUAAGAAAAAGAACAAUAAAGACAUGUCUCAUAUAUUUAUACUAUAAAUAAGUUCUUAAUUGCUUAGUAGAUCGCAAAGCUCCUCAGGGAUAAUGUUUGCACGUUCAUUUUGAUUACUUUGUAGAAUGUCCACCAAGCAUUCCGUCCUCAGCAAACGUCCACUCUGUGAAUGCCAGAUAGUAAGUUAACUUAUUAAUUUGCUAUACACUAUACAAAAUUUACAGGAUAUAUAGUUUAUAUGCUUACAGGGUGGAUAGACAAUCUUUUUCCAUCCUAUUAUUUUAAAUAACUAUAUAUAAAGAAGCGUGGCAUUUCCCUGGAGAAGAGCAAGUGUUUAUUUGUGUUAGCUAAAUGACAUAGAAUAAUAUUACUAUAUAAUUUAAUUAAUAAUGGAGAACAUAAAUUAAGAAGAUAUUACUACUACAUAUUAUUUGGCCAAGUAAAACAUUUGUAUCAUGGUGUCUAAUUUAACCCAUUCCAAUGCACAAACAAAGAAGAUAUUGCUCCAUUAUUACCUUAAUCAAGUUAGGGGAAUGAGAGAUUAGAGUUAAUAUUGUCCCUUAAUUUUGGGAGAUAGAUCUUCCUUGGUGGAAUUUUUCGUGUGUACUUAGUGUAGCUUAUAACUAUAGUAGUAGUUUAUAGGGUGCAUUUAGUUAAGUUCGUAACUGAUGGAUUAUAUAGUAGUGGAGAUUUGUGGUAAAUCUCAGUAACUACACCCGUGCUUUUUUACCUUAUACAAAUUAGAACUAAGGCUUGAUCCCUAUGAUUUCGUGCUAAAUUAUGUUUUUAUGAUUUUUUGUAUACAUAUAUGAUGGCAAUCCAACUUGAAUACCUCUCAUCCAAUUUGGUAUAUGCUGUUGACAACAACGAUCCCAUGUGGUCAGGAUGUUCGAAAACGAGAAAUCAAGUUCUUAGUUUUCUAGGAAGAGAAGAACUGAACUUGGACAAUGGAUUGGAAUUGGGCAGAAAUGGUGAUAUUUAAUAGUUAAAAACCCAACUCCAAUCAUAAAUACAUACAUGUCACUUUGGGCCUUGUUUAGUUCCGAAAACUUUAACACUUUCGUUUUUAUUUGACAAAUAUUGUUAAAUUAUGGACUAACUAGAUUCAAAAGAUUCAUCUCACGAUUUACAGAUAAACUGUGCAAUUAAUAUUUGUUUUCAUUUAUAUUAAGUGCUUCAUACACAUGCUGCAAGAUUUGGUGUGACAGGAAAUCUUAAAAAGUUUUUCGUUUUUAGAAUGAACUAAACAAGGCCUUGGUCAGUGGGGCGAAAUGCCUACUUGUAGUGACGCAAUUGUAGAAUGACUAGUAGGAAGCGCGCCCCCUGGGCGCGAGUUGUCAUGUAUUUCUAAGAUUAUACAGGUAAGCUACACAUGUUGCAUACAAUGGCCAUGUAUAUGAUUGAGGUCUAUUGAUGCAUACAAAGUUAUUAGAGGAUGAAUACAGUGGCCAUCGAGGGCAGAAAUAAUAGACAAAUUCUGGGGCAAAAGAUGCAUGUUUAGUUUUAGCAUGGUAAUAGGAAUAUAGGAUCAGAGAACGGAAACGAACACGGUCAUAUUGCCUAUGGUGUUAUAUGUACCAUACAAAGGCAUUACACAAGCUUAUCAGUAUUUUAUACAUUGCUUCGUCAGUGGCAAUUUACAAAAGUUUAGGGGCAUUGAAGGUUCACUUUCUAAUGACAUGGACAUAUAUAGCUGGCUUUCUUGUUGGCUGCGCUGCCAAUUGUGACAAGAAAUUGCUGCAUCUACAUCCUGAGUACCUGCACGGGGAGCAAAUAGACUGUUUAGUCUCAUAAAGAAACAAUUAUUGUCUGGAAUACCUGUAAGUAGGGGAGUAUAUUUUUUUGGUCUACUAUGUAUACACAAUACACACAACAGUGAUGCAUCACCAGACACAAUAGAAGCAAAUACUUCUUUAUAGACGACCUUUUUUUCAUUUAUACAACGGCCAUCCUCGGCUUCUAUGAAAUGGCUGUCACUACCUGAAACAUCCAAGUAUCAAUGAGAAAGAUGUAGUUGGUAGACUCGGUAAUCACCGGCCUAACUUGCCAGCCAAUGAAUGUAGAGAAAAGAACAUCUUGAUGCAAAAAAAAUUAUAAUUUAACAAUGAAUGGACAUACAUAUCAGAAAUAUCUCUGUAAAUUCUUUUUUUUUCACACAUGCAUACAAGAUUGAACUUAGAUAUAUAACAUAGACUGUAUUGGAAAGAUUAACUAGAUAUAUCUAAAAUAUAUUCAAUUUUGCUCAUGCUCUAUGCACCAGACAUCUUGGUAUGGACAAAUAGAUCUGCUGCGUGAGCAGGACUCUGAAAUCCAAAAGAAGGUAUGCAAGGCUGAAAACUAACAAAGGAAGCUGAACUAAACACGACAGGAGAAGGUAAUAUUUAUGUGGCAACUACUGAGCAUUCAGACCAUCAAGUUCUAUUUUUCAAAGCAUCAAGUCCUAUAUUUAAGGGAAAGUUGUCAAACAAAAAUGUGGCCUGCACGAAUAUUAUCACCUGCAAGGGAGGCAUGAAGCCUAUCCCAUCUCAUAAUUGAAGAGCAUGAGUCCACCCAAUUUCCCCAGUGAUCGUGGAUACAAAGAAUAAGUUGUUAUGCUAAACCAAAACAUAGAUGACUUUCCAAGUGUGCAGCCUGCAUAGUAAAAUAAGAAAGAAAAAUCAUAUUUUUGACCAGUUCUCCAUUUUAUUUUGUAUUUUGAAACAUCUUUUCUUUUGAAUAACUUACUGAUAUAUCACGGUAAAUUAGAGAUAUCAUUCCGUAAAAAUCAAUUAAAAGAACUGUAAGCUGAGGAGAAAAGAACUGCACUUCCAGUGUCAUAGCUCGUGCUGCUUGUCCACUGCAUUCACAUCCCUUACCUGAUGAGUAUGGAUGCACGAACGAAUUCGAACGAACCAACCUGCGGGCUAAACAAGGUAAUGAAACAAAAAGAAACACAGGAAUAUAAAUACAGAAGCAAAUGGGAAGGAGAGCUCUUUGAAUUUUAUAAUAUAUUCUACAAUAGGAAUGAACCAUCUACGAAAUAAAUUCAGGACAAGUCAUUCUCAUGCAUGAAGACUUUCUAUUUUAAUUAAAUGAAAUAAAUUUGCACUAUUCAUUUCAGACUUAGUCGACAAUUCAGGCUCCUGCUCAGUAGUUACACACCUGAGAACAAUCCACCAGCCCAACAAGCUGAAACCAUAGCAACUCAGCCAAGAAUAUUUUAGAUGAAAGUAAAUAUUUUUAGUCAAUAAGAAUACAUAUAUCAGACACAAGAGGUAGUCAUAUCCCCUUAUGAUUCCUUGUGCUUUGGCACCAUCCUGAUUCUCCCAAGAGGGCUUGGCUUGUUCAAAUUCCUCAAACUGCAUUUCUCUGAGCUUCGUAUGUAGGCCUUCUUUAUCCAUGUCAAAUAAUUUGAUUUCUCCAGUUCGAACAGCUUUAAUAAAUCUAAGUUUGUUCUAUGCCAUUUUCAAGUCGCGGCCAGCCAUUUCCACUAGCUUUUGCUGCAUAUUGACAAUUACUAAAUCUGAUAUCAAAUAGUCCAAAGAAUAUGUGCCAUUCAAUUAUUAAAUGGAAACGUACCUUUCUUUUCUCAUAAAAAGCAAGCCUGAAGUCAUAGAAUUCCUUAAGUACUAAAAUAAAUGACACAAUUUAGUUACAAUACGACAAAAGAAAUAAAAAAUGAAGGUCUUGUAGCAUAAAGGUAGUACAUACUUUGCUCUGGACUGUCAUACUUUUUAAUUAUGCCAUUUGAAUCCAACAAAUGCAUAUUUGAUGUUCCUAUUGAUGUUCUCAGUUCAAACUUUCUCUGAAGAUCUACUUCAUUGGCUUGCGCCAAAUUCUCAGAAUUCUCAUGCAAGUGUAUCAUAAUUUCAACAUCAUUGCCGCCUCUCUUUUUUUCAUAACUCUGUAAAAUUAUUAUGAUUAAAAACUAAUGGACAACAAUCAUUUCAUGAUUAAAACAUACUAUGUAAUCAAUUACCUUGAUGAAUUUGUCUUCUCUGUCCAUAAAAGUUUUAAGCUUCUUUUCAUAAUUCUCCAUCGAGAUCUUCACUGGGAGCUCACUUAGUUUUAGUGUUGUUUUGUCAACAACCUUUAUGAUACCACUAGCGGUAUAGGUAACACCUGAUUUCUUGGUCUUGGUAGUUUCGUUUUUGACACUCACUUCUCCCUGUUGGUUCAUGUACAGAAAAUGAAACACCAACAUUAGAUUUUUUUAAGACAAAAAUAAAAACAGAAUUGUAAAAAAAAGCAUGUAUUACUAACGUUGAAAUGUCUAAACCACAGUUUCAUUUCUUCCAACGUCUCUGAUCCCUGUAUCAUUAGUUUCAAAUUGUGUACAAUAUCUUUGGGAUUGUAACAAGGAAUCUUUGUGCUCCAUCCGGUACCAAUUCCUUCAGCUCCAUUAACUAAAUCAUUGGAAGGAUUGACAAAUACCUAAAAAGUGACAACCAGGCCUUAGCUACUUAUUAUAAAGGUCAAAUUGCUGAGGAUGGAUGAAGCAAGUGGUGCCUAGUUAUUACCAUGAAGGUUCAAUUGAUUGCCCAUCUUCACGCAAAUAUUCGAGCAAAAUAUCAUCAUUUUCAUUAAAUAUCCUGCGAGUGAUACUGGAUAACUCAGUGAAGAUAUAUCUAGCACUAGCAGCAUCUUUGCCUCCCUAAAAUGAAAAACAAGCAUGAAUAAAAUGUUUAACAACUAGUUUUCUCAUAGUGGCUUGAUAACUCACCUCUAAUCUUGUACCAAAUUGUCCAUUGGGACGCAAAAGAUUGAUAUUGUUGCUUCCAACAAAAUCUUGAGCCAUUCUUACUAUUGUGUUUGAUAGAUUUUCUUCACCGUGAUGAUAAGCAGAACAUUCUGCCACAGACGCGGCGAACUGUGCCACCUGUGAUCAAGUAGUAAAUUAGCAAUAUUAUAAGGCUAAUUUAGAGAGAACAUGACACAUAAAUCAUAAUAUGGCAGCCCAACCAGAGGCUCAACCCUUUUCUACUUAUAAGUUAGGACAGAAGCUUUGGAGUGGAUAUGAUUCUCAUCAUCAUAGACUAUCUGGAACAAGAUUGAGAUUGACCACCCACAAGACAAAAGUUUCAAGCAAGCUAGUCUACCUUUAUAUAUUUAGGUGCCAGUAUACAUAAGGAAACUAAAACUAAAUAUAAAAUGGCAAUACAAUCUAAAGAAACUAUGGAAUACAAAAGAUCGAAGCCUACCAUAUUCUCGGCCAUAGCGUCGACUAAUAUCAAAAUAUGUGGAAAAGAUUCAUAUUAGAAAAAACAAAUGAUAGUUGGGAUGCCAUACCUUUGUUUCCUUGUUCAAAUUUUUCUUAAAUGCGCUGAACAUUAUCUUUCUCUGCCCUUUCUUAAAUCCAUCUACAUUUGCGGCCAUACAAAGCUUCAAAAGGAGCCAUUUGGAUACUUUCUUGAUAACUAUUGUUGUAAGAGAAUUCAGCUAAGGGUAGCCAUUUCUCCCAUGCACCCUUGGAAGAUAUCACACAUGCCCUCAACAUAUCCUCUAAAAUUUGAUUCACACGCUCAGUCUGACCGGAGGAUUGAGGGUGGUAGGCUGAACUGCGAACCAACUUUGUACCAAGGAGUGAAUGCAGAUGCUCCCAAAAGCGAGCAAUAAACUGCGGACCUCUAUCAGAAAUAAUAUUGCAAGGCACUACAUGCAAUCUAACAAUCUGAGAGAAGUAAAACUCAGCAUAGUCGGAAGGUCGGUAUGUAGAACGUACGGGAAUAAAGUGAGUUGACUUGGUUAAACGGUAAACAAUCACCCAUAUGGAAUUGUGUCCCUUUUGGGUAGGGGGAAGGCCAACAAUGAAAUCCAUGCUGAUUUCUUUCCACUUCUAGCCCGGAACCGACAACGGUUCCACUAAACCUGGAGGUUUAAGGUGAACUGCCUUUACCCUGCAGCAACUAUCACACCUAGCAACAUAAGCUGCUAUCUCCUUCUUCAUCUUGGUCCACCAGAAAUGAGGUUUCAAGUCUUGGUACAUUUUGCUACUACCAGGACGAAUGGACAACUUGGAAGAAUGAGCUUCAUCUAAAAUUUUGUUGCGUAGGUCACGGUCUUUAGGUACAACUAGUCGAUCGUCAAACCAUAGUACACCCUUCUCAUCUACCCUAAAUUGCUUGGUGUCUUGCUCUUGCAUUUUUCUUUUGAUAUGGAAAAUACCACGAUCAGACUUUUAGAGCUCUAUGAUUUCACUCUCUAACGAGCAGCUGAGUACGAUGUUGUACAGGACCACAGGAUGCAAUAAAUUGAAGCCUUCCUCUAGGAGAGGUCUAACAUGUUGUUUCCGACUGAGAUCAACAGCUACAACAUUGGCCAUGCCCGGAUGAUAGUGUACUUCUAGAUUGUAGUCCUUUAUCAACUCCAACCAUCUUCUUUGUCUCAUGUUUAGCUCGGGCUGAGUGAAUAUAUAUUUAAGGCUCUUAUGGUCAGUGUAAAUGUGACAUAGAUUACCCAACAGAUAAUGCCUCUAGAGUUUCAACGCAUGUACCACUGCUGCCAACUCUAGAUCAUGAGUCGGGUAGUUGGCUUCAUGUUUCCUCAACUGUCGAGAGGCGUAGGCAAUAACUCAGCCUUCUUGCAUAAGCACACAACUUAGGCCAGUGCCGGAAGCAUCACAAAAGACGUCAAAAGGCUUUUUAAUGUCAGGCUGUGCCAGAACAGGAGCGGUGGUCAGCAAAUGGCAUAAAGUGGUGAAAGCGACUUCACAUUCCUGGGACCACACAAACUUUACAUCUUUUUGCAGUAGCUUGGUCAUAGGCUUAGCUAUUUUGGAGAAAUUCGGAAUAAAGCGACAAUAAUGUCCAGCUAGACCGAGAAAACUCCGAACCUCGUGCACUGAAGUCGGGGCCUUCCAGUCUAGAACCUCCUGCACUUUUGACGGGUCAAUAGAAAUACCCUCUUCGGAUAAAAUAUGGCCUAGGAAAGGCACUUUCUUCAGCCAAAACUCACACUUGCUGAACUUGGCGUAGAGCUGAUGUUCUCGCAAUCUAGUGAGUACAAUCCGAAGGUGCUUCUCAUGUUCUUGGACAUUUUCAUAAUAAACCAAUAUAUCAUCAAUGAACACCACCACAAACUUAUCCAGUUCAGGCAUGAACACCGAAUUCAUUAGGUACAUGAAAUGAGCAGGGGCAUGAGUCAGACCAAAGGACAUGACUAAGUACUCAUACAACCCAUACCUGGUAGAGAAAGUCGUUUUAGGAAUGUCUUUGGGUCGGAUCUUGAUUUGAUGAUACCCAGAUCUCAGAUCAAUCUUGGAGAAUACUUUGGCCUUAGCUAAUUGAUCAAACAGGAUAUCAAUGUGAGGCAAUGGAUACUUGUUUUUAACAGUCACGACAUUAAGGGGACGAUAGUCUACACACAUACGUAGAGACUUGUCCUUCUUCUUAACAAAGUGAGCCGGACAACCCCAUGGAGAAGAACUAGGCCGAAUAAGACCUUUCUCUAGGAGUUCUUGCAAUUGCUUCUUCAACUCCGCCAACUCGUUGGGUGGCAUUCGGUAUGGCCUUCUAGAGAUAGGUGCGAUACCCGGAAUUAGAUCAAUUUUAAACUAUAUGUCCCUGUCCGGUGGCAGACCGGGCAGAUCCUCUGGAAAGACAUCCGGAAACUCACACACUACAGGAAUAUCUGACACAGUGAGUGGCCUAAUAGCAUUGGCAGCGUGACGGAUGUCAUCAUUCUUGGGAAGCUGGACUAAGAAGGCUUCUUUGCUAUCAGGCUCUCGCAACAUGACUACCCUCGUGGACGUGUCUAUUAGCACCCCAUUAUUGCUCAUCCAAUUCAUCCCUAAGAUAACAUCUAUUCCCAAGCCCGGCUCACUUUGUUUGUGGAAAUUUGGUUCCCAGCAGCACUAAUGCAGAACUUGCCACUGUCAAGAUCAACUACAUGCUGUCUAUGCUUAGAUGCGAAUGCUUGACUCAUAAAUGAAUGCGAAGCUCCAGAAUCAAACAAGACAACUGCAGGAUGUUGAUUGACAAGAAACAUACCAGCGGUGACCACUUCACCUUCAGGAAUUUCUUCAACUGUGGUGUAGUGCACUUGACCAGUACGGUUAUUACCUCUUGCUGCAGAAUUCCUCUUGGGAUAAGGGCAAUCUCUCGCCCAGUGACCAACUUGUUUGCAAGUGAAGCAAGGGCGGUUGUCAGGGGAAGUCUUAGGACUUCCUUGACCCGUAGCACGCCUAGGAAGAGCAACUGUGAAGGACUUACGAACUCCUGUCUUCACAUUUGACUUUUUCUGCGGCGGCCUGUACCUAGUCACAGCAUUGGGUGAGCGAUAGGCUGGUUUGUUUGUCACCGGAGCCUUGGACUGCGAAGCACCUGCCUCAUAGGCCCUUUUGCGGUUCUUGGACGCGGCAUACACGACGUUGGAGUUCUCUUGAGUCAACGCAUCACUCACAAACUCAUUAAAGGUGGUACUCUUGUUACCAGCUAUGUUCUUGGACAACUUGGGUCCCAGUCCCCUCUUGAAACUUGCAAGCUUCUUGGCUUCAGUAUCAACCAUUUCAGGAGCAUAGCGAGACAAAUUAUUAAAAGCAUGAAGAUACUCAGUCAAGCUUUUAGUGCCCUGUGUCAGGUUCAUGAACUUGGUAUGCUUGAUAGUCAUUAAGCCUUGGGGAAUAUAAGUGUUCCUGAAAGCAGUUUUGAACUGAUCCCAGGUUACAACAGCAUUGGUAGGCAAGCUAGUCCUGUAAUGACUCCACCAGACACCUGCUUUGCCCUCCAACUGGUGGGCUGCAUAUUCCGCCUUUAACUCUUCAGUCACCCUCAACAAGCGGAACUUCUGCUCGAGAGUGUUGAGCCAUUCAUCAGCUUCUAGAGGUUCAACAGCCUCCUUGAAAACCAGUGGCUUCGUGUCAUGGAAAUCCUUGAAGCUACUAUGCUGAUUUGCCUCUCCGCCUUGACGGGCAUGGCGACCACCCCGGUUCUGCUGCGCCAUCGUCUGCAUAGCUUCAUUGAGCAUUCGCUGGUCCUCAACAAGAGUUGCCAAGAGCUCAGCAGGCGUAGUCGGGGGAGGAGGUGGUGGUGGCGGCACCUCAUUGUGACCGGAGCGAGUAUUGCGAGCCAUCUGCACAAGGCAUACCAAGUGACCGUUUAGGACAACAGAUAUAAUUGCCAUGAACCUCAAUUGCUGCCAUACGGAAUUUAAUGAAGUAAAUUCACAUAAUGCAAGGCACAAUAAUCCAUGUACAACAAGAGAAUAUCAUCCACGACACUUGGUUAUUCUCGCGAUCAUUCACAGUCACAAUCCACAAGGAUUAAAGACAUUACAGAAGAUUAUUUAAGCUCAAUAUAAACAUAGAGCAUCAAAAUAAGUGCAUAGGGUUACAUAAAGUUACUGCCACAACUUAAGUCUUACAGGAGGGGCACCAUGGCCAAAUACAUAGAGUCUCAGCUAAAAUUCAGAUUACAUGCCCAUUACAUAAAGAGAUGGAAACUGAUACAUGAGCAUGAAAAUCAUUGCUAGGCUACAUAUCUUCCUCAGAUUCUCCAUUAGAAAUGAUGCCAUCAUCCUGAUCUUCCUCACUGAGCUUCUUCAUGAUUAAAGGGAACAGGAUGUGGGAUAGGAUUUAUGAUAUUAUUUAGGCGAUGGACAUCUAACUGCAGCUCAGCAAUCAUAGUGAUCAGCUCUUCCUCUCUAAUUUCAGCGUGGAACAAAGCUCUAACUCUAGCAGCUUCUCUAUUCUCAGCCAAGCACAUAGCCUCAUCCCUCUCUCUAGUCAUUUGCAUCAUGCGGGCUUGCACCUCAUUGCGCUCUCUAACUGCGUUUUCAACUUGGUUGCGACGGGCUUGGAAAGCGGUGUGAUAAUUUUGGAUUUCAGCUUGUGCAUCACUAACAGCCUUGCGGUGCUUGCGCACACGCUUGCGUAGUUUGCGCUGCUCAACUUGAGCUUGUUGGAGCGCUAGCAUAGCUUCUAUGUAGGUGUCCUGGCGUACAUAGUACAACUUAAGUACCGCCAGCAUGGCACUCAUGGCAGGGCUAGAGCUAUAUCCUAGCAUGGUUUCUCUCAUUUCUAAAGGCUCAGUUCCUAUCUGAGACACAAAUGUGUCAGUCACACUCACUCUAGGAAAUGAUCCAGCUGGGCCAUUAGUUAACUCAUCCCCAUAGUCUUGGCAUAUUUCUAGCAAUACUUCUAAGGCUGCUACUUGGGCACCCUCCCAAGGAGUUUGACCAUCGGACUCUACUAUCCAGCCUAGCCACUGUGGGUUAUUUGGGCAAGGGGGAACUGUAAUUUGAACAUCUACCCAAGGUAAAGAUCCCGCAUGCUUGGCCUCUGUCCAAGUGUACCGAGGUGGUUCCUCAUAUCCAACUGAACUUAGCACCCUCCACAACAAGGUAGGAGUGCCAAACAUGUCUAGAAAAGUCUCACUUGCGUGUGGGGCUGCCAUCUGUAGGAAGACCACAAUUGAGUAAGGGAGAUUAAUUACAAGGAAAGGUAAAUAGAUAUAUUUUUAGAAUUUAAGACUUAAGUAGUGCAUAAGGAAUGUAUGAAUGAUUCAUGAUGCAUGCACGUUCCAUACGUCCUUUCCAUUUCUAGAAGAAAGUUCUAACGGUAUAGUCGGUGGCAUACAUACGUGCACUCCUUAUACGCAACUACACGGUCUACACGUUUCGUUGUAAGUGUACCUGCAGAAAAUUUCAUUUCAGCCCAACCCCACAAUAGUAUAUGUGCGGAAAUGUAAAUCCAAUCAUCAACAAUCAAGCUAGAUACUUUGAUAUAUAUUCCUGAACAUAUAUCGCAGCACACUACCCUUUUGGGAUACACCCACAUAUACAUCAAAUAUGUAUACAUGGCUGCACCUACUAUCCACAAUUAAGUACCUUCAUAUAUACAUGUGUAAAACAUGUAAAUAUUCCAGUAACCACAGCUAACUCUCCCCUAGACCGACGGUUGGACGGUCAUGCUCUCACAGCUCACACUUACCGUAGCGUAGAGGCGUAUAGAUCCAUACAUUACCACUCAAGCAAGUGGUAUCCAUACAAUUUCACGCUGUAUGGACGACGAAAGAAAACAAUCAUUGUUUACCAUGGCGUAGAGGUAUGUGAUCCAUUCAUUACCACUUAAGUAAGUGGCAUCCAUAUUGUUGCACGCCAUAUGGACGACGAAAGUAAAAACCCCCAUGUUAGUAAUAUUAAGCCACCUAGAAGUCCUUAUAUGGGCAUAAAGGGUAUGACCACUGGCAUGGUAUAAGUUAUUGAAACAUUUUUAAACCACCCUAUGUAUAUCCUAAUUUUCCAAUUAGUUUUAGGAAAAACAAAUUCAUUUGUUUUUAAAUACAUCUAUGAUGGCUAAAUGCUUAAUCUUGCUCUGAUGCCAGCUGUAACAGAACCGUCCAAUUUAUAAGAAUUUAAGUGAAUUAGGGACCACGGAGGCAAUCAAGCCAAUGGACUCGAACCCAUAUAAACCCGGUAGUCUAACGAAAUCUCAAAAGACCUCGAUUCAACCAACAUACAACCAAGAUCAUACAUGAUCAAGCAUCGCCAUCAUAGAUUACAUACAUUUAUCACAGAACAUAGUUUUACAUCACAUCAGAGUUUAAAAGAGGUUAUUACAAACCAGAGUAGUAGCGGAAACAAAGUAGUUUUAAAACAUCGCACACUCAGUUUAAAUUACAUGCCAGAUCCAUGGUCAAACCCAACAAAAGCACAACUGAAGAUAAAGAGGGUGAUCACGCCCAUGAUCUAUUCAUCGUCCGCAGCCGGAUGAUGGCAGUUAGCACAGUAGCCGUGAUAAACGACAUCAUCUGCAACAAGGGUAAAUAAACCUUGAGUACCAGAAUAUACUCAGCAAGACUUACCCGUCAUAAACCAAAAAUAAAGUGACACCAAAGGAGUAUGCAAGGCUGAUCUUUGUGGACUGGUUUGACUCACCUUUUGCAUAAAAAGCUUUAGAUGUAAGUAAUUCAUUUAUAACAUUUUAGCAGCAGGUUCAUCACAUAACAACUAUCCACUAGAUUAGCACCUGUUCUAAGCACACAAACUUGAGUAAUUAAGCAAUUCAAUAAUAACCAUAUCCGGAUUAUCACUUUGCUAUCAACAUUCUCAUCAUAACCAUUAAGUUUAUUUAGUGAAUUCUACGUUGCCGCUGCCCAAGUCAAGUUCUCACUAUCCGGGAGAGACGGUGAUUCAAAUCGAUUCCUAUCCAGCUAGAGGGGUAUUCCUAACACUCACCCAAGCAUACUUCAUGAGGGCAGCUCGGAUCACCUUUAGCACAACUCCGGACCAAUUCGCGGGUCCGUACAGCGCCGCACCCCCAGGGACCGCCAAUCUGCUAGGGUCAGGACUCUAACCAGACACCUCGGUCUUACGCCAUUGACUUCCCGCACAUCCUUGCUACCAACCAGGGUGCGCACUUAAACCGAAUGGGGUAUCCGGCCGGAGAUGCACUCGUAGGCUACGCGGUCGGAACGACUUAUCUGGCCAACUAAGUGAUAGGCAUGCGUUCAACAUGACACGGGGACGUAUAGCGAUUCGGUCCUUAACCGACACAGACGGGGAUAGAUUCACACCCAAGACCUCCAUGCCUUGUUGCUGCAUUAUCAUCUUCCCGCCCGGUCUCAAGUUCAUUAUUAGCACAUGGUUAUUUCCACGAUAGCAAAUAUAGCCAACCGUGAUCAGCAUCCACCUAUCUCUCGCAGGUGAUAGGAAAUCACCCGACUUCUACUGAGCUAGCAUGGCUAAGCAUUAUUUCGAUCCUGGACCUACUUAGGUAAGGUAUAAGGUGGACAAGGUAGUUAAUCAUGCAGCAAGGGUGUCAUAUCAACGCCUAAUACUUAAUGCAACAAUACAUAACCAUAGUCAAUUGAUAGCUGGACAUGAUAACAAAAUAGUAGGAGGCUUAUAAUGCUCCGGGGCUUGCCUUCAACGUAGGUGGACGGGCGAUGGUCGGGACACUCCGGCAAGUCCUCCUCCUCAGCUCCUUGAGGUGGCUCCCUUUGUUGAUCUUCCGGCUCCGGCAGCUCGAACUCCAAAACCGUCACCCCCUUGGGUACACCUAUGUAUGCAUGACAAGGUGAUAAACAUAGGGAAUGCACAUAAGAUGCAAUAUGUCAUGAUGCUGAGCCAAGGAACACACAACAAGGUAUAAACAUUAGCAUAAACUCCUAAAAUUAAGUGAAUCAUAGAAUAACAAGUAAGUGCAUAUUUCUUCUCUGGUAGAGAGGCUAACUAGACAAGUUAAUCAACCUUAGCUACUCCUACUCAGUCACUGGUUUCAUAGACAAACCAACUUGUCACAAGUUUCAGCUAUAACUUAAGCAUCCUUUGGCCAAACUAAGCAAGUAGAUACUCUUUGGAAAGCUUAGCAAAUUGUCUACAAUCGACUUUUAGACAUCCCAGAAUGAUUCCCAACCGAAAUAUGUUAAAACAUACAAAGUUGUCUGGCUAUCCUGGAAAAUCCAGAGAGCAAGCACUUUGCAGCAGCUACUUGUAACAUUCAUAACUUAUAAACUACUCAACCAAAUGUCAUGAAACUUGGACACGAAGUAUAUAAGCAAGUUAGCUACAAGUUUGUUGUAGACAAGUUUCCCAGAAAACAUCAUAUUCAAUUAGUUCUUAAGCAAUUGCUAUCAGCUACACAGAAUUGCUCUAUGAAAGGCAUAAAUAGCAAAAAGAAUAUUUUGCACAUAGCAAGAAUGUAUCACAGGGUCAAUCCAAUUGCACCAGUAGGUAGAACAUGACUAAGAAACACUAGAAAACAUCAUGGCAAGGUCUAAACUCAUUUCUAUCAUCACCUUUUUUAUUUAUUUAAUUAUUAAGGUGAUUUAAUGAACAUGCAUACCAAGUGCUCCAAUAAUUCUAAGACAAUUACAGCAAGCUACUUAUGCUAACACAAGGUUACUGUAAAAUUUUCAGGGCACUUGCGCAUACAGAUUGUGAGAUACAAAAAUAACAAGCUAGCAAAGGCAUGCAAGGCAUAAAUGUGAAACCCUAUCAAAAAGUGUCAAACAACAGAUUUCAGAUUUUUCCUAGCUUUGUUUACACAUGAGUACAACACUCAGCAAAUUUCACCACAAAAAGAGUUAUAACUUAUUUAUUAAAAAUACCACAAGAAACUCUUGUUUGAAAAAGAAAUAUUUAUAACUUCACAAUCGAACCUCCAAAAAUCAUGAUAAAUUUAUGAGAGCCUAUUCAUGUCAUAAGUGACAACACCCUAAAUUUGCAGGGCCACCAGAUCAACAGAUCUCAAGAUAUAAUUGUCUCCUAUAUACUCAAGAUUAAAUCAUAUAUAUUUAUUUCUGCAAAAACAUGGCAAGUUUCAUAUUUUUAAUGAAAACUAGACUUAUACAGGAACCUAACAAAAUUGGAGUCACAUCAUUUGGAUCUAUAAUACUCAAGAUAUGAAUUUUACAAAAUCAACACAGGAUCUGCAAAACAGUGAACCAGGGAUGUGUGAGAGAGAGACUGACAGGUGGGAUCCGCUGACACACGGGACCCACGCGACAGAGAGACAGAGACAGGGGAGAUGCUCGUCGCCGGCGAAACUCGACGACAACGAGGUCUCGGUCGGAUCCAAGGGCAUCUAUGUGUUCAUCUCCUCAAGGCGACUCUGUUGACCUACUUCACUCGCGCUCUACUGGACCCUAGGGUGCUCGCCGUCGUGAAUGGCGGAGCGGCGGUGCUGCGCGGCGUUAUGCCGGCGAACCUAGGCAACGGCGACGCGGUAGAGGUUGCGGACGAGCAAGAGUGAAUCAAGGCGAAGCUAUAGGAAGAAGAAUCACGGCUAGAGGUGAACCAGAGAGGUCUGGCCACGUUGCCGGUGAUCUCUGCGAACUCCGGCGAGGUGGAGCUCGCGGCGGAGUUGGCAAUGCGACCUCACCAGUGCUCGGCGAAGCGAAAGGAGUGGACGUCAAGGUAGAGGACGUCGAGGCAGAGCUCUGGACGAACUGGCUCGGCCAGAGACGGGGAGGAACGGCCGGGAAAGCUCGUCGAAGCGCGGCGGAGCUCGCCGAGGACGAAGGCGGACGCAAUGUGGCGCUCUGAACGAGGGGAGGUCGCGUCUGAGGCGUCCACUCGGUGCGUGGCGACUUGAGGACGCCGUGGGAGCUGACAGGAGGGACCGUCGACGGCGUACGGCCGACACCUGGCUGGACACGCGGCGGCGGACGGCGACUGUCCAAACUGAAUCAUUUUCUAAAUCGCCCGAUUCCGACGACUGAAACCCGAUCUUCAGCAACGUUUUACUCUCAGUUCAAUCAAUGGUUUUGGCUCGGAUUUGAUCCUUUAGAUAGAGCUACACAAGUUCUACAAGUUUGCUUACAAGAUCAAAGUCUAACUCGGUCUGGAUUUCAAUCUACAAAGCUCCCAACAACCCUACCGCGAAACUGUGAGAUUCGAGACUUAGCCAAAUUUGGCUAAGUGUGAAAUCAGCCCUGAUUUUUGCCUUGUGAGCAAUUUUGGAAUGUUUCCCAAGCCUUUUUAUGAAAAGUCAUCAACAUAACUUUUGUAUCUUACAAAAUAUACUACAACUUUGCUUUAGGUGUCAUUUACAUGCAAGGUUUCUAACAUCAGUUUCAUAAACCAUCUUUGAAAAGAGGUCUAGGGGGUCAAAUAGGUCAAUCUAGGGUUAACCAUGACUUAGGGGCAUUUUUGGCCAAAACCUCCAACAUGAACUUUGUUCAAAAUGUUGUUCUAAACAUGACUAAAGUAUUUUGGAAGACAAUGUACACUUGUCUGCAUUGGUCACCCACUAAAGUCACUCAAAUCAAGCCACACAAGUAAUUUAAUCAUACAUGGGACACAUAAGAUGACAUGUGAUCAUGAUGUGUGCUUAUGGAUGAGCAUGAUGAUGCUUAUGUUGAUGCAAUGCUCAUGGUUAACAUGCAAGCUAACACUAGGAGUGUUACACUGUUGAUUCAAGGAUCCAGGAUCAGAGGGAAACGUCCUGGCUCCGGGAUAGCGGCCCAUUGGUCCUUCCUGCUGAAGGAGAUCUCCCUGUGCGACCAGGGAGGAAAAUUCGGAUCGGCGACCAGACCGUCUGUGCUGUCCACGUUGAGGCAGGCUCUCUUCAAGAGCUUUCUUUCUUGCUUAGUCUCGAUGGAAACUUUGCCUCCGAAGAUGGAGUGGACUACGUCGGUGGGACUGACAUACUGGUGUCGUGGGUCCCUAUCCUGGUCGUCGUCCUCGUCUUCAUGGCCACGCCUGUCCUGCUUCCCAUUUUUCUUGGCGGAGUCGUCUUGAGCGGCCCACUGUGUGUAGAUGAUUUUGAGGACACGGCAUUCUUCCACUGUGUGACUGGACUUGGGAUGGAGUUGGCAUGGUCCUUUCAAUGUCUUGUUGUAAUCUUCUUAGUAGUCUCGUCGCCCAUUGGGGCGCUUGACCGUAUUCACCUCGUGGCCAUGGUCACGAGGGCGCUUGCCCCAGAAGUCAUCACGGUUGUCACGCCGCCUGUCCCAACCUUCUCUAUGGUCAUGGUUGUCAGUGCGACGAUGGAUCCUAUUGUCAAAGUGUCCACGACUGUCGUCUCGUCGAGGAGGCUGGUCGGGACCUCUCGCAUCCUCUCGGAUGAGCUUUUCUGCGUCAUCAGCGUCAGCGUAGUUUUUUGCCAUGGCGAGGAGCUCGGCCAUCGUGGUCGGCCUUUUGCGCAGUAGCUUAUUCCUUAGUGCUUCAUGGAAGCAUAGCCCUUUGAUGAAGGCUGAUAUGGCCUCGUCAUGAGAAAUUUUUGGAAUUUUAAGACGCAUAUCCGAGAAUCUUCGGAUGUAAUCACACAGAGGCUUGUUUUUCCUAUCCCUUAUUCUCUCGAGGUCGUACUUGUUCCCAGGCUGCUCGCAGGUAGCGAUGAAAUUGUCAAUAAACGCCUGGCAUAGUUCUUCCCAAGAGUCAAAAGAGUCCUCGAGCAGGCCGAGGAGCCACUGAUGGCCAGCCUGGUCGAGGACGACUGGGAAGUAAUUUGCCAUGACAUGCUCGUCUCCUGCUGCCGACCGAACGGCAAUCUCGUAGAGAGUGAUCGAGUUUUCUGGGUUUUCCUUGCCGUCAUAUUUUUUAAGCUUCUCAAGUUUAAAGUUGCGGGGCCAUACGACUUGGCGAAGGUGUGAAGAAAACUGUCUUAGGCCGGGAGGGCCGUGCGCGGCAUCGUACUCAAUGCGUCGCAAGUUUUCGUGUACCGCUAUUUCCGUGGCGCGCCGGUUGAUGCAGUCGCGGGCGUCCUUGGGAGGGAUGUUGUAUCGUAGAUCCCUGUCCUGGUUUAAUUCCUGACCACACCCACGCUUCUACUCGCGGUAGCAGCCGGUGUCCCGACCACGGUUGUCGCGCCCCAUAUCUUUCCUGUGGUUGUUGGGAGAGCAGCUACGAUGGCGCUCGCUGGGUGAAGUCCGACUGCGAUGGGUCUGGUCGGAAGAGACCUCUGUGUAGGAGAUGGCUUGGACCCUUUUGAGUAAGGUGGCUGUCUGUCCCAUCGCGGCGAUCAGGUGUGCGCGUAUGCUGGACCGAACACCCUGGCACUCAAGGGUAUCAGUGAAUCAGUCCAGGUUUGCCAUAGCAACAGCCACGUUAGCACUCAGUGUCUUGUAGACUGGCUGAUCCCCAACCAUGUCGAAAGCAUCACUGAGGUUAUGCGGCGCAAGUUGUCGUUCUUCAUCCGCGCGCCGCCGAGCGCGGUCGGCAUUGCGCUGUUCGCGGAGCUGCUUCUGCUCGUCUGUUUCUCCAUCGACAACCGGUUCAUUGUUGCUAGCAUUGAAGAUAAGAUCUCCCCGCCGAGGUGGAAAGACUGGGAAGCGAGAGAAGCCUGGAGGAUACGGUGGUAAAUCCAGGUCGUAAUCUUCGUCCUCGGAGUUUAGAACCUCGGUGGGGAUAGACCCUGUGCUGGAGUUAGUACUGGCAGCAUUGUCGUUCGGUAGUACUUGGAUUGAUACUGUUGACGGUUCUUAAGUAUCAAUUUGAAUUAUCAAAUAAACAAGAGAAAGGACCAAUAUGCAACCAACACCAAGAAUUAGGGUUUGAUCUAUCAGAAUUCCACGAGUUUUGUUGUUUAUCUAUUUCUGUAGGGGUUAUUAGGAAACAAGGAAGAAAGGCCCACAUGUCGGGAUUACAUAGAGAUAUCAACGCACCACGCAAUUUUCUACCAUCUAGAAGACUCUAGAAGCCACGGGAACAAAGUGGAGGCCGAAAGGGGCCUGGCCCAGGGCGCCCGCCCCCUCCUGGAGUUGGAUCAGGACUCUUUUCGCGGACGACGCUCCACUGACCUAAAGGAUCAAGGAUAACCGUCCAAUCAAUGUCGGUUUGAUCCAAUGACUCACGUUCACUUGAGGGGACUAUAAAACCAGACCCCCUGGCCCCUAGAGGAGACAAGUUCAUCAUAGAGUUGAGAGGAGCCCUCGAAGGAAAACCUCUCCUCUAAAUAAAAUUUCUUUUUAGGCUUAGCAACCAAUGUGAGUAGAAAUAGAUCUUCUAGUUUCUACUAGAUUGAGAGAGAUAGAGUGGAGGUGUAGAUCGGAGGAUGCUCGGCCUGUCGAUGUCUACUCCAAGCUUGUACCUGCGGGAUCAAGUUCUCCUAACCCAAAGCUUGUUCCUAGGAUUCUUCAGUAUUUCAACUUCUAAAUUCUAGUAAGUUCUUCUUUUAUUGUUCUUUGGUUUAUGAGUUUACUUUAAUCUCUUCGCGUAGAGUUUAGAGUAAUCAUCUCUAGCGUAGACGUGGUGUUUGGGCUAGGAUACUCAUAGAUAUUCCUUGACUAGCUAGACCGUGGUAGUAGCGAGGAACGUGUCAUUUCUGAGUUACCUUUGCAGACUAUAUCUCGUUAGCAGGAAGGAUAGGGUUUAUAGGUGCGGGUUGAACAUCCUCAGUGGUGUCUAGAUUCCAUAAGCUUCCCCAAUAGAACAGUAGAUCAUCCUUACCAAGGUUAGAAGGAGAUUACGGUUGUAGUCUUCUCUAUUUAUCACUCACAUCGAGAAACAUUCUUUGUUGCCUAAAGGGUUAGUAGUAAUAGACCAGGUUAGUCAGAUGCACUCUUUCUCCUAGUGGUAAAAAAAUAAAUACGAUACUCUAGAUAAUCUCCCGGGUGAAGUGCUCACCGAUAUCCGUGCGCUUGCGGAUCAAUUCCUUAUUGCAUUCCCAAAUAUCAACAAGCAUUUCUGGCGCCUUUGCCGGGGAGAAAGGUGGUUUGCUGAGAUAACCUUGAGUCUUACUACUAGCUUGUAUGUAUACUUUUAUCGUUUCUUAUCUUUUAUAUUCUGUAUUUAUUUUCUUUACUCUUACCUUAUGGAAAACCAAGAUUCUAAAUCAAUUUACCAAUUUGCAACACCUUCAGAAACUGACCUUUUACCAUGGGAGUCAUACAGCCUAUCCAAACAUCCCAGUAUAAGUUAAGUUCUAGGUUGAUUGCAAUGAUUCAAAACCUAUCUUUUUUGGGAAAGGAAGACGAAAACCCUUACCUUCAUAUUAUAGAUUUUGAGCAAACAUGUGAUUGUCUUCGCAUUGAAGGCAUUUUCGAUAAAACUUUUACGGUGGAAGCUUUUUCCUUUUUCCUUAAGGGGAGAAGCUAGACAAUGAUACAGUCAGAAGGUAAGUCAACAACGAGGUGAAUGGGGAGUUUUACGAGCCAACUUUUGUCUAGAUUUUUAUUCCCUCGACCGUAUCGGCGACCUUAGACUCGAAGUCCUAUCUUUUAAACAAAAAGAUAAUGAAACUUUGGGAAAAUCCUGGAAACAUUUUUCUAAUCUUUUAGAAUCUGGUCCAAACCUUAAUCUUGAAGACCCUGUUCUUUUAUUUCACAUUUUUCGAGGUCUUCAGAUAGAUCACAAACAAAUGCUACAUACAAUGUCUAGAGGUGCUUUCUUUCGCAUCCCUGCUAAUGAAGCUAGAGUGAUCCUAGAUAGAAUCCUAGAAGCUGAGAUGGAUAAUACCCUUCAUGAUGAAACCCACAAAGCCGAAGUAGACACUCUGCCAAAUUCUUCAUCUACUUUAGCUAUCCCAAGUUCUGAGCCACAAAAGGAAGAAAUUCCACCACCGGACUUCAUGCUGGAUAUAGAAUCUGAUCUUUUUGCCAAUUUUGGAAACAUUGCAAACUACCAUUCUACUAACAGACCCCAAAAUGGCCAUUUUAGCAUUUGUUUACCAAGUGAACAUCAAUUGAGAGAGCUUAUCUCAGUCAUGAGUAGCGAGUGGUUGGAGGAAUCAGAGCUUUCCUCUGAUGUGAUCCGUCUGGACACGCCCUCUAUAACUAUACGAUGUGCUUAUGAUUCUGAUCGAUUUGAUGCUCUUUAUAAUCCUGUUGUGGGGAUCAACAUUAUGUCUGAAUCUUUUGCACUUAAACUAUUUAAAAAUCUUGUCUUAACCCCCACAACAAAGGUCAUAAAGGAAUCUUCAGGACGAUUAGUCCCCAGUCUUAGAAUUAUUAAUGUCCUACCUCUUACGCUAGAAGGCUCCAUGGUUCAUUUGAACUUCUAUAUCUUUGAUACAUGGGACUUCGACCAGUUGAUAGGACAGCCUUUUAGAAGACUUCUUUAUGAGGGUCAUACUGGAAAGCUACACAUUUCUUUUGGAAAAACCUUUAAAUUCCCAAUAACAAUUUCUCACUCCUUAAAUAAUAAGGCUGAGUCAUAUCUUUUGCCUGAUCCUAUGCAGGAGGUAAAGGCUGCAUCUCUAGAGCUAUUAGAUGAACCAGACUUAGAAUACGAAACUCCUUUCUUCAUAGAAGAAGAAGUUGAAUCUUCCGAACCUGAACCCUUAGAUGAGUAUGCAGAAACACCUAGACGUACCAUAGAGCUUAAAACUUUACCACCCGGUCUUAUCUAUUCUUUCCUAAACAAUAAUCCAGAGUUUCCUGUGAUCAUUAGUGAUAGACUCACUCAGGAGCAAACUCUGCGAUUAAUGACCAUUCUUGAGAAACAUCACUCAGUUUUCGGCUACUCACUCCAAGAUCUUACAGGAAUUAGUCCUAUGAUUUGUACCCAUCGUAUUCCGACAGAUCCUUCUGUUUCACCCUCUCAAGAACCUCAACAUAGACUGAACAACACGAUGAGAGAGGUAGUUAAAAAGGAAGUUAUAAAGUUGCUGCAUGCAGGGAUUAUAUAUCCUGUGCCGCAUAGUGAGUGGGUAAGCCCAGUUCAAGUUGUGCUUAAAAAGGGAGGCAUGACUGUUAUAAUGAAUGAAAAGAAUGAGCUAAUUCCGCAACGCACCGUCAUAGGAUGGCGGAUGUGCAUAGACUAUAGAAAACUAAACAAAGCCACAAGAAAGGAUCAUUUUCCUUUACCUUUCAUAGAUGAGAUGCUAGAGCGAUUAGCGAACCAUUCAUUCUUUUGUUUCAUAGAUGGAUAUUCAGGGUAUCACCAAAUCUCGAUCCAACCCGAUGAUCAAAGCAAAACCACUUUUACAUGCCCAUAUGGAACUUAUGCUUACCGUAGAAUGUCUUUUGGGUUAUGUAAUGCACCAGCUUCUUUUCAAAGAUGCAUGAUGUCUAUAUUUUCUGAUAUGAUUGAAGAGAUUAUGGAAGUUUUCAUGGAUGAUUUCUCUGUUUAUGGAAAAACUUUUGAUAGUUGUCUUGAAAAAUUAGACAAGGUUUUGCAGAGAUGUGAAGAAAAGCACUUGGUCCUUAAUUGGGAAAAAUGUCAUUUUAUGGUUAGGGAAGGAAUAGUGCUGGGACACCUAGUGUCUGAAAGAGGUAUUGAGGUAGACAAAGCUAAAAUUGAAGUAAUUGAACAACUACCUCCACCUGUGAAUAUAAAAGGAAUUCGAAGCUUUCUUGGCCAUGCUGGUUUUUAUCGUAGAUUCAUAAAAGAUUUCUCAUUUGUUGCUAGACCACUUACUCUUUUGCUAGCCAAGGAUGCUCCUUUCGAAUUUGAUGAUGCAUGUCUAACAUCUUUCAAUUUAUUAAAGAAAGCACUCAUCUCUGCACCAAUCAUUCAACCCCCUGAUUGGUCGUUGCCUUUUGAAAUUAUGUUUGAUGCUAGUGAUUAUGCUGUGGGGGCAGUUUUGGGACAAACUAAAAAUAAGAAGCAUCAUGCAAUUGCUUAUGCCAGUAAAACUUUGUCAGGAGCUCAACUUAAUUAUGCAACCACUGAAAAAGAGCUUCUGGCUGUUGUCUUUGCCAUUGAUAAAUUUAGAUCUUAUCUAGUUGGAGCUGAAAUAAUUGUUUACACUGAUCAUGCUGCACUAAAAUAUUUGCUCACUAAAAAAGACGCUAAACCUCGCCUAAUUAGAUGGAUCUUAUUACUCUAAGAAUUUGACUUAGAAAUAAAAGAUAAAAAGGGAGUAGAAAAUUCUGUUGCUGAUCACUUGUCUAGAAUGUAUUUUAAGAAUCCACAGGAAACCCCCAUCAAUGAUUCACUCCGGGACGACAUGCUCUACGGGAUUAACAGGUCUGACCCCUGGUAUGCAAAUAUUGUUAAUUUUAUGGUUUCAGGGUAUGUACCACCAGGAGCAAACAAGAAGAAGCUUAUUCAAGAAAGUCAUUCACAUAUAUGGGAUGAGCCAUACCUCUUCCGGGUAUGCUCAGAUGGCUUACUCAGGAGAUGUGUGACCACUGAGGAAGGAUGGAAGAUCAUCGACAGAUGUCAUUCAUCACCAUAUGGACGUCAUUAUGGAGCAUUCUGUACACAUUCAAAGAUCUGGCAGUGUGGAUUCUACUGGCCUACAAUGUAUGAAGCCACGAAGCAAUAUAUGAGAAGAUGUGGGUCAUGUCAAAGGCACGGAAAUAUAAAUACAAGGGAUGCAAUGCCACUCACCAACAACCUUCAGAUUGAGCUCUUUGAUGUCUGGGGAAUAGACUAUAUGAGUCCAUUUCCUCCAUCAAAGAAGUGUGAGUACAUCUUGGUGGCAGUUGACUACGUCUCCAAGUGGGUAGAGGCAUUACCUUGCAAGCAUGCCGACAACAUCAGUUCAAAGAGGAUGUUUGAAGAAAUUAUAAUUCCAAGAUUUGGAGUCCCCAGAGUAGUGAUAAGUGAUGGAGGAGCACACUUCAUCAACAAACGCUUCAAGCAAUAUCUAUCAAAACAUGGAACCCGUCAUAACGUCGCUACCCCCUACCAUCCGCAGACAAGUGGCCAAGCAGAGACUUCCAACAACCAAAUCAAGAAUAUUCUUUAGAAGACAGUUAAUGAAAUGGGAACGGCAUGGAGAGACAAGUUACCCGAUGCACUCUGGGCAUACCGGACAGCAUACAAGUCCCCAAUUGGAAUGUCUCCAUACCAAUUGGUGUACGGGAAGACUUGCCACCUACCUGUUAAACUAGAAUUCAAAGCACACUGGGUCAUAAGGAGAUGGAAUAUGGACCUAGAUGUCGCUGGAGAUCAUAGAAGAAUGCGACUAUCAGAAUUGGAAGAAUGGCAAGAGAAAGCAUAUCACAAUUCGAAGAUCUACAAAGAAAGAGUCAAAAGGUGGCAUGACAAGAGAAUCAAGAAGAAGGAGUUCGCACCCGGAGAUAUGGUGUUGAUGCAAAAGUGGAUCUGCAAACAGAAAGAGCUAAUACCCGAUUUCAAACAUUAAGGCGUGCCAGCCGAUUUGACCUUACUAUCGGCAAAGGUGAUAGCUGUAACAUCCGUGAUGUUACGAACACUAAAACUAGAUCAUGUCAUCAUAAGCAUUGCAAAGCAUAUUCGUUAAGCACAUCAUUAUGCAUCAACUUAAAAUAAGUUUAUUUUUGUUGAUUGUGCUUAGGGAAUUAAAGUGUGUUUAUCUUGUGAAGUGAUGCUUGUGAUGGUUGUUUAAUCCCUAGUUAAGGAGGUUUGUAAGGAGGCAGCUAAGAAAAACCCCUAAUUUCAACCCUAGUUUUUACCCCCGUUUGUGUAACUUAAAAACUAAGCAAAAUUUGGGGAUGAGUUCAAAUGCAAAGUUGUAGAUCUUGUCAAGGUGUACAACUUUGGUGUUUCGAGUUUUUGAAGUUUCAAUACAAAAUUGAAAGUAAUUUUGAAAAUACAGAUUUCCAGAAAUUGUCCCCUUUUCCAAUUUUAAUUCCUAAUUCAAAACCUAUUUGGAAUCUUGAAAAGGGAUCAAAAUAAAAGUUGUAGGGCUCAUCAAAAUGAACAACUUUUAUUUUGGGAGUUUUUCAAGUUGUUGAGAAAAAUCAAAAGUAAUUUUAGAAUUUCUAUUCUGCCCCAAUUAAAACCAGUUUUGCCCCCAAAUUUAAAUUUUUGAAUUUCAAACUGUUUGGCUCAAAUUCGUCCCUCUAUAUUCAAAAUUUGUUUUGGGUCAUUAAAUAUGAUUUGUAGAGUUCAAAAUUCUUAACAAAUGUUGUUUUGGCUGAAAUUUGAGUGGUAUUCGAAUUUUGGGAAUAAUUUUGGAAAUUGAAGAGAGGGGAUAAGCACUGCUUGCUACAGUCACCAAUGGCUGACAGCCAACUCCGGCACCCUAGCGCUGCCGAGCUCGCGCUGGCACUCUGAAUGAGAGCCCAUGCAGCUGCCUGCUUGCUUAUUGUCUCGACCUCAACUGGAGCCAUCCUCAUCCACUGAACCCAAGCCGCCAUUCUUCCUGCUAACUGCCGCCGCCGUGUUUUGCUGUCGUCACCAUAGCACGCCGCCCACACUCUCUAUCGAGAACCAGCAGCUCCGCCAUCCUCUUGCGACGCGAUAGCGUCCACUCAAGCAUGCUCAACCCUCUCCAAUUCCCUGGCCGGCUCUCUUCUUCCCCGGAGUCGGCAGAAACGUCGCCGCAACCUCGCCACCAUGGCCAGCCCUCCUCCGUGCUUCUCCACCAUUUCUGAGCAGCUUGACAAAGUCGUGGUGAGUCCCUGAUGCUCCCCAACUCUUCCCCUCGCCCCCAACGAACGUCAACAGGCCGGAAAUCAGGUUUCGUCCAAUAUCCUCUGCUCUCGAUUCGCGACCAGGGACUUCGCGCAACAAUUUGAAGUUCUCCAGGGGUCUAAUUGCACAGACUGUGACUCAGGUGAAUAGUGCUAUAAGGACUUGUUUGUAGAUGUUUUGUUGAAUCUUUGAAAAUUCAUAUCUGGAGUUUGGUAACUCAAAUUUUCGUGAAACAAAUUUUGUUGUCCUCCUUAAGUUGUCUAGUUUUUAUUAAAAAUAUAUAACUGACCAUGUUUUGUAGUAAAAUAAUUGAUUAUGAUUUAUGCCUUUUAAUUAUGUUUAAAAAGGAGAAAUUCAUAUCUCAUUCUGUGUAGCUCCUAUGGGCCUGAACUUUUUAUUAUGUUCUCAUGAUGUUAUGUGAGUGUUGCAGUAAAAAUUUCAUGUUUAGUAGAUGAUAUAUGGUGAAGUUAUUAUUUUAUCUUGUUUAGUGCUUAUUAAAUAGUUUAUAAUUAAACUAAAAAUUAAUAAAUAUAAAAUAUGGUUCCUGUACCCUUAUAUGAGGUUGUUAUAUCAUAUAGAUACAUAAUUUAGCCAUGUGUUUGUAGAAAAUGUCGAGUUUCUUAUUUAUCUUUUUGUUACAUCCUUCCUUGUAAUGGAAAUUUAUCUUUUUCAUGGAAAUUGCUAUACUUUUCCAAAUGGCAUGAAAUUUAUACAGUAGACUUUGGAGAGCAUAUAUGAGCUUCUGUAGUUUUCUCAGAAUUUACUGUGUACUUUUGAUAUAUGGUUAUUACUUUGUCUAUUUAUCUAAAUAAAUUAAUAAAGACAUGAAAGGUAUUUAUUUAGGGAUGGCCAUGAUGUUUUCUAGUAUCUCUUUGAUGUAUUUCAACUGUUGGUGAGCUGGGUUUUGCCCAGGUUCAAGUUUGGAACAUAAAUGAAAUAUGAUUUCUCUAUAAUUCAAAUGUUAGUGGUUUCUCGACAAUUUCUGGAGCAUUAUGAAUUGCUCUAGGUAAAUAAUGUUGGAUAUGAAACUUGUCUAUAACAAAGUUGUAUAGAAUUCAUGUAUCUAGCUGGUGUUAAAUUUUGGUGGCAUUAGUCCUUGUAGUUUCUGAAUUAUGCCUGUUUAAAUUCAAGUUUCAGAAAUGGUUCCCUCUGUCAAAUCCUGGAUCAGUUUCUGUAGUUGUGCAAUUUCGACCUACUAAACUUAUGAAUCAUGCUUUCAUGAUAAAAGAUGAAUUGUAUUGAUUUUCAUAAGCUUUCCAAAAUGUUAUGGAUCAUGAAUUUUGGUGAUCUAGAACUCUGGUUAUAGAUGUAUGAAGCUUAAUGUCUGAUUCUGUCCAAGGUCUGGACAGAAUUGUUUAUUCAUACUGUUUGGCCAUUUUAUCUAUUAAAUCAGUUCUCGAAGAUGAUAACAAAGUUGCAGAAAAUUAUAUAAGCUUUCCAGAAAGUCUAAUAUCACCUUUAUUGGAUGCUUGGAUCUCUAAUUAUGGUUGAAUGAAGUUGUGUAUAUGCUGCUGUCCUGGUUAUGUGUGCAAAUAGAGUUGAUUGUUUUUAGCUAGCCUUUACUUAAACAAUGAGUAGCUUAAUUUCCAAAUUAGAAUUUGAGUGAUUUUGGAAUUGUGUGAUGACCUGAGGUCAUUAAUCUUAAUGACCUUUGGCAUUUAAUUAUUGUUUGGUAUUAAUACUUAAUUACUGUCACUAAUACUUAAUUAAGAAUUAAUUUAGAUAAAAAGGACUAAUAAUUAGUUAACUAAGACUAAUUGUAAAUUAAGGAAAGUCUUAGCUUACUGAUGCAACCUCUUGGGUAAGAACAUUAAAAUGAUAAAUAACUUUAGUUACUGUUUAGCCUGUUUUUGCACCAAGAAGGAAAGUUGUACUCAACUCGGUCCUUCUUAAAUAUCUGUCAUAUGCAUAUCAUGAGCAUUCAUCAUUUUGCGUAUAGUGCACGUGACCGAAGGAGCGACCGUUAAACCAAGCCCCGAGGUCGGUGCUCCGUUCGAGGAAAUAGGAUCCGAGACUUGGGAAGUCUUCGAGGGUCUCUCUCAGCUCUGCAACCAAGGCAAGCCCCGGAUGCAUUAACCCCUCCUUGAAUGUUUUAAAUCUUUUAUCACUUAUGAAUUGAAAAUGCUGCAUUAGGUAGUCGAGAAUUGGGUUAACCUACUUGCUGCAUUUACUACCUUGAUAUUUGUUAUCUUGUCCUUGGCACCUGUUUUAUUUUAAAACUGGUGAUGCUUAGCGCUGCUACUAGAUAGGAUUUCAAACAAGAAAGUUUGAAGGGUUGUUGUGGAAUACACUUAUGGUCAAUGAUGUUUCAACUUGAGACCGGUCGGUGGACUUGCUUUAAGAAUAGAGUAUUAAAGUAGUGUCUCCAACUGUGUCGGUUAAGGACCGGUCCGUUGAUGGCCCGCUGGGUUGAGAAUUUAUAGUACUAGCCACUUGCCCUCGGUAAGCCCGGUCUUGUGAUCCCUCGACGCGAACAGCUACUCGCGCACUGGGCGUGGAGCGAUGGCGAGAGUAGUGUGUACCCUCCUAGCAAAUGGGCUGGAUGGUGGGGUACUGUGCUCUCGGGUGCCGCGAACCUGGUCAAAUUUGGGGAGAGCUCGAUUUGGGUUGACAUAUGCAAGAUUUGGUUCUACAUAUGUCGGGUGGUUAGGAACUCCAGCUGGAUUGCUAAGUGGUUCGAAUCGUCGUUGCUCCCUGAUUGGGAGACUCAAUCCACUGACCCUCAUCGUAGUUAAAUAUGCAACUAAGUGAUAAAAUGAGAAAGGGGGUAAUGUCCCAUGAGGUUCGGAUCCCAAUUCCCGGACUCAGAGUGACAUGAAGCUAUGGCCGUUGGAUAGAUAAUACUUUGAUUAAGGAAUAGGAACUUACAGACUUGUCUGUGAGAAGCAACUAGACAGAGUGUCCUCGAACUCCUCGACCUCUUAAGGAGAGGAAUUCAUGGGUAAAACUUGAAAGUAAGGAUGCACUAUUAGUAAGCUUUUUGGCAAAACAAUUUGGCUCCUUGCUCAUCCACUCCUUGUCUACCCUAAGCCUGCAUUCCUAAGUUCUCCUCUUUUUCCGCCGGGUAAGUCUUGUUGAGUACUCCCGUACUCAGGGUUUUAUAACCCCCAUUGCAGGUGCUGACUUAGACUGCUAAUGGAGGUCUUGUCGGUGGGCGCGACAUGAUUUAUCCACCUCUUCUACCUUAGAAGCUUCACCUAAGAUGCUUCCGCUACUCUACACACCUUUUGAAAAUUUAGUUGUUUAUAUUCCAUCAUAUGUUGUAAGUUGAGUUAUAGAUCUUCCGCACACUGAUUUAAGUUAUUUUUGUAACAAAUGUUUUAAUAUUGUGGUAACUCCAUGUUGAUCCUGUGUGAGUUAAAAUGUGGAUGAUUCGGGGUCCUCCGAGGGCACCCGACACACUAUCCAAGUUAUAUGACUCUCAUGUACAGUAGUCAGAGGUCUAAAGGACAAUGUCAAGUGCAUGUGGGCCAUAUAAUUCGGGUGGUUCUGCCACAGAGUGGUAUCAGAGCUCAUACAUGGAUCUUCUGCAACAUUACUUGUGAAAAACUUCAAAAGGAAUUUACAAAUUAAAAGUUUUGAGGAUAACAACUUGUAAAUGCUCCUUAACUUUUCUUGUGCUUGCUGUCCGGGUUCUACGAAGACUUUCUGCUGACUCAAAUAGAAGACAUUGAAAGAGGCUUCAAGUCUUUGGCAAGCCAAGUGAAGAAUCAAACCAAGUGAAUAAGUCUUUGGCAGGUUAAUGAUAAUUAACUUGAGGCUAAUAAGAAUGGUUUAUUUAUCCAACUUAAGCUCUUUAUGCAAAAACACGUCAAGCCAGCUCCACUAUUUAAAGUAAGCCUUGCAUGACCCUUGGUGUCCUUGUUUUGGUUAGACGAGUAAGUCUAGCUGAGUACAACCUUGAACUCAGGGUUUAUUCCCACUUAUUGCAGAUGACAUCUUCUAUGACAGUUUCUACAAGACCUGUCUUCACCCUGCUAGGGAUGAUGACUAACCGUUGGGCGUGGUUCUCUAAGACUUCGUACCUAACUUGCUUUUGGUGGAUGAUGAGACACUGGCUGUAUUAAUAAACUUGUGAUGUUGGUUUGAAAACUAUGUUGCUUCCGCCACUAGGAACUUGUUUUGUAAUAACUUAAGUGAACUCUGAUGUGUGUCGCUUCGUCGACCAUGUAUGAAAUGCUAUAACAAUCGAUGUAUUAUGCUGAAUUUAUUACAAUCUUUGUUUGUUGCCAAGUUGGUUGGAAAUCUGUAACACCCUAAAUUUUGCUUCUUUGAAAAUAGAGCUAAAAUAAUUUAUUUUGUAUUUCUGUGCUCAUGAAAAUAUAGUAAAAUGAAAUUUUCCUUAAAUUAAAAUUCAUCAUAGGGUUUAGCAACAUUGUUGUGCAUACAUGCUGGUAAAUAUGUUUUAUGUGAUGUUUGUUUGUUGCUCCUUUGUGUGUUGAGAGUGAACAAAGUUUUUAAAAUGCGUUUAGUAGAUCGAUCUUCCUUAACCGGUACAUCUCUAUCUUUAUCUCCGAUCAAAUUCCUUGUUGCUCAGCUCAAGUUUUUAUUAGGAGCUUCCUAAAAUCUUUUCUUUGUCACCCAAAUCGCAUCUUUUGAUUUCUCAUUCAUCAAGCAGUCUCUACAAACUUUUUUGGAAUUCUUCAGAUUCCGUUCUCACUUCUCUGUAAGUAUCAUCUAAUUUUUAGAUGCUCCAAAAUAAUCUUAUCAUGGACUCUAAAUACUUUAUUUGAGUUCCUCAUGUUCCAUAGUGUCUCUGAGAAUUUUCUCCGAAUUUUCAGAGCUUUCAGAAUAUUUUUCACAGUUUAAAUAAUAAUUCUAGACUUUUCUAGAAUUAUUUUAUCCAUAAAAUUAAAUAAUUCUGAAAAUAAUAAAUCCUUCAUUUUACCACAAUGCUCAGCUCAUGAUCUCAAAGGCCAAUAUAUUUAUUUACUAGUGGACUUAAAUAAUUAAUCAGGCCUAUUAGUAAAGAUGGAGAUUGCAACACAGUUAGUACCAUAUUGCUAAUUGAUGUGGAUGUGAAGAGUUUUUCUUGCUAUAUAUAUGUACGAACUCCUUGGGUUAACACCAAAACUACCAUAUGGGGAGCUUCUAGUUUGAAAAAUCGCUCGUAUAGUAAAAUUAUAUUUUUCUUCUUUUGCCGUCGGGCAGCCAUCGUGGACGCUUCUAUGCCCCGCACAAGCCGGAGCUUCCUGCCGUGACCAUAGUUCUAUCUACGGUAGCUACCUCUCCGGCCAUCGUCCGUCUCCGUUGGUGAGAAAUCCAGCAUACAGCUCCUUCGUCUCUCCUUUACAUGAUGUGCACAGCUCACAGGUCAGGCAAUCCUACAGGUUUUGUUCCGGUUGGACAACUUGCAAGCGUCUCGCUCCGGUAUUUUUUUUAUCUAAAGAACCAUGCAUAUCCACCAAAUCUGAGCACAUGACGUGAUUGAGUUUAAGAUCUGUAUGUGCACCCUUGAAGUCGAGCUGCCUCCACUGUAAUCCUACAAAUCUUUGUCGUUGCCAAUAGCUUGUGUCUUCAAUCUGUUUCCAGAUGGCAAGCUAACUUGGUAAGUGUCUCGAUGUUCGUAGUUUUUUUAUUGAGCUUGUACUGACGUAAUAUACAUCGUAGUAACUAUGUUUUCUAUUAUCAAGUAUCUCUAAAUUUUAUAUUUUAAAUAGUAAUAUGAUUAAUAUGCACACAAGUAGUUUUAUAAUUAACAACCACAUAAGCAUAAUACUUUGAUAUCUUAUACAUAUAUAUCUUAAUAUGUUUAAUCGCUAUCACCAUGUUUUUGAAUUCUAAAUUGUUUAGUUUAAACCCACAUCACAAGCGUUUCGCUUGUCCUUUUAAUUAGCAAAGUUAGUGUUUAAUUUAUUCAAAUAUACAACAAUAUUUAUAUGUAAAAUAUGACUAGAUUUAACUUAGCUUUUAAAUUAAAUUAAGAUUUAUCUGAUCUAAAUUAAAUGUCUCUAUGAUUUUGUUUAACUAACAUAAAAUAAAUCAAACUUGUAGUUGUUUCUUUUAUAAUAAAAAUAUAAACCUUUUAGUAGUCGUUUCUUUUUAUCAUAGCCCUCGGUGUUUCUAGCGUUCUCAUCACCAUAGUAAUUAUUUCUCUCUUAAUACGUUAUUUUCUUUUGUGCAGUGUAUUGUUCUUAGUUUCUUUUAUUUAUUCCUUGUAUGUUUGUCUAUGUGUGGUGUUUGGUAUGAGUAGAGAAUGUGAACCAUUUUAUCGACGUUGAAGAUUAAGAGGGCAUGACUAGAAGAUAAUUGAAGGUUCUAUAAAGGAGUUGCUCUAGAUAUUAAGCAAUUGGAUCAAGGCAAGUAUAGCAUUUGGAUUUUAUUUCUGUGACCAUGAUCCUGUGACUAGAUUAAUGUUAAGUAAUAAAUGAUAAAAAUGAUAUUUUAGCAACUUGAUGAUUUAUCUGUACGUGAUCACCCGAGACAACAGUGCAACCAUGAGGGCUAUAAUGGCUCUGGCUUUAACUCAGUAUGAAAACCUUUUUAGAGGUUACCCGAAAGGGCGCUAGAGGGGCUGAACCGUUUUGGGUAUAGUGUGGCCUCUGUCUGUAUGUGUAUAGGCUGCGCGUCAUUGUGCCAUCGGAAGGGGGGCUCUAUAUCUACGCGCGAAGGAAACCUUGCGGCCCUGUCACACCCAUAUUUUAAGAACAAAAUAGGAUGCAUAAAAGACUCAUAUGGGCCCCAGAAACAGUCGCACACAUAAGUAGACAAAUCUCAAAUGUACCAUUGCAGUGUUUAUUACAUAGCGGAAUAUAAAAUAUCACAUAGUCUCAUACAAAAAUGAUAGCAUAAAGUAAACAACGCUCUCGACGGAAGCUCCACACAGAGACACUGUUGACUGGUUGACUCCAAACCUAGUACUCAUAACGGUAAUCCUCAUUCCAGUCAUCUUCAUUAUCAUAUCGUGAGGUGUUAGAAAAUUGCAAGAGUGAGCACAUAUCGUACUCAACAAGUAUAACCAGGGGUUCAUGAGGCUUAAAUAGCUGACAUAGGUUUGACUGCGUUUAGCUUUUAAUAGUGGGUAGCAUAUUCAUAAUUAAAUGGCAAUUGUCAAGGUAGCAUAAAUAAUCCAUUAACCACAUGAUCAAGUGUAAGCAUAAUUAAUUCUUAGCAUAAACGAUAAUCAAAUGAACAUAACAACUUAAUAAGCUCAUUGUCGGCGCAGCAAGAACCCCCAAGGCCGCUCAUAACUGUGAGCACGGCUAGUAUACCAGUUUUACACUCUGCAGAGGUUGUACAUCUUUACCCAUGAGUCAUGAUUUACCCUUUCGCCCGAGGUAGCUAAUCUCUUAACCCCCUUCCUAGGGAGGUCAGCAGGGAUCACUAUGAAGCCUUUCAAAAGUUCGUCUAACAUGUUAGGGCCACAAGGUUUUCUUUACACGCAGAUAUAGAUACCCCCUUCCGAAUGGCACAAUGACGUGCAGCCUAUACACAAAGGGACAGGGGCUCGCACUAUACCCAAAACGGUUCAGCCCCUCCGCCCUUUCGGGUAACCUCUAACAAGCUAGAAAAGUUCUUCAUACUGAGCUAAAGCCAGAGCCAUUAUAGCCCUCAUGGUUACACUGUUGUCCCGGUGAUCACUUACAGACAAAAUCUCAUAUAGUUAUUUGUCAUCAUUUAACGUUCAUUGCAUAGCUAUUAAUCAUCUUACAAGAUCAUAGAUUAUAUCAAGCACUAGCACAUCUACACCAAAUGCAUAUCAAAUAGGUAGCAAGGAAUCCAGGUAACAAUCAUCUAUGAUUUUGCUAAGGUCGACAAGGUGAUAGCAUGCAUAUGAUAUAUAUGUGUACUUAAGUGAAUAGGUAACAAGGAUGAUCCCAAGUUAUACUUGCCUUGAUCAAAGCUCUCCAGAGCCUGCUGGUCUUCAAAAGCUUGGUCUUGAUCACCAACGUACGGCUCACCGUCUAUUCCCAAACAUCAAUCAACAACACGCAAUCUAAUGGAGACAAUCAUACACAAAGCAAACAAGAUAUAAUUAGAACAUUACACCAAACAGUGGUAAAACAAAGAUAAAAGUUUAUGAAAAUAUUCUACGCAGCGCUACGAUCACACAAACGUAAAGUUCACGAAAAUCAGAAUUAAAACGUGAAAGAUAUGAAUUUUCUAAGAUUUCCUAUAGAGAAAUAAUUAAUUAAAUACUACUGCAGAAUUAAAAAGUUUCAAAACAGUGAAAUAUUACUUCUAACAUGUAGAUCUUGUAAAUACGAAUCUAACAAAAUUUGAAUGGUCAAAAACGUAGUGAAAAUGAGCAUUUUAUAAGCAUUAUAAAUUCAGUGGCAAAACUAUAAAAUGGCUGAAAACGCCUUUGAUCUCAACCAGACACGAGUACGCUUUCGCAAUAGGAAAAUGUAAUCUGGUGCAGGGCGCCAAGGACCGCGGGCAAAAUACAAAACUAACAAGGGACUCUUUAUCAAAAACCGCAGUGAAAGGGUAUGUUUAAAUCGUGGCCGUUGAUCUUCGGUUGGACAGCUGGCAGGCUUCCUGGGCGUGCAGAGCCGUCGUCCGGCCGGAGCUCAGCACCGGCUCGGUGGCGCCAUGGCCACCGCCGCAAAGCUCACUGGCGUUCGCGGGUUCCUCGUUUCCCAACACCAAACUCCAAAAUAAAAAUACCAACGCGUGGAGGAGCUUACCGCGAACUCGCUAGUAUGGUUAGCUCGAGCUGAGAAGGCACCGAGAGGAGCAGCUGCGCGCGGCGGCGGUUAUCUCCCUCGACGAGUGCGAGUUCAAGGCGGCUAGGGCUCUGUUUUGUGACUUAGAUGCAAAAGCACGACGCGGGGCAUCGCGAUUCGCGAUAAGGGCAAGGAAAUCCCGAGAUUUUGGGAUUGAUUCGGUAGGAGGUUUCCUGCUCGGUUACGAACAGGGAAGAGGAUGGGGAAGACGCCACUUCGGAGGGUCCCACUUGGCGGUGAGAGAAGGGGACGGCCCCAACUGUCGGCCAGAGAGGGAAGGGAGGGGAAGGUCAGCGCGUUGCUGAUCGGCAUGGGCCGCGGCUUGCUGGGCCGCGGGGAGGAGGAGGCGCGGGGGGGGGGGGGGGGAAAGAAAGGCAGGCCAGGGAGGGAGUGGGCCUCGGCCAGACGCAGGGGUUGUUUCCCCUUUUUUUCUGUUUUUAUUUUCCAAAACAUUUUCCAAAGCAAAUUUUGAACAAAAAUAAAAGAUAAAAACAGAAACACACAACACAAAAUGAAUGCUAUUCUCAGCAUGAAUGCAAAAAGCAUGUUGCUGCCCUUACGAUAAAUUUUAUUCUCCAUAAAAUUAUUUAUUUGCUUGGUUCAAAUGCUCCCAUAAAUUCUUAAAUAAAUCAAAUAAAGUCCUAUUAAUAUAAAUCCAGAUUUUGGGUGUUACAAACUCUACCCCCUUAAAAGAAUCUCAUCCUCGAGAUUGAACGGUGCUUACUCGAACAGGUAUGAGUAUGAUCUCCUCAGAUCAUNNNNNNNNNNNNNNNNNNNNNNNNNNNNNNNNNNNNNNNNNNNNNNNNNNNNNNNNNNNNNNNNNNNNNNNNNNNNNNNNNNNNNNNNNNNNNNNNNNNNCACAUCAUGCACACCAGAUAAGCUUUCAGGCAAUUCUAACUGGUAUGCUACUUCUCCACGCCUUUCUAAUACUUUAAACGGACCAACAUACCUUGGAGCUAACUUUCUCUUCAUAUUAAACCUCUUCACACUCCUCAUUGGUGAUACUUUCAGGUAGACAUAAUCACUUGCUUGAAAAACCAGCUCUCUCCUACGUGUAUCUGCAUAGCUUUUCUGACGAGAUUGAGCAACUCUCAAGUUAUCCCGAAUAGUCCGCACCUAUUGCUCUGCAUGUCUAAGCACAUCUGUACCAAACAUCUGUGUUUCCCCUGUCUGAUUCCAAACAAAGAUGUCCUACACUUCCGACCAUACAGUGCCUCGAACGGUGCCAUCUUAAGACUUUGCUGAUAGCUAUUGUUGUAGGAGAAUUCUGCAUAUGGCAAACUCUUGUCCCAACUAGUCCUAUACUGCAAAGCACAAGCUCUCAACAUAUCCUCCAAUAUCUGAUUGAUCCUCUCAGUCUGUCUAUCUGUCUGUGGAUGAUACGCUGUACUAAAAUUCAACUUUGUUCCCAAUGAAUCAUGCACUGCUUUCCAAAAGUGAGAUGUGAAUUGAGUACCCCUAUCUGACACAAUCUUCUUAGGUACUCCAUGCAAACAAACAAUUCUUUCCAUGUAUAACUCUGCCACUCGGUCUCCACUAUAUGAAGUUUUGACAGGUAUAAAAUGAGCAACCUUAGUCAAUCGAUCCACUAUCACCCAUAUUGAGUCAUACCCUCUCUGUGUUCGUGGUAAACCCACUAUAAAAUCCAUACCCACUUCUUCCCAUAUCCAUUCCGGAAUCUUCAUUGGUUGUAACAGUCCAGCUGGCCUCUGAUGUUGCGUUCACUCGUUGACAAGUAUCACACAAAGCAACAUACUCAGCUACAUCUCUCUUUAAACCAUACCACCAGUACUUCUGUUUUAGAUCUAGAUACAUCUUAGUGCUACCAGGAUGAAUGGAAUAUGCUGACUCAUGAGCCUCUCUCAGAAUCAUAUCACGAAUAGCCUUUACCAGGAACACAUAUCCUUUUUCCAAACCACAGUACACCAUUGUCAUCUAUUUUGAAUCCUGGUGCUUUGCCUAGUACCACAUUCUGUGCUAUCUCCUUUAGUUUCUCAUCUUCCAACUGUCCUUUCAAUAUCUCUUCCUCUAGUGUAGGAGUGAUCUCAAUUUCCAUAGCAUUCACUACAAUUCCCAAGUUCAAAUAUGCAAAUUCAGCACACAACUCCUCAGAUUCAGGUGUCGCCCGAAGCUCAUUAGCAUAUUUCUUUCUGCUAAGUGCAUCAGCUACGACGUUUGCCUUUCUAGGAUGAUAAUGCACUUCCAAAUCAUAAUCCUUUAUCAGUUCCAACCAUCUUCGUUGCCUCAAGUUCAGGUUGGCUGGGUGAAGAUAUACUUCAAACUCUUAUGAUCAGUGUAUAUGUCACUCUUAUGCCCAAUCAAAUAGUGUCUCCAAAUCUUCAAUGCAUGAACCACAGCUGCUAACUCUAGAUCAUGAGUAGGAUAAUUCAGUUCAUGUUUCCUCAACUAUCUAGAUGCAUAAGCAACAACUCUACCUUCUUGCAUAAGAACACAACCCAAACCCAGACGAGAAGCAUCACAAUAGAUAGAGAAACUCUUGCUCAGAUCUAGCAAUACCAACACAGGUGCAGUAGUCAAUCUCUUCUUAAACUCCUCAAAACUAGCUUGACACUUAUCAGACCAUACAAACUUAGCAUUCUUCUCCAACAGAGCAGUCAUAGGCUUUGCAAGUUUUGAGAACCCUUCAAUGAAUCUACGGUAAUAGCCAGCUAAACCAAGAAAAUUGCGAAUUUCACUUACAUCUGUAGGCGGUUUCCAAUUCAACACAUCUUUCACCUUACUAGGAUCCACUGCAAUACCACCAUUAGAGACAACAUGACCAGGAAAAGAAUCUUCUUCCAACCAAAACUCACAUUUACUACGCUUAGCAUACAGCUUAUGUUCUCUAAGUUUCUGUAAGACCAAUCUCAGGUGUUCAGCAUAUUCUUCCUUGGUUUUGGAGAAUACCAUAAUAUCAUCAAUAAAGACCACCACAAACUUAUCAAGAUACUCCAUAAAUACUUUAUUCAUCAUGUACAUAAAGUAAGCUGGUGCAUUGGUCAAACCAAAAGACAUAACUCUAUACUCAUACAACCCAUACCUUGUUGUGAAAGCUGUCUUUGGUAUAUCUGAAUUCCGAAUCUUCAAUUGAUGAUAACCAGAAUGCAAAUCAAUCUUAAAGAACACACAAGCACCUCUUAGCUGAUCAAAUAAGUCAUCAAUUCUAGGAAAGGGAUAUUUAUUCUUGAUAGUGACCCCAUUAAGUGACCGAUAAUCAACACACAUCCUCUGACUACCAUCCUUCUUAUCAACAAAGAUAACUGGUGCACCCCACGGUGAUGAACUAGGACGAAUGAACCCUUUAUCUUGCAAUUCCUUAAUUUGUUUCUUAAGUUCUUCUCGUUCAUUAACCCCCAUUCUAUAUGGUCUUUUAGCUAUGAGUGCAGUACCAGGUAGUAAUUCAAUAAUAAAUUCAAUGUCUCGGUCAGGUGGCAUACCUGGCAAUUCCUCUGGAAAGACAUCCGGAAGCUCAUCUAGUACCAGAUUCUGAGGAUCAACAUCAUCAUUUAGUUGGUUCACUUUAGCUGUGAGUGGUGCUUGCACAGUCAAAUCAACACUGAUUCGUUCUGCUUUUGGGGUUGUUAGAGCCACUACUCUCUCUUUGCAAUUAAUAUUUGUCUCAUGUUGCUUCAUCCAAUCCAAACCCAAGAUCACAUCUAUGCCUGAAGUUCUCAUAACCAUGGGACUGAUAGGAAAAUCUACCCCCUUAAAGAGACACUUGCUGAGGGGCAACAUAAAGAAACUGGUAUAGUCGCACCCGGUGAAUUAACUAGCAUAGGGGUUUUCAUUGCAACUAGUGGAAUGCUAUGAACCCUAACAAAUGCUUGUGAUAUGAAUGUAUGCGAAGCUCCAGAAUCAAAUAAAACUAUAGCAGGUAUAGAGUUGAUGCUGAACGUACCCAUCAUGAUCUCUGGUCCCUCCUGAACUGUCUCUAUAGCCACAUUAUUCACUGUUGUCGCAUAAGCAGUAGACUUCUGGUUGUUGUUCGGCUUGUUGAGCUUCUCCGGGCAAUCGUAUGACAUAUGUCCCUCCUUCCCACAACGGAAACACCUUGCAGGAGUGUUAGAAGCACUUCUUUUUGUGGACUUGGCAUUUGAGUUCCCUGAGCGAGGUGUCUGCUGACCAUGCUGCUGUUGAUUAUGGUUACGUUGUUGGAAUGGUGGACAUUGGUUCCCACUCUAUGAUUGAUUUUGGAAACGCUGGGGUUGCUGGUUGCGGUUCCACUCACUAACUGGUCCCUGGAACCUCUGCUGAUGGCCUUAAUGGGAACUAAAACGCUGACGGCUGUUGCUCCCAGAACCUUGUGCCAGCAUCCUUCUCUUCUUAUCCUGACUCUUCAGCAUAUUAUCAAGCACAAUAGCACGAUUCACAAGAGCUUGAAAGGUAGGAUAGGUGUUUCCAGCCAACUGCAACCUGAGCUCAUAGUAAAGACCUUUCAUGAAUAGACACUGCUUAUCCGCAUCUUCCCUAACAUCGUUCGGAGCAUAGCGAGCCAACUGUUAAAAGGUGUCAUGAUAUUCUGCCACAGUCAUGGAGCCCAUCCUGAGUGAUCUGAAUUCUUCUUGCUUGAGUUCCAUCAUUCCCUCAUUUAUAUGUCGAGCUCUGAAAUCUCUAUAUAAUUCCAGCCAUGUGACAUUAGGAGCAUUGUUGGGACGAGCAGCUUGAUAUGACUCCCACCAAGUCUGAGCUGCCCCCUGAAGCUGUCUAGAAGCAUACAACACCUUCUCUAAGUCAUUGCACUGUGCUAUAUUCAGUUGCCUCUCCACAGCACGUAACCAAUCAUCUGCCUCCAUGGGAUCAGCUGAGUGUGUAAAUACCGGAGGUCUUCCCUUCAUAAACUCCCCACGCUUAUCCCUCACAUGAACAGGUGGUGGUGUUGAUGGAGGUUGCUGCUGUAAGUGCUGCAUGAAGACGUGCAUCAUCUCAUUUUGGGUUUGCAUGAGUUCCUCCACGGUGAUUGGGGCAUUGCCACCAUUGCCAUUGCCACGGCCUCUGCCUCUACCUCUUCCCCUUGCUGCCAUCUGCAUUCCAAGGUAUAUAAACACAUCUUAGUAAUGCCCAACAUGACAAUUACAAGAGUUAACGGAAUCUGAAAUUUUCUGGGUAACAUCCAACAUCAGCAGAUCAGAAAAUCAGUCAUAUCUCGAGUUCCAGAAUUCAAAAGAUACAUGCUGUACACCGUUGCAAAGAUAAUGAAAUUGUCUACAACUUUCAUUUAGAUGAUAUUACCAGAUUCCAGAGUUAGUUUAAUCAAAAACUGGGUACAACCGAAACUGCUCCAGAAUUCCAGACUGCGCAGAAGCCUCAACUUUAAACAGUCAUAACUCACAGCUCAUAAUAGAUAAUUUGGUCAUUAUUACGGCAUUGGAAAGAUAUGAAAGUCUACUUGUUCCCAGAAAAAUUUGAUGAACAUUGCACGAACAGAAUUUGAUUUAUACCAGAAUCUUUACAGACUGCUCUAGAAAAACAGCAAAAGACAGAAACAGGAUAUGACCCCAAACCACUAUUUAUUCAUGUUCUUACUUAAGGUUCUUAACUAGGGAACUUGUGGACAUGCCCAAAAAGUCUCAGCACUUAUUACAAAAAUCCAAAUCACACAUAUUCAUAAUAACAAAUCAGCAAGCACACCAAGUUCACACCACACUAACAAAAUACUCAAAAUAACUCGCAAACUACUAACGUUCCUAUUACAUAUGGGUUCUUUUCUAUUCCUCGGGAGCAGCAUCCUUCAAGAUAGGUUCAAGACGCAGCCUCUUAUGGAGCUUGGGAUGGCCUAACUUCACCCGAAGGUCAUCUGCUUCCCUUCGCUCUUUCUCCAGCAGCUUCCUCUCACGGUGCAGUUCAUUCUCCAACUCUAUCACCUUGACGGUCAGCUCAUAAGUCAACUCCACUUGUGCUUGAAGCUUUGGUAGUGAAGCAUCUGCAACUUCUAUGGCCCAAGUCAUCUUCUCUGGUACAAAGCGAGGAUAGUGGUAUGUUGCAUUGUACUGGACAUCCUCAAAGCGUCUACCACGGUUAAAGAUCAAGGCCUGGUAAGCUGCAUCUGCCAUGCUUUCCUUCAUCGUGUCCCGACUAAUUCGAGAGAUGUGUUUUGAUUCCACCUUUCGAAUCCCCUUAGUGGCAUCCAGUGUCUUGACUAUCAGCUCUGCAACCCAAAGUGAUCUCCCCAGAGGGUGUUUGUGCUCAGUGCAGUUAUACUUUAGUGUGGCUUGCAAAUCCGGGUAAUGGUGUUCCAAUGUCAACACCAAAUUCUCAUGGAAGAAAGCCUGGGGAUCUGCUUCUGGAAUCCACAGCUCAGUAGUCCAUCCCAUCCCUGCAUUAGCAGACUGUGGUGGAGGUGGAUCUUGCAUCUCCUCAUCUUCAGGCACUUCCUUAUGAGCUUCCACCCUUGAUUCCUCAUCUUCUAGCUCAGGAACUCCAUCCACAUGCUGUCCUCUUGGGUUGAACAUGGCACGGUACUCCUCAGUAGCCAUACGUGCAGCAUUACGGGUACGGGGUGGCUUCUACAAAAAAUUUUUAGACAUAGAUCAGAUGGAUGUAAUAAUUUCACAAUAGAGCAAGAUAGAGAAGCAUAAAACUUUUAGCAAAUAACAAGGCCAUAGUGGGAAGCAUGAAGUAAGCAAAAUAAGGGACCUAAAUUUUUGACCAUUGCUAUCUAGGUUUGCGUCCUACAGUCAACAAAGCUUUAAUACCAAUUUGUCACGCCCAUAUUUUAAGAACAAAAUAGGAUGCAUAAAAGACUCAUAUGUGCCCCAGAAACAGUCGCACACAUAAGUAGACAAAUCUCAAAUGUACCAUUGCAGUGUUUAUUACAUAGCGGAAUAUAAAAUAUCACAUAGUCUCAUACAAAAAUGAUAGCAUAAAGUAAACAACGCUCUCGACAGAAGCUCCACACAGGGACACUGUUGACUGGUUGACUCCAAACCUAGUACUCAUAACGGUAAUCCUCAUUCCAGUCAUCUUCAUUAUCAUAUCCUGAGGUUUUGGGAAAUUGCAAGAGUGAGCACAUAUCGUACACAACAAGUAUAACCAGGGGUUCAUGAUGCUCAAAUAGCUGACACAGGUUUGACUGCGUUUAGCUUUUAAUAGUGGGUAGCAUAUUCAUAAUUAAAUGGCAAUUGUCAAGGUAGCAUAAAUAAUCCAUUAACCACAUGAUCAAGUGUAAGCAUAAUUAAUUCUUAGCAUAAACGAUAAUCAAAUUAACAUAACAACUUAAUAAGCUCAUUGUCGGCGCAGCAAGAACCUCCAAGGCCGCUCAUAACCGUGAGCACGGCUAGUAUACCAGUUUUACACUCUGCAGAGGUUGUACAUCUUUACCCAUGAGUCAUGAUUUACCCUUUCGCCCGAGGUAGCUAAUCUCUUAACCCCCUUCCUAGGGAGGUCGGCAGGGAUCACUAUGAAGCCUUUCAAAAGUUCGUCUAACAUGUUAGGGCCACAAGGUUUCCUUUGCGCGCAGAUAUAGAUACCCCCUUCCGAAUGGCACAAUGACGCGCAGCCUAUACACAUAGGGACAGGGGCUCGCACUAUACCCAAAACGGUUCAGCCCCUCCGCCCUUUCGGGUAACCUCUGACAUGCUAGAAAAGUUCUUCAUACUGAGCUAAAGCCAGAGCCAUUAUAGCCCUCAUGGUUACACUAUUGUCCCGGUGAUCACUUACAGACAAGAUCUCAUAUAGUUAUUUGUCAUCAUUUAACGUUCAUUACAUAGCUAUUAAUCAUCUUACAAGAUCAUGGAUUAUAUCAAGCACUAGCACAUCAACACCAAAUGCAUAUCAAAUAGGUAGCAAGGAAUCCAAGUAACAAUCAUCUAUGAUUUUGCUAAGGUCGACAAGGUGAUAGCAUGCAUAUGAUAUAUAUGUGUACUUAAGUGAAUAGGUAACAAGGAUGAUCCCAAGUUAUACUUGCCUUGAUCAAAGCUCUCCGGAGCCUGCUGGUCUUCAAAAGCUUGGUCUUGAUCACCAACGUACGGCUCACCGUCUAUUCCCAAACGUCAAUCAACAACACGCAAUCCAAUGGAGACAAUCAUACAUAAAGCAAACAAGAUAUAAUUAGAACAUUACAUCAAACAUUGGUAAAACAAAUAUAAAAGUUUAUGAAAAUAUUCUACGCAGCGCUACGAUCACACAAACGUAAAGUUCACGAAAAUCAAAAUUAAAACGUGAAAGAUAUGAAUUUUCUAAGAUUUCAUAUAGAGAAAUAAUUAAUUAAAUGCUACUGCAGAACUAAAAAGUUUCAAAACAGUGAAAUAUUACUUCUAACAUGUAGAGCUCGUAAAUAUGAAUCUAACGAAAUUUGAAUGGACAAAAAAGGAGUUAAAAUGAGCAUUUCAUAAGCAUUAUAAAUUCAGUGGCAAAAUUGUAAAUAGCUGAAAACGCCUUUGAUCUCAACCAGACAGGAGUACGCUUUCGCAAUAGGAAAACGUAAUCUGGUGCAGGGCGCCAAGGACCGCGGGCGAAAUACAAAACUACACAGGGACUCUUUAUUAGAAACCGCAGUGAAAGGGUAUGUUUAAAUCGUGGCCGUUGAUUUUCGGUUGGACGGCUGGCAGGCUUCCUGGGCGCGCAGAGCCGUCAUCCGGCCGGAGCUCAGCACCGGCUCGGUGGCGCCAUGGCCACCGCCGCAAAGCUUGCCGGCGAUCGCGGGUUCCUCGUUUCCCAACACCAAACUCCGAAAUAAAAAUACCAACGAGUGGAGGAGCUUACCCCGAACUCGCUUGGAUGGUUAGCUCGAGGCGGCGGUUAUCUCCCUCGACGAGAGCGAGUUCAAGGCGGCUAGGGCUCGGUUUCGCGACUUAGAUGCAAAAGCAUGACGCGGGGCAUCGCGUGGUACUUUUAUGGGUCUCGAUUCGCGAUAAGGGCAAGGAAAUCCCGAGAUUUCGGGAUUGAUUCGGUAGGAGGAUUCCUGCUCGGUUACGAACAGGGAAGAGGAAGGGGAAGACGCCACUUCGACGGGUCCCACUUGGCGGUGAGAGAAGGGACGGCCCCAGCUGUCGGCUAGAGAGGGAAGGGAGGGGAAGGUCAGCGCGCUGCUGAUCGGCAUGGGCCGCGGCUUGCUGGGCCGCGGGGAGGAGGAGGCGCAGGGGGGAAAGAAAGGCAGGCCAGGGAGGGAGUGGGCCUCGGCCAGAUGUAGGGGUUGUUUCCCCUUUUUUUCUGUUUUUAUUUUCCAAAGCAAAUUUUGAACAAAACAAAAGAUAAAAACAGAAACACACAACACAAAAUGAAUGCUAUUCUCAGCAUGAAUGCAAAAAGCAUGUUGCUACCCUUAUGAUAAAUUUUAUUCUUCAUAAAAUUGUUUAUUUGCUAGGUUCAAAUGCUCCCAUAAAUUCUUAAAUAAAUCAAAUAAAGUCCUAUUAAUAUAAAUCCAGAUUUUGGGUGUUACAGGCCCUAACAUGUUAGACAAACUUUUGAAAGGCUUCAUAGUGAUCCCUGCCGACCUUCCUUGGUAGUGGGUUAAGAGGUCGACGGGCCUCGGGCCAAAGGGUAAAUCAUGAUUCAUGGGUAAAGAUGUACAACCUCUGUAGAGUGUUAAAAACUAGUAUACUAGUCGAGCUCACGAUCAGGAGCGGCCUUGGGGACAUCUAGAUUAACGGUGAUGAAUCUUGUGUGUUAAAUAUGCUCAUUAUUUAUUAUUUAAUGCUUUACAUUAUUUAUGUCAUAUUGAUCAUAAGAUUGUGGGAUCUAUACAAUCUAGUUGCUAUACUUGUUGAGUUCGACAUGGACUCACUCUUGCUAUUUCACCCAAACCUCAGGAGAAGUUUAGGAUUGUGAUCAACCAGUGAGUUAGAUCCUGUUGAGUGAAGUUAAUACACGAAGUUUGGAGUUGUCUAUCCGCUGUUUGUUAUCAAAGGUUAUCUCUUCUAUACUAAGUAUGUUAUAUAUUUAUGCAUUGUCUUUUGAUAUUACCCUUUAUUUGUAGCUAUAUGUGAGAUUUGACUUCUAAAACUCACAUAUGGUGCGUAUCUGAUUUUGUUGUUAAAAUCGGGUAUUACAAAGUGGUAUCAGAGCAAUGCUGACUGUAUGACGUAUGCCUAGUUAGAAAUUGGUGAUCAUAAGGUUUUGAAAUUGCAUAAAUCCUUGUUCUAUAACCCUUGAUACUUUUCUCUACACUAUAUCCUUUCCAUUUCUAUUUGUCUCUACCUUGUUGCUUAUUUUAAAAGUUCUUGUUCUCACCUUCACACCUUGAGUUGGAUGCUUUUAGAACCUUCCCUUAUCAUCUUCUUGCGUCUUUGAAAUAUAAGUUUUAGGAUCUUUACCCUUACUAUGAAGAGAACGAUAGUAUCGCAAGUUGAGUGAAGUGUGAACCUUCAAUGCUUAAUUGGUUGUCAUUAUGCUUAUGCUUGAUUUGGAUAUUUGUAAUGAGUGCAAUGAUCUUGUGGGAUUCCUCCACAAUUUCAUUUAGUUCAUAGGCCCAAGGUAUAAGGAUUAAUUAAAUAAGUAGUUGGGUUUGGCUAUGUCUUGUUUCUAUCCCUUGCUGAUUUCUGGAGCAGUCUACAAUAAUCAUGGUGUAUCUCAAGUUCUGAUUGUGCAAAGUUUGUCAACUUUUUCUGGGAACAACUAGACUUCAAGAUGUUUCUCUCACCGCAGGAAGCACCCUCAUAGCUAUUAUGGUUUGGAAGUUACAAAAAUCACAAAUGAUACAGAUGGGCUGUCAAGAAUCUGGAAGAGUUUCAGUUGAUUACUGUUUUAGACAAAUAUAACUAUAGAAUUUGGAAUAGUGUUCUAUAGAGAAGUUGUAGACAAGUUUCUUAGCCUUUCAACGGUGUAAGCUGGAAGUUAUUCGGAUAAGUAGAACCUGACAUAUGAUAUUUACACUUGGAUGUUUCUGUACUCUUUCAAAAAUUUGGACAGAUCUGGUAAUUUCCUAUUUUCAGCCAAGUUAAAUUCAUAAUCUGGGAAAAAAUUGUAUAUAAAAGUUGUAGAGGCUUUCGUAAGCUUUUCAAAAAUAUAAGGAUCAUCUCCAGAUGAGUUAAGUAGAUCGAGAUAUAACUUCUGGAAGUUACUGCACUUUUGCUGAGACAUUGUCAGGAUGGAUUUUAAGUUUGGCUAUUUUACCUAAGCUUAAAGACAGAACCUAAGGAGGUUUUGUACAUGAAAGUUGCUGGGAAUUUCAUAAGUUUUCUAACGGUAUAAUCUACAACUCCAUUGGAUUAACAGAAUAAGAGUUAUACCUGUUUUACUAUGCUGGUGUUUUCAUAUCAUUAGAAUAUUUCAGCAUACCUGUUUGCUCUCUUGCACAUGAGUUCUUUGGGAUGUCGGAAGUUCCCAAUGUUAGUUCACUUGUCUGGAAAACAUGCAAGCUACCUUCCUUGUAUUCCCUAGUUGACCCUUUUAAGGGGGGUAGCCUAGUGAAAGGAGUUACAAGGAGAAUGAUUGGUAAAAGCUAGAUCAUCUAUAAGUACAUCAAGUGCUUGGUGAAGUUGGUUUUUGGAUUCAAGAUAUCAUCCCAUUAAGAGAGUAUUAAUAGAGAUAUAAAUCUUUACUGAUACUCAUAUCUUGGAAGUGGUGCUUAUGAGGAUCAGAUGACACUAAAGUCCAUAGAGUUAUAUGCGAGAUGUGAGAGUGAAGCAACUCAACUGUGAUAAAAGGUACCAAUAGAUGGAACUUAGUGUUCAAACCAACCUUGGAUUAAGAGACUUGGUACAAGGAAUUUAAAAGACUAUGAUGUGUAGCAUCCAAAAAGGAUAGGAGAACCGGUCCUUGUCCCCCAAUCAAUCUCGUCUUAAGGGGGGUAGUACCUUGAUAUCACUGGGUGAUGCAUUUUUUAAAUCUAUCAUGAAGUGAUAACUGUCUUCUGAGAUAUCUCAUGGUUAUGUGCACAUGAAGGAGUGAUCUAUGCUACUCAGUGGAAAAUUUUCUUAACCGCAUCAUUAGGGAAAAGAAUUGAAUAUCAAGGUGGCCCACUCCUACCUAAGGAGGCAUAUCCAUGCUAAGUUAUUAUGUCUUUGAGUUGUAUGAGUCAAAAGCUGGGAGUCAUGAUGGAUUAGAUAUUCUACGGAAAAAUUUGUCCACAAGAUAUGACUAUAAGACAUAAGUGUUUAUCUUUGGAGUGCAAGUUGUGAAGUUGAAAGAGUUAUCGAGAUCUUUAUCCUGUGUUCCCUCAGAGGAGCCGUGUCUCUUCCGAAUCUCGAGGACGAGAUUCAUCUUAAGGGGGGUAGAAUUAUAACACCCUAAAUUUUGCUUCUUCGAAAAUAGAGCUAAAAUAAUUUAUUUUGUAUUUCUGUGCUCAUGAAAAUAUAGUAAAAUGAAAUUUUCCUUAAAUUAAAUUCAUCAUAGGGUUUAGCAACAUUGUUGUGCAUACAUGCUGGUACAUAUGUUUUAUGUGAUGUUUGUUUGUUGCUCCUUUGUGUGUUGAGAGUGAACAAAGUUUCUAAAAUGUGUUUAGUAGAUCGAUCUUCGUUAACCGGUACAUCUCUAUCUUUAUCUCCGAUCAAAUUCCUUGUUGCUCAGCUCAUGUUUUUAUUAGGAGCUUCCUAAAAUCUUUUCUUUGUCACCCAAAUCGCUUCUUUUGAUUUCUCAUUCAUCAAGCAGCCUCUACAAACUUUUUGGGAAUUUUUUAGCUUCCGUUCUCACUUUUCUCUAUGUAUAAUCUAAAUUUUAGAUGCUCCAAAAUAAUAUUAUCAUGGACUCUAAAUACUUUAUUUGAGUUCCUCAUGUUCCAUAGUGUCUCUGAGAAUUUUCUCUGAAUUUUCAGAGCUUUCAUGAUAUUUUUCACAGUUUAAAUAAUAAUUCUAGACUUUUCUAGAAUUAUUUUAUCCAUAAAAUUAAAUAAUUCCGAAAAUAAUAAAUCCUUCAUUUUACCUCAACGCUCAGCCCAUGAUCUCAAAGGCCAAUAUAUUUAUUUACUAGUGGACUUAAAUAAUUAAUCAUGCCUAUUAGUAAAGAUGGAGAUUGCAACAUCAAUUAGUAUCAUAUUGAUAAUUGAUGUGGAUAUGAAUAGUUUUUCUCCAUAUAUAUGUACCGAGUUAAGUACACCAAAACUACCAUAUGGAGAGCUUCUAGUUUGGAAAAUCCCUCGUAUAGUAAAAUUAUAUUUUUCUUCUUUUGCCGUCGGGCAGCCAUCGUGGACGCUUCUAUGCACUGCACAAGCCGGAGCUCCCUGCCGUGACCAUAGUUCUAUCUACGGUAGCUACCUCUCCGGCCAUCGUCCGUCUCCGUUGGUGAGAAAUCCAGCAUACAGCUCCUUCGUCUCUCCUUUACAUGAUCUGCACAGCUCACUAGGUCAGGCAUCCGUAAUUAAGCUAUAGGUUGGACAACUUGCAAGCGUCUUGCUCCGUUAUUUUUUUAUCUAAAGGACCAUGCAUAUCCACCAAAUCCGAGCACAUGACGUGAUUGAGUUUAAGAUCUGUAUGUGCACCCUUGAAGUCGAGCUGCCUCCACUGUAAUCCUACAAAUCAUUGUCGUUGCCAAUAGCUUGUGUCUUCAAUCUGUUUCCAGAUGGCAAGCUAACUUGGUAAGUGUCUCGAUGUUCGUAGUUUUUUUAUUGAGCUUGUACUGACGUAAUAUACAUCCUAGUAACUAUGAUUUCUAUUAUCAAGUAUCUCUAAAUUUUAUAUUUUAAAUAGUAAUAUGAUUAAUAUGCACGCAACUAGUUUUAUAAUUAAUAACCACAUAAGCAUAAUACUCUGAUAUUUUAUACAUAUAUAUCUUAAUAUGUUUAAUCGCUAUCACCAUGUUUUUGAAUUGUAAAUUGUUUAGUUUAAACCCACAUCACAAGCGGUUUGCGUAGGUGUUUCGCUUAUCCUUUUAAUUGGCAAAGUUAGUGUUUAAUUUAUUCAAAUAUACAACAAUAUUUAUAUGUAAAAUAUGACUAGAUUUAACUUAGCUUUUAAAUUAAAUUAAGAUUUAUCUGAUCUAAAUUAAAUGUCUCUAUGAUUUUGUUUAACUAAUAUAAAAUAAAUCAAAAUUGUAGUUGUUUUUUUUAUAAUAAAAAUAUAUACCUUUCAGUAGUCGUUUCUUUUUAUCAUAGCCCUCGGUGUUUCUAGUGUUCUCGUCACUAUAGUAAUUAGUUCUCUUUUAAAACGUUAUUUUCUUUUGUGUGGUGUAUUGUUUUUAGUUUCAUUUAUUUAUUGCUUGUAUGUUUGUCUAUUUGUGGUGUUUGCUAUGAGUAGAGAACGAGAACCAUUUUAUCGACGUUGAAGAUUAAGAGGGCAUGACUAGAAGAUAAUUGAAGGUUCUAUAAAGGAGUUGCUCUGGAUAUUAAGCAAUUGGAUCAAGGCAAGUAUAGCAUUUGGAUUUUAUUUCUGUGACCAUGAUCCUGUGACUAGAUUAAUGUUAAGUAAUAAAUGAUAAAAAUGACUUUUUAGCAACUUGAUGUUUUAUCUAUACGUGAUCACCCGGGACAACAGUGCAACCAUGAGGGCUAUAAUGGCUCUGGCUUUAGCUCAGUAUGAAGACUUUUUCUACCUUGUUAGAGGUUACCCGAAAGGGCGCUAGAGGGGCUGAACCGUUUUGGGUAUAGUGUGGCCUCUGUCUGUAAGUGUAUAGGUUGCGCGUCAUUGUGCCAUCGGAAGGGGGGCUCUAUAUCUGCGAGCGAAGGAAACCUUACAGCCCUAACAUGUUAGACGAACUUUUGAAAGGCUUCAUAUUGAUCCCUGCUGACCUUCCUUGGUAGUGGGUUAAGAGGUCGAUGGGCCUCGGGUGAAAGGGUAAAUCAUGACUCAUGGGUAAAGAUGUACAGCCUCUGCGGAGUGUUAAAAACUAGUAUACUAGCCGAGCUCACGGUCAGGAGCGGCCUUGGGGACAUCUACAUUAACGGUGAUGAAUCUUGUGUGUUAAAUAUGCUCAUUAUUUAUUAUUUAAUGCUUUACAUUAUUUAUGUCACAUCGAACAUGAGAUUGUGGGAUCUAUACAAUCUAGUUGCUAUACUUGUUGAGUUCGACAUGGACUCACUCUUGCUAUUUCACGCAAACCUUAGGAGAAGUUUAGGCUUGUGAUCAACCAGUCAGUUAGAUCCUGUUGAGUGAAGUUAAUACCCGAAGUUUGGAGUUGUCUAUCCGCUGUUUGUUAUCAAAGGUUAUCUCUUCUAUACUAAGUACGUUAUAUAUUUAUGCAUUGUCUUUUGAUAUUACCCUUUAUUUGUAGCUAUACGUGGGAUUUGACUUCUAAAACUCACAUGUGGUGCGUAUCUGAUUUUGUUCGUAAAAUCGGGUAUUACAAAAUCCUUCAAGAUUUCGGUUGACUAUCGGGAUUAUAUGGGCUCAAGUUUGGAAACUCGAUUGCUCUGGUGAUCAUUUCUACACUUGAACUCUUAUGAUUUGGUCAGUUCUAUGACACCGUAUGGGUUCAUGUACAUGUAGACAUGGGCCAAGUACUCCUACUCGCCCAACAGUUGACAGCGGCCUCUAGCAAGGUGUGACAACUCCUAUACGCAUGCAAGUAUCAUAUCAAACAAACCACUACAUACACAUACAUUUUAUUCCCUUGCCACAUGAUAUUUGGUCCAACUCGUGGGUUAACACUUAACCCAAGCAUGGGCAUGCAUUUAUUGAUCCAAUCACUUGAGUGAUCUAGUGAUAUCUCUCUCACAUAGAGAGGGGCAAGUUUCAUCUUGAUCAUCUAUGUCUCACAACAUGUUCCCCGACAAACCCGAAGACCACCUUUAUAACUACCCUAUUACAGAGCAGCGUUUAAUAGUCCCUAAGUAGGUCGUUUCACAUUUGAUAACAUACGACAAUCUCAGGUCUAAGAACAUAACAUACAUGAUGUAUAAAGAGAUAAUAAGAACAUCUCAUGUUGGGUCAGUCCAGCACCGUGUCAUACAUGUGCCCACAUUAUUAGUUUGACAUCUCUAUGUCUAUGACUUGUGAAACAUAGUCAUCAACUAAUACAUGUGCUAAUCUAAUAUUCAUGUGUGUCCUCACACGAACUCUGAUUAGGGACAACUUUAGAAUAACCAUAUAAGUAAAAGAGUUUCACAAAUAAUUCACAUAAUUAUCAAUCAAUACAAGUUUUUCUAUAAUAGAUAUUCAUCGAACUCAUAAUAGAUGUCAUGGAUACAAUCGUAAUAUCAUCAUCUCUAUGAUUACCUCUAGGGCUUAUUCCCAACAAUGUGUUAAUCCCAAAUUUUGGUGAGACAAGGAAAUGCCAGUGGGCCCGCUUCAUUGGAAGGAGGAAUGGCCGGAUAGUAGAUUGACUAAAUAGAAGCGUGGAGGAAAGUAGUCGAUCAAGGGAUGUCAAAUCAAGGCAAGACAAAAGAAGACGUGUCAGGUUUUAUUACAAAGAAGGAAUUGGAGUCCAAAUUACCUUUUUGAGUAGUCGUGUAAUAUUAGGACACAUGACUAGGUUCUAGGGCUAUAAAUAUUAGAACUCGAUCCUUGUAAUGAUAUAAUCCACCAAAAAAUACAAACACUUUUCAGCUCCGGCCACCAACCUUAGGAGUAGGAGUAAGAGUAGAUCGCAACAAGAUCUUCGAUAAAUCGAGUUGCAUCUGUUGAUUUGACCAUCGGUUUGCUUGUGAGUAUUGUCAUGGUUCAUGUUUAGUUUAUCACGACUGCAUCUUUCGAACUCGUGUUAAGCUCAAUAUGAACUAGUUAUCGACUUAGAUCUUAUUUGUAAGGCUACAAUAUUUUAAUCUCUUACAAAGAUCGAUUUAAGUUAAUUUUUGGCUCUAUUGAAUUGAUAAUUUAAUAGAUUCAGUAAGUUAUCAAUAUUGUUUAAAGUUUAACGUUUUGUUCAUUAUAACAAUAUUCUGCCUAAUCAAGAUUCAGCAGACUGUAACACCCUAGGUGUUAAGCAUGCAUUUAGUCCCCUCACAACAUGCAUAAGCAUCCUCAUCAAUCAUAAGCAUCACGAGCAUGUCAUUCUCUUCAAGUAUGAUUUUAUGUGCAUCAUUUCAUGAGUUUUAAACAUGUUAAAAAUGUGAUGCUUGCUUUAAAAAUUGGGAAAUAUUCAAACUAGGUUGGUUUAUGUGUAAGAAGAAUUGAGAACAUUUUUGUGCAAUUUUUGGAGCCAGGGAAAUUGAGAAAUGGAAUUUAUACAAAAAUAUCCAAAAAGAAUUUAUUUGAAAACCUAGAACUAGUUUUGUUUUGCAAUUCAAAUUCUACUGGGAAUUUGAUUUGGCUUAUUAAAGCAAAGUUGUAGAGUUUUUAUUUUGGAACAAUUUUGUUUUUGGGAGCAAGAUGUGAAAAUGCUUUUUGGCUGGUCCAAAUAAUUUUAGAAAGGAAUUUGGAAAAAAGAAUUUAAAAAAAAAAGAAAGGCGGAGCAGUUCACUGGCGAGCCGGCGCCAACCAACCGGUUCAGUCAACGAAGUCCAUCCCAGGACGAUCGCCCUGCGACCACACCCUUGNNNNNNNNNNNNNNNNNNNNNNNNNNNNNNNNNNNNNNNNNNNNNNNNNNNNNNNNNNNNNNNNNNNNNNNNNNNNNNNNNNNNNNNNNNNNNNNNNNNNNNNNNNNNNNNNNNNNNNNNNNNNNNNNNNNNNNNNNNNNNNNNNNNNNNNNNNNNNNNNNNNGCGUGCUCGGACGUAGUUUCUUCGCGCAGGUAAGCGGUUCUAGCGAGCCGAAUCGCUCGCCGGAGAGUCCGCGGCCUCGCCGGAGCUCUCCGCGGCGUCGGCAUCGCUGGUUUUCCCCCUCCCGAACCUCUCUUGCCUCGCUAGCGCGCGCAUUAUGGUCGUCGUGGCUCCCUGAGUCGCGAGAAGCCGCACUCGAGCGCUCUACCGGAACGUGGUGGCCGGCACCGCUGCGGCAGCACCGCCGGUCCGCCAUUGCCGGUGGCUAACUCGCUGUGCGGGGUUUCAGGGCGAGUAAAGGGGUGGGAUCGAGUCGCAAGAGGGAGGCGAACGUGUUGGUGCCGUUGGUUCCGGCCGAGAGGCAUCACCGGCGGCGAGCCGUCGUCGCGGAUCCUCUCCCCUCUCGGUGUCCUAGCCAGCGGGCCCGGCUGGCAGGCGGGUCCGCUCGUCAGCGGCCGCGGGUGCACUGCACCGGGUGCACCUAGCAGGUCUCGGGGUGGAUUUGAUUUGUUUUCAGAAAAAAAUAAUUUCCAGGAAAUGAUUUAAAUGUUUAAAAAUCCAUAUCUUGAUGAAUAUAGCUCCAAAAAUUGUGAAAUAAAUUUUGGUGUAUUCCUUAUUUCCAGAUCUAUAGCCUAGUAUGUUUGCAUGUCGUGACUAAGUAACUUUUCUGUGUAAGUAUAUUUAAUCCAUGUUUUUGUCAAACUUGGAAAAUGCAUAGUAAACGAAAUAGGGCUCUGAAAAAUGUAAAAUUUGUUUUGCUGGCUCUGCAUGUGUGUUUAAUCACUGAGAAAAUAUUGUUACAUAUUAUUUGGUGUAUAAAUGAAUUUAUGAUAAUUUAAAUGCUUGCAUGGCAGUACUUUAUGAUUUUUAAUAAUUAAAUGGGUCAUGCAAUAAAUCUGGAAAAUUUUGUGGGUGUUUCUUAUGAUAUUAGACAAAUUGUAAAAAUAUGAAAUCUGUUGUUUGACACUUAUAUCAUAGUAGGGUGAUUAUACUUACUUUAUUACUUAAUCUUGUGAUUUUUGUGGCUCAAAAUAAGUAACCAAAAAUUAUGAAAAAUUUUCAGUAAACUUUAUGCUUAGCUGGAAGUCUCCUGUAAUUUUUGUGGAAUUUAUUGAUGAACAGAAUUGCAUGUCAUUUUUAAUGGGCUUAGAAAUGAAUAAAGAAAACUAUGAAUGGUUGUAUAUAUAGGUUGAAUGGAAUAAGUUGGGUUUGGUGUAUCUUUGAAGCAUCAUGGAGGUUGCUGGUUGCAUUUGAAAAAUAAUUAUAGAAGAGAAUGUAAUAGAUGUUUGAUUCAAUUGUUUAUUCUUGGAUGAUGUUGACUACCUUGUAAUAAGCAUGACCAAGUGCAUUACCUAUGCAUCGUAACAUGACUCCUUUGGUACUCUCUCAUAUAAGCAUCCACUCGGGCAUCUCGCACUCCACUCAUGAGCAUAUAUGCAUCAUACAGGCUCGCAGGAGAACGAGGUGGGAACCAAGGAACCCGAGGAGCUUCAGGAGCAGGAACCUCCGGAAGCACAUGAACCCGGAGAGGAACUGCAGGAGUGUCCGGAUCACCGACCCAGCACGUUUGAGAAAGGCAAGCCCCGGAGCAUUCUAAGUCUCCCUAUUCUCGCUAACUUAUGUGAUGCACUAUACUUGUUCUACUACUGCAUUUAAGUGGUAGGAGUUGCCUGAUACCGUUGCUGCAUAUGUACUCCUUGUUAUCCAUACUCGUUUAUCUACCUUGUCCUAUGUAGAUAGGCGCGGAGUCUAUGCUUAGCUUGCUUAGUCCGGUAGAAGUCGGGUGAUGUCCUGUCACCUGCGAGAUAUAGGUGGAUAUCUGCUUGAUUAAGCAGUGGUUGCUUGGGGAAAGAAAUAACCAAGUGUGGAAUGUAAUUGGAGACCGGGCAGGGUCUUAUGGUGGGUUUCCCAUAGUGCCCCUGCCUGUGUCGAUUAAGGACCGAUCGUUGACGGCCCUCUUGUCAUGUUGAACACAUGCCCCACACUUAGCUGGAAGGAUAAGUCGUUCCGACCGCGAAGCCUGAACACUAUCCGGGCCUGGAAUCGAGCCGCCAUGCCCUGUAAUGGUGGUGGUUGAGGAGAACGACGAGGGCGCGGCGCGCAACCUUGGUAUACCUUGGAUACCUCGGUCGCCGGAACGGUCCUCGGGUACUGGCGGUGCCUGCCGAACCCGCGAAUUGGUCCUGGAUAGUGUAAUACGGUGAUCUGUAUCUCACUUGAUCAGUGAGUGUGGUUUGUGUGGGGAAUACCUCGCCAGCUGGUUAGAAAUCGAUUCGAAUCGCCAUCGCUCCUGGAUAGUGAGCACUUGACAUGAGCCCUGUCCUCGUAGUAAGGACUAUGGAACACUUGGGUUAUAAUGAAACGGGUUUAUGACUGCUAUGAUGAGGUACUAUCAUAGUCUCAUACUUGCUUGUAAUAGCACAGGAGCAAACCUAGAUAAUAGGUAAUGAUACUUUCAACUUGAGCAGAUUAAAAGAAGAAAAGAUUUAUGUAGGUUAGGGUAAUAAAACCUUGCGGUCUUUGCAAAAUGGUUGUCAGCUACCCCAAUAAAUAGCCUUCAUGAUCCUUGAUGAGUCUUUAUUUUAAGUUAUGACGGGUAAGUCUAGCUGAGUACCUUCUCGUACUCAGGGUUCUACUCCCAUGUUGUUUUGCAGAUGGUCAAAUGUACUAUGGUUAUUGCAUCCUCUGACUGUACCCAGCUAUGGGUGAUGACUAGACCAAGGGCGAUGGUCACUUCGUCUCUUCUUUUGCUUUUGUGGGAAUGACCGAACUAUGGCACUGUAUCAGACUUAUCGUGUGUGUUGUAUUUUCGAACUAUGAAGCUUCCGCUACUUGAAGAAUUUGGUUUGUAAUAACUUAAGUACUCCGAUGUGUUUCAUGAAUGUUGUAAUCUGGAUGUACUUGUGGAUGGCGGCCGCUAAACUUAUUACGAUCUUGGCUGUUAUGCGAUGUGUGGUUUGAAAUCCUUCGAGAUUUCACGGACUACCGGGAUUAUAUGGGCUUAAGCGUGAUGGUUCGACUAUGCAAAUGGUCACUAUUAGGCUUAAUCUCUUAUAAUUUGGUCGGUUCUGUUACAGCUGGCAUCGGAGCAAGGUUUAGCGAGUUACUGUUCAUAAGUACGUUCUAAACAAAUGUCUAAACCGGUUUAAUGAAAGAUUUUAGUAAUUAAUAAAGAUCAAGGUGUUAAACUAAGUUUUGGAAAACUAUCUAGUGUGCCAUGGUCAUAUCCUUUAUGCCCAGUUAAGGACUCUAAGGUGGCUAGCUAAGUACUGACUUGGGGGUUAAUGCAUCAUAUUUUUAGUUCGUCGCUCAUACGGCGUGCAAUAGUAUGAGUGCCAUUCAUUUGAGUGGUAAUGUAUGGAUCAAUUCUUCCUCUACGCCAUGGUAAGUGGGAGUUGUGAGAGCAUGAUCGGAUACACUGCCGGUCUAGGGAAGUGUUGUCAGGUGCUGUGUCAUGCACACAUGUUGGUGUGUCUUGGGAACAGUACCGCAUGCUGGGAAUUCCGUCCUGAGAGGCGAUGCCGUCAAUAGGGCGAUGAUGUGGGUAGUGGCACGUCACUUGCAUGGACGGGUGUCUGUGUAUGUGAAGUGCAUGGUUUUAAAUUCUUACUCUGCAUGAUCAUAUUAUGGGUGGGCUGAAAUGAGUUUUCUGCAGGUACACUAACCACGUUCUCGCUUAGAACGCUAGUUACGUUAUGAGAGAACGUUGUGUGCCACCGCAUAUACCGCUUAGUGUUAACCCUUGUUUCUAAGUUUGUGAGAUCGUAAGUUCGUGCAUGCAUCAUGUUCAUUUCAUAUCAUUGCUUACUUUCCCCCUUAAUUUAAUCUGUCCCAAUUCUAAAUAAAAUAAUUAAAGGUAAUCCUCGCUCUUACCCACGGUAUUCCAUUUGCAGUAGAUGGCACGCACUAGGCUCACCGCUCGCAAGUCCACUGGUGGGCGGGCCCCUCGCCAUCCGUUGGCAGCUAGGAGCUCGCGACAUAAGAGCAAGUUCCUAGAGGAGUUUGGGAUGCCCACUUUGCUUUGGAGGGUGCUCAGUUCGAUGGGGUAUCCCGAAGGAAGGGAGCCUCGCUACUAUUGGGAUAAGGAGCCGCUUGGUGACGGGACCCUGGUGGGGAUCGAGGCAGUUGUCCCUACCAGUGGAGGAGACCCUGCUUGGGGCGGUUGGGUGUACGAGUCCCGAGGUGUCACACCUUUCCACGGUGCCAGCAGGGCAGCUUUCGCAGUUUUGAGGGACCUCAUGGAGAGGUUUCCACAGGAGCUGGCCCACGCCUUCGCUGGGGUGUUUCCCCGGGGUGACCCUUACACUUCGGUGUGGGAUCAGUCCGAGGUGAAUGCUCUAGAGAGGAGUGCGGAUGAGGACCAGCACAGUGACAGUGCAGCUAUGAGUGCCAUGUACGCGUUGAUGAAGACCUAUGGAGGCCUGGAGCGUUGUUUGGGUCGCCUGUCCGGGUCUCUUCUCACCGUCCAGGAUGAGAAGCGUCAGUUGCAGCGUGAGUUUGACUUUGAGGUUGAGAGGCUACAGGCAGAGUUGGCUCGUGUGACCGGAGAGAGAGACCGGGCAGUCCAGAAGAACAGUGAGCUGAGUCAGGACCUGCUUGCAGUACGGGACCAGAAGGACAGGGUGACUACUGCUCACAGGAACUGCGAGCGCAUGCUAGUCCAUGUGCUUGGACAGAGGAAUGAAGCCUGGCACGAGGAGGACACUUUGAGGGCCCGACAGCUGGAGCUAGAGCAGCAGCUAGCUAAUGCCGAGGAGUACAAUGAGAACUUGCAUGAGGAGAUCCACCAGCUGCAUAACCAGCUCCACCCUCACCACCUGCCUGGAGCAGCUGAGCUAGACUCUGAGGACGAGAUGGACGCGGAUCCCGAGAUAGGAGCAGCUGCUAGUGAGGAUGAGGAUGGCUCCAGCAUGGACAGUGACCAUAGCGAGUAGAUGCUAGGGUUCUAGAGCUAGUCCUUCUUCUUAUGUUGUUGUACGUUGCAUGGCAUGUCGUGUACUUUUGGAUCUGGGCUGUGUAAGACUUUAUGAGUUGGUGCUGAAAGUCCAGUGUAUGUAUGCUGGCAAGUUGGAUGUACGCGAACCUUGUUGCGUGAAUGUUAAGUAAUCUGUUAGUGAUGUUGUGCGUGGAUGAUGAGUUGUUGUGCCUUUGUUUAUUGUGUGAAUUUAUUCCCUCAGUAAAUUCAGUAUGGCACGAUUUUACACAUUUUCUACCGGUUGAUGGCAACUCCUAACGAUUGCUUAUCAUUGGCGUAUGCAGAUGGUGCAAACACGUGGCGGGGGUAACAGCAAUCCGGGUCUUGGAGCAGGUACAUCUGGAGGUGGGGCUCAAUGGAAUGAGGACCGAGCACCAACACCACCACCACCACCACCUCCCCCGUACACUGCGGACGUGUUUUUCGCGCAGUUUCUGGGAAGCCAACGCAACAUGGAACAGAUGCAGCGCAACAUGGAAGAAGCUUUGCGCAACAUAGCUGACAACACCCGUCGUGGAGAUAAUCAGGGUGGCCGGGAGGUCAACCAAUACAGUUCGUUCAAGGACUUCAUGGAUACCAAGCCACCAAUCUUUAAGGAGGCCUUGGAACCGCUCAAAGCAGAUGAGUGGAUCAACACCAUGGAGCAGAAGUUUCGUCUUCUCUGAAUGACAGAAGAACUCAAGGCUGAGUAUGCGGCACAUCAGUUGCAAGGACCCGCUGGGAUUUGGUGGUCCCAUCACCGUACCACCUACCCAGAGGGGACACCAAUCACCUGGAACUGCUUCACCACCGCUUUCCGGGGAAAUUACAUUCCUCCUGGUGUGGUUGAAAUGAAGGUUGGGGAGUUCAUGAGGCUGUCCCAGGGGACGAAAUCUGUGAAAGAGUAUCUACAUGCCUUCAAUAAUCUCGCUCGAUAUGCCCCUGAGUUUGUAAACACGGAGGCCAAGAAGAUUGCCAGUUUCCAGAGGGGCUUGAAUCCAAAGAUGCUGAAGACCAUGGGUACAGGGGCCAGGGCUACCUUCAAUGCUUACAUCAGUGUCUGUCUCACCCAGGAGAAUAACAACAACAACUACAGUGCAUCCAAGUCACGUAAAAGGCCUUUUGAAGCUGGAUCAUCCCAGUCCAGGGCACCAGUGACAGGGCAACAGCAGUAUCGUCCCCCUGCCCCAGGUGCUAGGUUCCGACCGCCGCAGAGAAGGAACACCGGACAUCCAACACAGCAGAAGCCGUACAAGGUGGCGAUAGCCCCUGCCAAGCCAAAGGCAAUUCAAGCUGCCGCACCUGCCGUCAACAAUGCGCCCAAGGGUCCGUGCUAUAACUGCCACAAGAUGGGGCCCUUUGCUAAGGAAUGUCCCUACCCCAAGAGGCAGCAGCCAACCUAUCCAGCUCGUGUGCACCAUACCUCGAUCGAGGAAAUCCCGGAAGGAGAACCGGUGACAGCGGGUAUGUUUUCUGUCAACCAACAUCUUGCAGUUGUUUUGUUUGAUUCUGGAUCGUCGCAUUCAUUCAUGAGCCAAGCAUUUGCACAAAAGCAUAAUCAACUAGUUACAGAUCUGGGCUAUGGCUACCGCAUCAGCUCAGCAGGGGCAGAUGUGUUGACCAAUAGAGUGGUCCGAGGGGCAACCCUAGAUGUAAGUGGCCGAGUUUUUCGGGUAAAUCUAGUGGUCAUGCCUGGGUUAGUUUUGGAUGUUAUCAUGGGCAUGAACUGGAUGAGAGAAUGGGAUGCUGUCAUAGAUACUGGAAAGAGGAUGUUAUCUCUCAGAGAACCACAGGGCAGUAACUCUUUUCAAGUACCUCUGCCCCGUCAUCUUGACUUUGCUAGCAUCUCCUGUGCUACGCACGUGGUUCCUUUACCACAGAUCCCAGUCGUCUGUGAGUUCCCUGAUGUUUUUCCCGAGGAAUUGCCAGGACUUCCCCCAGAUAGGGAGGUAGAGUUUGCAAUCGAGUUGAUACCAGGUACAACACCAAUAUCUAGAAGGCCGUACCGGAUGCCACCAAACGAACUCGCAGAGCUGAAGAAGCAACUGAAUGAGUUACUAGAAAAAGGGUUCAUCCGGCCAAGCUCGUCGGAAUGGGGUUGUCCAGCGUUGUUUGUGAAAAAGAAGGAUCAGUCGUUGCGCAUGUGCGUGGACUAUCGUCCACUCAAUGCAGUGACAAUCAAAAAUAAGUAUCCCUUGCCAAGGAUUGAUAUCCUGUUUGAUCAGUUAUCCAAGGCAAGAGUGUUUUCUAAGAUAGAUUUGAGAUCUGGGUAUCACCAAAUCAAGAUUCGUCCGCGAGAUAUCCUGAAGACUGCUUUUUCCACCAGGUAUGGGUUGUAUGAGUAUCUUGUCAUGUCCUUUGGGUUGACAAAUGCUCCUGCAUACUUUAUGUAUCUGAUGAAUUCAGUCUUUAUGCCGGAAUUGGAUAAGUUUGUUGUGGUGUUUAUCGAUGAUAUCCUGGUGUAUUCAGAAAAUGAGCAAGAUCACGCCGAACAUCUGAGAAUCGUGCUGACACGAUUACGAGAGCAUCAGUUAUAUGCCAAGUUCAGCAAGUGUGAGUUCUGGUUGAAGAAAGUUCCGUUCCUAGGGCACAUUUUGUCUGAAGAAGGGAUUGCCGUGGAUCCAUCAAAAGUGCAGGAAGUCAUGGACUGGAAGGCACCAACUUCUGUCUCGGAAGUUAGAAGUUUUCUUGGUCUGGCCGGGUAUUAUCGUCGUUUCAUACCUGACUUCUCCAAGAUUGCUAAGCCAAUGACAAGUUUGCAACAAAUGGACCAUAAGUUUGUCUGGACGGAAGGGUGUGAGUUAGCCUUCCGCACCUUGCAAAAGUUGCUAACCACUGCUCCCGUUUUGGCACAACCUAAUAUAGAGAAGCCUUUUGAUGUGUUUUGUGACGCAUCGAAGAGUGGCCUGGGGUGUGUGUUGAUGCAAGAUGGCAGGGUGAUAGCUUAUGUUUCCCGACAGUUGAGAAAGCAUGAAGUCAACUAUCCAACGCACGACCUUGAGUUAGCAGCAGUGGUACAUGCUUUGAAGAUCUGGAGACAUUAUCUGCUAGGAAAUAAGUGUCACAUUUACACCGAUCACAAGAGUUUGAAGUACAUCUUCACUCAGUCUGAGCUGAAUAUGAGGCAACGACGGUGGUUAGAGCUAAUCAAGGAUUAUGACCUGGAAGUUCACUAUCAUCCAGGCAAAGCUAAUGUGGUCGCAGAUGCCUUGAGUCGCAAACCGCACUAUCAAAUGGUUCAACCGUUGUUUGAAGAUGGGUUCAAUCUUAUGCAUCCUGAGGUCUUAUGUCAUAUACAACUCAGUUGUUCACUCGAGAGUCAAGUCAUUGAAGGUCAGAAAACAGACAAGGGUAUUUUCCACAUCAAAGAGAAGAUCAAAGAUGACCCAAAGACUCAGUUUCGGGUUGAUGAGAAGGGGGUACUGUGGUUUCAACAGCGGUUAGUGGUCCCGAAAGAUCUGGAGUUGAAGAAUCGCAUCAUGGAUGAAGCCCAUCUCUCUAAGCUUUCUAUUCAUCCUGGCAGCAGCAAAAUGUAUCAAGAUCUAAGGCCCCACUUUUGGUGGACCAAGAUGAAGAAAGAAAUAGCCGCUUAUGUGGCCCGUUGUGACACGUGUUGCAGAGUUAAGGCCAUCCAUAUGAAACCUGCAGGUCUGUUACAACCGUUAUCAGUUCCGGAGUGGAAAUGGGAAGAGGUCAGUAUGGACUUUAUCACAGCUUUACCAACCACAAGGAAGGAGAAUGACUCGAUUUGGGUAAUCAUAGAUCGAUUGACCAAAUCGGCCCAUUUCAUCCCUGUGAAGACUCGUUACCGACCUACUGAGUAUGCCGAUAUAUAUAUGGCUGAGAUUGUCAAAUUGCAUGGUAUUCCCAAAACCAUCAUAUCGGAUAGAGGACCGCAGUUCACUGCUCACUUCUGGGAGCGCAUGCAUAAAAGUUUGGGGACCAGUUUGAUAAGAAGCACGGCCUAUCAUCCCCAGACUUCAGGCCAAACUGAGAGGCUAAAUCAAGUGUUAGAAGAUAUGCUGAGGGCCUGUGUGCUAUCAUCCAGGGGAUCGUGGGAAUCAUGGUUACCUUUGGCUGAGUUCUCAUACAAUAAUAGUUAUCAAGAGAGCAUCAAGAUGGCCCCGUUCGAAGCUUUGUAUGGGCGGAGAUGUCGAACUCCGUUAAACUGGGUUGAACCUCGUGAAAGAAGAUACUAUGGUAUCGACUUCGUGAAUGAAGCAGAGAAAAAGGUGCAGAUCAUACAGCAACAUAUGCAAGCGGCACAGUCACGACAAAAGAGUUAUGCUAAUAAGAGAAGAAGGCCACUUGAAUUCAACAUAGGUGACUAUGUGUACCUCAAGGUUACGCCAAUGAAGAAAGUUCAACGUUUCCGAGUUCGAAGCAAGCUUGCACCCAGAUAUGUGGGACCGUACCAAGUGCUAGAGAGGAAAGGCCCAGUGGCCUAUAAGAUUCAGUUACCUGAAGAGAUGAGCUCGAUCUUUCCGGUCUUCCAUGUGUCGCAACUACGGAAAUGUUUGAAAGUGCCUGAGCAAAGAAUUGAACCUCGAGGGAUCAAAAUAAAAGCAGACUUAGAGUAUAAAGAGCAGCUAGUGGGAAUUGUGGAUACCAAGGAGCGAGUAACCCGAAACAGAGUUGUUCAAACAUACAAAGUGGUGUGGAGUCAUCAUGACGAUAGGGAUGCCACUUGGGAAACAGAGAAUUACUUAAAAACAGUUUAUCCAAAAUUUCACAAGAAAUGGUUAGUAACCCAAAAUCUCGGGACGAGAUUUCCCUAAGGGGGGAAGGGCUGUAACACCCUAGGUGUUAAGCAUGCAUUUAGUCCCCUCACAACAUGCAUAAGCAUCCUCAUCAAUCAUAAGCAUCACGAGCAUGUCAUUCUCUUCAAGUAUGAUUUUAUGUGCAUCAUUUCAUGAGUUUUAAACAUGUUAAAAAUGUGAUGCUUGCUUUAAAAAUUGGGAAAUAUUCAAACUAGGUUGGUUUAUGUGUAAGAAGAAUUGAGAACAUUUUUGUGCAAUUUUUGGAGCCAGGGAAAUUGAGAAAUGGAAUUUAUACAAAAAUAUCCAAAAAGAAUUUAUUUGAAAACCUAGAACUAGUUUUGUUUUGCAAUUCAAAUUCUAUUGGGAAUUUGAUUUGGCUUAUUAAAGCAAAGUUGUAGAGUUUUUAUUUUGGAACAAUUUUGUUUUUGGGAGCAAGAGGUGAAAAUGCUUUUUGGCUGGUCCAAAUAAUUUUAGAAAGGAAUUUGGAAAAAAGAAUUUAACAAAAAGAAAAAAAAAGAAAGGGGGAGCUGUUCACUGGCGGGCCGGCGCCAACCAACCGGCCCAGCCAGCGAAGCCAGCCCAGGCCGACCGCGCCGCGUCCACCCCCUCCCCGCGCGCGCUCGGACACGGCCGCGCCGCGCGCGCCCGAGCGCGUCAGGCCGACGGCGCCGCGUGGACGGCAUGCGCUGCUCGCCGGCGCCACGACCCCCCCCUCCGCUGCGGACAGCGCCACCUCCCUCGCCAUUCUCUCCUCCACCCGGUGCGCGCCCCCUCGCUCUCUCUCGCGCUCUCCUGCCUCCUCUCCGCGCGCACCGUGCCGCCGCUCGCCAUUGGAGCUCCCCGAGCUCCGCUCGCCGUGUUCCCGGCACUCCGUCGCCUCUCAGCGCCUCCUUCCACCUCUCCGAGCUCCGCAUUCGUCUCCGCGUGCUUGGACGUAGUUUCUUCGCGCAGGUAAGCGGUUCUAGCGAGCCGAAUCGCUCGCCGGAGACUCCGCGGCCUCGCCGGAGCUCUCCGCGGCGUCGGCAUCGCUGGUUUUCCCCCUCCCGAACCUCUCUUGCCUCGCUAGCGCGCGCAUUAUGGUCGUCGUGGCUCCCUGAGUCGCGAGAAGCCGCACUCGAGCGCUCUACCGGAGCGUGGUGGCCGGCACCGCUGCGGCAGCGCCGCCGGUCCGCCAUUGCCGGUGGCCAACUCGCUGUGCGGGGUUUCAGGGCGAGUAAAGGGGUGGGAUCGAGUCGCAAGAGGGAGGCGAACGUGUUGGUGCCGUUGGUUCCGGCCGAGAGGCAUCACCGGCGGCGAGCCGUCGUCGGGGAUCCUCUCCCCUCUCGGUGUCCUGGCCAGCGGGCCCGGCUGGCAGGCGGGUCCGCUCGUCAGCGGCCGCGGGUGCACUGCACCGGGUGCACCUAGCCGGUCUCGGGGUGGAUUUGAUUUGUUUUCAGAAAAAAAUAAUUUCCAGGAAAUGAUUUAAAUGUUUAAAAAUCCAUAUCUUGAUGAAUAUAGCUCCAAAAAUUGUGAAAUAAAUUUUUGGUGUAUUCCUUAUUUCCAGAUCUAUAGCCUAGUAUGUUUGCGUGUCGUGACUAAGUAACUUUUCUGUGUAAGUAUAUUUAAUCCAUGUUUUUGUCAAACUUGGAAAAUGCAUAGUAAACGAAAUAGGGCUCUGAAAAAUGUAAAAUUUGUUUUGCUGGCUCUGCAUGUGUGUUUAAUCACUGAGAAAAUAUUGUUACAUAUUAUUUGGUGUAUAAAUGAAUUUAUGAUAAUUUAAAUGCUUGCAUGGCAGUACUUUAUGAUUUUUAAUAAUUAAAUGGGUCAUGCAAUAAAUGUGGAAAAUUUUGUGGGUGUUUCUUAUGAUAUUAGACAAAUUGUAAAAAUAUGAAAUCUGUUGUUUGACACUUAUAUCAUAGUAGGGUGAUUAUACUUACUUUAUUACUUAAUCUUGUGAUUUUUGUGGCUCAAAAUAAGUAACCAAAAAUUAUGAAAAAUUUUCAGUAAACUUUAUGCUUAGCUGGAAGUCUCCUAUAAUUUUUGUGGAAUUUAUUGAUGAACAGAAUUGCAUGUCAUUUUUAAUGGGCUUAGAAAUGAAUAAAGAAAACUAUGAAUGGUUGUAUAUAUAGGUUGAAUGGAAUAAGUUGGGUUUGGUGUAUCUUUGAAGCAUCAUGGAGGUUGCUGGUUGCAUUUGAAAAAUAAUUAUAGAAGAGAAUGUAAUAGAUGUUUGAUUCAAUUGUUUAUUCUUGGAUGAUGUUGACUACCUUGUAAUAAGCAUGACCAAGUGCAUUACCUAUGCAUCAUAACAUGACUCCUUUGGUACUCUCUCAUAUAAGCAUCCACUCGGGCAUCUCGCACUCCACUCCUGAGCAUAUAUGCAUCAUACAGGCUCGCAGGAGAACGAGGUGGGAACCGAGGAACCCGAGGAGCUUCAGGAGCAGGAACCUCCGGAAGCACAGGAACCCGGAGAGGAACUGCAGGAGUGUCCGGAUCACCGACCCAGCACGUUUGAGAAAGGCAAGCCCCGGAGCAUUCUAAGUCUCCCUAUUCUCGCUAACUUAUGUGAUGCACUAUACUUGUUCUACUACUGCAUUUAAGUGGUAGGAGUUGCCUGAUACCGUUGCUGCAUAUGUACUCCUUGUUAUCCCUACUCGUUUAUCUACCUUGUCCUAUGUAGAUAGGCGCGGAGUCUAUGCUUAGCUUGCUUAGUCCGGUAGAAGUCGGGUGAUGUCCUGUCACCUGCGAGAUAUAGGUGGAUAUCUGCUUGAUUAAGCAGUGGUUGCUUGGGGAAAGAAAUAACCAAGUGUGGAAUGUAAUUGGAGACCGGGCAGGGUCUUAUGGUGGGUUUCCCAUAGUGCCCCUGCCUGUGUCGAUUAAGGACCGAUCGUUGACGGCCCUCUUGUCAUGUUGAACACAUGCCCCACACUUAGCUGGAAGGAUAAGUCGUUCCGACCGCGAAGCCUGAACACUAUCCGGGCCGGGAAUCGAGCCGCCAUGCCCUGUAUUGGUGGUGGUUGAGGAGAACGACGAGGGCGCGGCGCGCAACCUUGGUAUACCUUGGAUACCUCGGUCGCCGGAACGGUCCUCGGCUACUGGCGGUGCCUGCCGAACCCGCGAAUUGGUCCUGGAUAGUGUAAUACGGUGAUCUGUAGCUCACUUGAUCAGUGAGUGUGGUUUGUGUGGGGAAUACCUCGCCAGCUGGUUAGAAAUCGAUUCGAAUCGCCAUCGCUCCUGGAUAGUGAGCACUUGACAUGAGCCCUGUCCUCGUAGUAAGGACUAUGGAACACUUGGGUUAUAAUGAAACGGGUUUAUGACUGCUAUGAUGAGGUACUAUCAUAGUCUCAUACUUGCUUGUAAUAGCACAGGAGCAAACCUAGAUAAUAGGUAAUGAUACUUUCAACUUGAGCAGAUUAAAAGAAGAAAAGAUUUAUGUAGGUUAGGGUAAUAAAACCUUGCGGUCUUUGCAAAAUGGUUGUCAGCUACCCCACUAAAUAGCCUUCAUGAUCCUUGAUGAGUCUUUAUUUUAAGUUAUGACGGGUAAGUCUAGCUGAGUACCUUCUCGUACUCAGGGUUCUACUCCCAUGUUGUUUUGCAGAUGGUCAAAUGUACUAUGGUUAUUGCAUCCUCUGUCUGUACCCAGCUAUGGGUGAUGACUAGACCAAGGGCGAUGGUCACUUCGUCUCUUCUUGUGCUUUUGUGGGAAUGACCGAACUAUGGCACUGUAUCAGACUUAUCGUGUGUGUUGUAUUUUCGAACUAUGAAGCUUUCGCUACUUUAAGAAUUUGGUUUGUAAUAACUCAAGUACUCCGAUCUGUUUCAUGAAUGUUGUAAUCUGGAUGUACUUGUGGAUGGCGGCCGCUAAACUUAUUACGAUCUUGGCUGUUAUGCGAUGUGUGGUUUGAAAUCCUUCGAGAUUUCACGGACUACCGGGAUUAUAUGGGCUUAAGCGUGAUGGUUCGACUAUGCAAAUGGUCACUAUUAGGCUUAAUCUCUUAUAAUUUGGUCGGUUCUGUUACAGCAGAUUAGUUCAAGCUUUAAAUAUAAACACUUGUUGCAAAGUUUAAAUAAAUAACGAUUAUCAAGUAAGUUUAAGAUAACUAAUCUGUUGAUCUUGAUUGUUGCAUGUUAUGUGUUCGAGAUAUUUAUUUAAUCAUGAUUAAUUUGGUAACAAAACCGAAUUUACUUAUGGCGAAGUAAAUAGAUCUCGUUCGUGCUUCAUGGAUCCUAUAUCGAUUAAAUAGCCGAUCUAGUUAAGCUUGAAGGAAUAGCGCAUAUGUGUAAACCCGACUAUAGAAUUAAAUAAAUUAGUAAAUUGUGUUAAAUUUAUUGUAGCUUGCUGGACUUUAGAGCAGGUGAAUAUAAAUUUAAUAUGUUUAUGAAUGUAACUUAUUAAGACCUUAGUCCUUCAGACCAGUGUUGACGGUCGAUAACGGCAACUUUUAUUAGAACUUUAAACCCGAAGGAGAACAUGAAUACACACUAGUAUAGGGUUUAAACUAACAAUUUGCAUGAGUUUUGCAUAUUCUAUGUUUUCCAGGGUUGAUUUCACAGAGAGCUGAAAAGAGGGAUUCUAGUGCAUAUUUACCACGAAACUCAUCCGCGGUAGAAAAUAUGGUCAUCAGGCUCAAGAAGGGUCUAGAAAACACCUGAAGAAACGAGAGCCGUGGAAGAGGAAAGGUGGAGCCAGCAGGCCCCACCCUAGGACUAGUCGGCGCCCUGUUUUGCUCGUUGCCCGCCGCCUUCUGGAGCCUUCCUCCUAUGCAUCCUUGGAAGCCAAGCAAAGUAUCCCUCCGUCGGUUUUAAGUCAGUUUGAUCCGACGGUGCACACAAGAUGAAGACGCGGAUCGCUGACGUGGUGGUUCUUUGCCCCCUACUCCACCUCGACCUAUAUAAUGACACCCAAGGCUCCCCUCAAGAGGCAUUCUACACCCCGACGCUUCAUAUUCUCUACAUAAUUAGGGUUAGGGUCCCUCUAGUUGUUCUAGUUCUAGUUCAUCUAGAUGUAGCAAUUAGUUGAGACUAGUUCAUCUAGAUCUAGUCUUGUUUAGAGAUUAGAGAGAUUUAGUAGAGGAGUAGAGAUUCUAGAGAAGUUCUGGCCUAUCAGUGCUUCUUCGUGGUUGUAUUCUUCUAGAUCCAGUUUCUCUCGCCCGGAGCUACGUUCUUAGGUACUUUUGUACUUACCCUUCUGGUUUAAGUAAGCAUCUUGUUCUUACUUGUUCUUUGGUUCACAACUCAUAUUGAGUGCUUUGACAUUGAUCGUAACUUGGUUGAAGUAGUAUUUUAUAGUGUAGGCGUAGUGCCUAGGCUAGGUUUACUUGUGAAUAUCCCCUAAUCAGCCGGAUAGUGGUAGUUCGUCUAGGUGACUUUAUAGCUGCGUUGAUUCCUUCUAUAGUCCACUUCCCGUUGAUAAGAUUGAUAGGCUUAUAGAUGCCUGAUAUGGGCUUACUCUGAUUCUCCCCCUAUUCGGGUUACUUGCCCGAUAAGACGGUAUUAUACAAAGUUUACCGCUGUCGGAACCAGAGUGCAUUAAUAUUUACUUUUUCUUGAUAUGAUCUAGCCUAAUUAUAGGGUUAAGUCCAUAUACUAUGUCAUCAUCACAUCUAUUCCUUGUGGAUUCGAUAUUGAAAACCUCUAGGUAAAAUGUGACGUUGGUAUGAUAUAUGUGCACUUGCGGAUAAUCCUACUUAAAUCUAUUUAAAUGGAGUGUAGUUAAUUUAUACCAACAAGUAUUUUUGGCGUCAUUCCCAAGGAACAAUUUGUUGAUCUUGAUUUAGUCUAGCUUACUCUUGUAUUAUACUUUUAUAUUUUCCUAUUUUAUCCUAGUCUCUUUAUUAUUUUUGUGUUCACCCUUAUAGAUGUUGUUAAUUAUAUUGCUAUUUAUCUUCAUGGCAUGUGCAAAAGCUUAAAGCAUAAACCUUAUCAUAAUAUCUAUAAGCUAUGCCCAUGUCUACAUAAUAUAAUAAACCCUUCUCAAUUAUAUCAUGGGAUCAUUAAUCCUGACCUUGGUUUGUUGGGCCCCAUAUUUAUUCAACAUUUAGGAUCUUACCAAGAGUUACAUGUAACACCCUAAAAAUUUCAUUUUUCCAAAUAGGGCAAUUUGAUUUAAUUAAUUGUUUGUGAGCACUAAGAAAUAGUAAGACAUAAAUUUUUAUUGAAUUAAAAUUCACUAUAAGGCCUAGACACAUGCUGGUGCAUUCAUGCUGCUGCAUAAAUUUUAUUGAGUGGUGUUCUUUUACUUUUAAAUGGUUUUAAAAAUUCUUUUCAAAAGAUUUGAGGAAAAUAUGAAUUUAGCAAAUGGAAAAGGAUUUCCUCUUCCCCUCCCUAUCUCGGGCUCGGCCCAUUUCUCCCUCUCCCCCCGCCCCCGCGGCCUACCUGCCCCCUUCCCCCUUUCUUCCCUGCGCGGCCCAGUGCCCGGCUUCGGCCCAAGCGCCAGCACGGCCCGCGUCCGCGCGCCCCCUUCACCGCAGCCGCUGACAGGCCGACCCCGCGCCCCCGUGUCUCUGCCAGGCGGGGUCCACCUGUCGGACUCGUCUUCCACCUUGAGUCCGAGCCGGACACGACCCGAGCGCAACCACCGCGCGCGAUUCGCGCGAGCUAUCCUCCUUCCGCCCGACUCUAGCCCUUUAAAUACUCGCCCCGCCGCCCGCAAUCCCCCAACUCAUCCCGAGCCUCAGCCGCCGCGUCGAAACACACCAAGUUCGCCACCGAGAUCCACGCCGCAACCAAUCCGCCGCUGCAGCGCCUUCGAGUCCCCGUGAGCAGCUUGCUGGGCUUCGGAAUCGUCUUGCGAAGUCACCGAAACCUUCCUUUCAUGCUCUAGUGCUCUGUGCUCGUCACUAAUCUUCGCCAAACAUUGUUCCAGGGCCGCCGUUCGCCGAUCGCCGUCGCAAGCCCCUAGCCGGCCUCUUUUCGUCGCGGAUUUUUGCUUAGGUGAGUCCGCAUCGAGUUCCCGAGCAAGCCUGUGCUUUUAUCUUGUGCUCUACAGUUCUCUAGCACCGCAUCGUCCAACUCCGGCCAAGGUCGGCCAUGGCGCCGCCGCGGCCUGCUCAACUCCGGCCGGCCGUCCCGUUCACCCCCUCCGAUCUAAUCUGGCCGUUAAUCCGCGAUCCAACGGCUGAUAUCGAAGGAUACCCCUUCGACCGCCAAAUUUGCAGAAAACCCCCCAUGCUUUUUAAUGUAUAAACCCGCGGUCCUUUGCGCUUUCUCCGAAUGCGUUUUCCAAGUUUGAAAGCGUAUUUUCGUCUGCGCAGUUCAAAACCCGUUUUCUCAGAUUUACAGUUUUGCCAUUGAUCCCAUUUUACUCAUAAAAACUCUGUUUUAACUCCGAUUUGAUCCGUUCAAGUUGCGUUAGAUUCAUUUUCGCGUAAUCUAUAGAUUUGUGGUACUGUACUACAAGUUUUCAACUUUUAAAAUCUGAGUUUAGAUUUAAUCUAUUAUUUUAUCAAAGGCAAUCUUAUUUAGAUCAUAACUUCUUCGUCUUAGAUCCGAUUUGUGUGAACUUUACGUCUGUGUGAUCGUAGAGCGAUGUAGAUUCGUUUUAUAAACUUUUUAUCUUUAUUUAUUACUGUUGGUGUACUGUUCUAAUAAUAGGCUUGUUUGCUUUGUAUGAUUGUCUUUGGAUGAUUGCUGUUGAUGUGGUGGUUACGUAUAGACUGUGAGCAGUGCGUGGGUGAUCAAGAGUACUACUACGAGCAGUAUCAGUAGCACCAGUGUGAUGAAGGCAAGUAUAGCAUGGGAUCAUCCUUAUUUCCUAAUAAUUUUAAUCACUUAAUUCAUAUUGCAUGUGUCCCCUUGAUAAGGAUUUCCUAGUAUUGAUCUUAUACCUUGUCACCUAUGGGUAUGCAUUGGGUAGCUUAUGCUAGUGCUCCACUAAACCAUGAUUUUGUAAUUUGACUAAAGGAUUAUGCAAUAAACAUUAAAAGAUGACUUUUUAGCAACUUUGGAUAAGAGGGCUGGAGCAUUGGGCUAUCUUAUGGUGCUCUAGUUUCUCUCCCUAAGGACUUAUUUGUAUCUGACCAUCCGGGACAUACAGUACAACUGUGAGGGCUACAUGGCUCUGGCUUUAGCUCAGUAUGAGGACCUUUUCUAGCUUGUUAGUGGUUACCCUUGUGGCGCAAGUGGGGGAUAGCAGACCGUGGAUUCCUGUGGGUGAGUCACAUGGACUGACUAACGAAACCUAGCGGCCCUAACUUGUUAGACGAACCUUUGAAAGGCUUCAUAGUGAACCCUGCCGGUCUUCUUUGGGAGUGGGCUAAGGGGCUGAUCACCUCGGGCGAAAGGGUAAAUCACGACUCACUGUGAAACUGUACAACCUCCGCAGAGUGUAAAACUGAUAUAUCAGCCGUGCUCACGGUCACGAGCGGCCUUGGACCAAUACAGAAUAAAUGAACACUAAUUGCGAUUCAUUAAUGUUAUUAUUGUUAAUAUGUUGUUUAUGCUAUUCUUUAUUCACUUUACCUGAUCAUAAGUUUAUUAUGGGUCUUGACAACUUGAUGCUACUCAUAUGCUAAAAUUGUGACAACUAAAACCUACAUGCAGUUGAACUAGUGUCUAGCCUUUGAGCCUCAUGAACCCCCUGUUAUACUUGUUAAGUACGAGGUGUACUUACACUUGUUUAUUUUCUUUAUUUGGAUAAAAAUCCCGGAUGGGUAACAGACGACUUGGGUAAUGACUACUACCAGUACUUCCCUGAGGAUUUCUAGUCUUGUGGUCAACCAGUUGACGUGCCGGUGUGAUGGAGCUUCCAUGCAAGAGUUAUCUUUUAUUUUCCGCUAUAUUUGUGUAAAGACUCUGAGUUAUAUCGUUAUGUAAUAAACACUUGUGAUGAUACUCCCUAUAAAUUGUCGGCUUAUGUGUGAUUGAUCUCUGGGCACACAUAAGGUUUUGCAUUCAAUUUUAUCCUUAAAAUUGGGUGUGACAUUACAUGAAAUCCCUUGAUUUAUCUUCUCGAGAGUUCUUUCUUAUCUUUUAAAAAGCAAGAUAUUGUGCUCAAAAGAGUUGCUCUAGCUAUUUCUGAACUCCCCAAAAGAAGAAAAGAAUUUAUUAUCUAAACUAAAAAUAGAAGUCUUGAUAACUAAAAUACAAUCAUAUCAUUCUUAAGAUUUAGCUAUCAAUCCUAAAUCUUUAAAAUUCCACUUUAAUGAUUUAGAUGUCUAGUUAGCUAAGAUGCUCAUAAAUUAAUGCAUAUCAGAUCUUCUUAGAAGAGUAUCUUGGAAAAAGCAUCAUCAAUUUCCUUUCCUUCCUAAAAAGACAUUGGGAAAAAUUCAAGGAUGGCAUGCCAAGUGAUGCCAUAGAAGGAGAGCCAAGCCACUUAGAAAUAGAUUCUAUUUUCUCCCCUUCUAUGGCCAUAAACCCAUCUCUAAACCCAUCCUUGACCACAAUGAAUCUUUUUAUGCUCCUUCUACUAAACUUCAUAAUGGCCCUAGAAAUCCAUCCAGACAUCCUAAGAAUAGGAGUCAUGAAAAUUAUAGGAAUACCCAAGAAGAGCAACAGCAAUAGUAGGAACACAUAGAACAUAUUAGAAAUACAUAUGAUAUUGUCAAAGAAUGGAAGAAGAUGAAGUUUUAACACUAGCAUCUAAACUUGGUCUAAAUUCAAAUGUUAAGCUUAAAUUAAUUUCUUUGAUAAAUAAAACUCACCCAAGUUUAGAGAAAGCUUUAGUUGAGAUAAACCAUAGGGACAUCAAUUCAAGGGAAAUCCUAGAAAAUAAAAUAUCUAAUAAAUGUCAUAGGCAUGAAAUAAUAGAGGCAAACUUAUUGCCUAUAGACAACCAUGAAGAGACACCCUUGGAGUUUGAAAAGGGAGAUCAUAUUGUCGAGCAUAUGAACUAUUUCAUUAAACACCCUAUCAGACCCAUGCUCAUAUGAGAGAUCUCCUGGAUCAAUUAGUCUCUAAUAUUAAGCUCCAUCAUUCCUUCAUUGAUAUGUCAUGCUCUGAAAUCUCUGCUAAAUUCUUGUCAGGUGUCAGGAGGAGCAUUGUUGGGACGAGCAACUUGAUAUGACUCCCAUCAGGUCUGAGCUGCUCCCUGAAGUUAUCCAUAAGCAUAUAACACCGUUUCCAUAUCAUUGCAUUGUGAUAUGUUCAGUUGUCUCUGCACAGCACAUAGCCAUUCAUCUACCUCCAUAGGAUCAGCUGAGUGAGUAAAUACCAGAGGUCUUCCCUUCAUAAAUUCCUCAUGCUUAUCUCUCACAUAAACAGGUGGUGGGGUGGUGGUGGUGCAGGUUCAUGCUGAAGGUGCUGCAUAAAAGCAUGCAUCAUCUCAUUCUUGUGUCUGCAUGACCUCUUCCACAGUAAUUGGGGCAUUGGCACCCCUACCACGGCCCCUGCCUCUGCCUCUUCCCCUUGCUGCCAUCUGAAUUCCACGGUACAGAAACAUAUCUCAAUAAUAUCCAACAUGAUAAAUACAAGAGAUAAUUGAAUCUCAAUUUUUUUGGGCGAUAUCCAACAUUAGCAGUUCAGAAAAUCAGUCAUAUGUCGAGUUCCAUAACUCUAAAGGAGACGUUCUUUACACCGUUGGAAAGAUAAAGAAAUUCUCUACAACUUUAAUUUAGGUCAUAUUAACACAUUCUGUGGUUAAAUUAGCCAAAACAGGGUAUAUCCGAAAACUGUUCCAGAAUUCCAGACUGCACAGAAACCUCAACUUUGAACAGUUGUAUCUCACAGCUCUUAAUAAUUAAUAAUGUCAUUCUAGCGGCAUUGGAAAGAUAAUGAAGUCUAGUUGUUCAAAGAAAAAUUUGAUAAACUUUGCAUGAACAGAAUUUGAGGUAUAUCAGAAUUAUUGCAGACUGCUUCAGAAAUCAGCAAGAGACAGAAACAUAAUUUUAACCAAACCUAACUAUUUAGUUCAUUAAUCCUUAUGCCUUAGGCCUAUUAACUAAAUGAAAUUGUGGAGAAAAUCCACAAGAUCAUUACACUCGUUACAAAGAACCAAAUCAAGCAUAAGCAUAAAAACAACCAAACCAAGCAUUAAAGGUUCACACUUCAAGCAUUGACUUAACUUGCGGUACCAUCGUUCUCUUCCUAUUAAGGGUAAAGAUCCUAAAACUCCUAUUUCAAUGACGUCAGAAAGUGGUUAGAGAAUGUUCUUGUUGACACCGUUUUUGGGCACGUGUCUAGGAUGGCAGGAUAAGGUGGCAGUACGAUGUUUACAAAGCGGGUUGCCGAUGAUGAUGGUUGCCGAUGAGGGAGAAGUUGAAUGUGACUAAGUCCACAGGCAGUAAUAUGGUGCCGAUGGCUAGGUAAGAAAGUCUGCCGAUGACUAUGGCAAAGGGUCUGCCGAUGAUAUGGAAGGAGUCCGGAAGCUGCCGGUUGUCAUGUGGAGGAGUUUAGGUUUGUCACGAGGGAUAGUUUUGUUAUUUCCUUAAUUAUUUGCAUCGUUUUGUAUAUGGAUUCCGUGUAGUUUGGAAUUCGAAUUCUAAUCGUGUCUGGUUGUAGCUCUUUGAGCAGGGUAUAAAUAUAAACCCUAGGGCCUUAUAAUAAUCAAUCAAGAAAUCAAACACACGUUUUUACUCAUAUUCCAGCAUUUACUUUUCGACGACUUCAUCAUACUUUUUCCUUUUGUUACGAGUUCUUAGGAAUUCGUCGACUUAAGCUCGGCGUGUUCUCAAGUUCCGCGUGAGUACCUCUUAGCCGUGACAUCCGGGCGCAUCGCUGUUGUCAGGACUAAAGUAUUCGAGUUAUCACCUUUGCCGAUAGCAAGGUCAAAUCGGCUGGCACGCCUUAACGUUUGAAUCGGGUAUUAGCCCUUUGUGUUUGCAGACUAGUUUUGCAUCAACACAUCUUUUGGCACGCCCGGUGGGACCAGAUUCAAGAUCAAGAUCAACAUGUCGAUCUCUGACCUCGAUCAAGAGAACGUCAUCCCCGUGACGGAGGCCAACCUCAAGGAUGAGCAGAAGCAAGCUAUUGCCCAAGCCAUGGAAGAGUUCAAGCAGCAAUGCCUGAGGUCUUUCAGCAUAAACAGGAGCGGCGAAGUGGUCCAGAAAGAUGCACUGCCGGCACCACGGCAGGUUACCUUUGACGCCAAUCCUGGCAAGCUUCAAGAUAUGGUUGACAAUGCCAUCAAUCGAGCGUUGAUUAACCAAGCUGGUGUACUGUCUAAUACGGUUUUCAAUGUCGUGGCAAGAACUUUCAAGGAAGGACAAAUCCCACCAGAUUAUGUGGGCCCCUCCCAUCAUCAGCCAACGGCACCAGAGGUCACGGCUCCAUCGGCUGCCUUGACGAAUGCAAGUGCACAAUCUGCCGUCCCUCCAAGUACAUCGGGGACUACUGGUGCACUAUCUAUGCCGAUGGCAACCAACCCACAAAUUUCAGUUGGGCAGCAUAAACUGACAACAGAUAUGUUGGCAUCGGCAAUGUCAGGGUUGACUCUUCCUCCCAACUGGUGGGGUUACGGUAUGCCUCCAGAGUUGACGCCGGGAACAUCACAAAUAACUGACAUGAGGGGCAAAACUCCUAUGACAUCGGCACCUCCCAAUGCGCCGGUGAACCAGAGUCCUCGGUAUACCACAACUACUACUGCAAGGCCUCACACUGGAAAUCCUCAAGAUUCAAUGUUCCAGAUGCCCAACGCAUCGGCAGAGUCAAUGCUGAUGCAACAGAGGCCUAUGGCCCAGUCGGGGUAUGUCAAUUCAACGACGGUACCCAAUUACCAAUCAUCGGCAGCACCUAUGCCGAUGAACGCUAAUAAUGGAUGGCUUGGACAGCAAGCCUUUCCACAAUCACCCCAGCAGAGUUACCAGACUACAGGGUUCCUGCAAGGGCAGGUCUAUCCCGGGUUCCAAGGUCAGGGGAUUCCCAACCAGCCAAUGAAUUUUGGACAGCAACUCGGAGGACAGCCAAUCGGUGGACAACAGUUUGGUGGUCCGCAGAUUGGAGGACAGGUGAUCAAUACAAUGUUCCGUGCAGAUCACGUCCCGAACAGACACGUGGAGGUUCGCCACCAAGUGCCAGAUCCGCAGCCGCCUCAUCGGCAAGAUGCCGAUGCAUAUUGGGCCGAUAAGAUUGCUGAAGUAAUGAGGGAACAAUUUGGGAUAAAACCCAAAGUCAACACUUAUUCUUAUCGGACGCCGUAUCCUCCCGCGUAUGAUUUGAUCCCGCUUCCACAUCGGUACAAGGUACCGGAUUUUACAAAGUUUUCCGAACAGGACGACACGUCAACCAUGGAGCAUGUCAACAGGUUCAUUAUUCAAUGUGGAGAGGCUGGUAACAGGGACGAAUUGAGGGUUCGUCUAUUUUCAUCAUCAUUGUCUGGAUCGGCCUUUACUUGGUUCAUAUCAUUACCUCCCAACUCAGUAAUUACUUGGGCCGAUCUAGAGAAGCAGUUCCACAAAUACUUCUUCUCGGGGGUUCAUGAGAAGAAGAUCACCGACUUGGUCAAGUUGAGGCAACGUAAUGAUGAGUCGGUUGAGGGAUUUGUGCAGAGGAUACGAGAGGUCAAGAAUAAAUGCUAUAGCCUGGUUCUGGAUGAUCGGCAGCUAGCCGAUUUGGCUUUCCAGGGUUUGUUGCCACAUAUCAGGGAUAAUUAUGCCUCUCAGGAGUUCGAAAGUUUAAGUCAUUUGGUGCAGAGGAUUUCUGAUCAAGACAUCAAGCCUUUCGAGCCUAAGAGAGCAUGGAAUAAGAAAGUGUCAUUUGUUGAUGAAGCAACAAGCUCAGAUUCUGAUGAAGAACCAGUAAUCGGUUUGGCAGAGUGGGUAAAAAACAAGAAGCCGAUGUCUUGUCCUUUUGGGCAGAAGGAACCAGAGAAGUUUGCUUUUGACACCGCUAAGGCUGAUAGGAUAUUUGACUUUCUACUUCAGGAAGGUCAGAUCAAACUGUCACCUAACCAUGUGAUCCCAUCGGCAGAAGAGUUGAAGAGGAUGAGAUAUUGCAAGUGGCAUAAUGCAACGUCCCAUGACACCAACGAGUGCAAAGUAUUCAGACAGCAGCUGCAAUCGGCUAUAGAGUCAGGGAGAAUCAAGUUUGACAGUUCCAAACCUCAGAAGCCGAUGAAGAUAGACCAACAUCCUUUCCCGACAAACAUGUUGGAUGCUAAGCGGAAGGCUAAGGUCUUAACAUUGGAGACAGCUGAGAAGAGUGCAUCGGUAGAUCCUCAGCAUCAAGUUACUACUGCCGAUGCAAGAAGUAAGGGCUUGGUCCAGGAAGGAACUAGCUUAGGAAGGCUUCCUCGAUCUGGUAUCGUCAUAACUCAUAGAAGGCCUCGAGAAAAAUGGCAACAACGGGAAGAUCAGUAUCGGCGCCAGCAGGAAGAUUAUCGACGGGAAGAAGAAAGACGCCGACAGGAGUGGAAUCGGCACAGGGAUCAUUGGAAUUGUCCAUUCUUCAUCCAUUGUUGGGAGGAAAAUAUCAAGCUUCCUACUGUCAGAGACUGCCCUGAGUGCAACGGUUAUGAUCGGUACGAUAGGAUCGAUCGGCAUUAUCAUGAUGAUGAACGGCGAUUUAAUGGGCCGAUCAGAGGAAGGGUGUCAGUUCAUGACCGGCUGGGGGGCAGAUUUAGUGGGCACGACAGACUUAGUGACCGUGUCCAGUAUUUUCCCAGGAACCAAGAAGAGCUCGAGGGAAUGGCUGAUGCGCGGGUUCCCGAUGAAUUCAUAUUUUGCAGGGAUGCUAACACGCAUCGUAUGGAGUCAAGGGGGAACCGACGCCCGACAGCAAGGCACAGGCCACUUCCUCCAUGGUGCCCUGGAGGAUUAACCAAGACACAGAAAAGGAGAUUGCAACGUGAAAGGCAAGAAGAGCUAAACAAGGGAGAGAACUCUGGAAGUCGGCAGCCGUCAGACACUAAGAGGGAAGGUCCAUCGGCAGGCGUCAACAUGGUCCUCAUGUUGCCAAUGGAGUUUCUUGCACCAGCCAGUGAUGAUGAGUUGGAAUUUUCUGAUCAGAUAGCUCAGUUGGCUCUGGAUCCGAUGACGGCUAUCUUUGAGAAACCUGCCGAUGACGAGAGGCAGCAUCUUAAAGCUCUGUUCCUCAAAUGAAGGGUUGAUGGGCAGCCAAUGACCAAGAUCCUAGUUGAUGGUGGAGCUGCUAUUAAUAUUAUGCCGUAUGCAGUAUAUCGGAAGCUUGGGAAAGGGGAUCAAGAUUUGACCAAGACCGAUAUGAUGCUCAAAGACUUUGAAGGAAACGUGUCUCCAGUCAAGGGGGCGAUAUGUGCAGAGUUGACCAUCGGCAGCAAAACCUUGCCGACAACUUUUUUCGUGAUCAGCGGAAAAGGUGCUUACAACUUAUUAUUGGGAAGAGAUUGGAUUCAUGCCAAUUGUUGUAUCCCAUCUACAAUGCAUCAGUGCUUGGUUCAGUGGGUAGGUGACAAGAUUGAGAUUGUCCCAGGAGAUUCUUCUUAUGUUAUCGCAUCGGCAGAAGCGGAUACCUACGAAAGGACCAGGUGCAUUUCAGGAGAAGUUUGGGAGAAAGAUUUUCUCAAAGUUGCCGAUUAUGAGAUUCCACCGAUCCAAGCAGUCGGUUCUGACGACGGUUUUUAAUGGAUAGAUUCGCCGAUGAUGGAAAAUUAGGCCAGGGAUUCACAUCGGCCGAUGAUUUGGUAGAAGUAGAUAUAGGUAGUGGUGAUAAGCCUAGGCCUACUUUUAUUAGUGCUAAAUUAGAUCCUGAGAGUAAGCGACAAUUGACUAGUUUGUUAAAGGAAUAUAAAGAUUGCUUUGCUUGGGAUUAUACAGAGAUGCCUGGUUUAGACCGAUCAAUUGUUGAACAUCGGUUACCCAUCAAGUCUGGAUUUCGGCCACAUCAGCAACCAGCCCGCCGAUGUAAUCCUAACAUUCUACCUGAUAUUAAGGCCGAAAUCACUAAACUUAUUGAAGCUAAGUUUAUUCGGCAGUGUCGGUAUGCCGAAUGGAUUUCCAAGGUUGUUCCGGUUUACAAGAAGAACGGGAAGCUUCGGGUGUGCAUUGAUUUCAGAAAUCUCAAUAAAGCUACGCCGAUGGAUAGAUACCCAAUGCCUGUCGCCGAUCUACUGGUUGAUGCUGCGGCUGGUCAUCGGGUCAUCAGCUUCAUGGAUGGUAAUGCAGGUUACAAUCAAAUAUUCAUGGCGGAGGAGGAUAUUCCAAAAACCGCAUUCAGGUGUCCCGGUCAUGUUGGGCUAUUUGAAUGGAUAGUCAUGACUUUUGGGUUGAAGAAUGCUGGUGCUACUUAUCAAAGGGCUAUGAAUUUUAUAUUUCAUGAGUUCAUCGGCAAGCUCGUAGAGACUUAUAUUGAUGAUGUGGUGGUUAAGUCUGGAGAUUUCUCAAAGCAUCUUGCCGAUUCACAAAAAGUGUUAGAGUGCACAAGGAAGCAUGGAUUGAAGAUGAAUCCCAACAAGUGUGCAUUUGGUGUAUCGGCAGGGCAGUUUCAUGGUACAUCAGAGGGGUAUUGAAAUUAGUCGAAGAUCUAUUGAUGCCAUCAAUAAAAUAGUGGCCCCUACUAACAAAACCGAGCUCCAAUCAUUGAUCGGCAAAGUAAAUUUUAUCAGGAGAUUUAUAUCGAAUUUGUCUGGUAGGAUUCGUGCUUUCAGUCCUCUUCUUAAAUUGAAAGCCGAUCAAGAGUUUAUUUGGGGAGAAGAACAGCAGUUGGCUCUAGAUGAAAUCAAGAAGUAUCUAGUAAAUCCUCCAGUUCUAGUUCCACCUCAACAAGGGAAGCCCUUCAGAUUGUAUUUAUCUACCGAUGGAUCGGUUAUCGGUUCAGCUUUAGUUCAAGAAUUUGAAGGGAAAGAAAGGGUAAUUUAUUAUUUGAGUAGGAGGUUGAUUGAUGCUGAAACCAGGUAUUCGGCCAUUGAGAAACUAUGCUUAUGCUUAUAUUUUUCAUGUAUCAAGCUGAGACAUUACCUGUUAUCGGCCGAAUGCACUGUUGUUUGCAAAGAUGACGUGGUCCGAUACAUGCUAUCUAUGCCGAUUAUGAGUGGUAGGAUCGAUAAAUGGAUUUUAGCGCUGUCGGAGUUCGAUUUGCGUUACGAAUCGGCUAAGGCAGUCAAAGGGCAGAUUAUGGCCGAUUUUGUGACUCAGCAUUGCGGUCUAGUGGAAACCUUGGAAAUUGUACCCUGGACGCUCUUCUUUGAUGGAUCUACCUGUGACCGUGGGGCAGGAAUCGGCAUUGUAUUAGUUUCCCCUAAGGGGAGGAAGUAUGAGUUUUCCUUGCCGAUUGUUGCCACAUCAACAAAUAAUCAGGCUGAGUAUCAAGCUCUGAUCAAGGGAUUGGAGUUGUUAAGAGAAGUUCGUGCUGAUGCUGUUGAAAUAUUCGGGGAUUCUAUGUUGGUUAUAAAUCAAUUGGCCGGAAGCUAUGAAUGCCGAAGUUAAGUUCUCAUAACUUAUUUCGAGAGAAGUAUGCAACUGUUAAAGGAAUUCAAGGAUUUCCGAUUGGAGCAUGUUCCCCGAUUGCAUAAUGAAGACGCUAAUCGGUUAGCUCAGCAUACCUCGGGAUAUCAGCCAAUGAUUAAUGCGACAUCGGCAGUUGGUCCCGGUGAUUGGAGGAAAGAAAUUAUUGAUUAUCUAAAAGAUCCAUCCAAAAAAGUUGAAAGACGGGUUCGAUUUCAAGCAACCAAGUAUGUGCUCCUUGAAAAUGAAUUGUAUUAUCGAACUAUCGACGGAAUUCUUCUCCGAUGCUUGGGUGAUGAUGAAGCUAGAAGUUUGAUGGGGGAAAUCCAUGAAGGAGUGUGUGGAGCGCAUCAGUCAGCUUUUAAGAUGAAGUGGAUGAUUCGAAGGAAUGGAUAUUUUUGGCCAACCAUACUUGAAGAUUGUUUUAAAUAUUUCAAGGGAUGUCAAGGUUGUCAAAAGUUUGGUAAUAUCCAGAGAGCACCCGCAUCGGCUAUGAAUCCUAUAAUAAAGCCUUGGCCGUUCCGGGGAUGGGCCAUCGAUCUGAUCGGCCAGAUUUAUCCACCAUCUAGCAAAGGGCAUAAGUUCAUUCUAGUUGCCACUGACUAUUUCACUAAGUGGGUUGAAGCUAUUCCUUUGAAGAAAGUCACAUCGGCCAAUAUGAUUGAUUUUGUGAAGGAGCAUAUUAUUUACCGAUUUGGGAUUCCCCAAACGAUUACUACCGAUCAGGGCACCAUGUUCACAUCGGGGGAGUUCGAUGAAUUCGCAAUCGGUAUGAGAAUUAAAGUGUUGAAUUCUUCUCCUUAUUAUGCUCAAGCCAAUGGGCAGGCCGAAGCGUCUAACAAGGGAAUUAUCAAGCUUAUUAAACGAAAGAUUGAAGAAAAUCCUAAGCGGUGGCAUACAUUAUUAAAUGAAGCAUUGUGGUCUUAUCGGAUGGCUUGUCAUGGAUCGACCAGGGUAUCACCCUAUCAAUUGGUGUAUGGACAUGAUGCAGUGUUGCCUUGGGAAAUUAAGGCUAGAUCUAGGCGAUUAUCUUUUCAAGAUCAAUUAACUUCCGAUGGUUAUGCCACUUUGAUGACCGAUGAAUUGGACGAUCUAGCAGGGCAUCGGUUAAAAGCUUUAAUGAGUAUAGAAGAAAAUAAGAAGAGAGUUGCUAGAUGGUAUGAUAAGAAAGUGAAGGCUAAAGAGUUUGCCGAUGGGGAUUUGGUUUGGAAAUUAAUUUUACCAAUUGGGACCAAAAGUUCGAAGUUUGGAAAGUGGUCUCCUUAUUGGGAGGGUCCUUAUCGGAUAAGUCGAUCGGCUCCUGGUAAUGCCUACAUUCUAGAAACCCUCGAAGGAAUUGAAUUUCCCAGAGCAUUAAACGGCAAAUAUUUAAAGAAGUACUACCCCAGUAUAUGGGUCGAUGCAUAGAAGUUUAGGUGCCGAUAACACUCCUAUUGGCUGGAUCCAAAUGCUUGGGGACAAGACUUGGUGUUUCAAAAGUUUAGGCGCCGAUAACAGUCCUAUCGGCUAGACUAAAAGCUGAGGGAGCAGGAAAGCGCAGAUACAAUGUCGAUGGAAACUCUAUGUGUUAAGCAGCAUCUGGAUUGCCGAUAUAGCACGUAGCCGAAUUUGGUUGGCUGCUUCUAUCUCCUUGAUGUCAUCAUCGGCAGAACCUUCUAUCGGCUUCAGCUUCUUCUUCAGUUGGAGUGCUUUGCGACCAUGAGCAUUUCGCUCGCGCUCAAGAAGCCUGAUGGUCUCUGGCAAUUGGCUCUCUUCCUGUUGGGCUUGGGACAGAGCGUUCUCUACUUCCUUGAGCUCCGCCAACAGGGACUCUUUUCUUGCCGAUAGAUCGGAUAUCUUCUGCUUCAGCGCGUCUCCAGAAGAUCUCAGGAUACCAAUGUUCUUGUGCUUCUCAUCGGUCAAAAGCUUCUCUUUCCUCAUUUCAUCGGAGAGUUGAGUCUGAGCGGCUCUAUCGGCAAGCCGCCGAGAAGCUCUUUGGUACUGCAGCUGGCGACUCUCCAGAUGAGCGGCUUGGAACAGGAUUUCUUCAACAUCGGCUGGGAUUUGGCCUCUGAGAGUUCUGAACAGGGUCUUGGUAGGGUCGGAAUCAUCAACCAAGUGCGCUGUGUCCUGGUGAAGGAGAGCUGACAAUUCUUCCAGCCUGACCCUGACCUCUGCCGAUGUGAUGCCGACCGUCUGAGAAGUGCUUGCUUCUUCACCUUUUUCUUCAGAGAAAUCGAUGGCGAAGGAGAACAGGCUAUCGGGAGAAUCUUGUUCCUGGGAGGGAAAGCAAAAUUAGCUCAUACUUAGAGAAUCGGCAAAUAGUGCUAACGGUAAACGGUGACUUACUUGCUUCAAGGCGAUCUCUUGUCUUCGACUGAGAGGUGCUGACGGAGCUGCAGGCUGAUCGGCCAAAGAUGCUGAUGGAGCUACAGGUUGAUCGGCUGAGAUUGCCGAUGGAACGAUAUCAACUGAAAGAAGACAAAAGGAGUUAUGAGACUAAAUAAGAAUAAGUUCAUCGGUAGCGAUAUUGUUAAAGUAUGUUACCUGGAGGAGGGACAACGGUUGUCUGAAUCGGGAGAACUACCGAUGGUAUAACUGGACCCACCGGGCCAGUUGUUUGUUCACCCGUGUCAGCUGAUGUAUCUUCUGUUUGAGAUCCUUCCUAUUGGGGUUCUUCAAUCUGUGGUGCUUCCUGCAUAGGUGGGGGAGAUGGUGCUUGCUGUGGCUGGGCUUCUGGAGAAGAAGGAGAAGACUCCACCGAAAUUGGAGAUACCGGAGGAGGAGGGGGAGUUGCUACCUUCUGGCGCUUUGUUCCAGUCUUAGCACCCGUGGUGCCCUUUCUCUUGGGUUGGCUAGACUGGGGGGCAUCGGUACUCUCACACCUGGCUUUCGCCGAUGCGCCGGUUUGCUGCAAUAAUGAACAAGAGUUUAUAAGCAUAAAUAUAGCCGAUAUAAAGAUAGUCAGCAUAAAGGAAAAGAUUUGUCAAAUUGCCUUGAAAGCCCGCGCAAGAGUGGGAGCAGCAACCGUUGGUGAUGUCUGAGUUCUUCUGGUGGUGACUUUCCUGAGGCAUACACCCCGAUGCACGAUGGAAGCUAGAGUGGGAGCAUUGUGGCCGAUUGAGGAAAUCGGGCCUGAUGAAAACAAGUCGAUCGGCCUGCCACUCCUGCUAACCAAUGGAGGAAUAUUGUCAACCUGCAAAAGGAAUACAAGGGUAAGCUGCCGAUGGGGGUAAUAUUGAGAAAAUGAAACGUUGGUUUGAGUUACUUACAGUGUCAUCGGGAACUUCGUAUUCGGAGUCGAUCAUGUCGCGGUAUGAAAGUGUCGAUCUGCAGAAUAGAUGCUCUUUCCAUUCUGCCCACCAUAACUUGUAUGCCUGAGUGAUAAAAGCAGCCGGAACCCAUUCUGACAGAUUUACAUCUAUAUCGGCGUUUGGUGGUAGUUGGGCUGCUCGAGUCCACUCAAGAAGGUUGUUGAUAGUUUCUCUGGGUUUUAUCACAUCGGCAUAAGGAAGUGCAAUCGGCAACUGGCCGAAAGCUAACUGGCGAGCUAAUGCCGAUGGAUUGUAAAAUUCGUAAGUUUGAGGGGAGGUUUUUGUGCUACCAAAGAAAUUCACUGGAAUGAUUCUGGGAGUCAGAACUGCCAUCAUCACCUCAUUGUCCCUGUCGAGAGCUUCAUCAAACGGAUUGAAGGUCAGAGGGAGCAUGCUAUCUGGGUCAUCAUAAGCCAACCAUGGUCGUUCGUCUCUGGUCAAACCCUCAUACAGAGUCUGGAAGAAUCGGCCGAUCUGAUCUGGAUUACCCCCUGAACCAGGCAGAACUAUGACAGCUUCGCCAAAGUUCAAGGGGGCGCGUGUUGCCGAUUCCUCUCCACCCAAUACAUGGUUUUCAGCUAUAUCUCUUGGGAAACGCUGUGUGAACAGGUUGAAGUUGAGACGCUUGUGCAGAUGCAGAUUGAGCCACAUGUUGACAAACCACCAGGGGCCUCCCAAGUUGCCAAUGGAUUGGCCGAGCAGAAGUUUCUGGGCUACUUGAUGGAGAAGGUGGUAAGCAGCGCCAAGCAAGUAUCGGCCGAGAGGGAAUCGGCCACCGUUAGCCAGUCUUUCUGCUGCCGAUAGGUAGACAGAAGUCGGUCCUGCCGAUCGACCACAGAAUACAAACUUGUCCAGCCACAUGUUCAGAAAGGUGGUUUGUUCCUUUAUGGUGACAGAUCCUUUCCCACGGUACUUCUGAAUGUACCCCGACCAACCGCCGAUAGCGCGAGUCUCCACUUUGGCACUAGGGGCAGUAUCAAAAAAGUGGGUGCUAUCGGCAGAAGAUAUAUCUAGACCAGUAAGCAUGGCUACAUCGGUAAGAGUAGGAGAAGCAGGGCCGUGGCCAAAGGCAAAAGCAUUGAGGGUGUCUGACCAAAAGUAGGAUGCAGCUAUCAGCAGUGAUUCGUUCCUAUGCAUAUCGGUAAUGGACAAUCUAAUGCAUUGGGCUAGAUUCCUUUCACCCCACUGAAUUUCAUUAGAGUUGCUGACCCUCAAGAACCAGUCUUUCCACCCUACAGUUGGGCUGGGCCAAGAGCGGAAGGUGUCCUUCCACAGAUCUAAGGAAAAAUUUUCGGCUCUGAAGGGGAUCCUGUUGGUUUCUGCGUUGAUAAGGUCAGUUGGAUCUGGGUCCCCUAGAGGGCCGAGGCAUUGAAGGUGUGGAUGAUCGGUGGGGAUGACAAUUUUGUUGGACAAUUCCUAGUGAUUUUGGGCGUAAAAAGAAAUACAAAGAGGAAAGAAAAGGAAGAUGUUCAGUAAAAUGAAUUGCGAAUGAACAGGGAUAUGAAGAAAAAUACAGAAGACGGGGUGGAGAUUUGACCUCAGGGACGAUGAACCCGACGGCAAUCUUGCUGCGAAGGAAGCGUGUCAAGGCGCCGGAGUUGAUGAAGAGGGGUACUUGUCGGAGACCUUAGGAGUUUUUGGUGGCGCCGCCGCUGGAAAAGUAAAGUUGGGUAGUAGAAUGGUGUGAUGGGGAAGGAGUACCCAAGAAGGAACUAUUUAUAGGACAAAAUGGGCAAGGGCAAAUCCGACUUAUCUCUUUGCCGCAUCCGAGAAAUCCGAGGGUACUCAGGUGGAUAUGGUAACUGUUCGCACGGUAAUCCAGGGAUUGUGCAGGUGAUUUGACGGGAAGCGGUCAUUAUCUGAAGAUAUUUUACUGUGCGAGAUCUCCUGGUCGGUCCAUCGGGGAUAUUCUAUAACGGUCAUAUUGCCGAUGAGCGGAUAGAGGGGAAGUAACCGUUUGUGCGAAUAUCCUGGUCAGAACAUCGGCAGAUCUUUGUAACGGUAUUGUUGCCGAUGUACGACUGAGAAAAGUGCCCGUUUAGGAAGUUGGGGAUUUCGAGGAAUCUACGGAGUAUUAGGAUCAGAGUUGUCCAGAUUGGGGUUGUCGGUUACCAGAUUAGGAGCAUUAAUUGCGGGAGAAGGCAUCAUUACUGCAGAGAAUUUUGGAGCAUUAAUAGUUUUAUACUCCGAAACUGGGGGGCAUGUGUUGACACCGUUUUUGGGCACGUGUCUAGGAUGGCAGGAUAAGGUGGCAGUACGAUGUUUACAAAGCGGGUUGCCGAUGAUGAUGGUUGCCGAUGAGGGAGAAGUUGAAUGUGACUAAGUCCACAGGCAGUAAUAUGGUGCCGAUGGCUAGGUAAGAAAGUCUGCCGAUGACUAUGGCAAAGGGUCUGCCGAUGAUGCAAAGGAGGAGUCCGGAAGCUGCCGGUUGUCAUGUGGAGGAGUUUAGGUUUGUCACGAGGGAUAGUUUUGUUAUUUCCUUAAUUAUUUGCAUCGUUUUGUAUAUGGAUUCCGUGUAGUUUGGAAUUCGAAUUCUAAUCGUGUCUGGUUGUAGCUCUUUGAGCAGGGUAUAAAUAUAAACCCUAGGGCCUUGUAAUAAUCAAUCAAGAAAUCAAACACACGUUUUUACUCAUAUUCCAGCAUUUACUUUUCGACGACUUCAUCAUACUUUUUCCUUUUGUUACGAGUUCUUAGGAAUUCGUCGACUUAAGCUCGGCGUAUUCUCAAGUUCCGCGUGAGUACCUCUUAGCCGUGACAUCCGGGCGCAUCGCUGUUGUCAGGACUAAAGUAUUCGAGUUAUCACCUUUGCCGAUAGCAAGGUCAAAUCGGCUGGCACGCCUUAACGUUUGAAUCGGGUAUUAGCCCUUUGUGUUUGCAGACCAGUUUUGCAUCAACAGUUCUAAAAGCAUAUAAAGGCAAGGAGUGAAGGUAAGAACAAGUCUUUUAAAAUAAGCAUCAAUGUAAAGAUGAAUAGUAGGGGAAAAGGUAUAGUGUAGGAUAAAAUUUCAAGGUUUAUAGAACUAGGAUUUUAUAGCAAUUUUGAAAACUUAAGAUGGCCAAUUUCUAACUAGGCUUGCAUUCAAUAGUCAAUAAAGCUUUGAUACCAAUUUGUCACACCCAAAUUUCAAGAAUGAAAUAGAGUGCAUAAAAGACUCAUGUGCGCCCCAGAAACGGUCGCACACAAAAGUUGACAAACCUCAAAUAGUGCCAUCACAAUGUUUAUUACAUAGCGGAAUAAUAAUUAUUACAUAGUCUCAAACAAAUAAAGAUACUCUCGAUGGAAGCACCACAUAGGGACACUGUCAACUGGUUGAAUCCAAGCCUAGUACUCAUAACGGUAGUCAUCAUUCCAGUCAUCUUCUUUUACAUAUCCUGAGGUGUUAUGAAAUAGCCAGAGUGAGCACAUAUCGUACACAACAAGUAUAACCAGGGGUUCAUGGGGCUCAAUAAGCCGAUACUAGUUUAAUUGCAUUUACCUUUUAUAUGUAGAUGGCAUGUUUAUAUUUAGAUAGCAAAUGAAAAGGUAGCAUAAUUAAAUCCCACAACCACAUGAUGAAUGUAUACAAGAAUUAAGAAUAACACAUAUAAACAACAUAAUAAACCAUCAUUUAUCAUCAUUAUUCAUGUUUAUCAGUGUCCAUCUAUUCUGUCAGUUUUCUGGGCCGCCCGUAUUGAUGGGCACAGCUAGUAUACUAGAUUUAACACUCUGCAGAGGUUGUACAUCUUUACCCAUGAGUCAUGAUUUACCCUUUCGCCCGAGGUCGCAAGUCUCUUAACCCCCUUCCGAGGGAGGUCGGCAGGGAUCACUAUGAAGCCUUUCAAAAGUUCAUCUAAUAAGUUAGGGCGGCAAGGUUUCUCAUGCGUGCAAAUAUAGAGCCCCCUUCCAAAUGGCACAAUGACGCACAACCUAUACACAUAAGGACAGAGGCCACGCUAUACCCAAAAUUGCAAGCCACUCUAGCGCCCUUUGGGUAACCUCUAGCAAGCAAGAUAAGGUCUUCAUACUUAGCUAAAGCUAGAGCCAUAUAGCCCUCAUGGUUGUAUGAGUUGUCCUAGCUUUUGCUAAGGGAUAAGUCCUUAUGGAGGGUCAAGAUCAAUCUAGCAAAAGCUAGAGUUCUUUCUACCCUUAAUAAUCAAGUUGCUAGGAAGCUUAUUUUAUUUGUUUAUUGUAUAUCCAAAUAUUCAUGUUACAAGAUCAUGGAUUAUAAUCAAGCACUAGCAAGAACUACCCAAAUGUAUAUCCAAAUAGGUAUCAAGGAAUACAAGAUAACAAUCAUCUAUGAUUUCACUAGGGUUGUCAAGGUGGACACAUGCAUACGAUAUAUGUAUUAAAAGUGUGUAGGUAACAAGGAUAGUCUCAAGUUAUACUUGCCUUGAUCAAAGCUUUCUUGGAACUCCUGCUGGUCGUCAAAAGAUUGGCCUUGAUCACCAACGUAUUGCUCACUGUCUAUACCCGAUCAUCAAUCAACAACACGCAUUCCAAUGGGGACAAUCAUACACAAAGUAAACAAGCUAUAAUUAGAACAAUACACCAACCGUGGUAAAACAAAUAUAAAAGUUUAUAAAAAUGUUCUACACAGCGCUAUGAUCACAUAGACAUAAAGAUCAUGAAAAUCAGAAUUAAAACGGAGAAGCUAUUAUUUUUCUAAGAUUUCCUAUAGAAAAAUAAUUAAUUAAAUAGUACCAUGAAAAUAAAAAGUUAGAAAUUGAGAAUACAGUGAUACUAACAUGUAGAGCUCGCAAAGACAAACCUAAUGCAAUUUGAAUGGACCAAAUCGGAGUUAAAAUGAGCAUUUUAUAAGCAUUUUAAAAUCAGUGGCAAACUUGUAAAUACUGAAAAGCGUAUUUUCCUUUAAACCAGCAAGAAUACGUUUUCAGAGCUGAAAAGCGUAAACCCGCCAAGGCGCCAUGGACCGUGGGUUGGUUCUCAAAAAUUCCAGGGGCUCUUUAACAAAAGUUACCCCGAAGGGGUAUCUUCUAAUCCUGAGUGUCGAUAGCAAUUUGGACGGCUGAGAGGGAUAGGGGCGGGUUUCGGUCGGCCGGCGGCGAGCCCCCACGGCGGACGCCAUGGCCGGCGUCCAAGCUUCGCCGGAGUUCAUCGUUUGCACACUUUAGGGGAUCUCUGAGCAAAAGAAUACACCGGGGGAAAGAGAAGAAAGUCGCAAGCUCACUAGUGCCCUUCGUUCGCGCCAAGAAGGAGUAGAGAGGCCGUGCGACGUGGCGGCUCGAUUUUGGGACUCGGCGAGAUCCAGUUUGAGUUCAAACGGCGGCUAGGGCUCGGGUUAAACGGCUUGAGUGCGAAAUGGGACCUGCGGCGUGAGGAAGGAGCUUUAUAGGGUGUCCCAAGCGCGAUAAACCGCAACAAAUCCCGCCUAGGCUGGGAUAGGCACGCCUGGUUGGUUUCGGUGGGAGUCGUGUUUGGCUACGUCUCGAAGAAGAAGGGGAUGGAAGCGCUGACACGCAGGCCCGGUGAGUCAAAGAAGAGGGAGGGAGAGUCAAGGCGCUGUCGUGGGGCCGGGGUGUUAGCGACCGCAGGGGAUAAAAGGGGAGGGCACGUGUAGUAGGCCUGCUGGGCCGGUCUGGACCGAGAGGGGAGCCAGGUGAGCUGGGCUUCGCAUGGAACUGGGCCACCAGGCCGAACAGGAGGAAAGUCUACCUAUUUCAUUUUUUCUAUUUUGUUUUCUAAAGCUUUUUGAAAAGGUAUUUUAAAUCUUUUUGAGAUAAAACAAACACACAGUAAAAUAAGUAAAUAUUCCAGCAUGUAUGCACAAGCAUGUUACUAAACUUAUGAUAAAUUUUAAUUUCAACAAAAUUUAUUUAUUUACUAAAUUAAAUGCUCACAAAUAUACUUAAAUAAAUCAAAUUAAAUCCUAUUAAUUAGAAAUAAAUUUUUGGGUGUCACAGUAGUAAAAGAUGGACAAGAGUCCUAACAAUUAAAACAAUGGGUACGUAGAUGCCCGCCUCCCAGAUAAAAAGAGAGAGAGAGAGAAAGAAAAAUAAGAAAGAAAGAAAGAAUAAAGAUAUAUAGCCUAUGUUUUCCUGCGAGUUCUAAGUUUAAAAGGAGGGAGUAAUUUUCAAAGAUCAAAAGUAGAAUUAGGAUUUGCCACUAAAUACUAUAUAUAUACCUAUCCACCAUAUUCCAUACACACGCACAUCUUGAUUUGAUUGUAUGCCUUGAUUCUCUGUAGAUCCAUUGUUUGACUUUACAAUCUAUGAAUUGCAAGUAUGCUCACUCCUAUAAGCUCCACUAUAUAUAUCCUUAGUUGUAGGAAGGUAUAACCUCAUUAAUGCCUAAGUGAGAUCCAUAAAUACAACAUAAUAAGAGACUUGAGGGUGUCAUACAAUUAAGCUAUGAGUUUUAUUUCGAAAACUUGCAAAACUCCAGAAUAUUGGUACUGUGAAGAAUUUGAGACACAGUGCUUGACAUGAUUGUUAUAUCUUUCGAUUACUCAAGACUUAUGGAAAAGUUGUAAAGAUCCAUGGUUAAAGGUAAAAUGGGUAAGUUUGAAUGUUAGACCAGAGGACAAUUUAUGUUUAAAAGUAAGUGUACUUAAAAGAAAUAAAAGCAUUGUAUUAACUCCUGAUCCAAGUUUAUAAAUUAGGCUUGGAUUGUUUGCUAAGGGACUGGCAAAAGGUAAGCUUGGAAGAAUUGUUGACAGUCGAUAACGUCAACUUUUAUUAGAACUUUAAACCCGAAGGAGAACAUGAAUACACUAGGGUUUAAACUAACAAUUUCCAUAAGAUUUGCAUAUCUGUGUUUUCUAGGGUUUAUUUCACAGAGAGCUGAAAAGAGGGAUUCUAGUGCAUAUUUACCAUGAAACUCAUCCGCGACGGAAAAUAUCGUCAUCAGGCUCAGAAAGGGUCUAGAAGACACCCGAAGGAACGAGAGCCGUGGAAGAGAAAGGUGGGGCCGGCCGGCCCCACCCUGGGGCCGGUCGGCGCCCUGUUUUGCCCGUUGCUCGCCGCCUUCUAGAGUCUUCCUCCUACGCUUCCUUGGAAGCCAAGCAAAGUAUCUCUCCAUCGAUUUUAAGUCGGUUUGAUCUAACUGUGCACACAAGAUGAAGACGCAGAUCGUUGAUGUGGCGGUUCCUUGCCCCCUACUCCACCUCGGCCUAUAUAAUGACACCCAAGGCUCCCCCCAAGAGACAUUCUACACCCCUGCGCUUCAUAUUCUCUACAUAAUUAGGGUUAGGGUCCCUCUAGUUGUUCUAGUUCUAGUUCAUCUAGAUCUAGUUCAUCUAGAUCUAGUUCAUCUAGAUGUAGCAAUUAGGAGAGACUAGUUCUUCUAGAUCUAGUCUUGUUUAGAAAUUAGAGAGAUUUAGUAGAGGAGUAGAGAUUCUAGAGGAGUUCUGGCCUGUCGGUGCCUCUUCGUGGCUAUAUUCUUCUGGAUCCAGUUACUCUCGCCCAGAGUUGCGUUCUGACGUACUUUUGUACUGACCCUUCUGGUUUAAGUAAGCAUCUUGUUCUUAUUUGUUAUUUGGUUCACAACUCAUAUUGAGUGCUUUGAUCUUGAUCGUAACUUGGUUGAAGUAGUAUUUCGUAGUGUAGGCGUGGUGCCUGGGCUAGGUUUACUUGUGCAUGUCCCCUGAUCAGCCGGACAAUGGUAGUUCGCGUAGGUGAGUUUAUAGCUGUGUUGAUUUCUCUGUAGUCCACUUCCCGUUGAUAGGAUUCAUAGGAUUAUAGGUGCCUGAUAGGGGGUUACUCUGAUUCUCCCUCUAUUCGGGUUACUUGCCCGAUAAGACAGUAUUAUUCAAAGUUUACUGGAGUCGGAACUAGAGUGCAUUAGUAUUCCCUUUUUAUUGAUAUGAUCUAGCCUAAUUGUAGGGUUAAGUCUAUAUACUAUGUCAUCAUCACAACUGUUCCCUGUUGAUUCGAUAUUUAAAACCUCCGCGUAAAAUGUGACGCUGGUACGAUAUCUGUGCGCUUACGGAAAAUCCUACUUAAAUCUAUUGAAAUAGAGUGCAGUUAAUUUAUACCAACAACAACCAGUGUUAAUGAGUUAUUGAUUAUUUAAUGAACAAAAGGAUAAACAUGCAUAAACUAUUUCCUGUAUACAAGUAAUGUAUCGGCUCAAUAGUUGAUCCAGCCACUUCCAUUCGUAAGCUUAGUAACCUAAUCAUAUUUAAAAGUAGUUCAAUGACUGGAUAACAAAUGUCAUAAUGCAUCAUCAUUAUAUUAUCUUUAGGAGUUGACUUUCUAGUCAAUUUUCUUUGGUUAACGGCUAUUUCGAGCCAUAUAUUCUGGAACUGUCUGGCAACAACCGACAGAUUCUAUAAUUUGAUAUUUGUCUUUCUUCCUUAUCAAAUUUAGAUCAAAUUGACUCGCACGCCCCGAAUUCAAUUCACCAAGUUAAACUCGUGCAUUGAGGCUCAGGAGGUCCAGAACUCUAGCUCCUACAAACCCUCUGAGAGCCACCAAGAUUGUAGAGCAAGAAACAAAUUUUUGCAACCGUCAACACCAUCCAUGUAUGCAAACAUAAGCGAUUUUAUCAGACGGUGUGCAGAAUGUCAUUGGCACGGCAAUAUUAAUGCUUGAGAUGCUAUGUCUCUCACUAACAAUCUACAAGUAGAAUUGUUUGAUGUUUGGGGUAUAGAUUUAUGGAACCUUUCCCUAAAACCAAUAAUUUCGAGUAUAUCCUAGUAGCCAUAGACUAUGUUUCCAAAUGGGUAGAAGCCAUGACUUAUAAUUCGGCCAAUUCCAAAUGUCCCAUGAAAAUUUUGACGGAAGUCAUCUUUUCCCGUUUUGGAGUUUCUAGACUAGUCAUUAAUGAUGGAGGAUCACACUUCGUAGACACACAGUUUAGAAGCUUUUUGACAAGUCUAGGAAUCCAACACCAUGUAGCCACACCUUAUCACCCUCAAACUAGUGGCCAAGUAGAAACCUCUAAUAAACAAAUAAAGAACAUCCUGCAAAAGACAAUAGAGGAAAUGGGAAAGUCCUGGCAUGUUAAGCUCUAUGAUGCUUUGUGGGCAUAUCGAAUAGCCUUUUCUUUGACCCCCUACUGGUAUUUUAUUAUUAAAAUAUUUACAGAUUACAAAGAGAAUACCAAGACUAAAAGUCACGAAACAAAGAAAGUAACCAUGAAAAUGAAAAAAAAUUACAUAAAGCUCUGCAGCCAUAAAUGAAUCUGUGGAUGAUAUUUUGCAUCUUUGCAUCUUUGCACUGUGUGCGAGAUAUUGCAUCUUUGCACUGUAUGCGAGAUAUUGUGGAAAAUCAGGUCAUUUCUCAUCAUCCCAAUAGACCAACACAUAGUGAUAAUAAUUUCCAUGAAGAAAGGCAAUUGCAACUAAACUUUGAGGUUCUCUACUAUGGCCAGAGGAUCCAAAGCAUUAGGUAUCACGAGAUGAAGAGUGUUCCAGCAAGCCAGCGAGAAGGGACAAUGAAAUAGCAGAUGACUGAUUUCUUCAUCAAUACCACAAGCACAGAGGACACAUCUGUAAUCUUGCAGCUGCAUAUUCUUUCUUCUGAGGAGUGCCCUGGUAUUUAAUCUCCUAUGAAGGACUAACCAAAAAAAGAAUUUCCUUUGUUUUGAUAAGAAGAUUUCCAAAGCCAAUGGAAGGAUGGAUGGAUCUGCCUAUGACCAAUGAGAUGUCUAUAGGCUUUCUUGGAAGAAAAAUCUAGAGAGCCCCAGAUAUAGGACCAAGUGUCCUUAACAUCCUGUAUCUGAAGAUUUUGAAUGAGCAACUCCAAAUCCAAGUAUUGAGCAUAGGCUUCUGGAGGUAGAGGUAAAUGAAACUGAUCAUGAAGGGGAUUAGAAUUGCACGCCAAGAAUCCAGAGAUGUCUGGGUUCUUCACAAAGGAAAAGAGUUCAGGAAAAGCUUGAUUCAGAAUUAUCCCAUUCCAGAGAUCUUGCCAAAAGAAACAAGACUUUCCAUCAUGAACUGUGACCAUGGCAAUCCCUUUAAAAGUAUCCAAAAGUUUUAGGAUGUCUUUCCACCAAAAAGAUCAUCUAAAAUUUGCCCUUAUCGCAAAAAAAAGGAAGUCUAUUUCUUGUGUAAUACUUAUCCCAGACCAUCUGAACCUAGGGAAUUGAAGCUCUAUUAAAGAAUUUGUGCAGAUGCUUUAGCAGUAAACUCUCAUUUUGAGCAUAGAGGUUUAGGACACCGAGUCCUCCUUCAGUUUUGGAGAGGCAAACCAGUGGCCAAGCUGCUUUUGGGGGCUUUUUUCUUGUCAUGUCCGAGCCCCUCCAUAAUCAAUGUUUUCUAUAUUUGUUAAUCUGUUUAAUCUCAGUCUUUGGGAGCAAGAAGGUGCACAUUGCAAAAGUUGGAAGAGCUGUCAAGACUGCAUUAGUGAGUUCUAAUCUUCCUGCCUCAGUCAAGAAGGAAGAGAAGGCUACAAGUCUUCUUUCACAUUUUGAAACCAAAUCAAAUAGCCUAUUAAACCCCAAUAGGUAUGUCCCCAUACCAAUUCGUGUAUGGAAAGACUUGUCACUUACCCGUAGAGCUAGAAUUUAAGGCUCAUUGGGCCAUAAAGAAGUGGAACUUGGACCUCGAGCUAGCCGGACAAAAUAGGAACAUGCAAAUAUUUGAGCUAGAGGAAUGGAGAGAGAGAGAGAGUGAGCUUAUCAUAGUGCCAAGAUUUAUAGAUAGAAUUAAAAGAUGGCAUGAUAAAGGAUUAAACAUAAAGAGUUUCACCCCGAAGAUAAAGUUUUACUUUUUAACUCACGUGUGCAUCUCUUUGGUCAUGGUAAGCUUCGAAGUAAAUGGGAUGGACCAUUCAAGGUCGUUGCGGUAGCACCCCAUGGUGUCGUCACACUAGAAAGUGAUGAUGGUAAGCUAUUUAAGGUGAACGGUGAACGCCUUAAUGUCUACUUUGAAUAUGAGAAAGAAGAAGCAAGAGAAAUAGACGUGGUAGGAUUCAGAGACCCUGAGCAUUGUGCAUGCUUCUUGAAUGCAAGCAACCUUGGGCCUUAACCCCUUUUAAUGGACCAAAGAAACGACUAAAAACAUCUUUUUAGGGCCUCUGAUCAACCACACGUGCACAGAGUUCAAAAAUUUUGGAAUUUCCGGCUCAGGACCCGGCGCCCACCAACCCCCUUCCACGAUUUCACGUUGGUUUGCCACGUGUAGGCCGAUCUACGGCUUUGGGAGUUCAAAAUUCCAAAUAUCAUCGAAAACUCGCAACAGAAAGAAGGAUCGGGAACUUUAAAUCCUGGCUCCAUCACUAGUCUUGAAUUAGUGAGAGAAGCAAUAAUACAUGAAAUAGCUUGUUCCAGAAUAAAUUUUGAAUGCUCUAGUUUACUCGGGCCUUCCAAUUUUGUCUACAUUGGAUAAUCUUCACACCAACAUAUGUUACAAUACCAGCCAUUUCCAUCGAGUACCAUCCUGCACCCUAAACAAAAAAGUAUUCGAGAAUUAAAAGUUGCACCCUAAUCCACUAGCUUGAACCCAUAUUUGAGGGUAUUCGAGGGCAGUGUUCAUUAGCAGGAACAGGAUUUGGAAGCAUGUAGUCACUGAGCUGAGGAUGGCAGCAUAACAGCUCCCAACAUCUGGAGAGUAUAGCCAGCAAAAAGAGCAUUGGUGGACCAAUUGGCAGCAUAUCAGCUCCCAACACCUGGAGAGGAUAGCAAGCAAAAAAGAGCAUUCGACCAAUUGACAGCAUAACAGCUCCCAACACCUAGAGAGGAUAGCCACCAAAAAGAGCAUGCAGAUUGCCUAGGGUAACUUGAGGGUGCAAGGUCGUCUAGUCUCAUUCUUGUACUCCGUGCAUCACUUCUCAGAUAAUUUUGCAACUUAGAUGUCAAAGUAGGUACAACAGGAUAUAAGUUAAUAGAACUUUGCUGGAGAAACCCACAUGCCAAAAGGUUGUUGUUCAUUUUGCAACAAGUUCACAUCAAUCGUGGGAAAUGAAAUGAAAUUAGAGGUUCAACACUAGUAUGCAAAUGCAAAUUUCGUAUGCAAAUGGACAUGUAGCACUUGAGAAUAAAAUGCCCAAAGAAACAUAAAUUCUCAUACAAAUUUAGGGCCAUUCGGACAACACAUAUGAAAUUACCAUCAUAUCGAGAAAAAAUGCUCGACAUUUCUGUUCACAGAACUGCAAUAUGUGAGAUUACACACGUCCUAUCCACUUCAUUAUGAAGUUCCCACACAACACAUAAAGUUUUCAUCACAUCCAAAAGCCGAUGCAUGGAAAUUUCUAUGCUCAGAUAAUUAAGCCAAAAUAGAAAAAAGAAAUAUAUUAACAUCAUUGCAAAGUAACAAAAAAAGAAAAAAUUCCCUUGGCUCGGAGAUUCAGUUGCACUACAAGAAAUCUCUUAAUCCGUGACAGAUUACCGGUGACGGUUUUACCGAUGACGGUUUUAGAGAACGUCACAAAUAAUAUAAAUCUUCAACAAUACAUGAACUACAGUAGUUGAUAUCCAGCCCAAAGCCCAGUAUCCGUUAAACAUAUAUAAAGGAGCACAAAUCCUAACCCGCACACUCUUGCUCCCUCCCUCUUCGCAACAGCCGCCGUCGCUCACUCGAGAGUCCAGACCAUCUCGACUGCCGCCUCCUUUGCCUAGGUUUCGUCCUCCCCUAGCCGAUGCGGAUUUCAUCGUUGGUGUGGAGGAGGCGGAGGACUGCGCGCAGAGGAGACCCAGGGCACCACCCCACCUAGCUACUGCCCCAAUCCUAACCCUUGGCAGAUCAGAUCCUCGAUGUGGAGGAUACUGAGGGUGGCGCCCCCACCUAGCCCUUGCGGGAUCUAGAUCCUGGAGCUAAGGAGCACAACGCGGCCACCAAGCUCGGAGUGUAAUACCCGAUUUUAAGGACAAAACCAGAUAUACACUAUAUAUGAGUUUUAGAAGUCAAAUCUCACAUAUAGCUACAAGUAAGGGGUAAUAUCAAAAGACAAUGCAUAAAUAUAUAGCGUACUUAGUAUAAAAGAGAUAACCGUCAAGCAAACAGCGGAUAGACAACUCCAAACUUCGGGUAUUAACUUCACUCUACAGGAUCCAACUGACUGGUUGAUCACAAGCCUAAACUUCUCCUGAGGUUUGAGGGAAAUAGCAAGAGUGAGUCCAUGUCGAACUCCACAAGUAUAGCAACUAGAUUGUAUAGAUCCCACAAUCUCAUGAUCAAUGUGACAUAAAUAAUGUAAAGCAUUAAAUAAUAAAUAAUGAGCAUAUUUAACACACAGGAAUCAUCAUCGUCGCAACAAGAAUCCCCAAGGCCGCUCCUGACCGUGAGCUCGGCUAGUAUACUAGUUUUUAACCCUCUGCAGAGAUUGCACAUCUUUACCCAUGAGUCAUGAUUUACCCUUUCGCCCGAGGUGAUCAGCCUCUUAACCCACUUCCAAGGAAGGUCGGCAGGGAUCACUAUGAAGCCUUUCAAAAGUUCGUCUAACAUGUUAGGGCCGCAAGGUUUCCUUUGCGCGCAGAUAUAGAUACCCCCCUUCCAAAUGGCACAAUGACGCGCAGCCUAUACACAUAGGGACAGGGGCUCGCACUAUACCCAAAACGGUUCAGCCCCUCCGCCCUUUCGGGUAACCUCUAACAAGCUAGAAAAGGUCUUCAUACUGAGCUAAAGCCAGAGCCAUUAUAGCCCUCAUGGUUGCACUGUUGUCCCGGUUAUCACUUACAGAUAAAUCAUCAAGUUGCUAAAAAGUUAUUUUUAUCAUUUAUUACUUAACAUUAAUCUAGUCACAGGAUCAUGGUCACAGAAUAUAAAAUCCAAAUGCUAUACUUGCCUUAAUCCAAAUGCUCUUGUUGAUCCUGCUGGUCUUACUAGUUGCCAAGGCUCUGAUCUUGAUCACUGAAGCACUCUUGUUCAUUACGAAUUACUCACCGACUAAUUCCGAUCAUCGAUCACAAACAUAUGGCAACAAACAUACACGAAGCAAACAAGGCUACAAUUAGAACAGUACACCUAUCAUAUAAAAACAGUAUGAAAAGUUUAUAAAAAUGUUCUACGCAGCGCUACGAUCACAUAAACGUAAAGUUCACGAAAAUCGGAAUUAGGACGAAGAAGUUAUGAAUUUUCCAAAAUUUCCUAUAGAUAAAUAAUUAAUUAAAUGCUACUGCAGAAUUAAAAAGUUUUCAAAACAGUAAACUAACACUUCUAACAUGUAGAGCUCGUGAUUAUGAACCUAAGAAUGGACAAAAACGGAGUUAAAACAGAGAAAAUAUGACCUAAACAUGCUAUCGUAUUUCCAUUGUAUUCAUAGAUUUAUUUUUCUAAAGGAAAACGGCAAUAAAAUUCACCUGCGUCAUCACGAUGUCACGAUGAGGUCAUCAAGCUAACAAUUGACCUCUGCUACGUAUGGCAGCGUUUCUGCUCUUGCACGUCUCGACUGAUCGGAUCGCUAGCAGGUGCAAGGAGCAGUUGGUAGCGCUCGUCUCUGUUGUGAGAUAGACACGGUGCUGUUGAAGUAUGGAGCAGAAGGACCGGCGCGCCACGGUGGCUGCCAUGGCGAGCGACAAGGAACUCGUCGGAGUUACACUGAAUCAACGUAGGGAUCUUGAAUUUCAAUGAAAAAAAAUACCAGGAAUACGAGGAGCGAACAGCAAGCUCACCUAGGGCUUUAUCAGUGGCGAAGAAGGCACGGCGAGGUCAUGGAACUUGGCGAGACAGACACCUCUCCUCCUUAGUUGUGAGUUGGGUAGCAGGCCAGCUCGAUGCGAAAAGCUGCUUGGAGUUCUGGCUUCUCUGCAGCAGUGGGUCGGAGGGGUCGAAGAGGCGGCAAGCUUCGGCAACAACAAAAGCUCUCGGCGACAUCCACAAGCGGGACGUGAGGCAACGCUAAAGCGGCGGCACGAAGUUGAGGCGAGGCUGCAACGUAGUUAGGGCUUGGAUGGCGGCUGCUGCACUAUUGGGGAAGAAGAACUUGGGUUUUAUAUGGAGGCGUAGAUGUGGGGAGCACGUAGAAUUGAACGAGCAUCAGGAUCGGAGCGUCGGGAUUUCGCCCUGGUGGAGUCCGGUUCCUCUACGACUUGGGAGAGGAGAAGACAAUGACAAGUGGGACCAUAGCGUCUGAGGGAGAGGAAAAUGAGCAAGCUAGCGUGCGUCCAUGGGGCUCAGUUAGGCCGUUGCGUCAGAAGCCCAUCACGUCCGAACAGAGAGAGAGGAGAAGAAUUUUUUUUUUUUCCUUCUAAAUUUUCAAAGUCAUUUUCUAAUUGAACUUCAAAUCGAUUUAAUUUUAGUUCAGAACCACUCAUCACAGUAAAUCAAAUGCAAAGGCAUGCAUGCUCAAACAUGUUGCUAACCACUAUGGUAAAUUUUAAUUUUUUUUUUAAAAAAAAAAUAUUAUUUCUAUGUAUUAUGAGCACAAAAAAAAAUACAUUUUUAAAUCAAAUUUCUCCUAUUUUGAAGACUUGCAAAAUUUAGGGUGUUACACGGAGCAGCCCCACCCCCACGUCAAGGGCAACAGCGAAGUGGUUCCUCAGGUGAUCCAUGUGUUCCCUCAACUUGUCCUAUAUCCACCUUUAUUUUUCUCACCAAUUCAUCCACCAGUGAUGGUGCCGCUCAAGCAGAGAUGACACUAGCAUGCCGGCGUUGGGGAUCUGUGUGCCAGGGUUGAGGGUUGAGGGAACCUGACUGAAUUCUAAUUUUCAGGUCAAUACACGUUAUAGAACAUGGAGAUGUGGCAAUUGUGUGGUAAGUAUUUGUGCCUAGUGCUAGUUGCUCAGAGAGGAUAGAAAAUAAGAUUAAGAUAAGAAAUUUAGUGUAUUUGCUAUGAGGGCAAUGCACUGCUUAUAUAUUAUUCUAAUCUCUGUAUAACUUUUGUGUUUCUUUUUUAGAUUAAAAGAAACCUUGUUAAUUAGAAAUGCAACUGGGCUGCAACUAUCAAACUUGAUUGAGAUAUGCUCGUAAUGCUUAUUAUUCAGUACUUGCCUAAUGGAAAAAUUCUGAGUUUAUGUAAUCGAUAUAACCUGUUGUGCAAACUGUUAAUUGGAUCCUAUUAAAUUAGUGAACUUUGCUUCUUGCUCAAUAGCUUAGGUCUAAAUUAUUUGAUCCUAUUUUGUACAUGUAUUGUAUAAGAACAAUUAUUGUGUUCAGCUGCCGUUAAAAAAUUAUUGUGUUCAGCUCUGUUUUAUGCAUGAGCAGGAGCGCACCUAGAGUUUCUAUAACAGCAUCAGUUCAGCUGUAUCAUUUUCUUCAGAGCAUCAGUUUAUUAUGACUAGAAAAUCAUAAUUUUCUUCAGAGCAUAGUGUGACUAGCACCAGUUCAGUUGUAUCAUUUUCUUGUUCAUUUCUUUUGUUUUUGUUGGAUUGCAUGCUCUGUAGUCUGCUUUUCUUCCAGAGCCUUUUAAUCUUUUGUCACUCUGCAGUCUUCGAUGUGUCUUCAGUUUUUGGCGAUGAAUCAAGGGUCCUAGAUGGGGACUCUGUUGAGUUCAAAGUGGAGGAAAACAUGAAUGGUAAUGGGAAUAAAGAAAAGAAAAUAUCUCAAAAGAUCAGUACAGGUGAUGGCUCCCCGUCUUGUUACUGCUCUCAAUAAUAAUUGCUCUUCAGUGGUAAUCUAGAAUAUUUAUUUGAAAUUUCUGUUUAUUUCUAUAUUUCACGGUUUUUUUGCUUUGGGUUAGCUAGACACUGCAUUCUAUGGUUGUGCAGUUUUAGUUCUCUGCAUUCCUUAACUAAAAUAUAUUAUUUACUAGCAGUAUCAGUUUUCCUUUGUGCUCUGUAUCAUGUCAGUACACUUGUAGAUCACUCAAGAAUCAGCUUAGCUAUCAGUUUAGUUUAAAAGCUUUAACUAUAGCUUAAACUGUUUGCUUGCCUUGGUUCAGUACAUAGAAAAAAUGGUGAUGCUGCCAUUUGAUUGUGCUGUGUAUAUGCAAUUUUGCUGCUUGCUUUAAAUUAAUUAUAAGCCAUACCUGAACAAUCAUUUAGAAUUUCAGUUUAGUAAAUAAUUGCAGUGUCCAGCUAAUCGACUUAAUGAUGCUUCUGCCACUUUGUGCCACUAGUGAUAUAAAUUUUACAAACUAGCCGUGCUGGCUUUGCAUCUGUUAACCGACAGCAGCAACUUUGUGAGUGCAACCAUUUCAACUGGAUAUGUUUAAAUUGAUAGUUGUACCUAAUACAUUUUAGCUUAGGCAGCAGCUAUCUAUUAAGUUAUCUAAAUCACUAUUUGAUUGAAUGUUUCUUUUUUUAUAGUUUUCAGGAAGGGAAUCGGUGGAUAAACAAUAUUAGAGAAAUGUUUGACGAAGGAGCAUCAUUCCACUGAGGCGGCUGCAUUGCUUAUUGGCGGCAUGGAGAGACAAUUGUUGGCUGUAUAAAUUAGUCUUGUUUUUAAAUUGCUUCAUCAUCAAUGUGUAAAUAUUUAUAUAUGUAAACAUAUUUGACCAAAUGGUUGUAAAUUUAUAAUUAGAAAUGCAAUAAAGAAAUGUCACCAUAUUUGUCAUUCAAUAAAUAUCUCAAAUUUCUUACAACAAAAAUAGAUGGGCUAGAUGUUGAUAUAAGCAUCCAUGUCAUGAUCCACAUAAGCAGUCUAGAUGAUGUGGCAAUUCAUCUAUGACGGUUUAGAACCGUCACAGGUAAUGGGUUUGGGCUGGGCUAACUAGGCCUUGGGCUCAGUUGUGACGGUUUGAGAUCGUCAUGAAUUCUGUUAAUCUGUGACGGUUUUAUGAAAAUCGUCACGAAGGUUAAUCCUUGACGCUCAAUAGGUGACGUUCCCUAAAACCGUCACAAAUGUUGCAUAGUGACAGUUUUUUUAUGAUCCGUGACGGAAAUUUUUCGUCGUGGAUUAGCAGGUUUCUUGUAGUGUUGGACAUUGGAAAUGCAAAGUUAUAGAAAAGGAAAUGCAUUCCCAUGAAAACUUGAGAUAAGAAUAAUGGGUUCAAAUAGUGUGCAUAGGAUAAGAUUCUCACGAUAU